rnacentral:lncRNA from 1 species
UCCGUGCUCCUGAGCCGUUUUCGAUGAUGGAAUUUUCGAAUCGACGAUCGGCUCCGUUAGACUUGAUCUAGCGUAUUUGAAGUUUCUAGAAAAUAAUUUUUGCGAUUUUUCGAUAUCGUUUACCUAGCAAUUGAAAGGAUUCAAAAUUAAUAAUUUUUAAUGGCUGAAAAUAAAAAUCCUAUAAAAAGUGGUGAUAUAGCGCUAAAAAUUUCGAUCAGAAAUAUUGAUCUUGUUGUAGAUAGUAUAAAGAAUUUUGUAUCAAAAUUUUAUCUGAUUUGAAUACUUCUAUACCGUUAAACUUGAAAACGGCAGAUAUCAACCAUUAAAAAUUAUUAAUUUUGAAUCCUUUCGAUCACUAGGUAAAUGAUAUCAAAAAAUCGUAAAAAUUAUUUUCUAGAAACUUCAAAUACCCUAGAUCAAGUCUAACGGAGCCGAUCGUCGAUUCGAAAAUUCCAUCAUCGAAAACGGCUCAGAAGCACAGAGGCCUCCGUGCUCCUAAGAGCACAGCGGCCCUGCUCUCUCUCUCUCUCUCUCUCUCUCUCUCUCUCUCUCUCUCUUUCUCUCUCUCUCUCUCUCUAUAUAUAUAUAUAUAUAUAGUGAGGCUACUAUACUUUUGGAAGCACGGAGCCUUCCGCGCUUCCAGGUCGUUUUCUAUAUUGCGACUUUCGAAUCGUCGAUCAGCUCCAUUAACUUGAUCUAGAAUAUUUGAAAUACCUAGAAAAUAAAUUAUGCGAUUUUUCGAUAUUAUUUACCUAGUGAACGAAGGGGCUCAAAAUCAACGGCUGAAAAUAAAAAUCUUACAAAACAUGAUAAUAUGACAUUAAAAUUUUAGAUCAAAGAUAUUGAUCUUGUUUAAUAUAGUAUAAAGAAUUUUUAUCAAAAUUUCACGUGAUUUGGAUAUUUCUACACCGUUAAACUUGUAAACGGCUCACUACGGCCAUUAAAAUUAUUGAUUUUGAGCCCCUUCGAUCACUAGGCAAAUGAUAUAGAAAAAUCAUAAAAUUUAUUUUCUAGGUACUUCAAAUACUCUAGAUCAACUCUAACGAAGCCGAUCGACGAUUUGAAAGUCGCAACAUCGAAAACGACCUGGAAGCACGGAGGGCUCUGUGCUUCCAGAAAUAUAGUAGCCUCACUCUAUAUAUAUAUAUAGUGGGCUGGUAUGCUUCUGGAAUGUAACACAUUGGACCUGUGCAAAUUGCGAGGUUCGAGUGUUUGAUAUGGAUUCCGAACUUUUCCACACUUGGUGGAAGGUCGUAGAUGGUAUUUCGACCUAAAAAUUCGAUUUCUGGAGUUUUGGCAUUGUCCUGAGAGUUUUCACUCUCGGGGAUAGGUCCCUGGUGGAAGAGACUGGUCCUCUCGGAACAGUGUUGCGGCAGUCUGUGAAGCAACCGGUCCCUGGCGCAUGAGACCGGUCCCCGAGCGCGACUACGAGGGGAGAGAUCGGUCCCAUGCGGGGAGAGACCGGUUCCCGAAUAUUGGAUUUUCGAGGCAUGCUGAGAGACCGGUCCCAGGUUGGGGAGACCGAUCCCUCAGUCUGAAAACUGCCCAGACCCGGGCAGUGCAUGGGUUGCUUUGUUGGAGGGCCUGAUGACUACCAUGUAUAGUUAUGUAAUUUGGGGACAAUAAAACUUGAUGUGAUGCCUGAUAGCACAUCCAGAUUUUUGUUUUUUUUAUUCCUUUGGGUAAAAUCAGUGGAGACCUAUAUUGCAAGUUUCACAUUGGCCUUUAGAAAUUCCAAAAUCUAUACACCAUUGAUCUGUGAACAAAGUGAUAGAUAUCACAUAACAGAACACAGAGAAUGAGGCAAAGUGAUGAAAUGUGGUUGUUUAAAGGCAUAAUAAAUUAGCUCAAUAUUUCAGGGAGGGGGAGCGAAGGCUUACAGUGGUUUUAUUGCAGCUUAGCACUGUCUUUUCGUAUCUGUGCUUAAACUCGACAAUGUUUACAGGCAAUGUUCAUGGACACAAAGCUGAACGAGAUGCAGCACCUCGGUUGGUACGUUGAAGAAGCUUUGUCAAAGGUACCAUGUGCGAGGAAAGCACUUCAUUGCUUUAUAGUGGAACUGAGUUAAUGGAUUGUUAUUUUACCCCUUUUUGAAUAGCCUUUAUGAUGAUAAUGUAACUUGCUUGCCACAGUAGGAAUUGGAUAGGGGCAGCUACGGCUGUGGAUCAAAAUAUUGAUUAAUUAAUCAGAACCGGCCUCGUCGCCGGCAGAGGGGUGGCUGCAGCUAUGGAUGGCGGCGGCGGCAGGGGCAUCUAUGACAGCGGCGACGGCGGCUAUUGCAAGAUAAAGAGGAAAGAAGAGGAGGAUUAUCCGGGACGAUCAAACCAUCCGGAUAAGUUUCAACUGUUGUGGAUAAAGCGAAGGCCGUUCCAACUAAUUCGGUUAGGAUAUGAAUUGAGAUGGUUCCAACUAUUUCAGUUAGUAUAAGGAUCGAGGUGGUUCCAACUACUUCUGUUAGGAUAAGGAUAAAGUUGUUAUUUUUAAAAUAUUUUGUUCUUAUCUUCUUGUAAGCCUUAAGACUAUAAAUAGGGGCCCUAAUGGCUCAUAUAAAGUCACUCCAGUUUAGAGAGAAUUAAUGUACAGACUCUUCCACAUAAAAAUAUUGUGUUCUUUUUUUUCUCUUUAAUCUGGUUUCAGAUAUCCAUCGGGGAGGCGCUGCGACAUUGCUUUCUCCUCCGACGAAUCAAGUGGUAUUAGAGCAUCUAACCCUAGUGUAUGGUGCGAACCAAAAGUGUCUAUAAAGCUACCGGUGAACAACUCUCCGUCUUCGACAUCUUCUGCAAGCCACCGACGAGGAAAACGAAGAGCCCAUCUACCAUGUUUGCAGACGAGCAGAUAGCGACGUCAUCCGACUUUGCCGCCAAGGUCGCCACGCUGUCUGACGACAUGAAGAUCGUUCUAGAUUGGAUCAAGACCCAAUCUGCAGCACCAUCGACAAUGCCGGUGGAGAAGAGCAGUCGACUCGCAGGAACUCCUCCUCCAAAGGUGCGUGUGACGCCGAAGAAGGGAGCUGCCGAGGAUACCUUGGGUGCGCGAGAUGACGACAACUCCGACGAUGACGAAAGUAUAGCUCCGUCGGUUGCAGAAGGGAGAUCGAAACCGUUUAAGGUUGAGGCCAAGAUCGAGAUCCCCAACUACGACGGUAUUGUCGACGUUACAAAGCUAGAUGCCUGGAUUGACCAACUGGAGACGUACUUCGACCUCUACAACUAUAGCAAUGCGGAAAAGGUAACUUUCACAAAACUAAAACUUGUAGGUCAUGCUUUGACUUGAUAAAAGGCCACUCUCCAAACUUCUGCCAAUGAGUAUUUCACCUGGAGUCAGUUUAAACGACUGAUUCGCCAGGAGUUCUACCCUAUAGUAUAUGAAGAAGAGCGAUGGAAGCGCUAGCAUGUCCUGUGCCAAAGACGUGACCAGACAAUGCAGGACUACACCACCAACUUCCGGCGCCAAGCCUUGGCGCUUGGCAUCUCCCUCGACGAUCCACAGGUUAUUCAUAAAUACACCACGGGCCUACAGGAGCGCAUUAAUGAUGAGCUUUGUCUAUUCAAUGUUCGUGAUAUCGCCUCGGUGAGCCAAACAGUCAUGACGAUUGAACGAAAGAACAAACUAUCUCGUGGGGAGAAGCCAUCUGGAGAGUCUGCUGAGGACUUGAAAAAAUUCAAAAAGAAUGGCUCUAAAAAGAAGGGGUUCUCUGAUCGUGAUUUGUACUGUGAUCAUUAUAAAGUCACAGGACAUGUCAAGGAUCGAUGCUGGAAGCUCCAUCCAGAGAUGAGACCAAAGAAGAAGGACGAUUGUGGUAAACGCACAACGACAACGGCAACGACAUCGGCAAGAUCGACAAGUGAUGCUCCUACUUUAAUCUGACGGAUUGAUCAAGCAGACACUAGCUUGUCUCUGAUGGUUAUGCCGAAGGAGACAAACCUAUGCCCGUCAAAUCCGACUGAUAAGAGAGAGGGGUUGUUCACUUUUCCAGUUCAAGUCAAAAAUGAGGUGAUCAAUGCCAUCAUCGAUCCCGGCAGCCAAAAGAACUUGAUCUCGAAAAACCUAGUUCAAAGGCUGGGUUUGUCGACUACACCACACCCACACCCAUAUCCAUUAUGGUGGAUUAACAGUAACAUCGAGAUGAAGAUCGAUGGCCAGUGUAAGGUGAAGUUUGUAGUGACUAGCGUCUACAUCGUCGAAUUGCUGUGCGAGGUUGUGCCGUUGAACAUUUGCAACCUCAUCUUCGGUAGUCCCUAUCUAUGGGACCGUGACACUACCUUCUUCCAUCGUCCUCAGCAAUACCAAUUUAUUAAGGAUAGACAAAAAUUUUUGUUCACUACAGAGCCAUUAUCAACAACUAUAGACCUGGUAAUCGCUUGCCAGGCCAAGAGGAUGAUCAAUGCAUGUUAAAAGUUUGUCUUACUGGUCAUUCGGCCAAUUAUAUCUGAGAAGGCAAACAGCAAGAUAUUAAGCCUAGCAUGCAAGAAAAAUAUUGAUGAUGUAGCUAAACUGAUCGGCGAGCAUCAGGAUUUGUUUCAAGAAGUACAAGGACUGCCACCAAAGCGAGCCGUGGAAUACGAGAUCCAAUUGAUCAACGAUGCUCCGUUACCGAAUCUUGGCAUGUACCGAAACUAGGUGGUGGAGAAUAAGGAGAAAAAGUGACAGGUGAUUGAGUUACUCGAGAGUGGUGCUAUCAAACUGAGUAGCUCCCCCUAUGGCUCCCCGGUCAUGCUAGUGCCAAAGAAAUACGGUGGGUGGCGAAUGUGUAUCGACUACCGCACUCUCAACAAAAUCACUAUCAAGAAUCGCUACCCCUUACCGCGGAUCGAUGAUCUCUUAGACCAACUGAAGCAUGCUCUCUACUUCACCAACCUGGACCUGAAGUCCGGCUAUCAUCAGGUUCGAAUCUGAGAGGAUGACACCUAGAAGACCGCGUUCAAGACUCGAUAAGGCCUAUUUGAAUGACUCGUCAUGCCAUUCGGCCUUUGCAAUGCAUAAGCUACUUUUAUGCAACUAAUGAACGACGUUCUACGCCCUUUCCUCAAUGACUUCGUGAUCGUCUAGCUCGACGACAUCCUCAUCUACAGUCGAUCGUAGGAGAAGCAUCUGGCGCAUGUCAAGAAGGUUUUCAUGCUACUCAAGGAACACCAACUCCGCUUAAACCCUAAAAAGUGUGAGUACAGCAAGCAAAGCCUGGUGUAUCUCCGGUUCGUGGUAGGCGGCGGCGAGCUUCAAAUCGACCCCGACAAGGUCAGGGCUAUCAAGGAGUGGCCUAGGCCCAAAAAUGUGCUGAAAGCGCGGAGCUUUAUGGGCACUUGUGUCACGCCCCGGGACCGGCGAAGGCCCUCCCGGUAGCGUGCCCAGACCCGCCAUAUGUCAACACAUAUGAGGCGUCUACAAUAAAAGCGAAAGUAAAAGCAAGAAAUAGUACAAAUAGAGCAGUAACAACUAGUGAUAUCAGAGCGAGCAAGGUUCUAUCAUCUAAGCAAGAGUAGAGAAAGCAUAACUAAACAAUAAGAGUAAACAUAAGGUAGUACAAAUAAUAUCUCCUCAACAGGAAUACAAGGAUCCAAAAGAAUGGUGGUCUCUAUACAUAAACGGGUACAACUCACAACCUCUCACAAAAUAAAACUACGAGAGGUAGANAUCUAGAAUUCCAGUUUUCGAACUUUUUAGGUCGGAAAACAUUCUACGACCCUCCACCAAGUGUGGAAAAGCUCGAAACACAUCCAAACACUCGAACCUCGCAAUUUGCAAAGGUCCAGUGUGUUACAACUUGCCAAUAAGUCCGAAAGCUUAUCCGGCACUUUUCUGUCCUUGCUGCCCCCUCUACAUGCACUAACGAAGGUCAACCCAAAGUUCGAAUGGAGUUCGAAACAAGAGGACACGUUCUGACUUUUGCAACGAAAGAUAUGCGAGGCGCCUGUUCUUGCGCUACCAAAUCUGCAACGACCCUUUGAGUUAGAGGCGGAUGCGUCGGGAUACGCCAUAGGGGCAGUCUUGAUGCAAGAUGGUCGGCAUCUUGCGUAUUACUCGGAGAUGUUACAAGGAGCUCAAAAGAACUACCAGACCUAUGAUAAGAAACUCUUGGCACUACACCAGGCGGUGAAGUAUUGGCGGGUCUACCUCUUAGGAAAGGAGAAAGUGGUGCAUACAAACCACCGUCCACUUCAGUACCUCCAAAUGUAAUCAAAAUUGCAACAAGCACGUCAUAUGAAAUGGAUGACGUACUUACAGCAGUUCAAUUUGGUGAUCAAGUACAAGAAAGGCACUCACAACAAACUAGUUGAUAUGCUGUCACGACCACCAUUGGCAGCACUUUGCUUGUCGAUAUUUAUGCAAGUUCAUCCGAAUUUUCAAAAGUAUGUAAGCUUAUAUGCAGAAGACUCAGAUUUUCAAGGAGCACUGGCUGACAUCGAAGUAAGACGACCUACUGAGUUUGUCUUGCAAGGCGGUCUACUACACAAAGGUGCACUACUAUGUGUACCUAAAGAUGGCAAUCAAGUACAAUGGAUUCGAGAAGCUCAUACCUCGAAGGUGGUAGGUCACUUCGGGGUGAACAAAACCUUACAAAAUCUCCAGUGCUACGUCUAUUAGCCUUACAUGCAAAAUGAUAUGGCGUGAUUUAUGAAGGAAUAUGUCCUGUGCUGUACAUCCAAGCCCGCUAAUCGGAAGGUGGGCCUCUAUACCCCUCUUCCAGUGCCGACUCGUCCUUGGAAAAGUAUUUCCAUGGACUUCUUAGGAGGCCUCCCAAGGACCCGACGAGGACACGACUAUCUUUACGUGGUGGUUGAUCGAUUCUCCAAGAUGAUAGUACUUGUGCCAUGCAAGAAGGCAAUCACCGGCGAGAAAACUGCGAGGUUAUUCUUCCAACACGUUUGGACACAUUUUGGACUACCAACCUUGAUUGUAUCUGACCGUGACAACCAUUUUCUAAGCAACUUUUGGCGGUCUUUGUGGUCCAUGAUGAACACAAAGCUACAACGGAACACGGCUUUCCAUCCUCAAAACGAUGGUCAAACAGAAAUGGUCAACCGGACAGUUGUAUAUCUGCUGUGAGGAUAUAAUGCUCAACAUCCUAAGGCUUGGGACGAGAGCCUUCCAUACUUGCAGUUCACGUUCAAUCGAGCUAUACACAGUUCCACUGGCAAGACUCCUUUUGAGGUGUGCUUGGGUUAUUUACCACCAAGUCUAUUUGACUUGGCAUUCACAGUCAAGCAACCGCAUACCACCAAGGAGGAAAAUGAAAUGACAAAGGCACAGUGCUUCUUGGAGAAUAUUCAGAAAGUGUAUAGCGAAGUGGAGCGACAACUACAAAAAUCUCAACAGAAGUAUAAAGAACGAUAUGACCGACAUCGAGUGAAAGGUGAUUUUCGAGAGAGUGAUCUGAUAUGACUCCAUCUCAACAAAGAGCGCUUAAAAGGCGAGCGUAAGAAACUUAAACAUAUUCGUUAUAGACUUUUCAAGAUCCUGAGCAGAAUUGGUGAGAAUGCUUAUCAAUUGGAGUUGCCCGCAUACAUGAAGAUGUAUUCGGUCGUCAAUGUCGAAAACCUAAAGUCCUUCGAGCCAUCAAUGCUAGACGAUAAGUCCGAAGAAGUACUGCCAUCCGUGGAAGACUCGUGGUAGAACGCAAAAAGCAGCUAGCUGAGAAUGCUAUCCUAGAAUGCAAGGUCACGACGACACGCAAAUGUGAAUGUGAAUCCUUCCGUGUUGGACAGAAAGGUCAAAAGCCAAGUGCCGCUAAGUAGUUCACAAGAAAAUUUGGGAAAACUCAGUUUCCUCACUUGCAGUUCUAGAUCCAGUAGGUGCUAAUUCCUCUCAAAAAUUGGGGACCUAUGAUCUGGGGCGAUCAAACCAUCCGAAUAAGUUUCAACCAUUGCGGAUAAGGCGAAGGCUGUUCCAACUAAUUCGGUUAGGAUAUAAACUGAGAUGGUUCCAACUAUUUCGGUUAGGAUAAGGAUCGAGGUGGUUUCAACUACUUCGGUUAGGAUAAGGAUAAAGUUGUUAUUUUUAAAAUAUUUUGCUCUUAUCUUUUUGUAAGCCCGAAGGUUAUAAAUAGGGGCCGUAAUGGCUCAUGUAAAGUCACUCCAAUUUAGAGAGAAUUAAUAUAUAGACUCUUUCACAUAAAAAUAUUGUGUUCUUUUCUUUCUCUUUAAUCUGGUUGUAGAUAUCUAUUGGGGAGGCACUGCGACAUUGCUUUCUUCUCCAACGGAUCAGAGGAGAAGGAAGAGGAGGAAGAAGAAGAAAAAGAGAAAUAGUGUAAAAUUCACUCAAAAAGUACAACUUUCACCUAAAGAGUGUAACUCUCAUCUCAAAGAGUGUAAUUUUUGUCUCAAAUAGUACAAUUUUCAUUUAAAACAGUGCAAAAUUUUUUUUAAAAUAGUAUAACUUUAUUUUAACAGUACAAUUUCAUUAUCUUCUUCCUUAUUCUAUGAUUUUUUAUCUUUCCUGUAGGAAAAAAAUAUUUUUUUAUUGUUAUUUUUUAUUACUCUUAUUUUUUUUCUCUUUAUAAUUUUUUAGGAAAACUUCAAAAACCUUCUUGUGGUUUCGCACUUUUUCAUUUUAGUACCCUGUGGUUUAAAGUGUAUCAAAUUAUUACCCUAUGGUUUCUCACUUUAUCACUUUAGUACCCUAUGAUUUAAUGUGUAUCAAGUUAGUACCCUAUGGUUUUAUUUUUGUAUCAAGUUAGUACCCUGUGGUUUUUAAACCACAGGGUACUAAAGUGAUAAAGUGCGAAACCACAGGGUACUAACUUAAUACACUUUAAACCACAGGGUACUAAAGUGAAAAAGUGCAAAACCACAGGAUACUAACUUGAUACACUUUAAACCACAGUGUACUAAAUUAAGAAAAAGUGAAACCACAAGCGGGGUAUUUGAAGUUUUCCCUAAUUUUUUUGUGUCACAACCUCUCCCUUGCCCUCUAUCGCAACCACUGCCCUCGUCGAAGUGUAACUAUUUUUCUCCCUCUCCCUAGCUGGUGGAGGGCCGUCCUCGCUAUCGUCACAAAGGGCCGCGAAAGCAGCGGAGGAGGGUCGGAAAGAAAAAAAAAAAAAGGGGCGUGGCGCGGCCUCAGCAAAAUCAGAGGCGAAAAGGGUGGGGGGUGCAUAGGCGAGGGCAAAGGCGAGACGAUCGGCCAUUUCUGCCUCCACCUCCGCCGCCUUCUUCGGAGAGGAAAAAAAAUGAACGCGAGAAAAAAAAAAAAAGGAGAGAGAAAAAUAUAUAAGGGUAUUUUUGUUAGUUUGCUGAAAAUCCGAACCGAAUCUGUAAAAUCAAAAAUGGUGGUUUAGUUUUGCAAAAGUUCAAAACUUGUAAAUUUUUUAUGCAAAUUGGCCAUAUUGAAAAGUUGAGGGGGGCCAUGGCUCCGUCUGUGAUGUCGGUGCAACACGUUUGUAAGUUCAAGAGAGAGAGAGAGAGAGAGAGAGGGAGGGGAUAAGAAUAGAUAGCACUAGAAUUUCAGAUAAUAUUUAGAAAUAAUUUUGUCAUUUUGAAAGAAUACUUAAAUGCCUCAUAUGUAUUCUGGUUUUUUCUCGUCGCAAAAGCUCGGAGAAGCGAGCUUUUGUGGUAGCGCUACCCACCGUCACUCUUGAUUGAUUUCAAAACACACCCAUAUUUUCUAAACGAAAAUAUUUUUGAAAGCGUCUAGUUUUGUGUAGCAAAAACUGAGCCAAACAUGUACAAAGUAGCUUAGGGCAUGUUUGUUUACUCAUAAGUCUAUUUUAUAUUAAAAAUAACUUUUGGUUAAACUGAAGCUUAAAAAAUUCUUUUUAACUGCUAUUUGUUUGGCAUGAAGUCAAUGAGUACAAAACUAUUUAUUGCUCUACUUUUUCUAAUUUGUUCAUUUUACUAAAAAUUUUCACACCAACAUGCAAGAGAAUAGAAAAACUUUACAACAGCUAAUUUUAAAUUAUUUUUUCUAUUUAUUUUUCUUUCGUAAUUGACUUUAGCAUCAUCCAAGGCGAAACCAAUUAUGACAUAUUUAGAAACCGGAGAUAUAGUCAAAUUUACUUUACGGCAAAUCAUAAAGGUGAACAUUGCAAUAUUUUGGUGAAAUAAAUAUGUCCAUGUAUAGUAAAUAAACGUUUAAGAUAAGAGAAAGGUGAAUAGAGUUUUACAGAUGCACUGGAAUUUUACAGAUGCACUGGAAUUUGCCUCUUGUUGUUUUGGUAGAGAACACACAUAAAUUAUUUUUUUGAGUAAAGUAUAUUAGAAUUUUUAACGUCUAAAUAUCUUUUGCAAAUGCGUUAUGAUUUAAGUCUUAAUCUGCACACUUACACUUUUUUUUCUUUUUUGUAACUAGAUUUUUUUUUUUUUUUUGAUAUAAGGACUUUAAUAGGCUUUUGUUGCAUACAAGACUUAUAAUUUUUAAUUUUUAAUUGUUUUCUAGAGUGGGAUGAUUUUACUAGUUACAUUGAUGUGAUUACUAAAGAAGUCUCCGCCCUAUGAUGAGUAGAGUGUAAAUCAUACACCUCUUUAAGAUGUAUGAGUAGUAUUGCUCUAUUGCUCUAACUUAGAAGGAAAUUUUUUUCACAAUAAUCUCUAAAAAAUUGUAUAAUUCGUCAAAUGACCUUAUUAAAAUUUUAAUUGGCAAGUUCAUUCUAUUUUGGCAAAUUUAGUGCCACAUGAGGGAAAAAGUGAAAGAUAGUAAAUCAUUCAUUGUCUUAGUUUGAGGAUCUUUGAGAUUGUUAAAAUUGUAUAUAAAUUAUUACGAUUUUUUGUUUGAUUAUUAGAAUUUAUGUGCGUUUGUUAAAAUUUCUUAGAAUUAUAUAUCAUUGAAAUUUUUGUGUAGCUAUUAGAAUUAUAUAUAAAAAAAGAACAAAAUAGUAAGUCAAUUCACUUUUUUCUCUCCAAAGAGAAAACGAGUAAAUGAUUCAUCGUUUUUUUAAGUUUUAUUAAAGACUAAACAAUUAAUUAUCUUCUAAUUAUUGUUUUAUUCUAACGUUGAGUUGGACAAAGUAAAAUUAUUUGAACAAAUAAAUUUUUACCCAAAUUAUAUAGCCAAAUAUAUUUUUUUUAAGGUCUAAUUUUUUUCUUAAAAAAAGUCCACCUAGAAGGCAAUGGUAAAAACAAAUACCGAAUAUACAAUUUCUACCUUACAGAAUUCAACACCGAAGCAUAUUCCAUCACACAAGUCUUUCGUCUGGUACCUAUUUCAAGUACAUAAUUAUCGAUCUAAUUACAGAUCGACAAAUAUACAUACAUAGCCUCUAAAAAGAGUAUACAAUCUAAUUACAUACUCCACAUAAAAUAAUUUGUAAUUUUUCUAUCAGAUGCAUCUGUUCACACACGCCGAUCUCCACAUUAGAAUUCACUCGGUGUGAAUAUUAAAGCACCUCAAGAUGAAUUCCAACAAAAAAAAGAAAAAGAAAAAAGAAAAAAGAUUUGUCUUAAAAAUUUUGUUUUCAUCAUUCCAGAUGACAUAGUUAUUUGUAAAACACCUCGGAGCUGUUUUUUUUUUUCCUUUUAAUUCACGAAAAACCAUAACCCUUUGCUGCAAUUAUAGAGAAUAACCGCGAAUUAUUUGCACACUGUAAAUUGUUUUUAUCCCUCCAAGCUCCCAAUUAGGAAAGUGAGAUUUUGUCGAAGCACAUUCCCAAUAGAUGAACACGCAGGUAUACGCAUGCACAGAAGUAAAUAACAAGAAAAACAGCAAUGCUUAAGAGUUCAUUUCCUGAAAAUGAAUAAAGCAGAGAGCGUGGUACCUUUCGCUCCUAUAAAAAAAAAAUAAAUAAAUAAAUAAUCUUGCUCCUACCAACCACGUUUAGAGAAGCCACCAUCCACAACAAAAUUCAUUCUUUACACAAGGAAAAAAGAACCCUAAUAAAUGAAACAUUCAAAAGACUGUUCUUUUCUUCCCUCAAUGAAACUGAAAAAUCACGUAAAAUUAUCCAGCUUUGAACACAAACUUUCCAAGUGGUGAUCUGGAGAAUGUAAAAUACAGCAAGGGCAAACAACAUAAAAGUCAGCAGAUGAUUGGAGAAUUUGAAUAUCAAGUACCACCGUGCCGGUAAAGAAGCAACGACCGGUAAAUAGCGGCAAGGUGGAGGAAAACAACGAGCAAAAUAAUCAGAUCAUCCAACAAGCCCACUAGGCCUAAUACACCUGUACAAAAUAGACCGUUGGAAAUUGUAAUUCGUAAAACAUGCUAGUUAGACUGUUAGACUAGUACUGGGACAUUACAUGCGGAAAAUUAGAAGUUACAUCGCCUAUACCUUCCGGAAGAAUGUCGACAGGGCUCAGAACGUAUAUUGCACUAAGCACCAUCUGCAAAUAUGAAGCUCCAUUAUUAAUUAAAAACAACAGAAACUUAAAAAUACUCUUUAUUGCCAUCCACAUUUCUAAACCUGAAAGUAACUAUGUUUGAAAUCUUUUUCUUAUAAAUCGGUAAAUAAGUAAUAGAACAGAGCAUGAUAGUAAGAGUUUAACACUUAAACAUUUCCAAAUAGACUAACAUUAAAGUCCAAUAAUUAUAUGCAUUGGGGCAUCCAGAUUUCACGAGACUUGCUUUACUUAAAAAUAUGAUCUUUGUGAAUCUUGGAAAAUACAAAGCUAGCAUUCUGUGCCGUUCAUUUUUCUUUAGUUUGACUUGUAAAUGAUUUUCUCUUUCUUCUUAUUGGUGAUGACUAAUGGGACAAAGGGAGUAGUAGAUCAUCGAUUUGGUCAGACAUGCUCUGAAUCAUAAAUACAAUGAGCAAAUGAUUGAAGACACAGUGUAUAGACAAAAAAUAAUUAGAUUUAGACAAAACACAAAAAGGAUGUCUUUGGUCACAUAUGAUGGUAAUAAAAAACCUGUUACCAGUUUAAAUUCAAUAGACUCAAGCAAAAGAGAAUAUCAAAGUUCAAGAGGCAUUCCAAGCAUAAAACCGGAUCUUGUCAUAAAUCCUCUCAUGUGGGAAGUCCAUAAACAGGUGGUACGAGCAUUGAACACUCAACAGUAUGUAUGGAAACCAUCAGAACGCUCGAAAAUAAAAACAAAGAAAAAUGAAGAUAAAUACAGAAUAAGAAAACUGCAAAGUUCUCACAUGCUGAUCAAAGUAAAGUAGGAAUUUUUUUUUUUUUUUUUUUUCAUCUUCUCAUUCAAAUCCAACUAGACAGAUGUUUUUGCAUUAAAAAUACACAGGAAAAAAGGAGACCCAAAAAAAAAAGCAAUAGCCUUCUUGAAAUCUAACGCACAGAUGGAGAAAACUGUUCCAGAUUUUGCAUAUAAACUUACUGCAAAAAUCAUUCGCGCCCUGAAGACCAGUGGAAGUGUCCUCUGAGGAUCCAUCAGUUCUCUAAAUAACCUUCGAAUGAAAAAUGGAAGAUCCCACAACCUCUGUUGAGAGAUGUAAGCAUACAAUGUUAUAAAUUUCAUUCAAAAAAUUAUUAAAGCAGAUUUGAUAUAUUAUAGAAAGUCCAGAUAAAACUCCAAUUCCAACCAUAUCACAUACUCACCAAGACUGUUAAAUACCAAUGCUACUUCAAUGUAGCGCCUUUCAGUUUCAGCCUUGAGAGUUUCUCUUUGAGCCUCAACAAAAAUAACUAAAAGUUUCUAAAGAUUAAAUGUUUAAGAAACAAAACGAGAAUGUUACAAUGUCAAAAUUGAAUUUUGUUCAAACAUUAGUAUAUGCUAUAUUGAUUCUUUGUCCAUUUCUUUUUCAAAAGGUAAAUUGCCGAGUAUCACUUUGGUCCUCAAACAUUUAAAGUGGACAUUCGAUACCCCAAGCUUUUGGAAGUGCUUCAUUUUAGUCUUUUUCUUCAUCUACCAUUACAGAAAAAUUUCUCUCACCCAGUGCAUCUGUACAUCUACAUCACAGUCAUCAACCUUCGAUUGCAUUCAUAUUUCAAUCACUCCUGCCAUUAGAGUUGCAACCUUUCACUAGUUAUAAAUUACAUGGGUAGAUUGAAAGUAAGAGAUGGAUGAAAGGCCCAUAAAUUGGUAAUGCAUGGAUGUAUGGAUGCACUAGGUGCACCUACUAAAUUUGCCUCGAACACACAGGGUGAUGGCAAUUCUCUCUUCAAAAAUAACAGUGUUAGCGUAGAUCUAUUUAUGUUAACAUAAUGAGCACUAAUAGUUAUUCUAUUUACAUUAUUUAUUUGUCCUUAUUUUGUUAACCCUAACUGUACAUAGCUAUUGUACUCUCUCUAUAUAUUCAAUACAAACCCUAAAUGGGUUCUUGCGGUUUUAUUAAAACUUUUAUGAUAUCAGAGCCAAAUACCCUCUAGGGUAAAAUCAACGAACUGCCAUCUUUUCUCUUCCUUGAUAUCACUACUAACAUAUGAUCAUUCUUCCUCUUCUCUCUCUUCGCUGUGGCGACGAUCUCCUAUCUUUUCUCUGCCACAAUACCUGUGGCUAUAGUACCAUCACUACAGUUCCUCCACUACAAUAAUUUCAGCCUGCUUCAACUGUCAUGGCAGCUAACAUAUCAUCUUCUCUCUCGAUUGUUAACAUCAAAACCCUAAUUCCCCUUGAACUUACUAGCAACACCUAUCUUAUUUGGAAACAAGUGUUUCUGACUGUGUUGGAGAGUUCUGGAGUUACAUCUUACAUGGGGUGGCACUGAGAUCGUCCUUCCUCAAUUCAUUAGGUGACAGACAAAGAAGAUUAAACCGAAUCUAGCUUAUUCCACUUGUUAAAAAGAGGAUACUACAAUUUUGUCUUUGGACCAAUGCCACACAUCUUUGAGCAUCCUGCAGAUGGUAUCGCCCCUCACCAAAAACAGCAUGCAAAGCCUGGAUUGUGAUCGAGACGUAUUUUUUUGAUAAAACAGCAUCAACUAUUUUUUUUUUUGUUUCCUUAUAAGAACUGAGGAGCAUAAAGAAGGGAACGAUGAGCAUGUCUAAGUACAUGCCAGAAGUCAAAUCUAUUAGAGACGCCCUGCCAACAAUUGGACAAGGUGAAUCGAAUCAUAACCUUGUGAGACGGUUCUUUUGAGUCUCCCUGAAGAAUAUCAAGGGUUUGUGAGCGCACCGAACACACACUGAACGAAGCGUACAUUCGAACAACUCCAUCUACUCCUAGUGCAAGAGGAAACGGAAGUACAGCAAAGGAAUGGUCACUUUUCUAACCCAUUAAUUGAAGGUGAAGCCCUAUUUGUGACCUAUCUGAUUCCACUAAAAAGGUUUGGUAUCUUGGUACUUGAGCCUCUAAUCACAUGACAUUAAAUUCAGGAAUACUUUCAAAUUCUAAGCCUUAUGUAGGGAAAAAUAAAAUUUUUAUUGGCGAUGAAAAUCUUCUUUCAAUUGCUCAAGAUUGGUGAAACAAAUUUGAAUGUAUCUUUUGGAUCUUAUGCCCUUAAAAGAUAUUCUUAUUUUUCCUCUAUUAAAAGAAACUUGCUCUUUGUCUGUGAAUUUUGUGUGAAAAUAACUUAUCUUUUGAGUUUGAUUCUAAAGGUUUCUAUGUGAAGAACAAGAAACCAGGAAAAGCUUCUCCCAUGCAGUAGUUUGGGAACUUCUCUCUACACCUAUCUUCAAAUGUUACAGGUAUAGGUAAUAAGUCAAUUUUUACUUUGGUCGCAUUUAAGUCUAGCUGCGAUCUUCGGCAUAGAAGGUUAGGUCAUCCGAGUUAAGGUGUUCUUUCAAAAUUUAUUAAAGGGAAUAAAAUAUUUUUUGAUUCAGAAAUAAAGUGUCUCAUUGCAAUGCUUGUACUAUUGGCAAACAUAUUAAACUUUCUUUUAAUGAAUCUGAUUCUCGUUCUACCUUCUGUUUCACCUUAUUCAUUAUAAUGUGUGGCAAGUCACUGUUGAUUCUGUUUCUAGAUACAAAUAUUAUGUUUUGUUUGUCAAUGAUUGCUCUCGUUAUUCCUAGAUUUAUUUGAUGAAAUUUAACAUGAAAUGUUUGAAAAGUUUCUUGAAUUUAAGACUUUAGUUGAAAAUCGACAACAAAUAUUAUUUUCGAAUCUGAUCAAGGAAAGGAAUAUGUCAAUGAGAAACUCACAACUUUGUUUCAACAUGUGGUAUAAUUCAUCAGAUUUCUCGUCGUCCCACACCACAAUAAAACGGUGCAAGAGAACAACACAAACAACUCGGUAAUGUUGCUCGAAGCCUCCUUUUUCAAAAAUGCAUGCCUGCAUGUUUUUGGGACGAUGCAAUUCAAACCGCUGUUUUUCUCAUAAAUUGCACUCCUUUUGUUGUUUCAAAGGGUAAAUCACCUCAUCAUGUUUUGCAUGCUUAUUCUGCAUUUGACUUGCAACUUAUGAAAGUAUUUGGGUGUUUGUAAAAUUAUCGGGAUCUAUAGGACAUCACAAGUCACAAACUCUCUCUCGGUCUCUCCAUUGCAUUUAUCUAGAAAUAUCUGAUGAACAUAAGGGACUUUGAUGCCUUCAUCUAAGCACCGGUAAAGUUUAUAUUUCUCGCCAUGUUGCCUUUGUAGAGUGUUUUGCAUUUAUCUUCUCCCAAAAUCUUCAAAGCAUUUAGAUCCUUUCUGCUCUCUUUCAACUUUUAAAAUGUUUCAAAAUUUUGUCACAUCCACCCUUGUUAGAUAGUGAUCCAUCCACUCUUAAGGCGAAUUCUAAUUUUGACUUUCAUUCACUCUAAGAGUUUAGCCUCACCUACAUUUGUUGCACCUUCUAUUUCUAUUUCACCAAUUUUUCAGCACUUGGAGGAGCAUCCUGCCAAUGAGAAUUCUACUAUCCCAUUGCCUAGAAUUGAAACACAUGCCUCUACAGACAGUCAGAAGGAGCUUCGGAUCUACACCAAACGACACUCUUCUAAAGAACCCAUUGCACCUAUUUCAACCUCCUCAAACACCUCUAACUGAGCCUAUACGACGUUUAGCACCUUUAUCCGACCAUACUCUACCUAAUAUUCCUAUCCAUUCUACUUAGUCCAAUCCACCUACUAGGUCACAAGGUUCUUAACCAAGCACAAGGAUGUAUCAUCCUCUUUCCUAGCUUCAAAGAAUUCUACUCUUCCUGCUGACCCUAACGUUUUUCCAGAAGUGUUUCAGAAUGCAGGUUGGUAGAAUGCCAUGUACGAAGAAUUUCAAGCCUUGCUUCAAAUUCCACUUGAUAUCUUGUUCCUCCACCACCGUCUGUUAAUCUCAUUGGGUCCAAGUGAGUUUUUAACGUCAAGCAAAGGUGGAUGGUUCCUUCGAACGUCUCAAAACUCAUCUUGUAACUCAAGGCUACAAAUAACAAUAUGACACCAUUUUUCAUGAGACCUCCCAUGCUGUCAAACCUACUACUAUCCGUACUGUUACUUCAGUGGAUCUUUUGUCUAGAUAGGACCUUCGACAAUUAGAUGUCAAAAAUCUGUUCCUUCACAGUGUUCUUUCUGAGAAGGUAUACAUGAAACAACCACCAGCUUUCGUACAUCCAUCCUAUCCUAAUCACGUCUGCCGCAGAAGGUGAUUUACGAACAUAAACAGGCACCAUGCGCUUGGUUCCAACACUUUACUUCUUUCUUAUCCAAGUUGGGGUUCAGUACUACCGUUGAUCCAUAUAUGUUUGUUUCUUGGUCCUCACAAGGCAUUCUUGUGCUUCUGUAAUACGUUGACAACAUCAUUGAAACGGGCAGUUCCUCCUCAUUAUUGCACUCUUUAAUCUCGACACUGCAAUUAAAAUCUGUCAUUACUUUUUGGAAGUGAAAGUUACUACCUCUACUGAUGGUCUUUCUUUAACACAACAGAAGUAUGCUCCGACUGUCACGGCCAAUCUUCGAGCAAACCUAUUUCCAAUCCUCCUCCUUAGCACUCAACUGUCUGUUCACAAGGAUCGUUUGCUUGAGGAUUCUUAUACUUAUCAUCAACUGGUUGGGACCUUACAGUUACAGUAUCUCACUUUUAAUCGUCCCAACAUUACCUGUGUUGUCAAUUUGGUUGCCCAGUUCUUGCAUAGGCCUUGUGAGUGGUCAAAAGCAUUUUUUGUUACAUUCGUGGCACCUUAUAAUAUGGUCUCCAAUUCUUCUGCUACAUUAAUGCCUCCUUAUUGCCUGUCUUCGCGCUGCUGGUGCCUAGACACCCGCCAUUCCACUUCCGGCUUUGGUAUCUUUUUUGGACGUAACCUUAUUUCUUGGUCUGCCAAGAAACAACCAACUAUUUCUUCGUCAAGUUUGAAAGCUGAUUAUCAUUUCGUUAGCUUUACUCUAGCUGAAACUAUUUGGAUUCAUCGUCUUCUUUGUGAUACUGAUGGUACCACUACAGCGCCCAAUCUCCAAAUACUGACAAUCUCAAUACUACAUAUAUUGCUACUAAUCCAGUCCUACAUGCACGCACCAAGCAAGUCGAGCUUGACCAUCAUUUCCUACCGAAGAAAGUUCAAGCAGGUGACCUUUCCCUGUUUCAUAUCUCAUCUAAGUAUCAACUUGCAGAUCUUCACCAAAUCAUUGACCACUUCAUGUUUUUCUGCACUUCAUUUCCAAUCUUCACAUCUGGCUGCGAAAUGCUCAAAUUGCGAGGGAAUAUUAGCGUAGAUUUAUUUAUGAUAACAUAAUAAGCACUAAUAGUUAUUCUAUCUACCUUAUUUGUAUAUCCUUAUUUUGUUAAAACAUUAGUUGUACAUAGCUGUUGUACUCUCUCUCUCUUAUAUAUAUAUAUAGAGUAGGUCUUGUGAGGCCUCCGUGCUCCUAAGCCGUUUUCAAUAAUGGGACUUUCGAAUCGACGAUCGGUUCCGUUAGACAUAAUCUAGCGUAUUUAAAGUAUCUAGAAACUAAAUAUUGCGAUAUUCCGAUAUCAUUUACCUAGCGAUCGAAAGGAUUCAAAAUCAACAAUUUUUAAUGGUUGAUGUAUAUUGUUUGCAAGUUUAACGGUGUAGAAAUAUUCAAAUCAGAUGAAAUUUUGAUAAAAAAAUUCUUUAUACUAUUUACUACAAUAUCAAUAUCUCUGAUCGAAAAUUUUAGUGCUAUAUCACCACUUUUUGUGAGAUUUUUAUUUUCAGCUGUUGAUUUUGAACCCUUUCGAUCGUUAGGUAAAUGAUAUUGAGAAACCACAAAAUUUAUUUUCUAGAUACUUCAAAUACACUAGAUCAAGUCUAAUGAAGCCGAUCAUCGAUUCGGAAGCUCCAUCAUAAAAAACGGCUUAGGAGCAUGGAGGCCUCCAUGCUCCUAAUAGUACACAAGACCUAUUAUAUAUAUAUUCAAUAUAAACCCUAGAUGGGUUCUUAUGGUUUCACCAAAAUGUUUAGUAAGAUGAAAGGAAAAAAAAAGGAGGUGGUAAGGACUAAAGUGAAGCAUUUCCAAAAGUUGGGGGAGUCAAAUGUCUAACUUCAUUCGAGAACCAAGCUGGACCUUCACUAGAAGUUGAGGGACUAACAAUACCCUCCUCUAAACAUGUUAUUAAUAUACUUUGAUAUUUUUUAGAUUAAGUUAUGGUAACUUGCACAAUUGACUCCCAAACAAUGGGGCAGUUUGCACUGUGGUGCCCAAACUUUUAUUCAUCCAACCUGAUGGCCCAAACUUCUGCAACUGUUGCAAUAUACUUCCAUUGUAACAUCCCAUCACAUCAAGACCACACCAUUGCCACCACAACAGGAUGGAGAGAGAAGCGGCAAGAAAUUGCCAACAGCCAGUGCAACAUGUGAUUCAUGCACCAUAAGCAAUAUUUAAGUAGGCAGAUCUUCAUUCUGAAGUCUAAUAUGUUGAAUAUGGUAAGCAACGUCUAAAAGACCUAUGUAUCAUCCCUGUUAUCUUAUAUAUAAGAGAUCUACACAAGAACAUGAAAAUUCUACCGAAGUCAAUAGACGACUUUUAAGUCUAGACAAACAAACAGCUUAAUGCCAAAGCAACCGAAACACAUAGAGGCCUAUGUAUUAUGGAAAAACUAAAUUUUUGACUGAAAAUUUAAAAGUACUCCUAGUAAAAUUGGAUAAUUAAAAUUGAAAUAUCUUGUCUCUAGUUCAAUAGUGACAAUAGAAAAGAGAAGAGGAGAACAAUUGACAGAGAAAGCACUCAUCGACCAAUGUAAGAAAGUUAUGCCGAUGGAGAUGUAACAAUGUAAACUACAUUGUAGUUACUGAAAUCCCACGAUAAAAAGACAUGAUUUUGUGUACCAGCAUCAAAUUGUACAUGAAAUUUCUGAAGCAUAGUAAAAGAAGAGUUAUUUGUAAAGACUAGCGGCAAAAGUCCGACAAAUUUAGGAAGACCAAGGAAAGGACAUGAAGAACUUUUCAACUUAAAUCUGCGAAUCUCAUAGAGCAGCAAGGAAACAAAUAGUAAAUUACAAAAAAGAAAAUUGUCCAUGUCUUCCACCAAAUUUCCUUUAGGUGGUUUCCCGUUUCAUAGAUUUUCCAUCCUAGGAAGAGGGACGAGUAUCCCUAGUAGGAAUUCUACUUCAUAGUUUAAACCCAUAUUAAGUUUGGUUGGAGAUAAUGGGGUCUAGCAAUAAAAAUAGGCUACCCAUGAUGAUACUGCAAUUCUACCUAUGUGAUGGAAUUGCCUUCCCUCAAUGUGUUUGGUGGCGUAAGGGGACAUAUUUACCACAAUCCUCCUCUCUCCCUUAACCCAGCACUACUUUAAAGGAUUUAGAACCAACCACACUAUCAUGUCCACGUCCACAUUGCAAAUAGAAGAUGAAACUGAAAGUGUCAGUAGCAAUUAGAUCAACAAUCAGAAAGUGUAAUUUUGGUGAAGGGCACCUCAGGGAAUUCAUGGAGUUAAAUAAGCAGAAUGAAUUAUAAACCUGAAUAAGGCUACUUGGACCUCCACCAUAUCUUCGAUUGUACUGAGCAAUGUUUUCCAAAACUCGAAUAGAAUCUGGAUCCCGGCGCUCAUGUCGUGCAGCAUCAGUAGGUAUCAGCAGAGUUAUAAAGCGGCGGCAUAUGGGGCAUUUGCAGGGCUGAAGAGGAGACCCAUGAUGCCACACAUUCAGAAUGCACUGUCCUGAAAUCCAUAAACAGAGCCUUGAAGUGCAAAUCAGCUUAUAAAUAAGCAUUUUAUCAUAGAAUCAUAUAUUUAGGACUUGAAACAAGACAUUGCUACUUCGGUAGAUCAUGGUACCAACUCAUAUUCUGCUAUAGCGAGAUAUCACCUAUUAGAGAUAUGAGAAACAGCGCCUUUAAUAGACUCCUUCGUUCAUAAAAAUAAUUUUGCCGGAUGCUCAAUUGUACAACACCCUUGCUUUGAGUAUAUGCAAACAACCAAUCUUUUCAGGGAUAGGAGUUGUUGGUAUCAUCCCAUAGGUAUUGAGGAAUAGCGAGACAAAGUUUUGCUACAAAAACCUGGAGGUACAAGGAGACAUGCAAAUGAUCUUUUCUGCGGUUUUCACAUCAUACCCAUGAAAAGCCUACAUUUCAUUCCACAGAGUUAUAAGAAAGGUGAGAGAUAUCAAAAUAAUGAAAUCUCACAGUUCAAGGGUAAAAUCUUAUUAAGUUUCAAUGUUUCAAUGGUCGAGUGAAAAUUACAAAAUUCAAAUUAGCUUCCUAAAAUUUACUCAUUCGUUUUCCAUCCUUAGAUUAUCCUUUCAAGUUUUUUUUUUUUUCCUUUUGUCAACAAAAUUUGCUCCAAUAAUCUUUUUUUUUUACCGCAUCAACAAACUCAUCUCAUAAAAAGCACCAAAGUGCACCAAAUGCAAGGUGGAAGGCUGUAUUUAGAACUGAAUCUACUGAAGAUUAGAAAAGUAAAAUAUAAUAAAAUAAGAAAAGUUCCCUCUAAAGCCCAAAGUGAUCUUCUGAUAACUUAUAGAACCCUAAAUAGCGCACAACAUUCUCCUAAAUUCUAGUCUAAUUAAGCCAAUUAUGAACCCUAAAUCCACUCGGAUGGAUAGAUCCCACUCCAAUCAAAAGAACAGGCACACACACACACAAAAAAAAAAAACCUAACCUAAUUUCCCUAAUCCUUGGCCUCUAAUUAAGCAAUUAACAAUGAUAACCGAUCGAACUUGGGGGAAUCGCGUUCUUCUCACCGCAGAACCAAUGGGAGCAAUUGGCCUGGCACGGGACGUUGAAGUCGUCAUGGCACACCGAGCAGCAGUCGUUCUCCGGGGGCGACUCCAUUAACAAUGACCAAUUCCCUCCCUCUCUUUCUCUCUCUCUCUCUCUCUCUCUCUCUCUCUCUAGGAUGCAGGAAGACGUGAAUUGCACGGAAGUUCCUCGAUGUUAUUCCUGCGAGAGGUGAGCGGAAGAGACGACACGGAUUCGUGGGACCGGAAGCGCAACGGGGCAGCAAUAAUUAGCUAAUGGCUUCUGGGAAAUUUUCGUAAAGAUUCCUGGCCUUAUAUAUUCUUUUCCUUUUCAUAUAAAUCCGUAAAUUUUAACGCCUUGGAUUGGGUACAAAAUAGGGUAUUAGGGCCAUAUACACCAUUUUGUACCCAAACACAAAAUGGGUAAGUUCCCACCUUAGCAGGUUAUCCCAAAGAUAACCCGCUAACAGGUGGGAACAACAGUUCCCACACAGGGUUGGAACAAGCUCUGAAACAAACUUGUUCUAACCUACCCUUGAGAGAGAGAGAGAGAGAGAGGGGGGAGAAAGAGAGAGAUCUUCUCGUGACGAGCGACCGAGCUAUAUGGGAUCUUCGCACGAGCACGAGGAUCUUCGCACAGCGAACGAGCGGCUGAGAUCUUCUCGCAUCGUACGAGAAUCUUCGCAGUGGAGCUCCGCGCGGCGCCCCCGCCGUGGGCCACGGCAGAGCCAAAGGAGAAGUUGCUGUAGGGAGUGUCAUGCCCCGGGACCGCCGAUUUGGUCGGUUCGGCUCGUCAACAGACGCCGAACAGACAGCACCCUCCCUGCCCGCCCAAGGCUCAACACAAGUAUCAACAUGUAUAUAAAUUUGCGCAAGCGGAAAUAGAAAUAUACAUGGCUUGCACGAAGGCAAGCAACAACCCAAGUGAAAGUUCUACAAUUACUAUAUCCAUACAAGUACUAUGAUUACUUUUAAUCACAUACAUGCAUAUUAAAAUUUACAUUCUUUCAAUCUCUUCUUUAUACUACAUAUGAUCAUCCAAAACCCAAGUCUUUUACAUUUAUACAUCUUUUAUACAUUUGCUCAUCAUAAACAAAAGAUGACAACAAUAAGGUGUGAACUAUACUCAGGUAGUCACUAGCUAGGGUGCGAUACCCUUACCAUAGUCCUUGACCGCCUCGGUCGGACCUAGAUCUGGAAAAAAUAGUGAGGUGAGAACUGCAACAAAGUUUUCAGUAGGUUCGGCCGCCACCUAGAUCUGGAAAAAAUAGUGGGGUGAGAACUACAACAAAGUUUUCAGUGGGUUCGGCCGUCGACCCCGCCAACUUUCCCACUAGGUCUAAAUCAGGCAUAAAUAGAAGAAACAAGUAGAUAGAUAACCAUACUAAAUAAAUGCAACUACUAUGCCUGAACAAGAAUGCUAACAAUACAUGAUGCAUGCCAAUUUUUAUUCACAAUACCCAAUCCUCUUGGCUAAUCCAUAGGUUUCGCCCAAAACAACUCACCAACUUAAAUCUUACUAUCGGGAAGAAACUCCUACAACCCGACGGGACCGUCCUCUGGGGAAACUACAACCCAGUGAUGACCACUCCGGAGCUCAUCGCUCGAGGGGGAGCGACCGCCCUCAAGCCAAGACUUACAGGUGAGUAUGAUCCAAUUCUCAACUAUGAGGAUGCCAUGUUCAAUCCAAUCCUUAACUAUAAGGAUGUCAUGUUCAAUCAAAUCCUUAACUAUAAGGAUGUCAUUUUCACAAUGCCACAACACACUAUGUGUUUUAUUCUCUACCAUUCAUUAUGCUCACUAAUGCCACACACGCAAAGUGUCUCAUUCUUUAGCAUUCAUUAUGCUCACUAACGCCACAAGGUGCUAUUUCACUCACUUGUCAUAAUGUCACCAUGUUCCUUACCUCCAUUAGGUUCAUAUCUCAAUUCAUACAUAUAUAGGGUUCACAAUUUGCUCAAUAUCUCAUUCUUGACUCAUAUGCAUUUUUAUACUAAAAGCAUGCAAGGGAUAUACACAUAUAUACAUUCUCUCAAUUUAACCCUAUAAUGUAUGAAUCCUACAUAUACACACAUGCUCAAUGGGUGACAUUUAGACAUAAAAGGAGAUUCGAUGAUUUCGGAUAGCACCACCCACCUCGUAGGGAUGCCGGAAGGCUACGACUCAAGUCUCGCAAUUUAUGAUCGCCAAUUCCCCUCGACCACGGCAAACGAAGCCGUAACGGGGUUUUCCCUCGAUUUCUUUGCAUAGACUCGUCGGAACUUCAAUCCGAGUCUCCCAACGCGUCAGCUUACUCGUCAAUUAGGGCUACAAGACUAUCACGCCCGAUAUGAUAGCAUCUGUACUGGGGAUGGCAGCUCGUACUGAUAGAGUUGAGUACUUGCAGGCCGGUUUUGACUCGUUUCGGGAUUGGACGCGUGUUGUGAAUGCGAUUUGCAUGCCGGGAACAGAAUCAAAUGGACUUAUGGUAUUAUCUAAAGAUUUUAAGAUGGAGUAUCGGUUUUUGAACUUCGUGGUUUGUUAUAACAUUUUGCCCUUGGCAAACACGAAGAUUUUGCGUUGGGAUCGUAUUCUUUACAUGUAUUUGUUGGGCAACCCGGAGGUUGUUAGGGCAAAGAACAUCAAUAUGAACAUCCCCUUUCUGAUUUGGCGGAGAAUGGCGAAGGAUAUUAAGACUUCGGGUCAGAAUGAGCGGUUGCGCUUCCCAUUGACCAUCAUGAGGAUUUUGUGACUUUAUGAUGUGGAUACACGUUGUACAUCCUAUGAGCAUAGUCUGGGACGGAUCAGUGAGACGACGUUUGUUAAGUCAUUAGUGCAGCUUCGUACUCCGUCUCAGCGACCUUCUUCACCUACUGCUGCUCAACCUCCUGCUGCUCCUACUUCUUCACGUCCUUCUAUGGAGAUUUCUGAGGAGGAUGUCUCGGUGUCAUCAGUUUAUCAUGAGCAAUAGUGAUUAUCUGAAGAGCUUCAGAAACUAUCAGUGGAUCAGGCUUAGAUAAGAAAGGAUGUGAGCAAGAUUAAGCGUUUAAUGAAGGCGAUCUUUGAUAAAUUGGGUUGUUGUAGCUCAGAUCUUCAUCCGCAGGGUGAUGACUCAGAUUGAGUGGUGCAGGGUUCCUCUUUUUGUUGUUUUGGCGUUUUCUUGACAAAAAGGGGGAGAUGAUGAUGAUGCAUGAUGAUGCAUGCAUGAUGCUGAUAUUUUGAUGCUUUUUAGAUGAUGUAUUUAGAUGGUGAUGAUGGUGAUGUAUUUAGAUGAUGGUUGAUGGUUUUCUAACGUUUUUUUUAACAACUCUUAACUAUAUGACUGUUUAUGUAUGACUGUUUAUGUUUGAUCUUUAAUGAAAACUCUUGGAUCUUGACUGCGUUUUGAGAAUGUUUUUUGCAGGAACUUUCAAGACUUCAAUACUUCAUGUCUAAGUCAUAGAGUUUGUAUUAGGAUUGCGAGAAAAAUGUAAUUUUUAUUUUAUUGGAUCGAUCAUGCAGGAGAUUGUCGUUUGGUGAUUGCGAUGAUCUUCUUUUUAUUGUUUCUGAGUUGUGUUCGAGCGUUGUAUUAUGUUUUGUCACGAAAUCGCCAAAGGGAGAGAUUGUUAAGGAUUUUCUAUGUUCGUGGAUUUCGUGAAGUCGAAUGGAGUCUUGAAGAGUUGAUCGCGGAGGUUUGAAGAGAAGAUUCACUUUGAAGAAUCAAAGACCUAUUCGGAAAGCUCGACACCUCAGGUAUGAAUGUUAGAUCAUUUGUGGUGUGUUUAAACUACCUAAAUAUAAGUUUAGAAGACUUGAAUUGCUAUAGAAAAUACAAACUAAAGUUUUCAAUGUGCUGGGACCGGUCCCCUAAGAUGAGAGACCGGUUCCCGAGAGUCCUCUCUGCGUGAAAGUCCAAGGCAACCGGUCUCCUGAUCUGAGGGACCGGUCUCCAGGACGAGGCAACCGGUCUCUAGCACAAGAGACUGGUUCCCAAACGUUGGGAUUUUUGACUCACAGCAAGAGACCGGUCUCUGGUACGAGAGACUGGUUCCCGAACGUUGUAUUUUCUGUCACGCAGCGAGGGACCGGUCUCCCACCCAAGGGACCGGUCUCUAACAGACCGGUCUCGUCGAGAGGACCGGUCCUUGAGGACGACACCAGUUUUUAAAAUAGACUUUUUGUAAUCCUAGUCCACUUCUAAGUCUUCUAAACCUAUAAAUAAGCCAUGGGGGUUAUCAUAUAAGUUGAGGCUUAGAAUUUCUACUGUUCUAAAACCGUAGAAACUUGUUUUCAUGUUCUUAUAAUUUUAUUCACAUAACGAGUUUCGUAUAAUCAACGAUCGACUUGAUUCUUAAGUUUUAACUCGAGAUUUUCUUCGAGAAUCAAGAAGAUGAUUGAUUAGAAGGUGAACCCUUAUUGCUUAUGGUAUUUUAAGUCUUAAUCACCACAAAUCAUCAAUUCUACGAGCUCCGGAAGGAGGUUCGGCGCGUGGAUCUAGCGUGAAGCCGAGGAUUCGGUGGACGCUUCGAGGAGUUGAGGCGUUGACGCGGCAAGGAAUUGCAGCAGGGUCGAUUGGAGGAUUCCUAUCGAUCAAGGACCGGCGAAGACAAUCGACAACGAGAAUUCGAUAAAUUGAGUCAUGUAUUUUGGUUAAAUCACUUGUACUCAAGUUUUCUUAUUGGAUUUUCUUCGUGUGAUCGGUCCCGUAGGUUUUUUACUCCGGAUUGGAGUGUUCCCACGUUAAAUCUCGGUGUGUUGUUUUUAUUUUUCGCUAUUUCUUUUAUUUGCAUCGAGAGGUUUGGUUUUUGUCGUUUACACCUAUUCCCCCCCCCUUUAUGUGUUAUUUACCUUUUAGAUCCUUGGGAUCCAUAUCUUUCAGCGACUAUAAAUUGUAGUACUCGGAUUCUAGCACCCUAGCGACCCUACGAGGUGAGUGAUACUAUCCGAAACAGUUGGAUUUCUCUUUAUGUCUAAUGUCGCCCAUUGAGCAUGUAUGUGUAUAUAGGAUUCAUGCAUUGUAGGGUUAAAUGAAAACAUGUGAAUAUUUCUUGUAUGCUUUUAGUAUAAAGAUGCAUAUGAGUUGGUAAUGAGACAUUGGAUGGUUGUGAACCCUAUAGAUGUAUGAAUUGAGACAUGAACCUAGUUGAGGUAGAGAACAUGGUGACGUUAUGACAAGUGAGUGAAAUAGCACCUUGUGGUAUUGAAUGCUAGAGAAUGAGACACUUUGUGUGUUGUGGCAUUAGUGGACAUGGCAUCCUCAUAGUUGUGGAUUGGAUCAUACUCACCUGUAAGUCUGUGCUUGAGGGCGGUCGCUCCCCCUUGAGCGAUGAGCUCCGGAGUAGUCAUCACUGGGUCGUAGCGAGUAUCUCCCAAGAAGACGGUCCCGUCGGGUUGUAGCGAGUAUCUCCCCGAUAGUAGGGAUUUGAGUUGGUGAGUUUUUGGGAGAAACCUAUGGGUUAGCCAAGAGGAUUGGGUAUUGAGAAUGGCAAUUAGUAUGCAUCAUGAGCAUCAUAUAUUGGUUAUUAUUCUUGUUCAGGCAUAGUAGCUGCAUUUGAGUAGAAAUGGUUAUCUAUCUGUUUUUUCUUCUACUUAUACCUGGUUAGACCUAGUGGGAAUGUCCGCGGAGUCGGCGGCCGAACCCACUAAGAACUUUCUUAUAGUUCUCACCCCACCAUUUUUACAGAUCCAGGUCCGAGCAAGGCGGUUGAGGAUCGCGGCAAGGGCAUAGCGCCCUAAGUAGCUGACACCGUGCAUUAGUGGUACCCUUAUGUCAUCUUUUGGUUAUGAUGAAAAGUGUAAUGAGAUAAUGAUGUAUAAAUGGCAUAAGUUUUUGGGAAAGUGAAUGUAAAUUAUUAUAUGCUUGUAUUUGAUUUCAUGUAAUCAAGAUAUAUGUAUGAAUGUGAUGAUAGUUGUAGAACUUUCACUUAUUGGUUGUUGCUUGCCUUCAUGCAAGCUAUGUAUAUCUGAGUUUUCGCUUGCGCAAAUUGUAUACAUGAUAAUACUUGUGUUGAGCCUUGGGCGGACAGAGGAGGUGCUGUCCGUUCGGCGCCUGUUGACAUGCCCGAACCGACCAAAUCGGUGGUCCCGAGGCGUGACAGAUAAGAUGGUAUCAGAGACUAGAAAUGUGAAAGUUUAGGAUGGAUCUAGAAACCCUUAGGAUAGAAACCUUAAGGAUCUAGGGACGUGAGCGACGUGGGAUUGAAUUAUAGCGAAAGCUUUGUGGAUUAGGUUAGUGUUAAUAUGUCUCUAAUAGUAAUUAGGGACUAAUCCAAGUUGAUAUUUGUUCUCAGCUCCAGGGGUUAUGUUGGGUGGCCGACAACAUGAUGCCUAGGGAUGAGAAUGGAUUCACUUAUAUCCUUUCGCCUGAUUUGGUUUUGUUUGAGUAUGUUGUAGCAGCGUAUUAGCGUCGUGGGUCAAGUAACUAAUGUGGUUGUUACGUUUCAGGAAGCGAUGCCUCAUGGUAGACCUCGAACAAGGUCGGCACCCGAGGAACCGAGUUUGGCUCCCGAGCAAUCCGGAGCGAGUGGCGAUGGGGAGCUCCGAGAGCAGGUGUCCGCAUUGGUGGGAAUGGUGCGACAACAAGUAGAGUCGGUGCAACGCUAGGGGAAGCAAAUCCAGCGACUCUAGAAGGCUUGGGCACAACAGCAGGCGACGACGGCUCAAGCGUGCAUCGAACGACCUGCGCCCCCUGUCGUAAUACCGAGUGCGACCGAGGGUGUGGCCGCGGCGGCUAUACCUGUCGCGGCGGUGGCGGCUGGUUCAAGAACCUCAAAUCCCGAGGGUGCGGCGAUGGAAGCGGAGAGAGAGCGUGCACUCGCGGCUCUCGUAAUGUUUAAGAAGUUCAAUCCGCUUGUGUUUGAAGGAGAAAAUGUGGAACCAUGGAUGGUGGAGUCGUGGGUCGACUUGAUGGAAACACUCUUCAAGGAUAUUUAUACCUUGGAGAAAGAUAAGGUGCACAUCGCCAUGCACUGUUUAGAGAAGGCAACGAAGGUAUGGUGGAAGACGGUGAAGCGGGAUUGACUCUCUAACCUUCCGCCUAUGGUUUGGGAGGAGUUUCGGGGAUUAAUGUUCACAAAUUACUUCCCCGAUAGUGAGAAGAAGAAGCUUCAAGAUCAAUUUCGAAAGCUUAGAUAGGGGAACCGUUCUGUCACGCCCCGCGACCACAACCAAUUUGGCUCGGCCCGGGCGCGUCGAACAGACGCCGGGCCGACAGGACCUCCCCUGUNGCUUGCCGCUCCACAACUUCUUGGAGUUGCUCAAACCGAGCCUCCUGGCGCUGCAUCGCGCCCAGCAUUGCAGCGACCUGCUCCCCCAGCUCCUGCACCUCUUCUGAUCUUGGCUGCUCGGGCUCCGCAGAAGGCGGUACCGGAGCAGACCUACGCGCAUAACGCCUUGGGGACAUUUGCUCCUGAAAAGCAACAACUCAGUUAGUUAUCUCAAUCCGAUAACUUCGCAACGUUCGCAAAAUUAAGCGACUCGACAAAGAAAUCGGGCGGAAGCUCACAAGUGCUCCAGUUCUGGACUCUUAGCGUCGCGUCGUCGGCCGCCGACACAACCACUACGAGCCAAGAACUAGUAUCACUUGGAUCCGUCUCUAUUCACAGCUAGAGACACAACAUCAACUUUGACCCAAUCAAUCAACUCCCGCCACCGCCAUGGGUUCACGUUCACUCACGUCCCUAUAACCUUAGGGUUUGCCAACCUAGGGUCUCCUAGGUCAUCCUAGACUCUCUCUUUACUUGCUCUUAAUUGCUCUGAUACCACUUUAUCUAUCACGCCCCGCGACCACAACCAAUUUGGCUCGGCCCGGGCGCGUCGAACAGACGCCGGGCGGACAGGACCUCCCAUGUCCGUCCAAGGCUAACCAACGGAUCAUGUAUAAGAAUUUACCCAGGAAUCAAUUCAUAAAUACACGAUCAAGAAGCACCAUUAGUGCAAUGACCAAGAGCAAGAUACGAGUAUAGAAAACAUACAAGUACACAAGAGAGAAGAGCUAUCUAUUGCAUUCAGUUGACAUAAUAUACAUGCUUAAUUACAUCAUUUACUUUCUUCCAAGAAAACAUAAAUACAAUCAUUUGAGCCUCACCCUAUACAUCAUCUACUCUCAAGUACAAAAAGGGGUGAUAGCUAAUACAAAAGGGAGGUAGCUAAUGCGACUAGAACGCCGGGCCCUUACCGCGAUCCUCACGCUCACCGGGGACACCCGAACUGGAACCUGUAGUAAAAUGGGGGUGAGAACUAACUUCCUUAGUUCCCAGUGGGUUCGGCCGCCGACUCCGCCGAUCUCCCCACUGGUCCAAGCGGGCACAAGUAGAAAUACCAAUAGAUAGAUAAUAAGAAAAGCUGUAAAUAACGGAAAUGAAGCUACGCUACUAUGCCCAAUCAUAAUAUAUGAAUGCAUGUACAAGGAAAUAGAUAAACCACUAACCCCUUAUCAUGUCCAAAGGUAGAGCUAUUUACUCGUUCAUCAAUCUUAUUUAUUUAUUUCUCAAUCUCGUGGCUUCCCUGAAGGAGCCUACUGCUCACUAGCCAUCUCGAAGGUAGGGAGGGUCAACUCGCACUACGAACCGAGACCGUCUGCCGGGGCCUAAAUAGGCAAACCCUUGGGACCCAAAAUAGGCAAUCCCACGUGACCAACAUCCGGAGCGCACUACUUGUGUGGGGCUUCCAUCACAAGAUUUAGAAACAGACCGUGAGCAUGAUCCAAUCCUCGUCUCGAGAAUACCCUAUCCUCUAGGGUUACAAUCAAUAUAUAGUCCAUAGGUUUCACAUACACUAUUAACUAGAUUACCAAUCGUCCGUUUGUUCGCUAUCGACUAGAUGCCACUCGUUCAUAGUUUACUAUUGACUAGAUGCCACUCGUUCAUUGUUCAUCAUUUUCUCUACAUUAUAGGAUUCACAAGACUCGACCCAAUCCUCUCCAAUCUUCUACAUCCAGUAUUCAAUACAUGCUACGAUAUCAUCAAGGAAGGCAUAAGGAAAGGCAAUGCAUAAUAAUCCUAUAAUGCAAUAAUACAAGAUGUAGAAUCGAAAUGUACUAAGACAUAGGAGGGAGCCCGAUUGUUUCGGGAUGGACACCACCCACCUCUUGGCGAUGCCGCGAUAGUAGAAAGCUCGACGUUGCGGUCUUGCACGCCGCUUAAACUCCUCGGGGCAAAGCGAGCCCCCGAGUACCCGAUUCGGCGACAACUCCGCACCCGCUCGUCGGAUCGGCAAACCGUCUUCGCCGACGCGUUCAGAGACCUAGCAAUUAGGUUAGCGACCCAACAAAUUAGAUCAAAACCCUAGAUUUGCCAAAAUCCCAAUUCUAAACCCUAGGUCUCAACAACGGAGAAAUCCGUGGUGCGAGCUUCGAUUUCGAGCUCGAACCUUCUAUUUAUCCCCAAUAGGUUCCAUUUGAACCAAUUCUAAACCAUAAAAACCCAAAACCCUAGAAUUUCCAUUAAAGGGUUGGAAGCUUACCUCUAACCUAAGCUCCAAGCUUGAGGGAGAGGGAGAGAAGAUGACUUUCCUCUUCUUCUUAGUCUUCUCCUUCUCUUUCUUCUUCUUUCUUCCCUUCUUCUCCUUCCUCUUCUUCUUCUCCUUCUUCUCUUUCUUUUCUUUUCCUUCCUAGAGAGAGAGAAUAGUGAGAGAGAGAGAGGAAGAGAGCAACUGAGGGAGAGAGAGGGGUCCCCAAGCCCUAUUAAAGGCCAUUUUGCAAAUAGCCCCCUCAACUUUUCAUCUUUAGAAUCAGCCCUCUUUGGGCAUUUUCGCAGUGAGGGACCGGUCCCAGCUCGGGAAGACCGGUCCCCGAAGGCUGCCACUUCGAGCAGAGGGAUUUUUGCGUUCGGGAACCGGUUCUUGCUUGAGAGACCGGUCCCCGGGAGACCGGUCCUUGUCCGAGAGACCGGUUCCCGAAAGCUGAGUUUUCGGGACUUAGCCAAUUUUCGGCUAUUUUUGCUGGGCCAACGUUCGGGAACCGGUCCCUGCCUGCCAGGGACCGGUCUCAUCAGAGACCCCCCCGCAGCCCAGCCUGAUGGAACCGGUCCCUCCCUGCCAGGGACCGGUCCCCGAGAGCAUUUCUGCUCCAGUGCAAGUUUUGCACUGGUGCUCCCGCGGACCCUUCCUUAAUGCACUUUAUGCAUUAAAACACCUUCGGACUUCCCGAAGCCUACGCACUCGACGAAUAGUCGAUUCUAAUCGAAGUCUAAUCCUCGAGUUUCGAGAAUUCACUUCCUUACACGUUCGGUGGGAGAGUAUGAGCCAGAGUUCUCCCACAUCAUAGACUGUGUCCCGGAUGUAGUUCGGGAUGACAAGGAUAGGGCCGAUUGGUUCAUGCUGGGACUUCGGCCGGAAAUUUAUAAGGCGGUGCAUAUCCUCAAGCUCACGACCUUUGCUGAGGUAUUUGAUCGAGCAUUGUGGGCGGAGCAUGGCAAUGCUUAUGCGCGUGGGGAACGCGAGUCUAUGGAAAAGGAAAGGGAUAAAGGAAUGAAGCGGACUGCGAGUGGUAUCGAGGGUCGGUCGAGUCCUAAUAGGCCUCCUCGAUAUCCACGACGGCAGUCGAAGAACUAGAGACCUACCCGAUGUGUUACCUGCAGCGGUGAUCAUCGACCGCCGGUCUGCCCACAGCGUGAAGGGAGGUGUUUUAAAUGUGGCCAAGCUGGACACAUUAUCUGGGAGUGCCCGAGGUGGACAUCGCCUGCCCCGACGGCUGCAUCAGUUCAGUACACCCCGAGGCAGCUUGCUGGACUGCCACCUGCUAUGUCGGCUGGACGCUCAUCAGUGCCACGUCAACCAGAGGGAUCUCAGGCGGCGCCGAGUGGUCGAGUUUUCGCUGCACAGGUCGAGGAGCCUGCCGUACCCGAUGAUGUUGUGGCAGGUAUUAUUUUAAUUAAUGACACUAGAGCUAGAGCAUUGUUUGACACUGGUGCAUCCAACUCAUUCAUUAGCAUGUCAUUUGAUAGAGCUCAUGAUAUUGAGAUUUCGGAUAGUCCGGAUGCUUGGUGGGUCUAUGCACCUGAGCAUACUUUUAGUGUCAAGGAGGAGUGUGCGGCUUGUCCAGUGCAAAUUGGCGAUUGGAUUAUGCCGACGGACUUGCUUGUUUUGAGCCGAACGUGGGGCUUCGACGUAAUCCUUGGAAUUGAUUGGCUCUCGAAGUAUUAUGCCGUCAUUGGUUGCGAAAACAAGAAAAUCGCUUUUCGUGAACCCAGUCAGGAGGAAGUUGUUUACCAUGAGUGUAAAAGUUCGCAUUUNNNNNNNNNNNNNNNNNNNNNNNNNNNNNNNNNNNNNNNNNNNNNNNNNNNNNNNNNNNNNNNNNNNNNNNNNNNNNNNNNNNNNNNNNNNNNNNNNNNNCGGGCGGCCCGCGGCCCGCCCGGCCCGGCACGAGAGUGGGCCGGGCCAGGCACGGCACGAGUACUGUAGCAUGCCGUGCCGGCCCGGCCCGGCCAGUUAAAUCGGGCCGUGCUGGGCCUUGCUCCCACGGCCCGAUGGCCCGGCACGGCCCGACACGACAUAGGCCUGGGCCGUGCCGGGCCUAGAGGGUACCCAGGCCUGGCCCGGCACGGCACGGCCCGGCCCGUGUGGCCAGGCCCUCCCGAGCCGGGCCCAGGCAGGGACUUGGGUACAACCCAACUCCCAAGGCCCUGCAUCACCCAACUCCCAAUGAGUUGGGCUGUUGCUUUGGGACUCCCAACAGUUAAAGAGUUGGGCUGUGGCUUUGGGAGUUGGGCUUGGACUAAAAUGCCCUUCCCAACAGUCAAAAAUUUGACUGUUGGGAGGAUAUUUUGGUCCAAAAAAUUUAAAAUUUUAAAAUAAUUUAAAAUUUUAAUAUUUUUAUAAAUAUAUUUUAAAAUUUUAAUUUUUUUUUGCUGAUAUAUUAUUUUUUAAAAAAUUAAUAUUUUUAUUUUUAUUUUUUAAAAAAUUUAAAUAUUUUUAAAUAAAAUUAAUAAAAUAAAAAAGAUCUGGCCUGAAGCCCGGCCCGGCCCGGCACGGCCCAUGCAGUCCGGGCCGGGGGGGCAUGCUGGGUAGGGUUCCAAGAACUUUGGCCCGGCACGGCACGGGCCGUGCCGUGUCGGGCUGGCCCGCGGCCCGAAAAAUGUGGGCCGUGCCGGCCCAGCAUAGCCCACAUUACAUGCCUACUUAUGCACGGCCCACAUUACAUCCCUACUUAUAAUACAACUGACUUAAGUUGCAUAUACUUUCUUUAAGAGAAACUCUUAAUAUAGAGUCAGCGACUGCAAUGAUACUAAAUGAAUUCGACAUAAUAAUUUUAAUAUUUUGGUUUUAUGGAAUAUCUAUAAAUACUAAUUAAAUGUAUUAUACUUAGAUUUUUUAUAACGUAUAUAAGAAUACUCUAAUGGGCAUUUUUAAGUGAUGUAUUUCUUUAUUUAUAACUUCUUCAAUAUUUAAUUUUUAAUAAUAAUAUAUAAUAAUUAAUUAAAAUAAUAUUUACCCACUAAGAAUGUAAGGACUGAGAUUUUUGACAGUGCAACUAAACUCUCUGUUGAUGAUGUUUAUGUGUGUAAUUUAAUUACAUAAGCACUCGUCAAGUUUUAGGAGAAAAUGAGCUUAAACGGAGAAGUUACGCGAUUAUUAGUUUUCACUUAAGUGAAUAGUAACUCCGGUUUUCCGGAGAAGCCACGGAGUAGAGUUGGCUUCUGGUGCGUAUCGGACUCCGUUCAUAUCAGUCCAAUAGCUCGUUUCGACCGGUUCGGCUGUUCUGGAACUUGUGGCGCUAAUGGAUUUUGAGUUUGACGCACGAAUUUCGAGAAAAUCCAAAAAUACAUGUUUUAUAUGUAUUUGUGCGUGAGUGUUUCCUUCUAUUGGAAGAAGGUUGGAUUUUGUCGUGAAUCCGUGGUCGAUCGAGAUGAAUCGAAGGUGUAGCUUUGUUGUCUCCGAGGUGCUGAUCGCACUGGUGCAAUCCGUUCGCAAAUCUGACGGACGGAUCUGCGGAGAUCGCGCGUUGAUCGAGGAGAGGUCGGUGUUGGCAAAACGGUAGUUUCGCAAAAGUCGCGACAUUUUAUGUACCGUUUCGCGUGAAAUCGCACGUAGAGGGGUAUUCGCGCGUUUUACUUGUGCUGUGAGGGACUGGGUAAGAAAUACCAAGCUUCGGUGGACUUUUGUGCAAAAUUGCACUUAGUAUACAAUGUGCAUCUAGGGUUUCUAUGCACGAAACCCUAGAUCUGGCCGACCCUGUCUCCCAGCUGUGCCCUAACCGCCAUCUGCAGGUCCAUGCCCUAGCAGUGCGCGCAGUCCGGCCGCCGGCAAGCUUCCCCGGCCGCCGGAAACCUGGAUCGGUCUCUCCUCUACCAUCUUCUCCACCUAGCCACCACAUUCGUUGGUCUUCGAGCUCGUGAGGGAACAUGGCCAUGUGCCGAACGACAUAGCCAUGUUCCGGUUUGGGCACCCGUGGUUGGAGGACAGCGCGUAGGACUUGGCCAUGUCUGCCUGGGAACAUGGCCAUGUCGUUCGCUGAAGGGUGCCACCAACAUGGCCAUGUCUGGUUGGGAACAUGGCCAUGUCGUCUCAUUUUUAAGACGUUAAAGCGUCUAAAAUUGUGUCUUUCUACUGGAGUGCAGCGUGUCUCAGGCAAAGCGCAGAUAAACUGCGGUUGCGUUGAGCUCGAACAGAGCUGUGAGAGGUCUCGACAGCUGUUCAGGGGUGACUGUCUUUGACCCAGAGUGUAGGCCGCUGACACCCUUCGUGUACUCGCUGUGCUUCAAGUCGGUGCAUCGCGCGUGUCGCGGAUUUAGUGUAGAUUGUGCGUUUGGCCCCUUGGCAACUGGGGCUGCCUCCACUCUUGCUACGAGUCGUGCCUCAUUGCUACUAGCACGAGUGAAGGUGACAGUAGCCCCAUGGAAGCCUAACGGGCUUUCCACUGGCCUUGGGAUUUGAUGUCACGACCUUGAAUUUUGUCAUCGUAUGGCCUCACGUCCCUCGAUCCCAACCGGCGGCCGCCGGCCUGCCGCCCGCGAGGCCGGCCCCUUCCCACGCCGUGCAGCCUCCCCAGGCCCCGUUCACGACCGGCCGCCGCCCACCGCCGGCCACCGCGCCGCCUCCUCUAGGUUAGGAGCUGAACGAGAGCCCAAGUUCCCAAGGGCCGCCGCGCCGCCGCCGGCCUUCUCCAGCCCCACCGCUGCUUGGCCGCCGCCUCCGGCUCCUCUUCCGCCACGUUGGGGGCCAACCGCCGCCGCCGCGAACCUUCGGCUCGCCCGGGCUGGAGCCGGGCGUACCCAGACCCGCCGGCGUCCACUGGAGUCGCCGCUGGCCGCCGCGCGCCCCUGCCGCCCCCUGCUCGCGCGGCCCAACGGCCUCCAGCGGCCCCAGCUGUCCUCCCGCCGCAACGGUUUCUCUCCGCAGCCGCCGAGCCCCUAUGGCUCUAGUGGGUCCGAGCCGGACCCACUGACGCCCACCGGCGUCCAUCGACCCCGCCGCGGCCGCCGCGCACGUCCGCCACUGCCGGCCGUCCCUGCCGCGGCCCCUCAAGGCCCUCCCACUGCGAAGGGUAGGGCUCGCCGUCGUCCCGCUCCUCCUCCUCCAGGGUGCCGGAGCCGGUCUAGACGAGUCUAGACCGGCGUAGAUCGGUCCCGCCGCCACCGCCGCGAGGCCCCGCCGGCCCUGCCGCCGCCGGCCGCCGCUUCUACGACCUCCUCCCAGAGCCGGUCUCCCACGUCAGAGCUGCACCUACCAGUGGGGANGUAUAUGUACUUUUGGACAGUCACUACAGUUGUGAUACUUCGUUGAUGGUUGAGAUUUUGGGAUUGUAUACUCUUUGUUCUUUUGUUGAUAUAUCGACUUGUACAUUGCUCUGAUAUCAGGAUAGGACUCUCCUUGUUUUACUUCCUAUCGACUUGUUUUUUUUUCGUAGACGCCUUAUAUACUGCAGGUGUAUGGCGGGUCUGUGCACGUACCGGAUAUGCUUCCGCUGGUACCCGGGCGUGACACAAACAAAUAACAAUGAGCGGGUGCUCGCAAGCGAGCCAUCCAAACUUCUGCUUACUCCGAAACACAGCUUUCCUUCCUUGCCUAUUAUCAUUGCCACUGCUAUUAAAAAAAAAAACUAAUGCCAAAAUCAAGAAAAUAAAACAUGUAGUGAAAAUUAGAAAAAAAAAAAUAUUAGCAAAUCUCAGUGGAAAACUUAGGUUAAAAUAAUAUAACAACAUAAGUUUCACCAUGGUAAGAAAAUAGCAGUAGCAGGAAUGCAUUGCUGAGAAAACAAAAAGCAGAAAAAAGUUUAAUCAGUACAGAUAGAGAUUUAAAUAUACUUGUGCCGAAACCGAGCUAAUCAAACAAACAAUAGUGAGUAGUUGCUUGUGAGUGGGCUGACCAAACUUUGAAAUUUUUGCUUGCUGCAACUCAUAGUUUUUUUCUUCGCUUACUGUUACUGCUUGGGAUACCAAAGACAGAUAAAAAAAAAAACUUUAAAAUAUAUCGGGAACAAGAAAGCAUUUAGCAAAUACAGAUUAAAUUAUUUAAAUCGAUAUAACCUAGUAUAAGAAUAAAUCUUUAGAACAUUAUGUGUACAGAAAACAAUCACAUUAUACACAAUGGAAGAAAAAAAUAGAAAAAAAGAAAAAGAAAAAGAGUUUUACACAUAUUUGAACAUACGGUGAAAAUCAGAAAAAUAAAACAUGUAUUGAAAAUCAUGAAGACACAUUAGAAAAUCUUGGUGCAAAAACGAACACAGCAAACAAAUUAGGAAGAUUCAGAUAUAACCACAGAUCUCUCUCUUAUAAAAUUCUAUAAAAUCUUUUCCUCUCUCCUACUACUCUCUCUCUUAUCCCUCCCUUGUUGGAUCGCUCAAUCAUAUCAUAUCAUAUCUAUCUAUACAUCACAUUAUCUGACACUCCUAAGAAAGCCACCUGUGCUCUCUCAUGACGCUUCUCUCUCCCUCCUCCCUCUUUUUAUCUCUUAUAAAAUCCUAUAAAAUCUUACAGAUCUUCUCAUCUCCCUUCCACUCCAUACUCUCUCUCCUUUACCCUCCCCCAAUCUUUUUUUAACAAAAUUCUAUAAAAUCUUACAAACUCUUCUCAUUUCUCUCAUACUACUCUCUCUUAUCUCUCAUUCUUACUAAGUCUCUCAAUCAUAUCAUGUCCUAUAAAGUUUUAUAAAAUUUUCUUUUCUCCCUCCUGCUACUUUCUCUCUCUCUUACUGGAUCUCUCAAUCAUAUCCUAUAAAGUUUAUAAAAUCUUCUCAUUCUCGAUCUCUUACUGGGUCUCUCAAUUAUAUCAUAUCAUAUCUUAAACGAUCUUCUCAAAAUCCUUCUAAUAUUUUCUUUGUUUUGACGAGAACGGGGAUGAGAAGAUCUCGCAUGCAGAGCUGCAGAGUUGCAUGCGGAGCAGCAUCAGGGACGAGCUGUCGGCCGGGGCGGAAAAAGUAGUGGUAACAAUUUAUUACUAAUGUAGAUAUUUGUGUUGGUUUUUUUAAUAAAUCAAUAGGCUUAUAAUUAGGGGUGUAAAACGGGCCGGGCGGCCCGCGGCCCGCCCGGCACGGCACGAGAGUGGGCCGGGCCAGGCACGGCACGAGUACUGUAGCAUGCCGUGCCGGCCCGGCCCGGCCAGUUAAAUCGGGCCGUGCUGGGCCUUGCUCCUGCUGCCCGAUGGCCUAGCAUGGCCCGGCACGACAUAGGCCUGGGCUGUGCCUGGCCUAAAGGGUACCCAGGCCUGGCCUGGCACGGCACUGCCCGGCCCGUGUGGCCAGGCCCUCCCGAGCCGGGCCCAGGCAGGGACUUGGGUACAACCCAACUCCCAAGGCCCUGCAUCACCCAACUCCCAAUGCUUUGGGAGUUGGGCUGUUGCUUUGGGACUCCCAACAGUUAAAAGAGUUGGGCUGUGGCUUUGGGAGUUGGGCUUGGACUAAAAUGCCCUUCCCAACAGUCAAAAAUUUGACUGUUGGGAGGAUAUUUUGGUCCAAAAAAUUUAAAAUUUUAAAAUAAUUUAAAAUUUUAAUAUUUUUAUAAAUAUAUUUUAAAAUUUUAUUUUUUUUGCUGAUUUUAUUUUUAAAAAAUUAAUAUUUUAUUUUUUAUUUUAAAAAAUUUAAAUAUGUUUUAAUAAAAUUAAUAAAAUAAAAAGAGGCGGCCUGAAGCCGGCCCGGCCCGGGCACGGGCCCGUGUCAGACUCCGGGCGCGGGGGCAUGGCUGGGUGGGUUCCAAGACUUUAGGCCCGGCCGCAACGCACGGGCCGUGCGUGCCGGGCUGGCCCGCGACCCGUUCGGCCCGAAAAAUGUGGGCGGGCCGCCCGGCACAGCCGCACUUUACAUCCCCUACUUAUGCACGGCCCAAUUACAUCCCUAUUUAUAAUACAACUGACUUAAGUUGCAUAUACUUUCUUUAAGAGAAACUCUUAAUAUAGAGUCAGCGACUGCAAUGAUACUAAAUGAAUUCGACAUAAUAAUUUUAAUAUUUUGGUUUUAUGGAAUAUCUAUAAAUACUAAUUAAAUGUAUUAUACUUAGAUUUUUUAUAACGUAUAUAAGAAUACUCUAAUGGGCAUUUUUAAGUGAUGUAUUUCUUUAUUUAUAACUUCUUCAAUAUUUAAUUUUUAAUAAUAAUAUAUAAUAAUUAAUUAAAAUAAUAUUUACCCACUAAGAAUCGGGGGCCUAUACUAAUAUAAUAUAAUAUAAUGGUAGCGCUAGUAGUUGCUGCAGUACUACUACUAAUAAUAAGAUAUUUAAUAUUAUAUUAUAAUUAUUAUUAUAAGAUAUUUUAAUAUAUCUAAAAUUAAUAAGCUAAGCAUAACAUAAGAAUAACUUUAUUCCUAUUACCGACUGCCCCUAGAGCAAGUGGCAAAAGACUUAGUAGUUGGUAUCCGAGACCCAAGUUCGAAUCCUAGUUGAUUCACAUUUCUAGCUAAGUCUAUUUCUAAAUGAAAUAAACGAAGCGGUAGCGUGGUACCUAUCUCUCAAAAAAACUUUAUUCCUAUUAAAAAGUUAGAAUAUUUAUUUCCAGAUUACUCUAGAAUUAUCUAGAAUAAUUCAGUUUGACUAUGGAAUAGCUAUUUUUGUACACUAUUUUGGCGGAAAAAGAAUUCUAAAUUUUUUUGUCCUCGGUUUUUUCUAAAACCAAAUAAAGCUUCAGAAAAAUUAUUUCUUCAAAAAAAUGUUUUCCAUAGAAAAUGCUUUUUUUCAGAGUUUUCAUUUUUUGGAUAAAAAGUUGAAAAAUGAAUACACUUGAUUUUCAUAAAAUUUAGAAUUCUUUUUCUAGAAAAUUAUUUUUUUAAAAACCAAACGUAGAAAACAGUAUUUUCCAAUCCAAAAUGUAUUUUCUUAUUAGAUAUUUUCGUAGAAUUGAACUCCCUACAUGUAAAUCAGUAAAUUACACUUUGGCUCGUCAAACUAUACGGUGACUGAUACUUUUGUUUCUAAAUCUUUAAUUUAUUAUACUUUUUGCUUAAAUCUUUUAAAAUUAUUAUAACCAAGUCCCACUGUUGGAUAAAAUUAAUUAAAUACUCAAAAAUCAAUCGUCGCAAAAAUCACAUAAAUUUUUACAUACCUCUUUCUGGUGCGGAAUUGAUGUUGUGAUUAUCAGGAUCUGAUCUCGUCUUGUUUUACGAACUCGUUGAUCCGCCAACGUCCUGUCUCAAUUUGUUGCACGUUGUUCUUACUCGUUGCAAUCCGGCUACUAGAGUCGAUCACCGCACACCGCCCAAAUUCCUAGGGUUUAUGAUGGUGCCCUAGAGCGAACCCGAGAGAGAGAGAAUUUUGGUGGAGAGAUGAUUCUUAUUUUUUUCGUUAUCUUGUAUGUGGUCAAUACCUCAUGUAUUUAUAGGCCAUAAGGGGGACGUUAAUCCUAAUCAUAUUCUGACUAAAUCUCACAUAGAUAGAGAUUUAAACAGAUUAGGAUUUAUCAGUUAGAUUUAUUCUUUAUCCAAGUGGACUAGAAAUAUAACAGAUAAUUAUAAAUAUUUAUUUCUUAUCCCAUAUGGAUUAGAAAUAUUUUAGAUAAGUCCCAAUAUGGACGAAUCGUAAUAUCUCCCACUCGUACACACUUGGUACUUAUUCAUACUUUCUCAUCCCAAAUAUAUUCUUAUCUCGUUCUGCUCUUCAUACGAGAAAUGGUUGGUGCGAUCAAUAACGAGAAGAAUCAUAAGUGAGGAGUGUUAUAUUAAGCCACCAUCCGAACUAACAUAACACUACAACUCCAAAUCUCGUCUAUACCCCAAAUCACUGAACUACACCAGAUCAUAGCAUCUCUGAUCCCUUAGAGCAAACUAGAUCUCUCUCAUUAAUGUAUUUGUUCUCAUGAUUAUAUUGACAACAAAUAUCAACAUAAUCGCCCAGGCAAUGAGUAACAAAUCAUAGGUAUAUUAUCAAAUGAUUUUUCAUUAGAUGCCCCAUGUCAAUCCAUUUCAACUUGACUGCUUUCCUAGACAUGUUCCGCUGGACCGAAUCAAUCAUGACCCUUGAAUAUCAUGCUAAAGUAGCAUCAUCAAGUAUCCACUUCAUAACAUGGUUCUAAGUCCCAAAGGGUAUGCAAAGCUCACACAGCGACGAAACGGGAAUCAAUUUCGUCACUUUCUAAAACAUAGUGAUCGAUCUUGCACAUACAGUAUGAACGUAUGCUAUGGUGGAGCUACCUCUAAGGACAUGUCACGCUCAAAACACCAUACGAAUGUCGAUUUUGUUGUAACUUAAGACAACAAACCUCAAGACAGUCACCCACAUAGUGUCUUCUUUACAUUCGGCUUCAUACAGGCCGAGUAGAGUCGUGGACCAUCUCUACUAUCGACUUCGUACAGUCUCAUCUUAGCUUAUCUAAGGCGACAUUUAAAGUUUAAACACUCGCCAGCUCUUAUAGUGCAAAGUGGAUCACCUGCAUUACUAACUACAUUUAUGUGAUCUUAUUUGUCUCAUCCUGCUCGCUCUCCUAGCGACAGGGCGAUCACCCGUGUGAGAGGGCUGAUCAAUGGCCUGGUAACAUUCAUUCUCACAAGGAUAUUGUGCACUAAUUUAAAAUUAAAUAAACAUGUAUAUGAAUGAAAAAAGAUAUCAAAAAUAUUUAUUAGCAAAAUUAUUAAUACAAGAUAUAUGAGAGUCAAGCCCUACACAAACCCAAUCCUCUAACAUGUUUAUGAAAAACAUUUCUAACAAGGGGUUUGGUAAAAGGAUCUGCUAUCAUAUCAUCAAUAGAUGCAAAUUUAAUUACAAUCUGUCCCUAUGCAAUUAUAUCUCUAAUGAAGUGAUAUCUAGUCUCAAUGUGUUUAGAUCUUCCAUGAUACUUUGGAUCCUUGGCAUAAGCUAUUGCUGCUUUGUUGUCACAAUAGAUAAUAACAGCAUCAUCAGCAUGAGCUGUUACACUCAAAUUUAUCAUAAAUCUCCUUAGCCAAACAGCCUCUUGUAUUGCUACUGUACAUGCAAUGUACUCCGAUUCCAUAGUUGAUAAGGAGACACAUGGUUGUUUCUUGCUACACCAUGAAAUAGCAGCUCCUCCAAGUAUAAACGCAUAUACCGAGAUAGAUUUGCGUUCAUCUCUAUCUGCGAAUCCAUCAGCGUCGGUGUAUCCCGUCAAUCUAAGCUCUCCUUCAUGAUAGCAUAGAGCAAGGUUCACAGUACCUCGCAGAUAUCUGAAAAUCCUUUUAACUGCUUGCCAAUGUGCUGCACUAGGAUUACUCUGAUAUCGACUAACCAUACCAACAGCGAAACAUAUGUCUGGUCGAGUACAUAUCAUUGCAUACAUCAAGCUGCCGACUGCACUCGCAUAUGGGACUUUUUUCAUCUGCUUUCUCUCUUCUUCUAUUUUAGGGCAUUGUUCAAGGCUAAGAUAAUGACCCUUUUCCAUUAGAGUGUCAAUAGGUUUCGAAUUAUGCAUUCGGAAUCGCUCCAAAAUUCUUUUAAUAUAAGUCUCUUGAGACAAACUUAAGAAUUUUCGAGAUCGAUCCCUAUGGAUCUUGACUCCCAAUACAUAAUCUGCUUGUCCCAUGUCCUUCAUCUCAAAAGUUGAGGACAACCACUUCUGUGUGGUGAUUGUUAACUCCAUAUUAUUUCUGACUAACAAGAUAUCAUCUACAUAUAGUGAAAGAAUAAGAAAACAUUUUUCUUCCCUUUUAACGUACACGCAAUGGUCUUCUUCGAUCAUCACAAAGCCUAUUGAUAUAAUUGCUCUAUGAAAACGUUGAUACCAUUGCCUAGACGAUUGUUUCAAGCCGUAAAUGGAACGUUUUAAGCGGCACACUUUGCGCUCUUGUCCUUCGGCUAUAAAACCAGGAGGUUGAUUCAUAUAAAUCUCCUCGUCUAGUUCUCCAUUGAGAAAUGCAGUCUUCACAUCCAUUUGGAACAGUUCCAAAUCUAAAUGUGCGACGAUAGCCAGAAUCAGGCGAAUUGAGACAAACCUCACCACUGGGGAGAAUGUCUAUUCAUAGUCUACUCCUUUUUUUUGGGUGUAUCCUUUCGCCACUAAUCGGGCUUUAUAUUUGUCAAUUGAUCCAUCCGCCUUACGUUUUAUUUUAAAGAUCCAUUUAUUUCCAAUAGUUUUUCGUCCAGACGUAAGAUCAACUAACUCCCACACAUUAUUCUUAGCCAUAGAACUCAUCUCAUUCUCCAUAGCAGCUAGCCAUAUAUCACAAACUGGUGAACUCAUAGCUUCAGCAUAAGAAGCCGGCUCAUCAACAUCCGUAGAAGCACACAUGAACGAUUCCCCUUCAAUCUCAAAUCGACGACGGGGAACACCUCCACGUUUACUUCUUCGUAAUGAUGGACUUUGUGAGCCAUGGUCAAUCGGCACACUCCCACUGACCAUAGGAUCACUCCCACUGUUUUGGGCUAUUUCUUCAUGUGGCCUCAGUGCCUCAUUCUCGCCUAACAAUGGGACAUUUUCAUUAGGUUCUUGCAACUCGUAUAGUGCAAGAUCCUUUUUAAUCUCACCAAUGUCUGAAAAAUCAUUCUCAAGAAAAUCCAUAUCACGCGACUUUAUCUCAGUCAUUACUCCAUCAGGAUGCUUGCCAUACAUCACAUAGCCUUUCGAGCAAUCAGAAUAUCUAAUAAAAAUUUAUUUAUUUGCUCUAGGGCCUAACUUUCCAUAUUUAUGGGAAGUAUUAUGCACAUAUCCUGCCGAUCCCCAUGGUCGUAAGCCUUUCAAAUUUGGCUUUAUUCCAUGCCAUAACUCAUAGGGAGUUGAAGGAACUGAUUUAGAGGGCACUCGGUUAAGUAUAUAGGCAGCAGUCAACAACGCAUCACCCCAAAAACUAAUUGGGAGGUUGGCUUGCGCCAUCAUUGACCUAACCAUUUCCAAAAGUGUCCUAUUUCUCCUCUCUGCAACACUAUUUUGUUUCGGAGUACCAGGAAUAGUUAACUGUCUGCGUAUUCCCUUUUCCUCACAUAGUUCCCUGAACUGGUCUGAUAAAUACUCUCGUCCUCUAUCAGUACGUAGAACUUUUAGAGUUCUUUCUGUUUGGUUCUCAACCUCCACUAAGAAGCGUUUAAAAUAAUCUAAAGCUUCUGAACGGUGAGACAACAGAUAUACCGAACUAUAACGGGAGUAGUCAUCAAUAAAAGUGAGGAAAUAGUACGCGCCAUGACGUGCUCUUACAUUCAUAGGUCCGCAUAUGUCUGAAUGAACUAGCUCCAAUGGAUGAGUUGCUCUACGUGCCUUACCAAAAGGCUUUAUGCAGGCUUUUCCUGCUAAACAUGGUUCACAAGGAGGUAGGCUAAGCUUAGCGAGUGACCCCAAUAGGCCUUCUCUAGCUAGUCGAGCCAUCCUUUCUUGUCCAAUGUGACCCAAUCUCGCAUGCCAUUUGAUAGAAUCAGAUACAAUAUCAAAAGAAACUAAUAAAGCAGAAUUAUUGUUAUGAUUAAUAAAAUCCAAGUCCAAAUCUAAAACAAAGAAAUCAUUCUUUAAAUAACCAUUACCAUAAAAGUCCUUGCCCAAAUAAAUAGCUAACUGAGUAUCCGUAAAUUGAAAAGAAAAACCUAAUCUAAGUAACGCUAAAACUGAUAGUAGAUUACAUCGGAUGUUCGGUGCAUACAGCACAUCAUGUAAUAUCAAAUAACGAUCAUUGCACAAUCUAAGUUGGUAUGCGCCAAUUCCAAGGACUUCUUCCUCAGUGCCGUUUUCCAUCAUGACAUAAUGGCUGCUAGCAGAUACCCGACGAUAAUCCACAUAUCCCGCUCGAUCUCUCAUUACAUGCUUUGUUGCUCCUGUGUCUAUAAUCCAAUCAGAGAGAGCGUGAGCAACAAAAACGUGCGACCAUACAUAAAUAAGAGAGUCAGGAUUGGGAUUUACCUUUUUUGGCUUAGUGCAAUCACGAGCGAAGUGUCCCAUGUCUCCACAGUUAUAGCAUUUCACCUCAUUUAAAUUUUUUUUUCCGCGCCUGCCUUUUCGGCGCUUCUUAAUUCCGCCCUCAUUCGUCGCGCGGUUCCCAGUCUUUGCAUAUUUAUUUUCUCCAUUUCGGCACUUGUGCUUAGGCCACUUGCCUCUGCGCUGUCCACCGUGGGCAACGAGUGCAUUGGCACGGUUUGCCUCUCUGCGCCCCGCUUCCAACUCAAGAUGUCGAGCUAUAUUGUUGAAGGUCUUGAUACCUUCAUUAUGAGUCAGCACAACCUUGAUUUGAUCCCAAGAUGAAUCUUGUAAGGACCUUAUAACUGAUUGAACCUGUUGUUCAUCAGUGAACUCGCAACCGGCUACUUUAAGCUCUCUUAUCAUAGCAGACAUCACCCUUAAGUGCUCUGUUAUAGAAUGCUUCGGGUCCAACAAGUAUUGAUUGAAUUUGAGAUUCAAGGCACGAAGUCUUGUGGUCAAUGUGCCCCCAUAUUUCACUUUGAGCUGCUCCUACAUAUUUUUAGUAGUCUCAUAAUUCUCAAAUUCUUUGAUCAAAUCAUCGUGCAUACAGCUCAACAUUGUAUAGCGUGCAAUGCGAUCUUUCUCAAGUCACUCGUUAUAGGCUUGUAAAUCGCGACGGUGCUGAGCCGUCGUGCCUUUUUCAGGCUGAACCAUACUGUUGGUUAGAUGGCUAAAUAUCCCUUUCUCAUUAAGAAGAUAUUGAAUUUUUCUAUACCACAUGUUAUAAUUUGCUCCAUCAAGCUUAUUUUGAUUUAACGAAUCCGCGAUAGAAAAAUUUUUUAAAGCCAUUUAUCACUACAAUAAUGCACAUAAUUUUAAAUUAGGCACAAAUAUCCACAAUAUUAUUCUUAAUCUAAUUUGAUAAUAAUCUCAUCCAAUGCAGAUAAAAAAAGAUAUCAAAUUAAUUACGAAUAAAUCCACGUCACAAAAUAAAUGAUGAACAUUAUGCAAUAACACAUUGCAACUUGAAAAAUAUCAUCACAUGUAUCAUAGCAAGAAACAAUAUAUAAUAAUAGCGAUUGCAUAUCAUAAUAUUAUAUAUAAAUGAAAGACAUGCAUAAUUUACAUAAAAACUUGUUAGUCAGGAUGGAUAAGAACCAGUGGUUUGAAGUUCAAGUUGUCGGUUCCAUUAUAUAUAUAUAUAUAUAUAUAUUAUUCUCUUUUAUAAAAUCAUGCAAGCCCAUGGGUUGAGGUCGGGUUGGGCUUAGGCCUAUAUGACGUGGACUUAGAGAGCCUACAGGCCCAGUCCUACGAGGGGGCUAGCCAGGAAGCCCGCAGGUCCAUCCAGGGCGGGCCGCCCAGCAAGCCCAGCGCGGGCGGCUUCACAAGGCCACAGGCCCUGUGUAUGCGGGCCCCUGCAGGCCCUGCACUAGCAGUCCUUCCAAGCCCAGAGCGGGCAGAUCCCGCAAGCCCACAUGCAUACGGUUUGCCUCAUGUGAUUCAUUUUAUUUUAACAAAUUAAAAAUAUAUAUGAUGUUAAAAAAAAUGAAUUAUUCGAGCGAAAACAAGCACUAUAAGGCUCUGAUACCACUGUUGGAUAAAAUUAAUUAAAUACCCAAAAAUCAAUCGUCGCAAAAAUCACAUAAAUUUUUACAUACCUUUUUUCUGGUACGGAAUUGAUGUUGUGAUUAGCAGGAUCUGAUCUCAUCUUGUUUUAAAAAUUCGUUGAUCCGUCAACGUCCUGUCUCAAUUUGUUGCACGUUAUUCUUACUCGUUGCAAUCCGGCUACUAGAGUCGAUCGCCGCACACCGCCCAAAUCCUUAGGGUUUAUGAUGGUGCCCUAGAGCGAACCCAAGAGAGAAAAUUUUGGUGGAGAGAUGAUUUUUUUUUUUUGUUAUCUUGUAUGUGUCAAUACCUCAUGUAUUUAUAGGCCAUAAGGGAGACGUUAAUCCUAAUCAUAUUCGGACUAAAUCUCACAUGGAUAGAGAUUUAAACAGAUUAGGAUUUAUCUGUUAGAUUUAUUCUUUAUCUCCAGUGGAUUAGAAAUAUAACAGAUAAUUAUAAAUAUUUAUUUCUUAUCCCGUAUAGAAAAAAAAAAAAAAAAAAAAAAUCAAAUAUGGAGUUAUUUGGGGUACACUCUAGGGUUCGCACAGCAGUACUCCGAAGAAAAAGACACACACAACACGCGCAUAUAUCAAAAAGCACGGCUCCUUCCCCUGCAUAUUCUCUUCCCAUAUCUCUCUCUCCAAUUGAGUAAAAAAACCCCUCACGCACACUCUCUCUCUCUCUCUCUCUCUCUCUACCCCAAACCUCUUUUCCACUCCCUCUCCCAAAUUCAAACCUCACAGAAGCCGCUCACACCAUCCCCCAAAUCCCAAUCCCUCCUCCUCCCUCUCAAAGAUUCAAUCUUUCUCCCCUUCUCCAUCUCCUCUCUCCUCUUUUCCCUUCAAUUCCCUCUUCUUCUUCAUCUUUAUACGCCCAAGAUCCAAGUUUUCCUCUUCCUCCCCACUCCCCACCCUAAUUUUCCCCUUGCCCAUCUCUUGUUUUGGGGUUUCUUUGGCGAUUUGUAGAGGUUUGUUGUGUGCUUUUGCCCCCUUUGGAUCUGUGGGGGCCAUGUUUGUGGCGCCCCGGUCGUUCUUGAAACCCUAGGCGGCGGAGGGGGCGGAAUUAGGGUUUCGGAGGAGAUGUUGGAGGAGGAGAGGAAGUGUAAUGGGGCGGCGGUGAAGGUCGAGGAUUCGGCCAGGGAGGAGGGGCUUAUCACUUACAAGAGGCGGAAGCGCCCAAGGCCGAGUCCCGAUGAUGGAGGGGUUAGGCGAAAGAUAUCAUUUUUCCUCUUCUUUUUGUCUUUUGUUGCUUCUGCUUAUAUAGGUUUUUCUUUUUUUCUUCUUUUUUGUGAUAUUUGUUGUUAAUUAAAGGCCAUAAUUGGGUUUAACUAUCCACUUGGUGCUUAAGUUUAAUAAAUUGCCAAGGUUACUUCUUGAUGCAAGAAAUGGGAAAAUGCUUCUUGAUGCAAGAAAUGGGAAAAAGAGAUUCCGGGGAAAAAUGAUAAUUUCUAUGUAGUCAAUUACGACUAUUGGUAAAUUAAGCUUCGUUUUUGCCUUCACAUUUAGUAAUUGUGCUACACACACACACGAAUACGCUGGAAUCUUGAUUCUUGUAAACGUAUACGAAAAUAUACACUGGAAUCUUGAUUCUUGUAGCAAUAAUGAUUUAAUUGUUUUGACAUUACUUUUCUGUGUAAUAGUAAUCUCAGGCAUGUCUUGUUUGUUCUAUCUUAAUGAGGAAACAGAGCUGCUUAUUAAGUUAUCUGAUACGUGGGAAUUGUAUUUUUAUAAAGGUAUAUUUUUUUGUCUUGAUGGGAGUGUAAUAGUAAGCUUGUACGUUUAGGACCGAGCUGAACAUCUUAUUAUUAUUUUAAGUGGUUGUAAUAUCUAAAAGAUGCUGAAAUCAUGGUGUGCUUUCAUAUUUGUUUAGAAUAGUUAGUGAUUGCUAUGGAGUUGUUUGUCAUUUGAUCAAACAUUAUUGUAUGGAAUGUUUGGUGAAACUGAAAUCUGAUGAUGAUGUAGUGAGAAAUCUAACAUAGUUUGUUGUCCGUUGGGGAAAUUAUCAACCAAAACUACAAAUAUAUGUAAAGCAUGUUCUAGUUAGUUAAGCUAUAUUUUUAAUGAUACUACAGAAUUGUUAUUGAAAAUGAUUUUGGAUGUGUUUUUCUUUGAGAAUAUUCAUCUUCCUGAGUGAUAUUAUCAUAAGAAAUUUGUUUUUCACCUUAUAUGUUGUGCGGACUUGUAGGCCUCUGACAAUUCCAACAGAAAGAGGGAAAGGGAUAUUGGGUGGGACCAUGCGAUGAUGGUCGAUGGAAACAGAUUGCACUGGCAAUGCAAUUGGUGUGGACUAACACGAUACAAUGGGGGUGUCUCUCGACUGAAGUGGCAUCUCGCUGGUGGCUUCGCGGUUCGUAAGUGCCCGAAUGUUCCGGAAGAAGUUUCUAGAAUGAUAAAGAACAAUCUCUUUAUGAAACGGAGGUCCAAGAAAAGGAGAUUGGAUAUAUCCGGUGGUACAGAUAAUAUGACAAUAUUAAAUUGUUGCAAUGGCGAUGCCGCGAAUGAUGAAAAUCAUUUGCCUGUUGACCUAGAGUUGCAGGUGGAAAGUACUGCUAGGGUUUCAAAGGGAGCCACUAGACAAUCCGAGGCUGACCAUGAUCCAACUACUAAGGUAUUAGAUUUGUUCUAACUAGUUUUCUCCUUAAUGCUUGAUCUUUGGUUUUUAUGCUGCACUCUCACUAGUAUGAUGUUAAUGCCCAAUCUAUCUUUUAUUUUUCUUUUGGCUCGAUGCAUCACCUUGAAGAAAUCAUGGUGUAAUCUCACUAAUUCUGUUCAUUUCUGAGUAAUAAUAUGCUUAAUUUUGUGCUGCAGGGUAUGGAAGAUAUUACUGGCACAGUAUUAUCAAAAUGCCCUUACGAGCAAAAUGUUAAUGGUAGAACAAAUAGUAUAUGGAGCCACUGGAGAGAUGUUUUGAAAAACAUGCUGCAAUUACCAUCAAUAAGUGAUGGUGAUGGUAUAAAAAGCUGCAUAGAUGAUGCUCUUAAGUGUGGUCCUUCAGGAUUCACCAUGAAGCCUAACACAGCUAAUGGACCUAGGGUCAUAGAGAAUCAACAGGUAUCGGGAAAUUGUUUUACUUUGAUGCGUAAUUCUCUAUUCUAUGCCUGUUUGGCCUUGCUUCUAGAGUGGCUUCUUUGACUUGAAAAGCCACAACUACUUGUUUAGCAAAAACUUCUAGAGAUUUCGUUUGGCGGGAAGCUGAAACGAGCCUUUAAGUCAUACAAGUAGAAGCUCCAAUUUGAAGUUCUUCUUCAGCUUAUUGAGAAGCUUUCGGAGGGUUUAUUACAACUUUAUUAUAACUUGGCCUAACCAUCCUACUCAAACAGUACUUAGUUGAAGCUCCAGCAAGGCCAAUAACAGGACCUUCGUGAAUUUAAAUCCGGAAGUUUCUCAUAAUCAUUCUUAUUUUCAUGACUAUCAGGAUAGGUAUGAGGGGCAUUGUGAAGUAAAAACGAAUUCCGAAAGGCUAAAUAGUUCCAUUAGUUCUGCCUCAGAUGGAUCAAGAGAUGGCAAUCAAGUAGAUGCUAAUGCUAAUACUAAUACUACAAAGUGCAAGAAUGCUUUUGAAGAUAUAUUACGUUCGGAGAAGUUUGUCUUAUUAUGUGAUUUUCUUUACAAAGUUUUCCCAGAUAGCAAAAGCAAAACAUACUUUGAUUUUAGCCUAAUCAAUUCAAAGAUGAAAAAUGGGGAUUACGGGCGAUCACCAGAAUCAUUCAAUCAAGAUAUCCAAAAGGUAAUUGUUAACAUCCGCCUCAUGUUAUCUUUCUUCUUCUCUUAGUUCUUUUUCGUUUUUUCCCCUUUAAAUCUCUAUUUUGUGCUUUUUUGUAGCUCUAUUUAGUAUGUAUGCGUUACAGCUCGAGAUGCCCUUAAAGUGUCCUUGUUGUUAUUGAGGGAGCAAUAUAAGUAUAGUUCGGCAGCAAAAGAGUUCUGUUUGCUCUAGAUUCAUGGUUUCUGCCUCUUUUUUUUCCCGUAGAAGGUUUGCACAUAUUUUUGGGUUUGAAUUAAAGAUAUCAACUGUAGGGUCAAUUUAGCUUUCAAAUACAAGUUGAAUUUGCACGUAGCGGGAAAAACUUCUCUUCCUUAUUCUAACAAAAAAAAAUAAAAAUCGAACUAUAUUUGAUGGAUCUUGCAAGUUAAGAAUUGUUGAGAGUUUAAGAGAAGUGCUGAGAUUUCAAAAUUAUUUCAUGUUGCUUGAUUAUAACUGGUAAGAACUCUGUACAAUUCAACCAAAUUGAAAUCAGUUAAUCUUGUUGGAUAAGACAUGUAUAAGCUUUCUUACAUAUUCCACAUUAUAAGUUUUAAUGUCCUUCUGUGCUUUUCCACUUUCCUCUCAGCCAUGCAUAGUUUGAAAUGUCCUCUUAUUGCCAUGAAAGAUGUAAUGGACCAUCAUUUUUUUUUUUUUUUUUUCUAUUUGAGUUUCCUGGUUUUGUUUGCUCUCCAGGGCUCUUAAUCAUCAGGAAACUUAAUAUACAAACCACGUUUUAAUCUAUUCAUCUGUAUCAAUUAAAAUGUAACAAAUUGACGUGCCUCUUUAAAUAUUCCUGCAGGUCUGGGAGGAAAUGCAAAAAGCUGGUCAGAACAUAAUUCAUCUAACAAGCAGCCUCUCAAGUGUGUCGAGGGCUUCUUAUCAGAAGCAGGUACUAUCUGUGGUCCUCUCAUAUUAAAUUUUUCUUAUCAGCUUGAUCCGUUUGUGAAUUCUGAAUACCCCCUGCAAAUGCGCAAAUUUGUGCAAAUACCUCUGCUAAGUUGGUAUUUGCAUAUGAGCCAUUGGAAAACUUGUUUAUUUACACAUACAGGGGUAUCUAUGAAAAAAUGAUUUUUGUGUUUAUGUCCCUCACCAGCAUGAAUGCAGAUAAGUAUGGUGUCAAAGUUACGCAUGCAAAUACCUCUCUGCCUGGAUAUUCAAGCAAUUUCCCAUGUUUCCAAGGGUAUAUAUGCAAAAAAAAAAAAUCUUGAAUUUGAGAAAACGAUGAGGAUCCUUAUAGGUCCUGAAGUUUUUAUUUAUUACCUAUCUUCUGUUAAAAUUCACACCUUUGAAUGUGAUGAUCUUUGUAAUCAUGCCUCUAUGUGGGCUGAUCCAAGCUAAAUCUGUAUAGAUUGAUGGAGAUUUGGAACUUGGGGCGGGUGAACACAAGUCCAAGGCAAGUGACAUUUACUCAUGUUUUGUGAAUUUUUGGCAUAUUUAACCCUGCAGAUAUGCGGGAUUGCAUAAGUAAACUUUAUCUGCAGGAAUUGCAUAAUUAAACUUACAAAGUUAGUAGACGGAUGCAUGCCCCUGGAAUCUGUAUGUUUGCAUUCAUGUCCCUGCUAGGGUAUAUAUGUAAAAAAAACCAAAUUUCCUUUUGUACAUCAAUGGGGUCGCAUCUUCAAAUAAGCAAGCGUUUUAGGCUGGGUUGCACACUUAAAUAACAAUUUUACAGGGGUAUAGGUGAAAUCUCAUAAAAUUGCAGGGUUGUAUAAUUGAAAAUCCAUAUUUUGGUCGAUAUCAUGUGCUUAAUUUAUUUAUUAGAGUGUUCUUUACUCAAUAUUACAUUAUUAAUGCAGGAGAACUGUGUUGUUGAUUUGGAACCGAAGAACUCCUUGGAGUCACACACGACCGUGCAGUUCACUUCCUGCAAUUCAGACCCAUCCACUAAGCUGGAUCAAACUGAUGCCUCCGUCCCGUAUAAAAUUUUCUCAUGCAAACACUGUGGUCGAGAAGCUAAUGGUGAGCAAACCCUCAUGUGUGAUGGGUGUGAAGAGAUGUACCAUUUAUCAUGCAUUCAGCCCCCAAUCAAACCAAUCCCGACCCGUAGUUGGUACUGCAUGGUCUGCCGCACUAAUAGUAUACAGUUCAAGUCCUGCAAUGUGGACCCAUCUACAAAACCAGAUCAAACUGAGGCCUCCGGCCUAUACAAAAUUUUGCCGUGCAAACAGUGUGGCCAAGAAGCUAAUGGCGAUCGGAGGCUUAUUUGUGAUGGAUGCGAAGCAAUGUACCAUUUCUCAUGCCUCCAACCGACUGUCAAAUCAAUCCCGACUAGGAGUUGGUACUGCACCACCUGUCGUCCUGUUCAGAAGGAAUCGCCCAAAUCUCAUCAAGACAGCUUGCAUGAGAAUUGUGUGGUUUGUGAUCGCCUUGAGGUCUCCGAAACUGUGGAAGCCAAUGAGAAUGGAAGCGUGAGAGAGGGCUCAGAACACUCUAGUUUGGAGUCCAAGGACCCUCCGGGACUUUCUAGAAAUGCUCUCUCUCGCUUGUGCAAGCUAUGCGGAGCGUGUGAAGACGACGACAAGAGAUUUCUAAUCUGUGGCCACGUUCACUGUCCUUACAGGUACUACCACAUAAGAUGCCUAAAGACUUCCCAAAUUGCUAGCGAGGCGCAACGAAAUAAGCCCUGUUGGUAUUGCCCUUCUUGCCUAUGCCGAGCUUGUCUCUCUGAUAAAGAUGACGAUAAGAUUGUGUUAUGUGAUGGUUGUGAUGAGGCGUACCACAUAUAUUGCAUGGAACCACCUCGGAGUUCUGUGCCCAAGGGGCUAUGGUAUUGUAUUCCGUGCAACGUGGCAAGGGCAAAGGAGGGGAUGAGGAAGUAUGAACAGAUGAUUUUACAGCAACAUAGAAAGAAUGAUUUUAAUAAGGUAGGUUACGAGACUAACGGGUCGGUGGAUUUGCUGCUUAGUGCUGCGGAGAAGUUGAAGUUUGAGGAGCACAUCAAUGGCAAGUAGAGAUUUAAGGUGGGUACUAAGGCCUGAAACAUUGCUGUUUAAGUCCGAUAAAACUGGAGGAUUUUUUGAUUGGAUUAGGCUGAGUUUUGUCUCACCUUUUCCAUGUACUAAUAUUGUACAAUGUUGGUAAGGUAAUGGUGUAUGGUGGGAGAAGAAUAUGCAGCUGGAUAAAAUCUCUGAAGAAUCUUGGCAGAAUUUGUAUUUUGUGUAUUCAUUUUACCAAAAAUGUUAGAAAGCAGAGUAGAAAGUUGCAGGUGUUUCUUCCUUUUUUUUUUUCCUCUUAUUUCUUUUGGGUUUAAUUUUGCUAGUGCUGUUCAUCAGUUGUAAUGCCCUUGAAGCAACAUUUUGUUAGGGCAUUUCCCCUUAUGAAAUUCCCAGUGUAUUAUGUGUUUCUUUAUGAGAAAGAAUUACUGGUCAUGUACCUCCUGGUCACCAUGCUGUAGCAUUACUACUACUACAUACAUUCAUCACGGAUGUACAAAUAAUUCAAUUUUGUUGUGAAAGUAUGUGACCGCAUUAUGUUCCUUUUUACCAAUGUUCAUGGUGCUCUUGGUUUGAGCUUUGAUAUGUGGUUUUAUGUUUUAGGACAUGCAAAAGGUUUCUGUAAUAUGUGUGAUGAUGUAAGAGAAUCGGAAAAUUUGAAAGUUUUAUUCCUUGAGAAUCGUGCAAUCAUGAAAUCAAUUUUGUAUUUCCUAUAAGGACUGAUCUCUGAUUUGCAAGUUAAGAAAUAGAUUUUGAAAUUAUGCUUCUUUAACUAGUUGUUUGCUGGUGUGUGUCAAAUUCAAUUGUAAAAGCAAUUAAACAAUUAACUUCGAUAUUCGGGGCAUUUAUAUGCUGAUUUUGUACAUUGGAUUCACUUUGGAGUCUGCAGUUGCUGUCUUAAAGAUGCGCAGGCAUGUUUUUGUUUUACAAUAAAUGCAUUUCUGCGUACUUGGAAAAUAAAAAGAAAUCGACAAAACACAUUUUACAAACAGUUUUAAUUCGAACUGAAUUAAGGUUCAAUCCAAAAAUAUAUGUGGCGCUUGCAACUUUUCUGAUUUCUGUAAUCAGAUCCCUUGAUAAAUUCCAACCUGGAAUCUGUGACUUCGUGAGAUGUUCGUACAAUAUUAAAGGGGUAUCAGAUCGCUACUGCACGCAAUUGUAUCACAAUUUUUCGUAGUCUUUUAGACUCAUGAAAAGAAAAGGUAUCCUAAUGGUAUUGAUCACUGUAUUAAUCAUCCUUCUAAUUUCCGAAUCAAUGCAUUUGGUCUAGAACUUGAACAAGUAUAUAGAAAAAAAAUUCUGUAAAGCAGGAGCAUCUAAUCUCUCUGUUAGUUAUUAACCUUUUGGAACAAUGCUGUAAAAGGAAAUCAUCAUAUUCAUCUUUGAUAAUUGAUUGCAUCAAAGAAUUUUACUAAGCACGACUGAAUUGUAUAGAUGGAUUUUCGAACUACCGACUGGCUUAUCGAUCCAGGAAGUUCAAAGCCUCGAUAUCCCGACCUACUACACUCAAAUGGCCAGGACGGGCGGCUGUACAUUUCUAGAACACGCUCAAAAUGCAUGAGCGCUUCUUCACAGUUUACUUUUGUGUUGUAUGAAAGCAUUCUAACAGAAACAAAAGCAACUGCACUCAGUUUAUUUUUCAACUCCAAAUUGCAGGAUCUAAUUAAGAAAUUGGAGCACAUAUUUUAUCUCCUUUAUUCCUCCAGCAAACAGCUUUUUGUCAGAAUAGGAAUAGUACCAUGACACACAAUUUGUUUUCAAGCUAAAUGCUAGCUCUGCAUACAUGCAUAGCAUAGACGAUAACACCCAGUACCAUCCUGGCAAAUCUUUUGCAAGAACCGUAGCACAUCUUUGUUUUCAAGUACCUUUUUAGCCUAGCUUCGAUACAAAGUGCUGUUUAGUUAAGUUGUUUCUAUUUAAACAUAUUGCUUGCUAAGUUUUGGAUAUAUAUAUAUAUAUAGAACUAGGCUACUAUGCUAUUAAUAGCACCAGGAUAUUGUUGCUACCAAGUUUUUGGCCAUUGGAUUAAGAGAUGUGCGGUUGGGAUGAUGUGGGCCCCCUAGGUUUGAGUGGGUGGUUGGUUGAAUAGUAUGAUCUAACGGAUGAAAAUGAUCAAAAGGGUAGAUCUAACGGCGGAAAACUUGGUAGCACCAAGUGCUUCGUACUAUUAAUAGCAUAGUAGCCGGACUCUAUAUAUAUAUAUAUAUAUAUAUAUAUAUAUAUAAUUAGAACCAAUCCUAAGCUCCACCCACGCAUUAUGUGAGAUCUGAAGGUUCGAUCCCCAUCUUCAAUAUUUAACAUGUUAUCUUUCUAUAUUAUAUUUUAGGGUUAAUUUCAUACAGAUUCCUAUAAAUAUAGUAAUGACAGAUAUACCCAUAUAAAGUUCAACUUUCAUAUCUUGUUCUUACAAAAGUCAUGAUAUUUUCAAAUAUGUCCAUACCGUUAGAAUCCGUUAGAAAAAUUUAGUUAAUCAUUGGUUAAAUAUUUUACCCGGAUUCAUUUUUGACAUUUUUAUCCCUCUUAUAUUACAUUGUUAUGACUUUUGGAAGGACAUAUUUGUGACGGUAAAAUUAGAAAUAUAAACAAUUCUCUAAUGGUUCUCUAAUGGCAACAAACAGAGGAACAUAUUUGAAAAUAUUAGAAUUUUUGUAGAAACAAUAUGAAAGUUGAACUUUGUAUGGAUAUAUUCCUGAUUCACUAUAUUUGCAAGGACCUGUAUGAAAUUAACCCUAUAUUUAAUAGGUCAAAUGACUAUCUCUAAUUUACUUGUUAAUUUCAGUCUUUUAAAUUCAUUCGUAUUUAGAAGGGAUGUUAAAGAUUUUUCUAAACUAUUUGAAUGUGUGUAUAUAUAUAUAUAGUCCAGCUACUAUACUAUCAAUGGCAACUAACAUUUGGUACUAUCAAGUUUUCUGUCGUUAGAUCUACUACUUUGAUCAUUUUUACCCAUUAGGUCAUACCAUUCAACCAAUCACUCACUCAAUCCUAGAGACUACUAUUAUCCUAAACGCACAUUCUUUCAUUCAAUGGCCGAAAAUCUAAUGACACUAAUGACUUGAUACUAGUGAUAGUUUCUAUAUAUAUAUAUAUAUAGAGUAGGGCUGCUGUGCUCUCAGGAGCACGAAGGCCUCCGUGCUCUUGAGCCGUUUUCGAUGAUGGAAUUUUCGAAUCGACGUUCGGCUCCGUUAGACUUGAUCUAGUGUAUUUGAAGUUUCUAGAAAAUAAUUUUUGCGAAUUUUUGAUAUCAUUUACCUAGUGAUCGAAAUGAUUCAAAAUCAAUAAUUUUUAAUGGUUGAUAUCUGCCGUUUUCAAGUUUAACGGUGUAGAAGUAUUCAAAUCAGAUGAAAUUUUGAUACAAAAUUCUUUAUACUAUCUACAAUAAGAUCAACAUUUCUGAUAAAAAAUUUUAGUGCUAUAUCACCAGUUUUUAUAGAAUUUUUAUUUUCAGCCGUUAAAAAUUAUUGAGUUUGAAUCCUAUCGAUUGCUAGGUAAAUGAUAUCAAAAAAUCCGAUAAAAAAUUUCUCAUAAAACUUCAAUACGGCUUUAGGAUUCAAGUUGCUACAGAGGUGGCCGAAUAUCGAUUCUCGCCAAUUCCGCGCUGGCUGGGUCAUCGGGGGGAAAACGGGGGGCGGGUGGGGGCGAGGCUCGAAGGGGGGCACCGAAGGGGGCUCUCGCAAGCGGUGGGGUUGAGGGCAGGGCGGGGAGCCCUUACGUUCUCUUCGUUCUGCCUUCUGUCCUCUGGUUACCAUUAUCGUUCUGACCUAGCAUAAUUACAGCUUAACUCUCCUUUGCUGAUACAACUCAAUGGAAGAAAAAUAACAUAUAUCGAAAUAAAAAGAAAAAAAGAAGAAGAGUUUGUAUACUCACAUAUUUGAGUACAUGUUAAUCUAGGUUGGAAAUAAUCAAGAAAUAAUAAAUUAUGUUAUUGAAUAGAAUCUAUGAUUGAGACAUACAUAAUUGUGAGAAGCAUUAUAGGCUUUGGUGUGCGAUAAAACUGAACACAGCGAAUAUACAAAUCUAUGGAAGAGUUCUCAGAGGUAUAGGCCACUAUGAUCCUCUCUACUGUGAGUAAGAGCAUCUCUUAUAUAAUCCUCCUACAAUUUCCUUUCUCUUUUUCCACUGAUGCGCUAUUUCCACUCUCCUCGUCUUCAUCGAUGCUCUCCUGUCGUUUUACGUAUAUUGGCUUGUGAUAUUCGUCACUUAUUUUGACAAUAUAUUUUUUGAAUAAAACACUCCACUUCUUUAUAAAUUUUACCUCUCAGGGGGUAGGUACGUCACAUGGAGGGGUGGUGAGGGCGAAUGCGUGAGAGAAAAGCCACCUGGGUGGCUCUUCUGCGAUGAGCGCGUUCUGUGCGUGCCGCGUGCCUGGCCGCGGUGGUUUGUUAUCGUGCGUGGUAUGAAAUAUCUAUAAGAAUGGUUGACAGAGGUGCGUGUGAGUCUGCCGGUCCAGGCGUGCGGGGCAUGACUCUGUCGGUUCGCGGUGUUGAGCCUGGGCGCGCAAUGCUUUUGUAACAGAGAUUCGUAUAACAGAUCUUACGAGAACGGUUUCUCAUGUGCUCUCAGUUUACUUACUCUCUCUGUAGUCUUCUCGAUAUAAUUCGUAGUAUAAGUGGUCUCCUCUCUCACACAUACAAAUAUGAGAUGUUCCUAGUUUGAGGGUUAUUGGAUAGGAGGAGGAUUUUUCUUUUGUCAUGACACUCCGUAUAUGAUAGAUACUCUAAACUCUCCUCAUACAUGAAGUUGAAUGCUGUUUGAAUUACAUAACACCUUGAAUUUAUAAGUAAGAGUAUCGCCUGAUUUAAUUUUUUGAGUUAAUUACAUGAAUCUUUAUCUCUUCGAGAUUACGUCAGAAGCAAGAAUUCUUUUUCGCUUUAUGAGCAGAGUGCUUUUCUGUCAUAAUCACGAGAAUUUUUUAGGUCAGUAUACAUUUAUUUCUUUAAAACACGACUCUGAAAUUCUUUUACUCAACGCAUAUCACAUCCCUAUCUUUAAAUAUUUAAUUCUAUUCUUGUAGAAUCUCUUUCUUGAGAUACGAGAUAGGGAUGAGUGAGAAAUGGUCGCAGUCUCGAAUAUUCGAGAUUAUAGGUUCUCAAAUACUUUUAUUGGUGAUAGAGAAUCAAGUUCUUAGGGCAGAUGCCGGAGCAGCAUCAGGACGACGCGGCGAUCCGUCAAGUUGAAAGCGCGACCAUUGAAACCAAACUGUAGCACGGAGGCGGGGCGUAGCUACCGUGUAUACCAGCCUAGCUCCUAUAUACGUGUAUUAGUAUAUAUAUAGUAGUAUAAUAGGUGUAUAUGUCCGGCUAUAUGCUAUUUAAUAAGCACGAGUGUUUGGGUGGCUACCACUUUUCCGGCCGUUAAUCUACGUAUUUUGAUCAUUUUCACCGUUAGAGACGCUACUAUUCAACCAACCACACUCAACCCCUAGGGCCCACAUCAUGUACCGCACAUCUCUUAAUCAAGGACAAAAAUUGGGUAGAGCCCCAAUGAUUGGUGUAUUAAUAGGGACAUAGAGACUAGUUCUCAUCUUCUGCUCCGGGUAACUGAUAUAUAAUACCUUCUCUUCUCUCUUCUUCUCUGGCUCUCUCUCUAUAUAUAGGUGGGUGUAUAUAUUAUAAGAGAGUGCGAGAGGAGAGACGGAGAGAGACGAGAGAGAGAGCACUAGGCUUGGAAUACAUCAAUAGCACCAAGUGUUAGUGCUAUUAGUGUUUUUAGUUAUUGGAUUGAGAAUGUAUGCGAGUGUGUGUGUGGGCACCUGGGUUGAGAUGGGUGUGUGUGUGUGAUAGUCGUGUGCUAACGGUAAAAAUAAUCAAAGGUUAAAUCUAAUGGUGGAAAAACUUGAUUAGCCACCAAAUCCUUGGUGCUAUCAUAGUAUCUCAGCCGGACUAAUAUAGUAAAUAUAGUAUAGUAGUAUAUAUAGGUUAUAUCUAUAGUACUAUAUAUUAGUGUGGGGUAUUAUAUAGUAAAGUGAUUAAUAGUGUCAUAUAUCGUUUUAUGGCUAUUAAUAGCACGAACACUGUUGCUACAAGUUUUUCCGCCAUUAGAUUACCAUUUUGAUCAUUUUCACCCGUUAGAUCAUACUAUUCAAUCAACCACCCACUCAACCCUAGGGGGCCCACAUCAUCCUAACCGCACAUCUCUUAAUCCAAUGGCUAAAAACUUGGUAGCACUAAUGACUUGGUGCUAUUAAUAGCAUAGUAGCCUAGUUCUAUAUAUAUAUGUCACGCCCCGAGCCCGAUCCUUUUGGCCGGUUCGAGUGCGUCGAACAGACGCCGAACGGACAGAGUCUCCCCUGUCCGCCCAAGGCUCAACAUUCUGUACAAAUAGAGUAUGAAUUUUGCACAAAACGGAAGCAUACACACAAUGGCUUGCACGAGGGCAAGCGAUAGCUAAUAGUUAAAGUAAUAAACUACACUUAGAAAAUUGUUUACAUUUUUGUAUCAUUUCUUCUCUUUUACAUUACAUGAUCUCAAAAUAUAAGUUCUAGCAUUAAAAUAUAAAAUAUCUUUUACAUCAUUCAUAUUCUUUUUCUUUAACAUCUAUAGUCAUCAAAAUACAAAAAGGCGAUGUAUAAAGGUAUGCAACUAUAAAAUGGAAACCCCUUCGGGAGGUCUCUAUCUAGGGCGCGAUGCCCUUACCCCGAUCAUCCGCUGGCUCGGUCGGUCCGGGCUCUGUGGAAAUAGUACAGCGAGAACUACAACAAAGUUUCCAGUGGGUUCGGCAACCGACCACGCCGACUUUCCCACUAGGUCUAAAUUAGGCAUAAUAGAAGAAUAAAUAAAUAGUAACCAAGCUAAAGCAAAUACAGCUAAUAUGCUUAAACAAUAAAUAAUGCUAUGCUCAAUAAAGUACUCAUGAUGAAUGCAAGGUUACUGCUCAGAACCCAAUCUCUAGGCUAGCCCGUAGGUUUCGCCCACAAUAGACUCACCAACUCAAAUCCCAAAAAUCGGAGAGACUACUACACCCAGUGAUGACAACUCUGGAGCACAUCGCCGGAGGGGGAGUUACCACCCUCGAGUAAGGACUUACAGGUGAGUAUGAUCCAAUCAUUAACUAUAAGGAUGUCAAGUUCAAUCCAUUCCUUAACUAUAAGGAAAUAAUGCACAUAUGACUCUUAACUCUGAGGUUGAAAUUGUCAUAAUGUCACUAUCACACCUUUACUUGCAUUCUUUUCUUUCACUAGCGUCAUAUACACUGCUAUAUUCUUGUACACAUGCCACGCUUGUUUUCUAAGUGUUCCAAUUCUAGCAUUCUCGACUCUUCAAUGUCACUUUCUACUUCUAUAUCAAGAUGUCACAUUUAUUUACUGAGUCCACUAAGUUCUUGUCACUUGUUAUGCAUAAAUAGGGUUUAUAAAAUUCUUACAUUCUUGCUAGUAAUUCACAUGCAUUUGUACUCACAACAUGCAAUGAAAUGCUCAUAUAUAACCCUACUAUGCAAUUUUUAUGCUCAAUACACAUAUGCUCAAAUAGGACACUUUAGACAUAAAAGGAAUUCCAAGGUCUUCGGAGUGCACCGCCCACCUUAUAUGGUUGCAAAGGUGCUACAAUGAAUUUCUUGAAAUUUUUUGAAGCCCUAUUCCUUCGCCUGCGGCAAAAUGAAGCCAAAUUAGGCUUUUUCUCAAUAACUUUAUCUAAACCUUUUUAUAACGUCAAACGGAGUUGUCCCACACGUCGGGAAUACCCCUAAUUAGGUUUCCAAGAGGUCAAUUUACCUCGAAAACAACCGGAGGUAAAAGCCUCAAAAUUCAUGCCCUAACAAUGCCAUAUAGGGUUUUCUCCUUGAUUGAUCUCAUUCCUAAGUAAAAACUAGCUUAGAAUCAAUUAGCAAGCAUUCUAAUAUCAUCACUAAGUUAUUCCAAGCACCCCUAGGGCAUUUACUUUAAACCUUAGUUGUUCACCAUUAGAGCAUCUUGGGAAAACCAUGGUUUCAUGGUGAACAAAGCUCAACAAAGCUUCUAAUCAUGAGAGAAGCUCAAAACUCUAGUUCUAUAGUGAAAAUCCAAACCCUAGAUGAGUUUUUACCCUAAACUCACCUUAGCCAAAAGCUAUCUCCAAGUCCACCUUGUAGGAGAGUCCUAAAUCUUCUCCAAGCCACCAAAAUCGAAGUUUCUCCUUCAAAUCUUCUCCAAAUCCACUUUUUGGAGAGCUCUCUAGAGAGAGAAAAUAAAAUAAAUGAGAGGGAGGGGGUGAAUGGCUGUGGGAGAGAGAGAGAAGGGGUAUUGGGGUCUUAACAUGUUGUAACAAUUACAACAAAACCCUCCAAAAAGUCUUAUUUGCAGCAGUUCAAUUCUUUGCUGCCAAACCAAAGUGUACCGGUACACGGGUUCUUGUACCGGUACAUUUUUUGCUCAGAGGCAACCCGAGAGCAAACUUCUCAGAUUUUACCAAAGUGUACCGGUACACACCAGGGGUGUACCGGUACAUAUUCGCAAAAAAUCAAACCCGAGAGUAUACUCUUCUCGGGCUGCAGGGCUGUAUCGGUGACAACUCGAUGGUUGUUCCGGUACACUUUGCUCAGAAUAUUAGUUUUGUGCCAUUUUCGAUUCUAUUUCGCGUCAAUCGAUGCUAAAACCUUUCUAACAUCUCUUAAACUCAUUUUUAGCUUUUCCAACCUUAUUGGAAUGCUAAACGGAACUUGUCCAUCAAUUUCUCUCUGUACUUUAACCAAUUUGGCUAAAGUUUGAUAAUCGCUAUCGAGAUUUCAAUAGGUUACAAUAUAUAUAUAUAUNCCAUUUUGUACCCUAUACUCAAAUUCUCCUGCGCUUUGGAUCUUUUACAGCUCUUGUUUGCCUGAGACUUGUACUUGGACAUCUAAAUCUUUCUUAUUGUAGCAUAUGAUGGAUCAUUAGUUGAUACGGAUACUAGUUUGAAUUUGGUUGAUGCUUGAUUUUGUGUGGGUACGAGUCCAUAUUUCUGAGAAAUAUCUUCAUCUUUUAGCUCUUGUUUAUGUAGUGAUUAUCUUUCUACCGGACUUGUUUCUUAAUUAAACAAAGAGAUAUACUGAACAAAAUACCCAUGCAUCCAAAUACGCUUUGAGCCUUUAUAUCCUAGUAGCACUUCACAUGUAAGCAACACUUCCAUUCGAUUUAGUCAAACUGGUCUAUUACUGACUCUGUUCUGCGUUUGUAGUUUUCUGUUUCUAGUUCUUUUCUUAAAAUCUCCCCUUUCCAUUCCAGUCCCUAUGUCAGCAUUGGUAAGGUGAAAACAUGUUUGGAAAGUAUAAUUUAUCUAGAAGCUCUAAUGUGUAAGCAUAUCAAAGUCAGGAGGUUAGGCUCGGCACGUAAAAUUGGUUUCAACUUGGCUGGGAUUUUUAGGCAUAUGAAUAUCAGGAUAUGUUGUAUUUUCCUCUGUUCUUAGCAAUUUUUGGUGCUAAAUAGGGUUCUAGUACUUGCAGCUACAAUGCUUCGCAGAUAGGUGGAUGUAUGGCUCACGCGUUAUUAUGCCUCUUAAUUUUCUAAAAUUUAAUUUUCUUUCUUCUGAAAGGGACUACUAUGGAACCAUCAAUUUCAUUGGUAUUUCACCCAGGAACUUUUCUCCAUGAUUUGGCCUUUGACUCUCUUUUUUAUAGUGAUUUGAAUUUUUUUUUUUACUUUUUGUUAUUUAGCAGUAUAUGAAAGUGGAACUUGGGAAAAUAAAUAUUUAAUGUGUGAUUUGUUUGUUUGCUUAGAAAUUUUAUGAUCGAAUGCUUAGGAUUAUGACUGCUUUUGUGAAUAAUGCAGUCAUAAUCCUAGUUCUUGAUUGCAUAGGAGCAAGACUAUACAAGUCAAUAGUCUUUAAAGAAAAUAUCGAAUGCUUAGCAAAUGUGUACGUAGUUAGAGGAUGGACAUGAAUUGUCCAAAUAUGGAAGGGGAGUUAAUGCACAACCAUAAGAAAAUCCCUAGUCUUUGACAAAGUUGCAAAAUGGCCCUUCAUUUACUUCAUAUUUAGGAAAUGUAGGGAUUGGGAGCAUAUCUGGAGAAGAUAUCAAGGUGAACAAGUGUUGGCAUUAGGGCUAGAAGAGUUAUUGCAUGGGAACAUGAUGUCAUAUAUGGUUUUCACCUUGAGUGAAUCUUUUAGGGUGGUAUAGCCAAUUCAGUGGGCUCCAUGGAUGUAUUUGGAAACUUUUUUUUAUUUUUUUAAAAUAUAUUUUGUUGAAAAUGUGAAGUAACUAGGCUUUGAAUUUUGAAUUCCUAGCACCAACCAUCAAACUCUUUAAUUUUCACUUACGGUGGGGAUGAUUGUUUACGUUUUCAUAUAUUGUGUUUGUUUGGUGGGCCUAUUUUGGCCCAUAAAGGGCUUGUGAAUUUUCAUAUAGGCUUGUUUUCGAAAGUGAGGCUUAGAAGUGUGCAACUGUACAAUUCCCAUAAUGAUUUUCUUUUUCCAGAAACUUGCUCUUGAGAACAUUAAUGUAUUUUUGAUGAUUUGUUAUUAACCUCUAAAACAAAAGGAUAAUAUCUCAUAAAGAAAAUAAUCAAGUAAAUAAUUAUUUGAAUUAGAAAGCAGCAGCUCAAAUGCGUGAUAUACCAUAUAUAAAAAUGAAGCGAAGCAUAUUCACGUUCAUUAACAAAAGAGAUAAUAAAAUAGAUAGCUACUGAAAUAAACUCACUUAACGAUGGAUAUGUUAAAUGAUGUAUUCAUUUGGAAAAUUUACAUAGAACUUGUCUAAAUUAUUAGCUACUUUGAUCCAUCUAACCUUUAAUAAGUUUUGAUUUUGCUUUCUAUUUUUUAGAUUUAAGUGAUUUGAGUUGUUCAACUGCUUUUCAAUUUGUGAAUUUAAGCUUAUCUAAUUUGAUUGGAGUGCUUUAUAUGAUUCUUGAAAUAUUUAUUUCUCAUAUAUAGAUGCUUGUUUCUUCUUUUUGCAGCUCUUAAUGCCAGUUGAACCGAAUAUCCAAGACAUAGGUGGUAUUGAAAAAUUCGAAAAGAAAUACUUCAGGUUCGGCUAACUUUGGUACUAACUCAAAGCUUAAAAGGCCUAUGCGCUCUAAGGAAAUUGUAAGUUCUUUUUUUCUUGCUUAAAUUUAUAUUUGUUUGCUUCGUGGCUUCAAUGCUGAGCAACUUCCACUUCCUUUUCCUUUCGAUUUGUGUGUUCUCUCAAAUUGGAGAAUUUUUAAAAUGUUACAAAUCAUGAACCAAACAAGCCCAAAGGGUGAAUCUUCAUGCUUUAGUGUUCGGCAUUUGGUAUAUUGAUUAGAUUUAUUAGCUUUGAUUUGGUCAAAUGGUUGAAUAGGCAUGGAAUUGGACGAUUUCUAUUGAUAAUAGGAUAAUUUGCAAUAGUUGAAAUAGGAUAAAGUUACAAAUCAUUAUCGAUCAAAUCGUUAUUAAAUUAAGAUGGAUUCGGAUAUUCAUUUCUAAGGACGUGAUCUUUGGAUGAUGCAUUUGUGAUCGAAAUCGUUUAGGUUUUAUUGGUUUCGUUUUAGCUCAUUCUUGAUUUGAUAAUUGGGGUUUUGCUGUGUGGAUUGUAUCUAAUUUGGUAAAAUUGAAACAAUUGAAUACGAGAUUAUUGGGUCCAAAAUAGGUUUUGGCUGUAAUAUUUUGUGUACUUAGUGUAGUGGUUUUAUUACAUUAUUUGUUGAUUGCAACUUUGGUGCUUAAAGACAACUUUUUUUUUCUUUUUUUUUUUUUUUCUGUUCCUUAACAAGUUAAUACCUUUUUGGUUUUUAAGUUUUCAGUUGCAGUAUUAGUGUAUGGAGGAACAUGCUAUUGCUAGUAUUAAUGCUAUUAAGGCUUAUGAACUGCAAAGAAUAUAUUCUCAUGAGUUAUGGCAUAAAUUUGGUGUAUUAUAUUGUAUUAUUGAUUAUAUGUAAGGCAAGGAUUAGAAACCACUUAAAAUUUGCAGCAUCUCUUUGUUCUUUUGCUUCCUCUUUGUUCUUCUCUUAAUCAAAAUCUGAUUAAUUGCUUUCAGCUCUAACUUAAUUGAUUUCAUAUUUUUCAUCCAUUGUUAAGUGAAUUGAUAUUUUGGGGCAAUCUCUUUUGUCCUUUUGAACCAUAAAAUGUAGGAUAUUUUAGGGCAAUUUCUCUUGUCGUUUUGAAUGAUAAAACUUGUCCCAAAAAAGAGUUCACCAAUCUUAGGAAAAUUCCUAAGUUCGUAUAUGGUGGGGGCGGACCAAAACUUUUGUUGUUUCUGGUAAAAUGAUACAAUAUGAAAUGAUGCAAUGUGUCCUCACUUUUUUGGCUCUUUUGUUGUUCUUUUUUUAUUGGUGGUGGGUUCAUUAAUCAGUGCUAUAUGCUUCACGAGUUGUGGUAAAUUAUUAAGUGCAAUAGAUUGGGGAGCCACCAUCUUAAUUACUACUUGUAUAUGAAAUGGAGAUGCAUAUAUUAAAUUGCAUUUUGAGUAUGAUAAUCUGUCACUUAAAUAAUGUCUUGCUCAUUGUCAAAUAAUACCUUUUUUAAGAUGAAAUGAUUAUCUAAUACUAGAAAAUUUAUUUGUUUAGAUUUCAAACGCAUCUAGCGUUCGUAAUAUUCAUCCACAACCUCAUUGCCCUUCAGGUAAAAUUAAACUUAUACUAAUUGAUUUUUAUGUUAAAAGAUUGUUUGACUAAUCUUUUAUUAACUUCAGUAUUGUUUAAUUUGUAGGUUCAACAUCUUAAUUGCCGAGCUCACUACGACUGGAUCUGAUAUGAUAUUAUUAGCUUUUGUUUUUAUUUCUCUUUUUCUUGGGUUGAAAAGCUAGAAAUUGUUGGUACUGUGUUUUAGUGACUAAAUACUCGUUUAAAGAUAUAUGGAUACUACUUUGAGACAUUUUGGUAUUAAUUAGUGUAACUACAAAACUUCUUUUAUAUGCUUUCUUUGUUAAUGCAAAUCAAGGCGAAUAAAAUUAAAGAUAUACUUAAUGAUAAUCAUCGUGGAGUGGUAUUAUAUUUUAAAAAGUGUGAUGCAUCAAGAAAAAUUUGGAUAUUUAAAGAAAAUGGGACAGUUAUAAAGUGUCGCUUAAAUUCAAAAAAAGUGUUGCUAGAAUAUUAUUUUGCAUCACUUUUAUGUACUGCUAAAAGCUUAAAUAAGUGUCGGUAUAUUAGUAGCACUCUUUUUAGAUUAUACCGACACUCUUAAAAAGUGUCACUAUAUACCUAGUGACGCCACAUAUAGCAACACUUUUUAAAAGUGUCGGUAAUUUAGCCAGCAGUACUUUUUUUGACAUAUACCGACAUUUAAAAGUGUCGUUAUAUACCGUUUUUGUUGUAGUGGGGUAUCAGAUCGCUACUGCACGCAAUUGUAUCACAAUUUUUCGUAGUCUUUUAGACUCAUGAAAAGAAAAGGUAUCCUAAUGGUAUUGAUCACUGUAUUAAUCAUCCUUCUAAUUUCCGAAUCAAUGCAUUUGGUCUAGAACUUGAACAAGUAUAUAGAAAAAAAAUUCUGUAAAGCAGAAGCAUCUAAUCUCUCGGUUAGUUAUUAACCUUUUAGAACAAUGCUAUAAAAGGAAAUCAUCAUAUUCGUCUUUGAUAAUCUGAUUGCAUCAAAGAAUUUUACUAAGCACGACUGAAUUGUAUAGAUGGAUUUUCGAACUACCGACUGGCUUAUCGAUACAGGAAGUUCAAAGCCUCAAUAUCCCGACCUACUACACUCAAAUGGCCAGGACGGGCGGCUGUACAUUUCUAGAACACGCUCAAAAUGCAUGAGCGCUUCUUCACAGUUUACUUUUGUGUUGUAUGAAAGCAUUCUAACAGAAACAAAAGCAACUGCACUCAGUUUAUUUUUCAACUCAAAAUUGCAGGAUCUAAUUAAGAAAUUGGAGCACAUAUUUUCUCUCCUUUAUUCCUCCAGCAAACAGCUUUUUGUCAGAAUAGAAAUAGUACCAUGACACACAAUUUGUUUUCAAGCUAAAUGCUAGCUCUGCAUACAUGCAUAGCAUAGACGAUAACACCCAGUACCAUCCUGGCAAAUCUUUUGCAAGAACCGUAGCACAUCUUUGUUUUCAAGUACCUUUUUAGCCUAGCUUCGAUACAAAGUGCUGUUUAAUUAAGUUGUUUCUAUUUAAACAUAUUGCUUGCUAAGUUUUGGAUAUAUAUAUAUAUAUAAUUAGAACCAAUCCUAAGCUCCACCCACGUAUUAUGUGAGAUCUGAAGGUUCGAUCCCCAUCUUCAAUAUUUAACAUGUUAUCUUUCUAUAUUAUAUUUUAGGGUUAAUUUCAUACAGAUUUCUAUAAAUAUAGUAAUGACAGAUAUACCCAUACAAAGUUCAACUUUCAUAUCUUGUUCUUGCAAAAGUUAUGAUAUUUUCAAAUAUGUCCAUACUGUUAGAAUCCGUUAGAAAAAUUUAGUUAACCAUUGGUUAAAUAUUUUACCCGGAUUCAUUUUUGACAUUUUUAUCCCUCUUAUAUUACAUUGUUAUGACUUUUGGAAGGACAUAUUUGUGACGGUAAAAUUAGAAAUAUAAACAAUUCUCCAACGGUUCUCUAAUGGCAACAAAACAGAGGAACAUAUUUGAAAAUAUUAGAAUUUUUGUAGAAACAAUAUGAAAGUUAAACUUUGUAUGGAUAUAUUCCUGAUUCACUAUAUUUGCAAGGACCUGUAUGAAAUUAACCCUAUAUUUUAAUAGGUCAAAUGACUAUCUCUAAUUUACCUGUUAAUUUCAGUCUUUUAAAUUCAUUCGUAUUUAGAAGGGAUGUUAAAGAUUUUUCUAAACUAUAUGAAUGUGUGUGUAUAUAUAUAUAGUCCAGCUACUAUACUAUCAAUGGCAACUAACAUUUGGUACUAUCAAGUUUUCUGUCGUUAGAUUUACUACUUUGAUCAUUUUUACCCAUUAGGUCAUACCAUUCAACCAAUCACUCACUCAAUCCUAGAGACCACUAUUAUCCUAAACGCACAUUCUUUCAUUCAAUGGCCGAAAAUCUAAUGACACUAAUGACUUGAUACUAGUGAUAGUUUCUAUAUAUAUAUAUAUAUAGAGUAGGGCUGCUGUGCUCUCAGGAGCACGAAGGCCUCCGUGCUCUUGAGCCGUUUUCGAUGAUGGAAUUUUCGAAUCGACGUUCGGCUCCGUUAGACUUGAUCUAGUGUAUUUGAAGUUUCUAGAAAAUAAUUUUUGCGAAUUUUUGAUAUCAUUUACCUAGUGAUCGAAAUGAUUCAAAAUCAAUAAUUUUUAAUGGUUGAUAUCUGCCGUUUUCAAGUUUAACGGUGUAGAAGUAUUCAAAUCAGAUGAAAUUUUGAUACAAAAUUCUUUAUACUAUCUACAAUAAGAUCAACAUUUCUGAUAAAAAAUUUUAGUGCUAUAUCACCAGUUUUUAUAGAAUUUUUAUUUUCAGCCGUUAAAAAUUAUUGAGUUUGAAUCCUAUCGAUUGCUAGGUAAAUGAUAUCAAAAAAUCGCAAAAAAUAUUUUCUAUAAACUUCAAAUACGCUAGAUCAAGUCUAACGGAGCCGAUCGUCGAUUCGGAAAUUACAUCAUCGAAAACGGCUCAGGAGCACGGAGGCCUCCGUGCUCCUGAGAGCACAGCAGCCCUAUUCUCUCUCUCUCUCUCUCUCUCUCUCUCUCUCUCUCUCUCUCUCUCUCUCUCUAUAUAUAUAUAUAUAUAUAUAUAUAGUCCCGGCUACUAUGCUAUUAAUAACACGAAGCACUUGGUGCUACCAAGUUUUCCGCCGUUAGAUCUACCAUUUUGAUCAUUUUCACCCGUUAGACCAUACUAUUCAACCAACCAUCCACUCAACCCUAGGGGGCCCACAUCAUCCUAACCGCACAUCUCUUAAUCCAAUGGCCAAAAACUUGGUAGCACCAAUGACUUGGUGCUAUUAAUAGCAUAGUAGCUAGUUCUCUUUCUCUCUCUCUCUCUCUAUAUAUAUAUAUAUAUAUAUAUAUAUAGAGAGAGAGAGAGAGAGAGAGAGAACUAGGCUGGAAUACUAUCAAUAGCACCAAGCUGUUAGUGCUAUUAGUUUUUUAGUUAUUGGAUUGAGAAAUGUGCGGUUAGGAUGAUGUGGGCCCCCUAGGGUUGAGUGGGUGGUUGGUUGAAUAGUAUAAUCUAACGGAUAAAAAUAAUCAAAGGUUAAAUCUAACGGUGGAAAACUCGAUAGCACCAAAUCCUUGGUGCUAUCAAUAGUAUCCCAGCCGGAUUAUAUAUAUAUAUAUAUAUAUAUAUAUGCUUUUAUGCUAUUAAUAGCACGAAGCACUUGGUGCUACCAAGUUUUCCGCCGUUAGAUCUACCAUUUUGAUCAUUUUCACCCGUUAGAUCAUACUAUUCAACCAACCACCCACUCAACCCUAGGGGGCCCACAUCAUCCUAACCGCACAUCUCUUAAUCCAAUGGCUAAAAACUUGGUAGCACCAAUGACUUGGUGCUAUUAAUAGCAUAGUAGCCUAGUUCUAUAUAUAUAUAUGUCACGCCUCGAGCCCGAUACUUUUGGCCUGUUCGAGCGCAUCGAACAAACGUCGAAUGGACAGAGUCUUCCCUGUCCGCCCAAGGCUCAACAUCCUGUACAAAUAGAGUAUGAAUUUUGCACAAAACAGAAGCAUACAUAAUGGCUUGCACGAGGGCAAGCGAUAGCCAACAGUGAAAGUAAUAAACUACACUUAGAAAAUUGUUUAUAUUUUUGCAUCAUUUCUUCUCUUUUAUAUCACAUGAUCUCAAAAUAUAAGUUUGUCUGCCACCACGAAUGACGCACCUCGCACGGGGAAUUUUUAUCUUUGAUUUCUCCCGUGGGGUAGUAUUCAUGAUGUAGAUUAAAGUAUGUGUAAGUAUGGUUAUCAGGUAUUGCGGAUCCAUGGCUUCCAAUAAACGCAAGCAUUUAUUGUUAAUUACCCCUACAAAGUGUUAGGGUACCUUCGAUUAAGAGACCUUUGAAAUGCUGAAGAUUGAAUAAAAGAUGAACGAAGUUCAGUGGAUUGAGUUUGAUUCUGAACCGGGGUGUAUAUAACCCUAAUGUGAAUUGGGAUUCGAUCAGGUUCAAAUUGGACUUAAAUAUAUGAUAAAGUCCAAUCAAGCUCUGUAUGUUUAGAGCUCAAUUGUGUUCACCAUAAGACAAAAUCCUAAUUAUAUAUAUUAGGAUUAGUCAUCAUUUGUCUUAAAUUAGACUCUAAGUGUAUGUAUUAGAGCCCAAUUUGGUUUCACGUGAGCCAAAUCCUAAUUAUAUAUAUUAGGAUUAGUCAAAAUGUAGUUGACAUUAAACUCUAAGUAUAGGUAUUAGAGUCUAAUUUGGUCUCAUAAGGGUUCACCCUAAGGUGGUUUAUAGGCCGAAUCCUAAUUAUAUGGGUUAGGAUUAGCCGAAGAUUAAACUCUAAGUGUAUGUAUUAGAGCUUAAUCAAGAGAUGAAAUUUAAACUCCAAGUGUAUGUAUUAGAGUUUAAAUUAGUGAACUCUGAGUGGAUAUAUCAGAGUUCAAUUGCAUAUGAUUUGAUCAAUUCUAAUCAGGUAUUUUAGAAUUUGAUCGAAUUUUAAAUAGGUCAGGAUUCUAACUCUAGUUGUAUGUGCUAGAGAAGAGAUUUGAUUUGGAUUUGACAUAGGAUCAAGGGGAUUUGAAUUUGGGUUCAAAAAGGGGCUCAUUUGAAUUUUGGACUCCUUUUGGACUUAAUUUGGAUUUGAUAUGAAAAUUUGGGUUUUAUAUGGGAAUUGGGCUCAAAAUGGGCUCAAUUUGGAUUUGGUAUGGAAAUUGAGCUUAAAAUGGGCUCAAAAUGGGAAUUUGAGUUUCAUAUGGAAAUUGAGCUUAAAAUGAGCUCAAUUUGGAUUUGAUACGAAAAUUUGAGUUUUAUAUGGGAAUUGGGCUCAAAGUGGGCUCAGUCUGGAUUUGAUAUGGUAAUUGGGCUCAAAGCUGGCUCAAUUUGGAUUUGACAUGGAUAAAUAGGUUCAAUUUGGGUUUGAUUUGGAUUUCAUUUGGACUGGGUAUGAGAAUUUGGAUUUUAUAUGGUAAUUGGGCUCAAAAUGGGCUCAAUUCAUAUGUAGAUUUUGGGCUCAAAAUGGGCUCAGUUCAUAUGUGGAUUUUGGGCUCAUUUUGGGCUCAAUUUGGAUUUGAUAUGGGGAUUUCGAUUUGAUGUUGGGUUGAGAUGUGGAUUUGAUAUGAGAUUUGGAUUUGGGUUGAUAUGGGGUUUGAAUUUGGAUUCAAUAUGGGAUUUAGGCUUUGAUUUAGGAUUUUGGACUUAGGUUUAAUUUAGGCUUUGGGCUUAUUUUGGGUUUUGGGUUUAAUUUAGGUUCGGGCUUUGGACUCAAUUUGGGUUUAUGGAUUCGGGUAUGGGCUAUAUUCAGGCCCGUAUAGUAUGGACUCAGGUUGAGGCCUGAAAUUAAGUUCUGGAUGCGGGCCUAGGCUCAGUUUAGGCCCGUGUGGCUUAAACCUAUAUUUUCCUUUAGGCAAGCUACAGAAUUGGGCUCAGAUUCAAGUUUGGACUGGAUUCACAUUUGGACUGAGCUUGAGUUAUGUAAUUUGAGGUAGGUAUGGGCUCGUUCCAGAUGAGAUUUUUAGAUAGAAAUUGUUCAGAAUUUGAGAUCAAAAUAUAUGGUUCAGGAUCAAAUUCAUCAUUUAGAAAAUUUCUAAUGCAUUUUUUAUUUGUUAAAUUCUUGAUCAUAAAUCACAUAAAAAUGUCUAAUGUGAUUAAAUUUCAAUUUGGUCUAAUUUGACCAAAUAGAAAGACUCAACUUGGAUAGAAUCAAUGUUCAAUUAUUUUCGAACAUUGCAUUGUUCUUCCAAUAAAAGGACGAUCAAAAGAAUAUUAAUCGGUAAUCCGACUAAUUUUCUUUUGUCUCCUCACAUUUUUUCUUUAUCUCUUUUAUCUCUUUUACAUCCAUGGGACAACUGAGAUGGGAUAAAUUCCUUACUUGCCUCCCUAACAAAGCUCCCUCUCUCUUUCAUAAGUAGAGAAGUAAUAUCUCUCUUUUUCUCUUUUUUUUUUUUUUGCAAAGAGAAGAGCACCGCUCUCUCUCUCAGAUUCGCUGUCGAAUACUUGGCGGGCGGCUUCGUUUGAGAGGAGAUCACCGCUCUCUCUCUCAGGUUCGCUGUCGAAUACUUGGCGGGCGGCUUCGUUUGAGAGGAGAGCACCGCUCUCUCUCUCAGGUUCGCUGUCAAAUACUUGGCGGGCGGCUUCGUUUGAGAGCAGAGCACCGCUCUCCUUCUCAGAUUCGCCGUCGAGCACUUGGCGGCUUUGUUGAUGACGGAGCUCCGCUGGGGCUGUGACCUGACAGUGGAGCCACGGAUUUGAGACUGCGACGGAGGAGGACCGUGACGGCGACUUUGACGGAGCUUCUGCGUGGCUUUGGGCGGACCUGCCGCGGGUGGCGCGGCUUCAGGAAGGUCAGCAGUGGACUUUCGAAGUAUAGCUUCGGAGUGGUGAAGGCAUGGUCGAGCUCUGGAACAAGCUCGACGGCGGUGCGGUGUGGCUCGGCUGCAGUGUGGACAGCCUUGGGUUCGGAGAGGCGCUGAGUCGAACAGGUGGCGGGCAUCGAGUCGAAGCAUGUUCAGGCGCGGGAUCGGCAUGUGUCCGAGCAGGGGUGCGACUCGGGCGGCCUCGACUUCGGAUUGGGCCGUGCCCGGUCGGAGGGGGACGAUGCGGACGGCGGUCGCCGCGCCUCGAAGCUUCAAGGCGGACUUGGGCAUCACGGCGUCGGGUGCGAGAUCGGCGUGUACCCGAGCGGGGGGUGCGGCUUAAGGCAGAUCGGCCGCGGGUGGCGCGGCUUCAAGUCGAGGACGCGGGGAAGCGCGUCGCGAGGAUCGGCCGGGGCGCGCUGGAGCUCGUUGGAUGCUCGACGGAGUGAUUUCGGGCUGCUGUUUGGUUUGGGACUUUCGCCGAACAGGUGGCGGGGUGCAGAGAGGAAACUCAUAGAUGGAAGUCUUUGCGGAAGUCGUUGAAGAUGCGGCGGAGCUCGGUGGGUGCUCGACGGAGGCGCGGCGGAGACACGGCGGAAGGGCUCAGCCAACUCCAUGCGGAGCUUGGUGGAGCUUUGUGGGUGCUCAGCGGAGCUUCGGCGGAAGCGCGGGGAGCGCGUCGCGGCUCGAUCGGCAGAGGAGGCGGGGGAGCGCCUCGACGCGGAGAGAGGCAUCGUCGAAGACGGGGACGCGGGGAGGUCGAGGAGGCGCUCAGCGGAGUUGAGGCAGAGACGCGGAGAAGGAGGCCGGAGCGCGCGUCGGUGGAGCGCCUCAGCGCGGAGAGCUCAAGGAGCUCGAGCGCGCGGAGAUAUCGAGGAGGCGGCGAGGGCGACGUCGUCGAGGGCAGGGGCUCGGCGGAGGCGCUCGGCGUCUCCGGCGUAGAAGAGGAAGAAGAUGAGCGGCGGAGGAGGCCGGAGCGCCCGUUGGUGGAGCGCCUCGGCGCGGAGAGCUCGAGCGCGCGGAGAUAUCGAGGAGCUUGGCGCGGAGAGAUCGAAAGGCUCGGGCGCAGGGAAGCUGAGGAGGUGGCAGGGGGGAGGCGCGUCGCGACUCGUGCGCAGGGAAACGAUGGAGCGCGGGGGAGCGCGUCGCGGCUCGUGUGCAGGGAAGCCGAGGAGGAGGCAGGGGAGCGGCGGAAGAAGCCUCGGUGGGUGCUUGAGAGAGAGAGAGAGAGAGAGAGAGAAAAAGAUCUGAGAUCUCUUUUUUUAUUCUCUUUUUCUUCUUUCUCUUUUUUUUUUUUUUUUUUUUUUUUUUUUUUUUUUUUUUUUUAGCGAGAGAGAUAGAGAGAGCUUUGUUUUCUUUUUUUCUUUUUUUUUUCUUUUUUUUUUGAACGGGAGAAAGAGAUAAUAUAUAUAUUUUUUUACCUUUUUUUUUUUUUGCGAUCGACAGAAUGGGGUGGGUAUUUUUUGAUUAGAUUUCGAAGAUUCAAAAAGCUCUUCCCGUUUGAUUUUUUCGAAGGGUAUUUAUGGGGGUGGUUGUAACCAACUUGAGGGAAACGUGCGAGUGAAUUGCGGGACGUGGGAUCGUGGGCGGUUAGGGGAUCGUGGGGUGAUCGUAAUGGGAUCGUGGGAUGUGGGUAGUUGAGAGGAGAUUGUGGGAUAGAUUUUGGACGGCAGCGAUGGGAUUGUGUGAUAAUGGAUGGUUAUGAUGGAAUCGUAGAGAUAUUGGGUGGUUAAGAUGGGAUUGCGGGAAUAUUGUGAAUUAGUCCUUUCCCUUUGAUCAUAUUACACCUUAAUCAAAAUAUCAUAUGAUUAAGGUAGGGCAUUUUGUAAAUAUACAAAAGGGAAUAGACUAAUAUGCUAUUUUAUAUACCCGUGCGUAUUAUUUUUUCGCAAUCCGGUGCAUGAGAUAUUUUCAAAAUUUAAAUUUUAUCCAUGCACCUGGUGCAUGGAUGAUCUCAUAAACCAUCUCUAUUUUUAUUUCUUUCUCUCCCAUUUUUUCUUUUUCCUCUUUUAUUCCUCUCUCUUUUUUUUUUUAUGCUUCAACAAAUGCCCCCCACCUUUUCAAGCUUGUGAUUUAAACAAGGUGGAAAAAGGUGCCGAUCUCCUUUUACAAUUCCGACCUUCAUAUCGCCAUCGAAGGUUUGAUCAUUAAAGAUAUCAGGUAUUUAUAUAUAUAUAUUUUUUAUACCGAUUGAUCUCUUUUGAUGUUAUAUAUACAUAUCUAUAUACAUGUUUGAGAUCUGUACGAGAUAUAUUUGACCCAUGAAUAGAUUGAUCAUGAUAUCUCUGACUUCAAAACAUCUUAUCUUAGAUCGUAGAUUUUACUCAUACGUUUUAUAUUGUAAUCCUUUUUCUAGAUCAUGGGAAAAACGAGCGAGCCAUUAAUUCAUCCCGAUGAUAAAACUUUAGGCGUAUUUAGAGGACUUUCUUUAACGCGUUCACCUCCGGUAUUUGGACGUUCUGCUGAACCCGCAAUUCCUUAUGAGACGCCUAUGUUAAAAGAAUGGGCGAUAUUUAAACAGAAACAGUUGUUGGGUCGUUUCGGGGUUGACUAUUAUGCUCCUGAUGGUGACGGCGAUGUUAUAUUAUUACCCCCAUUAGGUCCUCCGAAAGAAAGAGACACGUUACAAUCUCUCGGGUAUAAAAUACUUAAUAAUCAUCCUGGAUGGUGUGGAAUGAGUAGGAUUUUAGGGGAUAGCAUUGAGGUAGAGGGUUUAAUUGAAUGGGGAAAUCAUAUCAUCUCUCAUUACACCACACAGUUACGUCGUGCUGGCAUUUUAGGGGGUAUCGUAGCUUCACGAGGGAGAUACAAUAAGAAUAUGAAUAUCAUCAAGGCAUUGGUAGAGCUGUGGUGUUCGGAGACAAACACUUUUCAUCUUCCAUUUGGUGAAGUUGGGAUUUCUUUAUGGGAAAUUAGAGAACUCGGUGGGCUUCCGAUUAUCGGUGACAUGUACGACGAAUAUAUCCCUCCAAAUUCUGAACUUUAUAGUAAGAACAAUUAUCCCAGUUGUGUUAGGGAGCUUUUUGAUGUUUAUCAAUGGCUCAUGGCUCGGUCUUCUAACAAGCGUGUGCGGUAUGAUUUAUGGGUAGAUUUCUUUUACACAAGCUGUAAGAAGUUGACUAAGUCUAAGUCUCGGAGUAUAAGCAAUAGAGAGCUCGCCCCCUCAUAUACAGAAGACGCGACCCGAGCGGCUUUCAUUUCUUUAUGGUUAUGCAACUUUGUAAUGCCUUCUGGAUUAGACCAUUUCAUCAGGCCAGAGACGUUUAUUAUGGCUUCUAAGCUGGCAUUAGGUGAGAAAGUUGCUUUAGCCCCUGCCAUUCUUUGUGCGAUCCAUGCUGGUUUAUCUUUUAUGAGUGAUCACCCUGAAGGACCUGCGCAUCCUGGACCUCAAUUUCCGGUUAAUUUUCUAUAUGUGUGGAUCGGUCUUCACUUUGAACAGACUUAUUCUAGAAAGGUGAUUAGCGAGAAUAUCAAGAAUAUCGUCGGCUUACGAAGUCCUCCUCAAAUGAUAUUUUUUAUGGACGCGGCGGCUUCUCCUUUUAAUGCUAAGCGAGCACGGAUUCACCUCAGGUUGAGUGCUCAUUUUGUUUGGCGUCCUCUACCAUAUUCUUAUUCUUUUGUUGAUGACGGUUGGCUUUACGAUGCGAAAUUGGCUCCAGGAGAGUGUAAAUAUCCGAGAGAGGUUUAUGAGUAUAUAAUUUCUAUCAGACAGAGUGUGCUUCCACUUCGUUUGGGGAAUAAAUUACACACCCAGUCAUAUAAUCCUCAUCGUUUUGCUCGACAAUUUGGCUUUGAUCAGUCUUUUCCUGAAAGUAUCACUGUUUCCCGAUUAGCGAGCCAUCUUGGGAUACUUGCUGGAUGUUGGAAUCAUUUCAUUCGCUAUGGGACUUUUAUUAAUUAUUUCAUACCGAAGAAGGACCGGAUUGGGAAACCAACUUUGCAUUAUGCGCGCUGGUGGUCUAAUAGCGUGCAUUCGAGCUUCAAACACGGAGUAGGCUAUCUACUGAGUGCAGAUGAUCCCCGCAAGAAGAAGAAAGGUGUUGCUAUUGUUGGUAAAGAUUCUGAUUUUGAGGAGAGAUUAACCUCGUCAAAUGUUAGAGAUGAAAGGGUUCUGAAUAUUCCAGAACCAAAGGGAAAAGAACUGGACUUAUUUCCAGAAUAUGAUCAUAUUCAAGCUGAUCUUUCAGAUGACUCCCCUCAACGUGAAGUUCUUGGCCUCAGUUUUCCAAUUCAUGAAGACAAGAAAUCUGAGGUAUGUUCAUUAACAUUUUCAACUAUCUCUUUUUUUAUUUUGCAUACUGACCUUCUUUUUUUUUUUUGUAUACAGGAAGUGUUUGUUACAGGUUCGCCUGCCAGGGAUAAAAUACACUUGCAGGACCCUUUAAUGAAGUCAAAGGUAUGACGUAGCAUCCAUAUGAUUCGAAUUUUGUUUGAUUCAUUCUGACACCCUUUCUUUUUAUAUAGGCAUGCGAUGUGGAACCGUCAAGAAGCUCAGAAAAUCCACGCUUGGAUGUUUCAACUAAAGUGGCUCGUGGAAAACUUCCCAUUACUGUGUCUUCAAUGAUAGGUGAUCUUCAUUCGUAUUCUGCUUAUAAUUAAUUCCACAUGAUGUUGCCGCACUCAUCCUUUGUUUUUUUAAUUCACAGAAUCACAAGCCGGCGGGAGUGGAUCCAUUGAGGAUGACGUGCCUUCAGAUGAUGAGUGGUUCUGACGCCUUCGCCACCACAGGUAUUUUAUUUUCUAGUUGAAUCCAUGUCCCUUCUUCUGGUUUCAAAUUAAGAAUUUGAUUCUCAACUAAAGAAGGAGGUAAAAUAUGGAUAAUAAUGUGUAAUUUUUCGUUAGAAAUCUGUAGCCACAAAAAUUUCGCAAAUCGGAGUUAAAACGAAAAUGUUAUGGCCCGUUUACACUUUGGUCCCUGUAUUUACGAAACAGUCCCUGCGGGCAGUUUCAUUUCAGUCCUUGCAGUUUUAUUUUAGUCCCUGCAGCUUCAUUUCCCUUGCUUUUUGAUGCAGAAAAUUACUUUCAAGGAAUUUUAUGGCUAUAACGAUGCACAUUUUGGGAUUAAAAUAUUAUAACCCCUUUCAUAAUAUAUUCGUUAUUCCUUGUUUUUACAAAAUGGUCCUUGUAGCAUAUAUCGAUAUGUGAUUCUUUUUGUCACAGGAUCCGCUCACCGAUGCUGCUGAUAUUGGAGCGUCAUCUUUCAAGGAGGCUUGCUCGACUCAUCAUGAAGUAUAUUUGUAUUUAUUAUCCCAACUUUCAUUUUAUAUCGCUCAUGUUUACACCUCAAUUUUAUUGUGUAGGAUGAGGGUGCUGAAGGAGAUGACGAUAUAGUAGAAGAUGGCAAAAAUGAAGUCUUGCCGGGAUCGUCUUUACUUGGUAAAAGAGAACGAGUCGAUGAUAUUCCGGCUACAGAGGUGCAUAAAAGAGCUUGUUUGGAGGCUGAUUCAAAAUCAACCGGUAAAAUCCUCCCCUCUUUUCUUUAAAAGACAGUAUCUUUUACAUAUUUAUUAUUUCUUUUCAUAUGCAGACCUUCUGGUAGAGUCAAAAUUGGAUGAUGAUCUGAUAGACGCUUUAUCACCUUAUGGCGACGAAGUGGACUACGAGCCUACACCUUCACCACCUGAAGCUCCUGAUAUGGUAAGAUUUAAAUAUCUUCUUCUUUUCUUUUCUUUCUCGUUUUUCAUUCUUUUCAUUCUCUUUUUAUAGGGCGUACCACUUGACGAGGACGUCGGCAUUAACGUGAGUAGCGGUACAGGAGGUUUCCAGAGUGAGGUGCCUAUUGCGGUCAGAUCAUUUUUGAUUGACCGCACAACGGAUAUCAUGAAGACGUUCGACCGUCGACGAUUCAGAUCAGCUCGAGAGGAAGUGUCCAAGUAUUGUCAGUGCAUUUCCUCACUUGGAAUUGAUGUAUUUGAAUUGGAUGGGCGUAUAAAAUCCGUGUUUGAUCAUGCCGAGGUCAUUGAAGAAUUAGAGUCAAGUCCGAGUUUCGCUUCAGCUGUUCGGCUCGUGAAUGCUGAUGAGGAUCUGGCGCUAAAGAAAAGGAAGCUUGCUUCUCACAUCAGCACAAAAAGUUCUAUUCUCAAAGCUUCAGAAGGUGUCUCUUUGGAGCUUCAACAGACUAGAGAGAAAAUAAGAGAGCUUGAGGAGCACAUUUUGCAGUUAAAGAGUACAGAAGCAGAGUUGUCAGUUAAACUCGAAGUGGCCAACGACUCUUUAAAGAAAUUAACGCCGACUGAAGAAGAACUGCAGAAGGACGUUGCUGAUGCGGAGAGGGAAUAUGCUGCAGCCACUGAAGAUUGUAAAGCUUCCAAAGAAUCCGCCGGUCUCCGAGGAUUGAUAGAGCUAUUUGAGGAGCGUCGUCAGAUAUUUGAGAUUUGAUUUUCCUUUACUUUUCUCUUUUUGGAUGUUUAUCGUGGAUGUUAUCUUUAUUUGUCACUAGUAUGAGACAGUAUUUGAUAAUUUGAAUGACUUUGAUUGUGCUUGAAUGUUCGAUCUCUUCCUCCUGUUUUUAUCUCAUACUGCAUUGUAACGAUGAUUGUCUUGCGAGAAUGGUUUGUUCCUUUUGCCUUGAUUCUCACGUACAAUCAACUCUAAAUUGAGUCAUCACUCAGUUGUCUGGGCAAAUAUGCUAUCUUCUCAGCGCUCUUGUAGCGAUAACAUGUACACUGCCCCCCCCUUUUUAUUUUUUAUUUUUUAUUUUUUAUUUUUUAUAUGCUCAGUUUAACGACAUGGCGGUCAAAUUACAUCAAAAUGCCAAAUUACAUCAAAAUGCUCAGUUUAACGACAUGGCGGUCAAAUUACAUCAAAAUGCUCAGUUUAACGACAUGGCGGUCAAAUUACAUCAAAAUGCUCAGUUUAACGACAUGGCGGUCAAAUUACAUCAAAAUGCUCAGUUUAACGACAUGGCGGUCAAAUUAUAUUAGAAUGCUCAGUUUAACGACAUGGCGGUCAAAUUAUAUCAAAUGCUCAGUUUAACGACAUGGCGGUCAAAUUACAUCAAAAUGCUCAGUUUAACGACAUGGCGGUCAAAUUACAUCAAAAUGCUCAGUUUAAUGACAUGACGGUCAAAUUACAUCAAAAUGCUCAGUUUAACGACAUGGCAGUCGAAUUACAUCAGAAUGCUCAGUUUAACGACAUGGCGGUCAAAUUAUAUUUGAAUGCUCAGUUUAAUGACAUGGCGGUCAAAUUACAUCAAAAUGCUCAGUCUAACGACAUGGCGGUCAACUUACAUCAAAAUGCUCAGUUUAACGACAUGGCAGUCGAAUUACAUCAGAAUGCUCAGUUUAACGACAUGGCGGUCAAAUUAUAUUUGAAUGCUCUUUUGAAAGCAAUCGAAAUUGCUACACAUAACUGACCCUAAGGCGAGUUAGUGGAAAAAAUACAUUUUGGGUAAUAGGAGACAUGGUUUGGUUUUUUUUUUUUUAUUUUGCCUCAAGAAGCAAUCGAAAUUGCCGCAUAACUGACCCUAAGGUGAGUUAGCAUUCCGUCAUAGGCAAAAUAUAUUUUGGGUAAUAGGAGACAUGGUUUGAUUUGGUUUUAUUUUGCCUCGAGAAGCAAUCGAAAUUGCCGCAUAACUGACCCUAAGGUGAGUUAGCAUUCCGUCAUAGGCAAAAUAUAUUUUGGGUAAUAGGAGACAUGGUUUGAUUUGGUUUUAUUUUGCCUCGAGAAGCAAUCGAAAUUGCCGCAUAACUGACCCUAAGGUGAGUUAGCAUUCCGUCAUAGGCAAAAUAUAUUUUGGGUGAUCUGGCGCCCAUAUGGGUUUUCACCAGAUACCUUCCCCUAACUUUUGCCUGUGAGCCUCGAAAGGUUUUCUCACAGCGNNNNNNNNNNNNNNNNNNNNNNNNNNNNNNNNNNNNNNNNNNNNNNNNNNNNNNNNNNNNNNNNNNNNNNNNNNNNNNNNNNNNNNNNNNNNNNNNNNNNAUUCGAACAAAAUAUUUCAUAUAAGUUAUUAUCUAUGUUACGAACACAGGUUCAUAGUAUUAAAGGGCAAUAUUGGUAUUUAAAAAAAUAUUAAUCUAAGUUUUCUACUAUUCUCAACUAUCAUCAUAAAAUUUACCAAACAAAAAUUUGCUUAUUUUUCGGAAUUAGAGAAUUGCAAACCAAACACAAAUUUCAUUUUAUUCUUUUGUAUCUUAAAAUACAUCAUAAAUUCAAGAAUAAAAAUAUUUAUUUUCCUAAACACUAUUCCAUCACCAAACGCAGCGUUAGUGAACAACUUUCUUUUUCUAAUGGCUAUUUUCAAUAAAUAUUGAAGGAAGAAAGAUUAAAAUCGCCUGACUUAUUAUUAUUUGUUUUCUGAAUCUUUCAUAUAUAGAAAGGAAAGCCACUUUCUUGAACUAUAACUUUGAACUAGGCCUAAGUCGGCAAUCCAUAUAACAUUCACUAGAUAGCUUGGCAAAUGUUGAAUUAACUCCAAUCUCCAAAAAUAAAAGAUCAGAAUUGUAAGGUUCUCAACUUAUAAUUAGGGUUAUCAUCCCACCUGCAGUUAUAUAAAUUAAAGAGUUAAUUGCAUUCAGCUUCCUGUAAAUAUGAUAAAUUACAAAUAUAUUCCUAUAAAGUUUAAUUUUUUUUUGUUAUUCCUGCAAAAGUUCAGCGAUAUUCAUAUUUAUCCUUCUGGUUUAUUACCAUUAGAAAACUGUUUAGUUUUAUUUGUAACAAUAAAUAAAUAAAAUGUCAAUUUUGUCAUUACAAACAUAUCUUUUCAAAAGCCCCAACUGCUAUAAUCGGGCAGAAAUGUCCUCCUAAAAAAUUUUCAAUAGUCAUCUUUUUCCUCCUCUUCUUCCUCUUCAAUACCAAACCCAAUCCAUCAUUAUUGCAACCUCUUUUCUCACUCUUUUUCUCCUUUUUUUUUUUAGCAAAAUAAAAAAAAGAAAUCAUAGAGAAAAUUGAAUAGAAAAAUAACGCGCGUUCGACAUGGACAAAGCAACACACAUCGUGAAUGGAUGGGGACGGAGAAAUUUUAGUUACGGAUUUGAAACUAGCAUGAAGGAAAGAAAGGAAGAGAAAGAGGAAGAAGAAGAGUUCCCAUUGGCUAGGGUUUUGAUUGAGAAAAGAAGCUAUAAUAUAAGAGGGGUAAAAAUAUCAAUUUAUCUUAUUAACUAUCAGGGUUAAGUUUUCUAUCUAUCGUUAACUAAAUUUUUCUAAUGGAUUCUAACGACAUGAGCAUAUUUGAUACAUAAAAAUAUUGAAUUUUGUAGAGAUAUAUUUACUAUUCACGAUGUUUACAAUGAGCUAUAUGCAAUUAACACUAAACUAAAAAAAUAAUAAUAAAUACAAAAAAAGCAAAACAAAAAAAUGAAACACAAAGACAAGUAUAAUCUGUGUUUGGUAGUUUAAAAGCCUAAGUUUGUUAUGUACGAGGAUGCGAAAGGAUGUUCAAAUUCUGGUUUUUCACAUACAAUGCACAUAUAUAGCUUGGUAUUAAUGUCUUAAACAUUUCCUCAUAAUUGUAUUGUUAUGGUAAAUUACAGUAGGUAGUUUGAAGUGAAAAUAGUAACAUAAAGAUGUGACUUUUUCUUAGGUUUUUAUUAGGUCAAAAUAUAGAAAAUCUAUCUAUAAAUAUAUUUUUUUUUUACUUUCAAAAUUUUUUAUUUUGUCCUCUCAAAAUUUUAAAAAUAUUUGCAGCGUUACGCUGCUAGCGGAGAUGAUUAAAUGAUCAAAUUGCCCUCUCUAGAAAGCUGAGGCCAAGGCUAUCUAGCCCCUCGUCCACGUCCUCAAGACUGGAAUGCUGACAAUCCGACCGUGCGGAAAAACACCUCGUUCGCCAUUCUCUGCCUUGCCCAACUCAAGGGCCUUGUUGGUGCGAUCAGUAGCGCAGGGCACGAUCCCGCCUUUAUUUUCGAACCAAAUGAUGCCUAAGGCAUUUUGAAUAUUUUAAAUUAUAUAAAAGUAUCGCAAAUACCCUUAAAAAUUUUAAAAUUUCAUAUUUGCCCUUCCAAUGUUAUUAGUUAUAUCAUAAAUAUAUGCCCCUCCCUUUAUUGUAACCAUAGUUCAAGACUAGCUUAUUGCUAGUUAAUUUUCAAAAUACCAAUUUUACCUUUAGUUAUUUUUCAUGGCCAUUUUUCAACCCAUUGUUCUCCUCUUUUCUCUAUUCUUCUUCUCCAGUCCAUUGUGGAGCCUCACUCGUGGGAGAUAGUAUUCUAUGUAGCAAUGACAUCGCUUGGCUACAUCUCAAACCAAUCAUUUUUUUUUCAGAGAAAAAAUACAAAAAAAAAUUUUACACAAAAAUUAUGAUGGGACGUGAUGGGAUGGGUAAAUCAUAGGAAUACAAUUUGAUUGGUUGAGAAUAUAGAUGAUGUGAUGCUAUUGAUAGAUUUUAGAUUUUUUUUUUUUUUUUUUUUUUUUUUGGUGAAUCCUCUAAUACUCUCUCCAUUACCAAAAUCAUUACCCAAAAAUAGGAUGCACUUUCUCCCUUUUUCUUAACUACUUAAGUUUUUUAUUUUUCAAAUUUUUUUUAGGACUCUUCUUAAGAGAGUUCCUGCUUAGACUCUUUCUACGCAGACAGAGAAUUUAAAGGGCACUAAUGAUAUAACGGACAAGGGCAAAAAUGGGUAUUUCAUAAUUACGAUAGUAAUUUCUUACGAAAACAAACUAGUGGGGAACUUCGUAAUAUUUGUAACCAUUUAAAAGAAUAUAUGUGAUAUUAUCAAGUUUAUAACGAUAUUAAUAAAAUUAUAGCACGUAAAAAGGACAUUCAUAAAAUUAUCCUUAAUAUAAAAUAUUUAUGAACUAAGGACAAAAUAUUAGCAAUGGGAGGCUAAGUGCAACACCUUAAAAUUUGAGAAAACAGAACAUAAAUUUUUGAAAGUCAGGAAAAAAAAAAAGAAAAAAAGAAUAUUUAUAGAUAUAUUUUCUGUAUUUUAGCCUUUUUAUUAUUAACAGAGAUAAAAAAAAAAAAUGCAAAAAAGUGUGUAUAUUUGGAAGGAUAUUUUAUUAUUUGGCCAGAAAUAGGUAAACAUAGAAGGAGGUAUCGAACCAAUUUAAUUGGGCCAGCAACCAAUCAAUAGGGCCGAAUACUCUUCCGCCCAUAUGUCUUCCACGCCAAAUAUACAGUGCAGUACUGCUGUGCAAUGAGAUGGAGUUUAUCUUUUUAUUUGAGUAAGUCUCCACGGAGAUCUCCGUACUUGUAAGUUAUUUUCAAUGAUAGAAAAUCUGAAUUUUAUAAUCUACUCUGUUGGAACUAUUUAGAAACCAAAUUUUAUAAUUUUUUGACAUCAUUUACCAAGCGAUCAAAAGGCCUAAAAAAAGACUAUUUUAACGGCCGAUGUGGGACGUUUUUAAAUUCAACGGUGUAGAAGUAUCCAAAUUAGAUGAAAAUUUAAUAAAAAAUUCUACUUAAUAUCAAUAGUAAGACCAAUACUUCCGAUUUGAAAUUUGAGUCCUUUAUCACUAUUUUUUAUGAAAUUUUUAUUUUCAGCCGUUUAUUUUGAGGCUACUCGUUUACUAGACAAACGAAGUCAAAAAAAUUUGAAAUUUGGUUUCUAGGUAGUUCUAAUAACGUAGAUCAUAUCUAACGGAACCGAUCACCGAAUCGGAUGUCCCAUUAUUAAAAACAACUUACAAGUACGGAGGCUUCUGUAUUUUCGAAAAUAUAGGAGCCUAGCUCAUACAUUUUUUACUUCUAUAAAAGUCCAAUAAUAUUCUUAUUUGCCCCUGUAAUAUUCCUCCAAAAGUCCCACUUGUUAGAAUUAUAUAAAAAUGUCCUCCCAACAAGUAUUUUAUCCAAUAAUAUUAGAGGGGUAAAAGGGUUAAUUUAACUCAUGCACUAAGCAGGGUUAAGCAUUUUAUUCAUGGUUAACUAUAUUUCUCUAACGAAUUCUAGUGGGAUGGGUAUAUUUGAAAAAGUUAGAACUUUUAAAGGGAUAAAAAUAAAAAGUUGAACUUUGGAGGAAUAUAUUUGAUAUUCGAUGUCACACCCCAAUAGUCCCAUAUGGGAAAGGAAUGAGGUUGUCAUUAGGUAUGUAAAAGGACUUCACCCCAGUAAUACUAACCGGGUUUAAGCAUUUUGGACCAGUGGGUUUAGCCCAACGAAUUAUUAUUACUAACGGGUCAGAUUUUUAUAUUUGGUAUCAGAGCCGGUGGAUCACCAGCCGAACCAGCCGAAAAUGUGGGAUGAAUCUUGGCUGAGUCAAGAUCGUUGAAUAACAAGCUAAAUCAGAGUCGGAAUAACAAGACUAACGAGACAAGUCCCGCAUCGCCUGAUAAUAUUUGGUUCUGUGUGUUUAGGGCUGAUGGCCUUAAGUAUUUUGGGCUGGUGAUUUUGGUCUAACGAGCUAUUAUUACUAAGUUUACUGAAAACUGUAUGCAAUUAAUCUUAAAUUUUUGUUUAAUUUGGCAUUAUUGCUGAUUUUUUUUAAAAUAAAAUUUCUAUAAAAAAUAGUGUAGGAGGGCAGAAUAGAUUAUUGUCCAAAUAUAAUAUAUUUUUUUAGCAAUAAAAAAAAUAAAAAUUUAAAAGUCUUUUUUUUUUUUUUUUUUUUUUUUUAAUUUUUUUUAGUAGGGUAUAUUGUAACCUAACCAAUCAUUAAAAAAAAAAAAAUCCUUCCAGUAAUACACCAACUUCUAUAAAGUAAAAGUUAAAAAAAUCAUGAAAGAACAGCAACAAUGCCAAACAAGGCCUAUAGAUGAUGAGAGCUUCGGAAUCCCAAUUAUGAUAUUUGCAAUAAAAAGUGCUAAACUUUUUUAAUUUAUCCAAUAUUUUAUUAAAGGGGGAAUUGCUUAUAUAUUCAUGAAAAAUUUUCUACUUUUUAUUUACCCCGCUUAAAUAACUAAUAUAAAAAUACCUUUUAACAUUCCCAUUUCUUUUAAAUAUACCCUUAUAGUUAUUAUCUUUAUAAAAUUACUAAUUUGUCAUUUUAAAUAUAUUCUUCUAUCAUCACCAAAGUUUCUUAUUUAUCCUCAAAUUAAAAGCAAAAGAGAUAUUUUGACUUUGUUUAACUCUGGUAGAAAUUUAACUCAAAUUUAAUUCGAGAUAGCUUAACGGUACUAACAGCGAGGGUAUUUUUAAAUAAUAGAGAAAUAUAUGCUGGCAUAUUUGAAAUAAAAAUAGUAAAAAUAUAUAAGAUAUUUCAAAAGUAUUGACAGGUAUAUAGACAAUUAUUCUUUUAUUAAAAAUAAUUACAACCGGAAUAGAAGCAAAAGCGAAAUAAAAUCACACUAACUAGAUGGGCACAUCUAGGUUUGCCCAAUUCGAUAUCUAGGUUUGCCCCUCGGAAAUAGAUAAUUAAAAAGAGAGGAUUGGUACUCAAUCAUAAGCAAAAUCGAAAAAAGAAUCGAAGGAUGGCGGUCGAAGCUUUUGCACCAGAGUGGCAGAUUGACUCUAAUGAAUUCGGUGCUUUCAAAUCUCCCUUUGUACUAUUUCUCUAUGUUCAAGGCACCAAAAUGGGUUGUAUGUCACAUUGAGGUAUUAAGAAACACUUUCUUUUGGAAGGGUAACACAACGGUCAGCAGUGAUUUUUACUUGAUCCAGUAGAAAUCCCUUUGCAUGAGCAAAAAAGACGGUGGUCUUGGGACCAAAGAUCUUGCGACGAUGAAUAUUACUCUUCUAGCAAAAUGGUGGUGGAGAUUUUUAACGGAACCAAAACUUCAAUGGAAAAGUUGAUUAAGGCACUGUAUUAUUGAAGGAGAAUUAGAGAAGGAUCAAGUUUUCGGCCAUUCUCACAAUGGUGGAAAGGUGUUCUACAAACGAGAAAUAUUUUUAAAUGCGGGGUGACGUUCACGUUGGGAAGCAAAAAAUGGACUGAUUUUUGGUCAAAUAUAUGGUGUGGUGAUUGCUCGCUGUGAACAUCCUUCCCUACUGUGUACGACCGUAUUCGAUGCAAAAGCUAUUGGGUGAAAGACUGCUUUACAAGAGGAGGAUGGAAAUGGGAUACGAUUCUAAGAGGCUAUGUGGCCCCUCGUCCCAGAGGAGAGAGAUAUGAUGGAUGACUUGAAAGGAUUACUCAUAGGCAUAGUUGUGAAUGAUGGACAAGACUUGGCCAAAUGGAGAUGGACCUACUCACAACAAUUCUCAGUUAAAUCGCUUUUUAAUUUUCUUAAGUAUGGUGGAGUUAUAGACCGAACCACCUUCUAGAUUUGGAAGCUGAAGCUACUAGAGAAAAUUAAGAUCUUUGUUUGGCUUGUAUUGAGAAAAAAUGUAUUUAUUGCUGAUAAUCUAUAAAAAAGGUGUUGGCUUGGGAAAUAAAAUUGUGUGCUCUGUGCUGUUGAAUUUGAGACAUAGAUCACCUAUUCAUAAAGUGUGUUUGUGUCAAAUUUUUGCUCCUCUGUCUCCUAUCUAAUCCUGAUGCUAUUUUAAGCAACACGAUGACUAGGGAUCUUUGAGAAGCAUGUAGAAUGCAGAUGGAUAAUUCAAACUGGAGGAAAAGCCUUUUGACGCUUACAGUGGUCUGGUGGCUUGUAUGACUAGAGAGAAAUAGCAAAAUAUUUCAGAAUUUGAAAAAUAAUAUAGACUGCACCCUAAGUGAAAUCAAUAAACUAAGAUAGCUUUGGAAAAAUCACUGUAACUAAAGGCAGUUGAUAUAUCACAAUUCACAAGCUAUAGAUUUUAUUUUUAUUUUGAGAUUUCUUUUCUUUUCUUGUUUUUAGCGGAGCUCUGCCAUUUGUUGUUUCUCUCUCUCUCUCUCUCUCUCUCUCUCUCUCUCUCUCUCUCUCCGAGGCNGCGCAGACAGAGGACUGACGUUUUCUUGCAGUUGUCCUGGAUUCCUCCCAGGGGACCCAAUCACAGAUUGGGUGUUUAUUGUUUGGUGAUCGAGAGUGUUGGUAUCAAUCAAUUAAGCCUAAGCCGUUUUUAAGCCAUGCCUAUAUUAAGCCUAUUUUAAGCAAAAAAUUAAAAAUUUAAGCAACUUUUUAUGCCGAUUUUUUGCCCAAGCCAUUAAUAAGCCUAUACAUUAAAUAUGCCUAUAUUAUGCAAGUGGUUAAUUUUUAAGCCCUAGUUUUUAAGCCGAUAUAUUAUUCAUAUAUUUAUAAUUAAAUGAUAUAUAACAGUUGUACAGGUGGGUACUUCGAUCCGACAUCGGUACAGUGGUACACGCUCGGUGAUGGUUUCUUACCUUUGCCCUUUCGUUAUUAUCUAGUAUAUAUAUAUCUUGAUAUAUAGUGUUGAGCCUAGCACCAUGUUGUUCACUUACACUCUACUCGGUUGUUCUCUUUAUAUCAUGAGUAGGAGUAGAGUAGUUAUACCAUAUUUCUUUAUUGCUCUACUUAGCUAUUCUGCAUAUCCUGUGUCAUGUUUAGAGUAGAGCCAUUUCGUGAUUAUCUGUGAGAUUAGCGAUCUAGUCGAUCGAUUCUAGUAUUCAGUAUUUGUGUCAUGAUUGGUCGAGUUUCAUAUCCUAUACUUGUGACAUGAUUGGUCGAGUUUCAUAUCCUAGUUGACCUGAGUGGUCGGUUCUUGUGCUUCUUUACAGUUGAUGACCCAUGCGGUCGAUGGGCCCUGGGGGGCAGGAUUGUCGGCUGGUUGCCGACGGUUGAUCAUUGAGCAUAUUGCAUUGAUCGCCCGAUACUCGUCGCAUUUCACGAACACUGGCGGUCUGAUCCACCGCAAGGAGUGUUCUUUUCCGAAAAAGUGGUUGAAUGGUGACAACCCGUGAGCCCUAGAGGGGUUAUAUGCAUGUUAGAGCGGCAGUGGUACUGUCGGGAGGUGUUGCGGUGCGGACCUCCAGGGCAUUGGCUUGAGGUCUGCGGUGCUGACCAAGAGAGCAUUGGUUUCAGAUUGGGUACUUUUGGACUGAUUGUUCCAUUGACGCAUAUGUUUAUAGUAGCAGUCGUUGCAUGCAUACUUACAGAUCUUACUUUAUAGUUGUCUUGCUACUAUAGUAGAUAUUCAUGUAUGCUUUCUGUUCCAGUUACAGUAGCGGUAGCCGUUUAUUCAGUAUAGUUCUUACUUCCUUUCAGUUUAUCGCUAUUGUAUAUCUGCUUAUUACCUUGUUCAUUUCCACUGACCCAUGUUGUUGUAUAGUUCUUUCUGAUCCGGUGAGUACUCCUCGCCUUUUUCGGCUUGCGGUACCCACUGGGAGGGGAGACAUGUUUACAUGUUCUCACCUCCCCCACCAUUUUUCAGGUAUCGCGGGCGUUGAGUAGUGGGACGAGUCGUGAGGUACGUGUGUAGCGGUCGAUAGAGCUUCCGACCCAGGUUAUUUCGAUUUAGCUAUUACCCUUUUUAUUUCUGUGGAUAUAUAUAGCUUAGUCGGUUUACAUGGUUCAGUUUUGUUUUAUUAUUUGAAUAUCUGAGUUUUCAGUUGGUUUUAGAAUAUAAUAAAGGAAUUGUGUUUUCUUGAAAUAAAAGGUUUUCUACCCCUCGUGGUAGCGUUUCUUAAAGAAUAAAGGUUUCCGUGUAGGGAACAGAUUUCAAAAGAAUUUUCGUGAAUUUCUAUUUAAACACUGAAUGUAAAACUGUGAUGUGAAUGGUGAGUGUAUGAAUGUAUAGUUAUCUUUAUAUUCAUUUGGUUGUGGUUGUUUCCUGGCUAUACUCUUGUACUUGUGCGACGCCGUGCAAAUACAGGGGAGACUCUGUCCGUGUGAACAGUGGAUUCCCUGUAUUUGUGGCGGAUCUGGCAUACCCUGGGGUCAGGUUUGCCAAAAAAAAAAAAAAAAAAUUUUUUUUCGCUGUGUUUUUAACCUAAAGGGACCCCGGGGCGUGACAAAUAAACUAAGGUAGCUUUGGAAAAAUCACUGUAACUAAAGGCAGUUGAUAUAUCACAAUUCACAAGCUGUAGAUUUUAUUUUUAUUUUGAGAUUUCUUUUCUUUUCUUGUUUUUAGGGGAGCUCUGCCAUUUGUUGUUUCUCUCUCUCUCUCUCUCUCUCUCUCUCCGAGGCCCUGUUGCCUUACUAAUGUAGUCUGGUUCAUACUCUUAUUGAAUGAAGCAUUUAGCAUGCUACCGUUUUUCAACAAAAAAAAAAAAAAGAAAGAAAAAAAAAAGAUGGGCAUAUGAACUACUCCCUUCUUACCUUGAAGCUUUAUCCAUGUUGCUUCCAUGCUUUCUGUUCUAUACUAUUAGCUUGGCACUUUUGACCGGUCAAUUACACCAUUAGUCGAAAAAAAAAAAAAGAUGACAAGGAGGAGAAAAAAGAAGAAGUACAAAAAAAAAAAAAGAAAAAAGAAAAAAAAGAAGAAGUACAAAAAAAAAAAAAGAAAAAAAAAAAAAAGAGUAAACUUCAAAUAUUAUUUAUUUGAUUUCAUACUCUCUCAGUUUAGUACUCUAAUGAUUUAAAGUGUAUCAAGUUAGUAUCUUGUGGUUUCAUUUUUAUCUUUUCGUCAGCUUCUCCGUUAAUAUUUUGUUAAAUUAUAUACAAAAAAAAUCUUCAGGUACGCCAUUUAGGUUUAUUGAAUAUUCAUUUUAAUUUUCUUUAGUUUUAACUUUGUCACUAAUUUAAUAAAAAAAUUAGUGAAAUUAAUAAUAAAAAGAUAAAAAUAAAAUCAUAUGGCACUAAAUUAAUAUACUUUAAGCCACUGGGUGCUAAAGUAAGAAAGUGUGAAACCACAGAGAUGAUAUUAAAGUUUUUUCAAAAAAGAAAGAGGAAGCAGAUGAGAGGAAGAGUGAAGAACCAAAAAGAAAAAGAAGAAGAUAAGGGGGAAGAGUAGAGAAGAAGAAAGAAGUAGAAGAAGAUGAUAUGAAUAAGAAGAAGAAGAAGAAGAAGAAGAAUAAUGCGGAAGGGAAGAAGAAGACCGGUCAGAGAGUCUUUGCGGGGAAGGAAAAAUUUCUCUUUCAAACAUUGACCAAGUCUAAUUAGCAAAUAAACGGAAUUAAGGACGAUAAGGACCCAAAUAAAUGGUGAAGAUUGAAAACUCAAUUGACAAAAAAAGAAAAAAGAAAAAAGAAAAUAAUUGAAAAAUUGAAAAAAAAAAAAAAUGAUUUGACCAAUAUUUUUCCUCAGAAUACUAAGAAAAAAAGGAAAACACAAAAAGACCCAUAUUUCAUCGUUGUAAGUAGCAUAGAUUAACUAACAUAAAUUCAUUCGUUAUUGACAAAUUAAGAAGAUCGGAAAAAAAAUAUCCUAACUUGACCGUCACAACGCUUACUUUCCAGGAGAUAAUUUACCCCCACUUUUGUCUUUUUAUUUAGAUAUACAACAAAAAUAAAGUAAUCCACUCUUUUAAAGAGAAAACAAAUCUAAAAAAACAUUUAUAUUGUGCGUUUUAUCUAAAAAAAUUAAUUUUCAACAGAUGAUUAUUUAAAAUAAAAUUGGAAAGGUCUAGAGAUAAUAAUAUCCAUGGUCCAUAGGUGAUGUAGUGGACAAAGCUUCUAGAUAAUUAUAGUACGCAUGCAUUCUCAAUUUAUAUGGAGGCAAAAAGCAAAGUGAUCGAAGGCCCCCUCCACUAUUCCUCAAUUUGAAAUGGAGCCCUCAACUUUAACUUACCUUACAUUAAAAUUUUUUAAUUUAUUUCUAGCAAAUAAAAAUAGAAUAACUAUGGAAGAACUAUUAAACUGGAUACAUUUUUAACUUAAUUACUAAAAUAGUUCGGUUUAAAAUAAAAUCAAAUAAAAACAAGGUGUUGAUUAAGAAAGUUCUACGUACCUAUUCAAAAUUACCUAUAGCUCAGAAGCUUACCAUAUAUUUUUUUAUUUCUAAACAAUUAUAAUUUAUUUUCAUACCUGUAAUGCAAAUACUUAAAUAAUAAUAAUGUAUAGAAAAUAUAAAAUUGGAAACUUUUGUCGCUGCGAAGCGCGAGUAUUUAGGCUAAUGAUAUAAUAACAUUACAAUUAGGAUGGAACCACUCUAUCCAUUUAGUACAUUUUUUGCUAUUUUUAGUGUGUGUAAAUUAAAAUGCAGCCCUUGCGCUUUCGUUAAUUUGCUGGUUUAACCGUAACAUUUAACUAUAACUGUAUAAACCAAGUAAAUAUAUUAUUCAGGAAUGAGAAGCUCGAUAACUUUUAAUGGUAAAAGAAUAGUAUUUACUAUUUAUUCUUUUGCUCUUGGGAUGACUAGAAUUAAGUGAUAGUAGCUGAAAUAGUAUUGAUUUAAUAACUAGAAAAUUAAAAUAAAUACUAUUCAUUUAGUCUUAAUAUUAGUCCAGAUAAAUUCUUAAUUUUUUAACUUGCCCACAAUUACACCAAUAUUGCAAUUUCAAAUUCAAAGAACCAACCCAGCUACUUAUUAGAGUACUUCUCUUCUUUUAUGUGAGAAGAGAAUUUAAAAUCAAUGUUCCUCGACCUCCUUAAAGAUAGAGGGUUUGAUGUGGAUGUUAAUUUAUUUAUAUUAGGGUAAAUUACUCUUUCGGUCCUCAAACUACGAGGCGUGUGACACUUCAGUCCACAAAUUUUACUCUAUUAUAAUUUCUGACCUAAACAUGCUAAACUAUUGAAAUCAAAGUUUCACAACCCAAUUUAACUAUUUGACAAAUUAUUGAUAAAUUAUUAAUAUAAAAGUAGUAUAAAAUCUUAAUUAUUAUCACAUCAAUCAUCACAAUAAUUUUAUAUCACUUCUAUAUCAAUAACGCAUCAAUAUUUAGAUAACUAAAUUGAGUUACGAGGCUUGAUUGUAAUAAUUUAAAAAAUUAAAAUAAAAAAUUAUAAUAAAUUCAAAUUUGAGAACUACGAUCUCACUCCCCUCAUGGUUUGAGGCCCAGAAGUGUAAGUUACCCUCAAUGUCAGAACACUGUUAUCUUUACAUCCCAAAAGGGAAUGCCCAUCCUGCAUCGCUCAUCCAAUGACCAAAAAAAAUGACCCUUAUUUUGUCAAAAAUAUUUAAAAAAUGCUAAAAAUUUAGAAAAUUUUAUAAAUUCUAGAAUGAGAGUGCUCAAAAUAUACAACCUAUUUUGGUUUCACUCCUACUAGUGAUUUUUGUAAUAUUAUUAUAUCAAUACUAUACACCAAAGGCUAGCAGGACAAACACAUGAGAUGACUGAUCUCUGACAGUACAAAAGAAACAACAAAGUACCUACUCUGCAUGGGCAUGAACACAGCUGUCACCACUUUGUACCUCAGUCUUUUAUAUAUCAAAUUAUAUAAUAAUAUAUUUUAUAUAGUAAUAAAUAUUAUAAAUACUAUAUCCAGCUAUAGUCUUAUAAAAGCACCGCAUGUGUACUUUAAAUUUUCCGUAGAACUCUACUCCUCUAAAAAUAAUUUAUAACCGUUAUAUUAUACUAUUCAAACCAACCAACCUCAACCUAGUGGGCCCUCACAUCUAACCGCACAUUCAUCAAUCCAACGCUAAAAACUACAAAAGUACCGGCAUAACUUGUACUUUUAAAACAUAGACCAAUAAUAUCUAUAAAUAUAUAAAUAUAAUAUAUAUAAUAAUAAUAAUAUAAUAGUAAUAAUAAUAAGAGUAGGGCUGCGCUUAAAGCACAGCAGCCCCUAUGCUAUUAACACCACCAACCAUCAAAUAGAUGAGCUAGAUGAAAUGGCCGUGCCGCUCCCCUUUUAACAGGAACCCACAGUUAGAUGGUAGAUUAACGAACUUCUCCUCUCCUCUUUUUUGUCUUUUCUUUUUUCUUUCUCCGUCUUCUCUCACAUCUCCCCCUAUAGGAAUCUUCACCUCCUCUCUCUCCCCAAUCUCUCUCCCUCUCCUCUCCUGAACAUGAGCUGCCCGUACUGACGCCCGCCGAUGACUCCGACAAGCACCUCCCCCCCACUCGGCGCGCGACCAUCUCUGCAGCAACACCCCGACCCCGCCGCCGACCUCAUUAUCGCCCCCCCCCCACCCGCCGCACAUUUCAGCCGAACCCCCAACCCAACCAUAAACCUCCGAACAAAAAAGAAAGAGAAAAAGAUUUUACGAAUAAUUUGCUGUCUAAGUCAUAUCGCUAAGCAAGAUAAAAACAAAUAGAAUCAGUGACAUUUCCUUUCUUUGCAGAAGUGACGAAUGGAAUAUCACAUUCCCAACCAAACAACAAGAAAGAUAAAUUCUCCGGAUUAACUUCGUUAUUUGCCUCGACUUACCGAAAGCAAAUAAAGCAUAUACCAUUUAUCCAAUAUACUUCGAAGCUGAGCAGAACAAAUCUUAGCAAAUGUCGCAACUUGUUGUUGAGAAUUUGAGAACGUCCGCAAACCACUUCAACUUCAACCAUUUCUACAAAUCAAAAAUCGAAAUUCUUCACCAAGUCAUGAUAAAAAACUCAAACAAAAUGGUUAUUAGAUUUAUUUAAAGUCAACUAAAUUUAAUCCCAAAUAAAUCUAUUUGGUUCUGAUUAAAUAUUUAUUGAAAUAGAACUAAUGUGUAUUCAAACGCAAUUUUAAGAAAAUAGUAAACGAGAAAUUAUGAUCAAAUAACAUCAACAGCAGUUCGGUGCCACCAAAUCAAUAACCGUUCUCUUCAACCAUGUUUCCCACCAAUCAAAAAAAAAAAGAAAAAAAAAAAAGAAAAAAAAAACUUUAAAAACACAAACCAAACGUUGUCUUGGUAGCUAAAGAACAGGGGAAACCCGAUUAAAAAAAAAAAAAUUUCACUAUAGAUCAUCUCUCCGACGCGUCCGCACUCUCCAGCGUCUCAUCGCCUGCCCGCUCCGAACUCCCCCAAGACUCUCCCAAUAUCCUAGCGCGCGCUGCUCUCCCUCGCCGCAACACCUACGCCUCCUCUAAACCCUCCUCCUCCUCCCCCUCUCCUCCUCCUCCCCCUCCCUCACUCCCCUCCUCCCCUCCUCCCCCUUCUCCGGGUCUCCGGGCGGCCCAAAUACAGGAGCCCACAUCCCCAGAGAGGGAAAGGAAAGAUGGGAGAAAGAAAGUGAAGCAUUCACUGUACCGGAGGGAGAUAGCCGGAAGACUAGAGAAAAAGGAAAAAAACAAAAAGACAAAAAAAAAAAGAAAGAAAAACGCCUUAAAUCUAACCAUCUAAACCUGCCGGGUUUCCCCUUUUAAAAGCCACCUUAAUCUCAGCAACCAUCUAUGUAGAUGGUGUGAGCUUAAUAGCAAGGGCUUUGCUGUCUCUUUACACGCCAGCAGCCCUACUCUAUAAUAUACUAAUAUAAUAUUAUAAUACUAAUAAUAAUGAGCUAAAUACAUCGGUAGUAACAGACUUUACUACCGACUUUAUUCGAUAUAAGAGCUUCCAAAUGACGAUCCAACACACGCUCAUAAAUAUAUCUAAACCAAUUAAACUACUAGAAAUAAAUUUCACGAGCACUUCAUAUUGUCCUUAUCCAUCAACGUGAACAGAAAAAAUGACUGCUAAAUAAAUACUCUAAAAAAUAUGAGAUCCUGUAAUCCAAGAUCAAUAGUAUAGAUGUUUUUAAAUAGUAUUAACCAAUUCUAACGAAAAAAUUCAAUUGAUUAUACUUUUACCCGUAAACGAAAAACGACCCCUCUUAUCGACCAUUUUAAAACAUAAUUUUGAAAUCCUUUGAUCAUUAGGCCAAAUAUCUUCCCGAAACAGAUUUGAAAAUCGAUCUAAACACUCAAGGGUCUACGAUUCAUGUUUCAACGACCGAUCGUCAAUUUGAAUUCUAUCACGAAACAAAUCGUAGCAAAACGCUCGUUUAUACGAUAUUCUACUCAAUUUGUCAACUUCUCCUCAUCUCUGCUCUCUCUCUCUCUCAAACCAUCGUCUUCCUCUCAUAUAUAUAUAUAACUAAAUAAGAGCUAAGCACUACCUAUUAAUAGAUAGAGCACUGUCCUAUCAAUUGUUCCUGAUAUCAAGAUCAAAUCGAUGAUCGGAGCCGUGAAUGAAUCUAGAGAGUUGAAAAUCAAAACUAAAUUUCAUAAAUUUUGAUAAUUGGUUUACAUGGUGACAAAGGUUCGUAAAAUUACAAUUUUAACAGAGCCUAAAGAGCUUUCUUUUAAAUCCUUAGAGCAAAUCCAAAUGCUGAAUUGCCAUAGAAAAUUCUAUACUAUUUAGAAUAAGUUGAUCCCAUCUGAUUACGACCCGAAAGUCUAAGCAUCUAUUAAUAAGUAUUCAUUAAGACCAUCUUCAUUUCAACAUCUUAACGAUAAAUGAUAAUGAUUUUAAAUAAUACAAAAUUAUUCAAACUUCUAAUGUAAUCAACUUACGGUGCCUGGAUUAUGCAUAACUUCCGAAUCAUCAAAUCAACUAUAGACCAGGGUCCCAAUCCUAUAGACUUCCAAUCAAAUCAAGAUACAAAACUAUUUAAUAAGUAUAAAAAUUCUAAUAAAAAACAAGCAAUUGAUUACUAUACAGACCGUUAAACAAAAAACCUACAUACAAAGGCCCGUAAAAAAAUUGUCGAUUUACACACUACUGAUACACCAUGUUAAAUAAUCUUUACAAAAUUUCAUGAAAUUUAGUUCUAGAUAUCGCAAAACUAUAGAUCAUACUCAAUGCCCGAUAAUGCAUCGCCAUCCAUCACAAGAAAAUUUAUAGACAAGUCUCCCUAUCCAGUUAAUAGAUAGUAGCCAAGCCUAUAAUAUAAUAUAAAGAGAAAGAAUAGAGAGAGAGAGAGAGAGAGAGAGUCCGGCUAUGGUGCUUGUAAAAGCACCAAUCACUUUGUGCUUGUAGGUUUUUAACCGUUAGAUCAGCACUAUUGAUCAUUUACACCCGUUAGAUUAUACUAUUCAACCAACCACCCACUCAACCCUAGGGGGCCCACAUCAUCCUAACCACAUAUUUUUUAAUCUAAAGGCUAAAAACUUACAACCACUAAUGUCUUGGUACUUUUAAAAGCAUAGGAGCUCAAUUCUAUAUAUAUAAUUAAGUCCAAUUUGGCCUACUUGGAGAUUUACUAAGCAAUUGGAUACUAUGUAUUUGUUGCAGUAUAUCUAACUUGUGAGGUGCCAAUUUAUUAGUUGGUGAGACGGGCAGAUCCAAAUCAAUAUACCUUUUGGUUGAGUUUGAUUCGGGUAUAAAUAAGACGGCAUAUUUCAGAAAUAGCUACAAAAUUCAGAUAUAAGCAGAAAUUAAACCAAUUUUAUAUUUGAAUGAAAAUCGAGUUGUUCAUAGAAAUAAGAUAAAUAGUAUUUGUAUGAUUAAAUUGGAACAACAUGAAUAACAGCUAUAAUUUUUAUCUAAUUAAUUAACAUCAUAACAUUACUAAAAAUAAUUUAAUAAAUUAAUAAAUCUAUUAGCUAUGAAUAUUGUAUAAGAUAAUAAAAAUAUAUUAAUUAAUUAAUUAAAUAUAAAAAAUAAGUUAAUUUUUGAAUUAGUUGGUAAAUUAUUUUAGUUAGAUAACUAGUAAAAAAAAUAAUUACAUUAAUAAAAAUAUUAAUGGUUGAUCAAUAUAAAUAUUAGUAUAUAGAUAAACAUAUUAAAUUAUUUGUAGUGUCCCUGGUGUUGGGUUGUCUACGAGACUUCAGCAUCUGUAGUUUGUCGACACGUCUGGUGGGUGUCGGAAUAAGUCGGAGUCAUUUUGGCGCGAAUUAGACGCAAAACGGACUCGGCGCAGUGCGAGAGUGGAGUUCAGAUACUGAAAUCUGCAAAGUGCAGGAUUUCAGUGUUCAGUACCGAUACCCGGGAGGAGUACCGGUACCCGAGAGGAAUUACAGAACUGAAUACUCUCGGGUUUGUGUAGUUUGAUGCUGAGUACCGGUACCUAUUGGUGAGUACCGUUACUGGGACUGAGUACCGGUACUGCAUCGGGCUAGUACCGGUACCCAGCGUCCGGGAUUGCUGGUUGAGUGCCGAGUACCGGUACCCAAGUUGAGUACCGGUACUCCAGGCAGCAAAGUGAGUUGGUAAGGGAUUUUUUGGUCAUUUUGCUGCAUCGUUCAUUCCAACCGACCCACAGCCUAUUUAUAUGCAUAAAAAGCUUGGAGAAGGCUGUUAGCUUCUUUUCUUCUUCCCUCUCCCUAGCUGGUUGGAGUUGAUCGUAGGAGGGUCGAUUGAGCGCGCGGGUGGUCCCAGUAUAGUCGUUGGAGGUACGAAUUGAUCUUCCUUUUCGUCGUCUUGGAGGUUUUGCUCGUGUGCCGUGGUCGCUUUUGGUUGAGCUGCUUGAGGUCGAGCUAGUGCGCGGUUUCUUUCUUCGAUUUCUAGCCGGUGUUGGACGAGCGUUCGAGGUGGGUUAAUGUUUACCGAAAUCGUCAGAUUUCCUUCUAAGUCAUAGAGUUGUCAGUUUGUAUUCUUGGCUUUGUUCAUCAUGUUUAGUAACUCGAAUUCAUAGAUUUGCAUGUUUAUAUGAAAUCUGAAUUUGAAGCCUUAAUGUUAGAAUAUUUGUUAUAUGUUGAAUUGGGAUUUGACUUAGGAGAAAACUCGUUAAACCUACACUGCCACUUUUCGAAAAGUACCAUAUUUAACUUCAGGAGCUGUUAUUCUUUUGUAUCACCGCUGUUAGUGCGUAGUGGAUACUCAGAUUAGUGUAGGUUGAGGUUACGCUCGUGCUGAGGGGCCGAGCUUGUUUUACAGUAGUGUUUAAAUUGUUCUAUAUUGUUGAGUGCCGUCGGGGUUGACGGUGGAUCCGGAUGUUUACAUCUUGUUUCAGAUUGUGCUGAGGGCACGUGACGUUUGGUUGUUAGACCAGUUUGACCCAUUUGCGUUGAUUAUAGACUGUGUGAGCCUGAUUGAGCUCGACAGAGACACGCUUGCAUUCUCGGUUGGGUCGCUCCCACGAGUGCCGCGUCGGAGUCAGGCUUUACUUGCGUUGAUGUCGCAGCAGUCCUGUUUGCACAGUGUACUUGGAUCGGCCAUCCCCGUAGGUGGUGUACGGUAUAGCUUGGCUACAGAUAGGGUGGGUCCAUUUAGGUAGCUCUUGUGAGAUUGGGUCAGUGUGAUGCAUGUCCAUGGCUACAGAUAGCCUGUGUUGGUUAGCAAUAGUAUAGUGGCAUGUAGUUGUAGAGUUCUUUCCAGCUUUCCUUACUAUCCUUUGCAUAUCCUCCUGUAAACUUAGUGGGUAGGCCGUUGGGGUCGAUGACAGUACCCACUGAGGACUACUUUAUUUUGCAGUAGUUCUUACACCCAGUUGUUGCUACAUUUUGAAGAGCCUUCGUCUGCGACUGCUGCUAUUGCUGAUUUUGACCACGGUAAGGGAGCCGCGAGCUAGAUCCCUUCCAUCCUUGCUGCAGUACUAGAGGAGUACCUUCCAGAGGUAGUUUUGGAUUUUUCUUGUACAUACUGUGAUAUUGUCGGCAUGUUUUUGCAGAGCCUUCGCCUACGGCUGCUGCUGUUGCUGAUUGCGACCGUCGUAAGAGAGUCGCUGGUUAGAUCCCUUCCAUCCCUGGUCUUUUGCUAGAGAAGCAUCCAUCAGAGUUAGUUUUGUGGUUUUAUGUGCAUACUGUUAUGUUGUUGUACUCGCUGAGGCGAGUUGGUUCCGUGGCUUCUGUAUGUACAGUGGACCCUUUAUGUCUUUAUACACAUGUUUUAUUUAUAGCAGCUAUUUACCUCUUGUGUAGCUAUAUUUUGUUAUAGGUACAGCUAUUAUUUUGUAUACACGAAAAAUUUCUAUGUAUACAGCGGGUCUGUUGGCGUGCCCAGGAAAACGUGGUCAUCCGGGGCCUGACAGAUUAAGUAGGUAUCAGAGCUUAGAAUUAAGUCGUUGGGACCUAGAAAACCCUAGGUUUGGCAGAUCUUAGGAAGGUAAGACGCAAGAGGCGUGACUUAUCGUGAAAUUCAGCAAUUGAGUUGUUUUAACUCCUUCUAGAGUAGAGGGAGUGUUUGAAGGAGUGUUUGUUUCUGCCAAAAAAAUUAUGUCGGCUGCAGACGGCAUAAUUUUGAGGAGGAACAGGGGCGGUCUUUUAGACUUUUGCUUGAUUGGGUCGAGAGUUGUUUGUGUUUUGUAUCUGACCCUUGUUUUGGUUUCAAUUCGUCAUGAGACCGUAUUGACGUUGAGGUCGAUCGUCGACUCGGGAUCGCUCCGCGCCAUCAAAGAUGCCAGAGCAGGCAGGACCGAGUGCACCCGCGAAUUUGAAAAAGCAAUUGGCUGCCUUGACUGAGGUGACUAGGUGUCACACCCCAAUAAUCCCAUAUCGGAUAGGAAUGGAGAUGUGAUUGGGUAUAUAAGAGACUUAGACACUAAUAAUAAUAACUGGGCUUAAGUAUUUUGGGCCGGUGGUUGGGCCCAGCGAGUUAUUGUUGCCAGUGGGCUGGGUUGUUACAUUUGGUAUUAGAGCCAAUCACCAGCCGGAAAUGUGUGGCCAGUCUCGGCUGAGUCAGGGUCUGAAAGAUAAGGUGAUAGGCUAUGCCGGCGUCUGUAUGACAAGGUGACCGGCUAUGCCAGGAUCUAGAUGACAAGACUAGCGAGACGAGUCUCACAUCGCCUGGUGAUCUUAGUCUGUGUGUGUGAUUGGACUGACGAGGACGUAAGGGCCUUAACGGGAGAGUCUAUCACACCCCAAUAAUCCCACAUCGGAUAGGAAUGGGGAUGUGAUUGGGUAUAUAAGAGACUUAGACACUAGUAAUAAUAACUGGGCUUAAGCAUUUUGGGUCGGUGGUUGGGCCCAACGAGUUAUUCUUGCUAGUGGGCUGGGUCAUUACACUAGGCAGUAGGGUGCGUUGUUGCAGAGAAUGUGCGAGGCCUUUACUCAGCAGUCGAGGGCUGCGCCGGGAGCAUCAGAGCAGCAGGCGCCACCUGUGACUACCCCAGUGGCCGCACCAGCCACAGCUGCACGCCCACCGGCGACAUCUCCUACAACAUCAGUUGCACCUACUGGAGAGGCGCCGCAGAUGUCAGAGGUCGAGCAGGAGCGGAUGACAGAGAGGCUCGCUCGUUUUUGUCGGUUUGAUCCGCCGCACUUCGAUGGUAGUUGCACAGAGCCUUGGAUUGUAGAGACGUGGGUGAGUGCGAUGGAGAAGUUGUUUGAGGAUCUUAUUAUACUGAAGCGAGAGCAGGUACAUCUGGCAGUGCAUUGUUUGGCAGGUGAUGCGCAUGCCUAGUGGAGAAGGAUACGACAGAAUCGAGGUUUGGAUACCCUAGAGAUGAAGUAGGACGAGUUUCGUGGGAUGCUGUACAGGGUCUAUUUCCCAAACAGCGUAAAGCAGAAACUCGAGGAGGACCUGAAGAAGCUUCAGCAAGGGGAGCAGUCAGUAUAGGAGUAUACUCGGGAAUUUACCAGGCUUUUGAACUGUGUGCCAUUUGUCGCAAGGGAUGAAGCCCAAAAGGUCUACCUGCACGAGAGAGGCUUGAGGCCAGAGAUUUUUGUGUUGGUACAGGCGCUGAGGUUGCGGACCUUGGACGCAUCGAUUGAGCAGGCGUUAUGGGUUGAGCGAGGAGCUGUAUCGGUCCGUGAGCGGGAGACGGUGCCGGGGCAGACUCAGGACAGGAAGCGUCCGAUUCUAGAUGACGGAGGACAGGCCAGUGGCAAGCGUCGACCGAGGCCUCCACGAUCACUCUCUCAAGGUCAUGGGUCUUCGGGGCAAUAGCGGUCUGGUGGAUCUCGUCAGCAGCGACAACAGCAGGGGAUUCCGCAGUGCGUCAUUUGUGGAGGACCACACUGGCCUCGAUACUGUGAGCAAAGAGAGGGCCGGUGUUUUGGAUGUGGUCAGCCAGGGCACUUGCGGGCAGCUUGUCCCCGAGCAGCAUCACCAGUACCUUCGACGGUGUCGGUCCCCCAAGUACCUCAGCAGACCUUUGGAUCACCACCGAGCUAUAGCCAGGCUGACAGGGCUUCAGUGUCGCGGUAGAGUGAGUAGUGACAGCAGGCAUCGAGUGGCAGGGUGUAUGUAGUUUAGGUUGAGGACUCCACGACAGCAGACCGUGUGGUGGCAGGUAUCAUUUUGAUUUCUGGCAUUAUAGCUCUUGUAUUAUUUGAUACCGGUGCAUUGCAUUCUUUUAUUAGUCGAGCAUUUGUAUCAUUCCAUGGACUAGAAAUAGAGCCACUGGUACAUGCACAAGAGGUGCAGAUUUCCGACCAUGUUUUAGAUGUGGCGGAGUGUUGUUGGGCUUGUCUAGUACAGUUGGGAUCUUGGAUUAUGCUUGCAGACCUGUUGGUCUUGGGGUAGUUACAAAAUUUUGAUGUAGUGCUUGGCAUGAAUUGGUUGGCUCGGUACUAUGCAACGAUCGAUUGUGGAGCUAGGACAGUGACGUUCUACGAGCCAGACUAGGAGGAGUUCACUUUUAGAGGCUGCAAGAGUAUGCUAUUCAUUACUUGGAUUUCUUCAGGGAGGGCUAGGCAGAUGAUGAGUGGAGGAUGCAUCGCCUUCCUGGCGACGGUAGUAGAGGUGCCUACGGCGGCACCAGGACUCGAGGAUAUCCCUGUAGUUCGCGAGUUCCCAGAUGUUUUUCCUCCGGAGCUGACGACUAUGCCGCCGAAUAGAGAGAUUGAGUUUGUGAUUGACAUGGUUCCUGGAACUGCGCCAAUCUCAAAAUCACUAUACCGAAUGGCAUCGGCAGAGCUUGAGGGAGCUUAAGGCGCAACUUCAGGAUCUGAUGGAUAAGGGGUAUGUGAGACCCAACGUGUCACCUUGGGAAGCGUCGGUGUUAUUCGUGAAGAAGAAUGAUGGUUCACUUAGACUGUGUGUGGAUUACCGGGAGUUGAAUAAAGUAACCAUUAAGAACAAGUAUCUUUUGCCGUGCAUUGAUGAUCUGUUUGAUCAGCUGCAAGGAUCUUGUAUCUUCUUGAAGAUUGAUCGGCAGUCAGGUUACCAGCAGCUGAGGGUGAGGGUUGUGGACGUUCCCAAGACAGUUUUUCAGACACGGUACGGGCAUUAUGAGUUCACAGUGAUGCCUUUUGGAUUGACUAAUGCCCCUGCCGUUUUUAUGGAUUUGAUGAAUCGAGUAUUUAAGCUGUUUUUGGAUAGAUUUGUAGUAGUGUUCAUUGAUGAUAUUCUGAUUUACUUCCGGAGUGAUGUUGAGCAUGAGGAGCACUUGAGGAUAGUAUUAUAGCUUCUGAGCGAGAAGAAGUUGUAUGCUAAGUUGAAGAAGUGGAGUUUUGGCUUCGGGAGGUUUCUUUUUUGGGCCACGUGAUUUCAGCAGCGGGAGUGGCAGUUGACCCGAAGAAGAUUGAUGCUGUAAGGUAUCGGACUUCUAAAAUCAUGAAGUUACGGUGUACAUUUGGUUGGAAGACCAUUUGAAAGGUUCCGGUGAAGUUCGGUGAAGUUUGGGAGCAUUCGGGCGUUUCGAUGCGCGUAGGCGCUAAAACGGAGCCGAAAGGCCAUGUUGGGCCGUGAGCUAAAUCCGGCAUUAGCGUGGAUGAAAAGAUGAUGAAAACAUGCUCGAAAACAUGUUUGAAGAGUCUCGGUUCGAUUUGAAACGAAUCGGAGGUCAAACGAGCGAAAACGGACGAAAACGGGCGAAAAUGCUGAAAAUUUGGCUAAGUCCUUGAGGCUGAGUUCUGGACCUUCGGGGACCGGUCUCUCAGCCAAGGACCGGUCUCUCAUCGCAAGGACCGGUCCCCGAGCGCGAAAAUGGCCCCCGCGGGGGCAAUGUAAUAAAGUAAAAGUUGAGGGGCCUAAAUGCACUUUGGGCAUUAUGAGAGUGUAUAGAGAGGGUUCUUUCUCUCUUUCUCUCAUUUCCCUCACUCCAACACCACCUCUCUCUCUCUCUCAACGUGAAGAAGAAGAAGAAGAAAGAGGAGAAGAGAAGGAAGGAAAAGGAGGAAAAAGGAGAGGAGAAGAAGAGGAUCCUCACCACCAUCAUCACCUUCUUCUUCCUCUCACCAUUAGAGCAAGCUUAACAAGGUAAGCUUCAAACCCUACAAUGGUAGAUCUCUAGGGUUUGAUCCUAAUGCUCUAGAAAUGGUUUGAUUAGUGUUCUAGCAAGCUUAAUAGAUGUUUAAAUCUUGAAUCUAGAGUUCGUAUGGUGGAUUUUUGCAUAGUAGCAAUCUAGGGCUCAAAAUGCUAUUUUUGCAAAUAGGUGGGUUUGAUCUAAAUUGGUUGUAUAUAAACCUAAUUGAUUGGUCACUGAACGCGUUGAAAGUGACGGUUUGGCAAUCCGUCGAGCCGUUACAAAGAUAUCGAAGAAAAGGCCGAUUUUGGUACAGAUUGCCGCAGCUCGCGGCGAAAGCUUCCAAAAAUCAUGGAAAUGGAAUCGUAGCAUCGUGGUGUCGGGGAAUAAACUCCAGAACAGACGGAUCGCGGAUAGGAGGUCAUUUGGCAGUCGCGCUUGAGUUGGGUCGAGCCGUGCGGCGUGCGCCGCAGGAGGCCGAUUGCGAGUGACGACGAGCAAUCGGAACGCUAUAAAAGGUGGGUGGUGUCCAUCCCGAAGCAAUCGGGCUCCCUUUUAUGUCUAAGUUUAUAUUGAUCAAAUUGCAUAUUGACAUCUUGAUUAGGUAGGUGAUAAUGAUGCGUUUGAGUCCCUUAUACUUGCUGUUCUUCGUGUAAUUGAAUAUGAUAUUUGGGCUUAGUGCUUAUAUCUAGCAUGUUUGAGCGUUGUUAUAUGUGAUGUGGAACCUAUAUAUGAGAUGAUAAGUGUGGACGGGAUUAGUAUGUAUUGGUAUUGCAUUGGGGAAACUUGCUCAAAGAAACGAGGUAGGAAUCUAGUUGAUAGUAAAAAAGGACACGAGUUGACAUAUGGUGAGUCGUAGUGUAUAUGAUAACCUAUGGACUUAUAUGUAUGAUUGUGACCAGAGGACAGGGUAUCUCGAGCUUAGAGGUAUUGGAUCAUGUUUCACGGUUGUCUUUAAAUUUGUGAUGGAGCCCCACUAAGUAUGCUCGCGCUCGAGCAUGUUGGUCACGUGGGAUUGCCUAUUUUGGUCACAAGGGAUAUGCUAUUUGGCCCCGUCCGACGGUCUCGGGAGUCCGUAGUAUGACGUUAUAUUCCUCCCUACGUGUCGAGAUGAGCGUGUGAGCUGUAAGCGAGCCUUCGGGUUUAAGCCAUGCAGAUUGAAUGAAACAAAUAAAUGAGAUUAGAUUGAACGAUGAAUAGCUCACCUCUUGGACAUGUUGGAACAGGUUAGUUGCUACUACUUCAUUUGUACAUGCAUUCAUAUAUUAUGAUUGGAUAGUAGAGUAGCUUUACCUUUGUCAUUUACCUGUUUUCCUUAUCUAUCAUUACUAUCGAUUAUCUACUCCUGUGCCAACUUGGAGCCUAGUGGGAAUCGGCGGAUGUCGGCGGACCGAACCACUGUGAAACUAAGAAGUAGGUUCUCACUCCCAUUUUAUACAGGGCGACGGCUGACGUUCAACGGCGAGGAUCGGCGAGUGUAAGGCUAAGCGCCCUAGUGUGCAUUAGUCUCUUCGUAUUCUAUUAGAGUCACCUUUAUAUGCUUUGAGAGUAGAUGAUGUAUAGGAUGUGAGCUAUUUGGGAUGAUGUAAGUUAUACUAUGUUUUGGAAAGUCAAUGUAUAAUCAAAUUGUAUUAUGAAGGCUGAAUGAAUGUAAGUCGAUAGAUGUUCCUCUCUUUAUAUUACUUGUAUGUUCUAUAUUGUAUCUUGCCUUCCGGUCGUUUUGACUGAUUGUGCUCUCGUUUGUAUAUCGAUUGUGUAUGUAUUUCAGUUAUUUUCCUGGGAACUUGUGUACCAAUCUCGUUGUUAGCUUUGGGCGGACAGGGGCAGGUGCUGUCCGUCCGGCGUCUGUUCGACGCGCCCGGCCGAGCCAAAUUGGUAGCGGUCGCGGGGCGGUGAUAGAUAAAGUGGUAUCAGAGCAAUAAAGAGCAAGUAAAGAGAGAAGUUUAGGAUGGACCUAGGAGACCCGUAGGACGGUGAACCUAAGGUUUAGGUGGUGAGUGACCGUGAACUAUGGUUGUGGCGGAAGUUGAAUUGAUUGCGGUCAAGUUUUGUAAACCUCUAAGACGGAUAUUAGAGGUAGACUCAGGUGGGUGUAUUUCUCCCCAGUGUGUUCAUGUUGGCGCGCGACAACAUGAAACCUAGUGAUGAGAAUAGGCACCCUUGUAUGACUUUCGCCUGAUUCGAGUCACGUUGUCUAGUAGUUGCGACGAGAUUAACAGGUUAAGGUGAUUAACCAAGUUGUUGCGUUUCAGGAGCUAUAGCACCAAAGAGACGCCCUGUGACUAGACCCACUCUCGCACCAACGCCCGAGGUGCCCGAGCAGUCUGGAUCUGAAGAAGUGCAAGAAUUACGAGCGCAGAUGACUACGCUUAUCGGCGUGAUUCAACGCCAAGGAAGUCAGAUCGAGCGGCUCCAAGAGCUUUUGGAGCGACAAGUGGCGACGACGGCCGUGACGACAACUAAAGGCCAUGGUCCGCCCGCGCCCUCGGCUCGCGCGCCUGAUGCGCCUGAGGGCGUGAGCAUUUUGGUAGCUCAGGCGGCGGCGCUUCCCCUACCGGCUAGUGUUCCUUUGGCGGCUUCAGGUCCUACGAUACUCGAUGCGGCAGCUGGGGAAGUGAGACCGGAACGCGAGGCGUUCAAGGAGAGUGGAGUGAAGCAACGACCUCGUGGUGGUUCGGGGAGACAGUCUAGUUCCAAAAAGGCCCCGAAGUACCAAAAGCGGCGGUCCAUUAGACAAGGACCUAUGCGGUGCGUGAUCUGCGGUGGAGGACAUCGCGCGGGGAAUUGUAGGGAUCGGGCGGGGCGGUGCUUCAAGUGUGGUCGAGCGGGACAUAUGGCCCGUCAGUGCGCGGAAGGAGUGCCACCUGCCCCGUCAGUUGCAUCUGCCCCAGAGAUUCAGCGACAGUUUGGUGGAGUCCCGUCUGCUACCGCCGUAUCUGCGGGGUGUGUGAUUUGUGGAGGAUCCCACCAGGCGCGGCGGUGUGCACUGCGAGAGGGAAGGUGUUUUCGUUGUGGGCAGUCUGGCCACAUGAAGUAUGAUUGCCCCUUGGACGAUGGACGACUCCCGCCGACAGCGUCGACAUUCACCUCUUCGGGACAGAUGGUGGAUGUGCAGCCUGUGGCACAGUCUGGAGGGCUGGGGGUGGUCGAGCAGCCGGAGGAUUCACAGGAGGCGCCAAGCGGCCCUGGAUACGCGGCUCAUGUCGAGGGACCUGCUGCUGUUGGUGAUGUUACCGCAGGUAUGAUUUAAUUAAAGCAAUCAUACAUUCUAGCAUGAAGUAGUUUGAGCAAUUGUAUGCAUUUGCUUGUGGUCUUUUACUAUUAUUUACAUAUUGGUAUAGUAGAGACCAGGACGCAGGUCAGAGGAGUCACCCAGCAUGCAUAAGUCGUGGUGGUAUGUCGCCUACCUAAAGAAAUUGGUGAUUGGUCGGUGCCGGCAAGCUGCUGGUGACGAACCGAGAGCGAGACUCCCUUUGGGGAUCUAUGCGUUGUAGAGUGAGGAAGGGCACACCUAGCCGUAUGCUGCUUGUAAACAAUCGGCAAAGGUGUGGUGGAAAGGCAUUUGACGGAACCGAUUGCCUGGUAUCCCUCCUAUGGUCUGGGAUAAGUUCGGGAAUUGGCAUUCCCCGUUCACUUCCCCGACGGUAAGCGAGGAAGCUUCAGAAGGGUUUCUGAAGCUGUGGCAGGUAAACAGCACUGUGAGGCGAUACGAGCGGGAAUUCUCCCGUGUCGUGCGUUGCGUCCCGAACGUAGCGCGGGAUGACAAGGACAUGGCCGACUGCCUUGUGCGUGGACUUCGGCCAGACCUUUGCAAGACUGUGCUUGCACAUAAGUUGCAGACUUUCGCCGACGUCCGGGAUCGGGCCUUGUGGAUAGAACAAGUUGAGGAAUCCCUGCGGGAGGAGCGCGAGGCAUACUACAAGGAAAAGGGGAAAGGACAGCCAGUGAGUGAACAUGAUGGUCAGUCAAAUUCCCAACGAACUUCGAUAAGUUCGCGCUCGCGAUCCCGAGCUCCGGGGACUUACCACAUUCGGUCCUCGGCGAGAUGUAUUAUUUGUGGGGGCCCUCAUUGCCACGGUAGUGUGAACAGCGUGAGGGCAAGUGCUUCAGGUGUGGGCUGCUGGGCCACGUGCGGGACAAGUGUCCGCAAAGGCGAUAGCUGGGCCUUGACGCUAACGACGGCCUAUCCCUCUCUGGGACAGCCUGCAGGUGUGCCACCUGCGGCAUGGUCAGGAGAGCAGCCGUUGAGGACGUUGAAAUCAGAGAGUUCGCGACGAGCGCCAAGUGGCCAUGGAUAAGCGACCCGAGUUGCGGUGCUUGCUGUUGUCAACGUCGUUGUAGCAGGUAUGAAUUAAUUGAGCAAGCAUAUUUUUGCAUGAUCCCAAGUUGUUGCAUAGCAUGCAUUCAUCAUAUGGUCAGUUACUACUAUUACUACAUUACAUAGUAGGGACCGAGUGGUCGGGUAAGUAGGUACCCGAGCAUGCUAGCAGGAUGAGAGUAUGGCGCCUGCUGAGCAUGCUAGUGGCCUCUACUACUAUAUUCUACAAUCUAGAUUCAACCACACUAGGUGUCUCUAUAUAUCAUAACCUAGGUUCAACCACGCUAGGUUUUAUGUCAUUUUCCACCUAGAUCUCGACUCUAGGUUCACUUGUUCAACCUAUGUUCCAUGACACUAGGUUCAUGCCACUCGAUCUACUUAUUAUCCUAGCUGUCCACACCUAGGGUUGUAAUUUACAUGUACUUGCUUUGCAACUGUCGAAUUCUCUAAUCAACCUAGAGUUAUCGACCGGAAUUCUCAUCUACAUGAAUCUAGCACAGGCUACAACCUGUCAACAUGCAUGUAUAGUCUAGCAUGAUCCACAACAUGUCAACAUGCAUUUUAUCUAGCAUAUUCUACAAUAUCAACAUGCAUUCAUCUAGCAUAUUCUACAAUAUAUCAACAUGCAUUCAUCUAACAUAUUCUACAAUAUAUCAACAUGCAUUCAUUGGUAGUAACAUCAACUAACAUAAUAUGAUUCCUGCAUUCAUAUUAUAAUCCACAACCUACCACUAUAUAUAUAUAUGCAUCAAUGAUAAUUAAUAUCUCACUUCGACAUGGAAGUGAGUAAUCUCUUUGGUUAGCAUAACCCACCUCGUAUCGCUCUUCGAUUGCUUGUCGACACUUGUAAUUGGCCUCCUGCGGCACUUGUUGUCCAGUUCGGCUCGAACUUGCAACCGAUCGCCAACCGCAAGUCAAUCCGCGACCUAGGGUUGUCAAGGACCCUUCUCUAACCUCCAAUUAAAGAAACAUAGGGUUUAAUUAGAUCAAAACCCUCCAAAUCCCAAAACCCCCAUCUCUAACCCUAGCAUGAGACAAUCUCCAAUUAACCAAAAAUCUCAUGGGGAAAACAUGCUAGAAUUACUUUAGAGACUAGUAGAAUACCAAGCAUAAAGGAUUUAACCAAUCCUAAACACUUACCAAAAUGCGAACGCCGAGUCGGAAGCACGCUGCUCCAAUGGGCGCACGAAGACUCGAUCCGUCGCUCCACACGCGUUCCCACGCCUGCUCUCUGCCAAGCCUCCGAAUUUGGGAGAGGGAUCUAGAGAGAGAAGGAAGAUAUCUAGAGAGAGAGGAGAGGUUCUCUCUCUACCUCAUAGUGUGUGUGUGCGCGCGCGCUAAAAUGGCUGAGGGAGGAGAAGAAAGGAGAUGGCCCCUUUUUAAAGUCAACCCCUACCACUUAAUUACAAGAAUGCCACUCUGCCGGGGCAUUUUCGAGCUUCGGGGUCCGGACCUUAGCCCUAGGAUCCGGACCCUGUAGGUCCAGAAACGCCGAAAAAUUAGCCUUUUGCCAAUCGGGUCCGUUUUCACUCGUUUUCACUCCCGGGGCCUCCGAUUCAUCUCAAAUCGCACCGAGACCCCCAAAACAUGUUUUCGAGCGCAUUUAGACCGUCUUUUCAUCCACACUUUGCCGAAUUUCGGUCAAGGUCCAACCAUAGCUUUUCGGGUUUCGUUUUCGCGCCCGACGCGUACAAAAAAGGCCCGAAUGCUCCCGAACUUCACCAAAACUGUUCCAAUAAUAGCUUUCCAAACUAACAUACCCCGUAACUUUAUAACUAUAGAAGUUCGAUAUGCUACAAUAGAGCUGCUAGGACUAAAACAUAUAUAUAUAUAACAUAAAGGAUUCACUGUACAUACAACAUCUACAACUACACCUCGCUCCAGCGAGUACAAAAACCAUAAAGUAUGUACAUGAAUACAACUCACUCCCUCUGACGGGUACUCCGCUAGCACAGCGACCAAGGUCGGUAGAGAUCUAGCUCGCGACUCCCUUACCACGGUCAGAAUUAGCUACAGCAGCAGCCGCAAACGAAGGCUCUGCAAAAAGGUGGCAACAACUAGGUGUAAGAACUACUGCAAAAUAGAGUAGUCCUCAGUGGGACCAUUCCCGACCUCAACGGCUCACCCAUUAAGUCUACAGUAAGGAUAGUAAGGAAAGCUGGAAAGAAAUCUACAGCUACAUGGCUCUAUACUAUCGCUACCAAAACAAGCUAUCUGUAGGCAUAAACAUGCAUCAUUAGCUACCACUGACCUAAUCUCACACGGGCUGCCCAAACAGACCCAUCCUGCCUGAAACCAAGCUACACCGUACACCACCCACGGGGAUGGCCGGUCUAAGUAAACUGUCUAAAUAGGACGGCAGCAACAUCAACGCAAGUCAGAGCCUCACUCCGAAGCACACUCGUGGGCGCGACCCAAUCGAGUAUGCAAGCGUGUCUCUGUCGAGCUCAAUCAGACUCACACAGGCUAUAGUCAAUGCAAAUGGGUCUAACUGGUCUAACAACGAAAGCUUACAUACCCUUGGCACAAUCUGAUGUAAGAUACAGAAAUCUGGGUCACCGUCAACCACGACGGCACCCGACAGUAUGGAACAGUCUACACUCCACUGUAAAACGAGCUCGGCCCCUCAACACAAGCGUAAUCUCAACCUACACUAGUCUGAGUAUCCACCUCACACUAACAACGAUGAUACAAAUGAACAACAGCUCCUAAAACUAAUUCGGUAACUUUUUGAAAAAUGACAGUGUAGGUUAACGAGUUUUCUCCUAAGUCAAUUCAAGGUCCAGCAUAUAAAUUUUUCUAAAUUACUAAAUCAUGCUCCAAAACUCAGAUUUCAUAAAACAUGCAAUUUCUGAAUUUGAGCUACUAACAUGAUAACCAAAACAAGAACCACAUGCUGACAACUCUACGACUUAGGAGGAAAUCCGACGAUUUCGGUAAACAUCAACCCACCUCGAGCGCUCGUCCAACGUCGGCUAGAAGUCGAUAGGAGAACUUCGCACGCUCGCUCGACCUCCGACAGCUCAACCGGGACAACCCACGCGCUCGAACGAUCCUCCUAGGAAAUGAAGAAUCCAAACGAGAUCGAACCUUGACCUUCCCAACGAACGGAGUAAACAAGCUAGAGAGAGAAAAGAAUAGGAGAAACUUACUGUUUCUCCAAGCUUCUCAGGCUACUAUAUAAGCUGGGGUAGGUGGCGAUACAAUCCACAACCAAGAAGACCAAAAUAUUCCUUACCAACCCAAAUCUGCCCGUGGGGUACCGGUACUCAUCUUGAAUACCGGUACUCGGCCUUCUGUCCGCAACAUAGCGCGCUGGGUACUGGUAUCAGCCCAAUGCAGUACUGGUACUCAAGCUUGGUACCGGUACUCAACGAUAGGUACUGGUACUCAGCAUCAAACAUGCGCAACCCAAAAGCAUCCAGUUUUGCAACCACACUGGGGUGCCGGUACUUCUCCCCAGGUAGAAAUAUUUAAAUUUUGGUUUCUAGAUGCUUUAAGUAGUAUAGAUCAUGUUCAACGGUGCCAAUCGUCGAUUUAGAGGCUCCAUCAUCGAAAACAAAUGGGUGGCAACGGAGCCCGUUUACUAUCGAUAGUAUUCUAGCUCAACUCUAUAUAUAUAUAUAAUUGAGCUAGAAUACUCUCAAAAGCACCAACCUAUUGGUGCUUUUGAAUUUCUAGCCCUUGGAUCUACUCCUUGAUUACUAAUAACUUUUGAAUCAAACACUAUUCCACCUACUACCACCUACCACCAUCAUCUCAACCCUACAUCUCUCCAUCCAAUGGCUAAAAACUCAAAAGCAUCAACCCUUUGGUGCUUUUGAGAGUAUUAUAGUUCAACUCUCUCUCUCUCUCUCUCUCUCUCUCGCUCUCUCUCUCUCUCUCUCUAUAUAUAUAUAUAUAUAUAUAUAGAGAGAGAGAGAGAGAGAGAGAGCGUCUGGUAUGCUUUUGGAAGCACGGAGCGCUCUGUGCUUCCAAGUUGUUUUCGAUGUUCGGACUUUCGAAUCGACGAUCGGCUCCGUUAGACUUGAUCUAGAGUAUUUGAAGUAUCUAGAAAAUAAAUUUUGCGAUUUUUCGAUAUCAUUUGCCUAGUGAUCGAAGUGGCUCAAAAUCAACGACUGAAAAUAAAAAUCUUACAAAAUAUGAUGAUAUGACAUUAAAAUUUUAGAUCAAAAUUAUUAAUCUUGUUUUAUAUGGUAUAAAGAAUUUUCUAUCAAAAUUUCAUGUGAUUUGGAUAUUUCUACACCGUUAAACUUGCAAACGGCUCACCACGGCCAUUAAAAUUAUUGAUUUUGAGCCCCUUCGAUCACUAGGCAAAUGAUAUCGAAAAAACACAAAAUUCAUUUUCUAAGUACUUCAAAUACUCUAGAUAAAUUCUAGCGGAGCCGAUCGUCGAUUCGAAAGUCCGAAUAUCGAAAACAACUUGUAAGCACGGAGGGCUCCGUGCUUCCAGAAGCAUACCAGCCCACUCUCUCUCUCUCUCUCUCUCUCUCUCUCUCUCUCUCUCUCUCUCUAUAUAUAUAUAUAUAUAUAUAUAUAUAAAAUUGGGUUGGAUUACUAUUAAUAGUAUUUGGGCUAUUUUAUUAUCAAGUUUUUGACCCUUGGAUUAAAAAUUAUAGGGUUAGUAUGAUAGUGCUCCCUAAGGUUUAGUGGUGGUCCCCGAAGGUCGAGUAGGUGGUUGGUUGAAUAGUACGAUCUAAAGGGUGAACUUUAUUGAAAGGUAAAUCUAGCGGUUAAAAAAUUGAUAGGAAAAGAACUCAAAUACUAUUAAUAGUAUUUCAGUUCAACUUUCUCUCUCUCUCUAUAUAUAAAGAGAGAGAGAGUCCGGCUAUUAUACUUUUAUGAGUAUAGAUCUUUUUGUACUCAUAAGUUUUCGGCUAUUAGAUCUACCCCUUUGAUUAUUUCUAUCCGUUAGAUCGUACUAUUCAACCCACAACCCACUCAACCCUAGGGAAUCACUAUCAUACUAACCAUACAUUCCUUUAUCUAACGGCUGAAAACUUAUGAGUACAAAAGAGUUUAUACUCAUAAGAAUAUAAUAGCCCUAGCCUAUAUAUAGAGUCCAUGUGAGACCCCAGGUAGUCCUAUAUAUAAGAUAUAAUAGCAUUAAAACUCUUAAUCCGGCUUAAACAUUUUGGGUAGUGGCUAGGCCCAAGAGGUUAAGAGUGUUAAGCGUGCUAGUACGGUAGUCCUAGGAUGGGUGACACCCUGGAAAGUUGGGAUGUCACAUUUGGUAUCAAAACCAAUUACCAGCCAGAAGUGUGAGAUGAGUUAUCACUUGACUGUUUUAGGUAAAGCGCUGCUCCCACAAGGUUAGUUUAGGCUAGUGAGACGAGUCUCACAUUACCUGAUACUUGUGAGUCUAAGCCUGACGAUGACAUCAGGGCUUAAAGGGAGGGAGAAUGUGAGACCCCAGGUAGUCCUAUAUAUAUGAUAUAAUAGGGCUAAUACUUUUAACCGGGUUUAAGUAUUUUGAGUGGUGGCUAGGCCCAAGAGGUUAAGAGAGUUAAACGUGCUAGGAUAAGAGUAGUCCUAGGAUGGGUGACCCAUUGGAAAGUUAGGACGUUACAUUUGAUAUGAGAGCCAAUUACCAGCCGGAAGUAUGAGAUGAGUCUUAGCUGAACCAGGGUUAUACAGCGGGGAGUGCUUAAGCAUUUUGAGUGGUGGCUAGGCCCAAGAGGUUAAGAGAGUAAAGCGUGCUAAGAUGGGAGUAGUCUUAGGAUGAGUGACCUCUUGGAAAGUUGGGACGUUACAUUUGGUAUCAGAGCCAAUUACCAGCCGGAAGUGUGAGAUGAGUCUUGGCUGAACCAGGGUUAUACAACGGGGAGAGCGAGGCUCUCAUACUGUUGACUAUUGUGGGUAGAGCACGGCUCCCCCAUAAGUUCGGUUUAGGCGUUGUGGGUAGAGCACGGCUUCCCCACAAGGUCGGUUUAGGCUAGAGAGACGAGUCUCACAUCGCCUGGUAUGAACCUUACGAGGACGUCAGGGCUUAAAGGGAAGAAAAUGUGAGAUCCAAGGUAGUCCUAUAUAUAAGAUAUAAUAGGGCUAAAACUCUUAACCCGACUUAAACAUUCUGAGUGGUGGCUAGGCCCAAGAGAUUAAGAGAGUUAAGCGUGCUAAGGUGGGAGUAGUCCUAAGAUGGGUGACCCUUGGGAAGUUGGGGUGUCACGGUAAUGUAACGACCCGACCUACUAGCAAUAAUAACUCGUUGGGCCCAACCACCUACCCAAAAUACUUAAGCCCAGUUAUGAUUUCUAGCCUAAUAAAGCUUAUGUACUCCCAUAUCUAGCUAUAACUUUCCGAUGUGGGCUUAUUGGGGUGUCACAGACUCCCCCAGUUUAGACCCUGAUGUCCUCGUCAGUCCUAGACACACAUAGAGCACAACAUCACCAGGCCAAUGUGAGACUUGUCUCACUAACCUUUGUCAUUCCGACCCUGACUUAUCUUGUCAAUUACCAACUCUGACUUCCGACCCUGACUCAGCCAACACUCAUCUCACACUUCCGGCUGGUGAACUGGCUCUGAUACCAAAUGUAACGACCCGAUCCACUAGUAAUAAUAACUUGUUGGGCCCGAACCACCGGCUCAAAAUGCUUAAGUCCAGUUAUUAUUUCUAACCUAAGCAAGCUUAUAUACCCUCACAUCUUACUAUAACUACCCGAUGUUGGAUUAUUGGGGUGCCACAGUUCGGCUACCAUACUGUUAUGAGUAUAGAUCUUUUUGUACUCAUAAGUUUUCGACCGUUAGAUUUACCCCUUUGAUUACUUCCACCUAUUAGAUUGUACUAUUCAACCAACAACCCACUCAACCCUUGGGGACUACUAUCAUCCUAAUCUGGGAUGAUUAUCAUCCUAACCGCACAUUCUUUCAUCCAACGACUGAAAACUUAUGAGUACAAAAGAGUUUAUACUCAUAAGAGUAUAGUAGCUCUAGCCUAUAUAUAGAGUCCGGCUACUGUACUGGUAUGAGUAUAGACCUUUUUGUAUAAGUAUUCAACAAUAAUAGUGAUAAGCAUCAAUACUGAUUGAGAUGGAGCAAAUGGAGGAUUAAUUUUGUGAAAGCACUGCUCGUAGACAAUAAUUUCUCAUUACUCAAAUCAAAGAAUAUAUAUCAAAGAUAGGAGAUAAAAUUAACAUUUUAAGUCAUUUUAAGUUAAUCCAAAGUUCAGAUUAGUCCUAUACUUUAUAUAUGUAUAUAGGAAAUUUAACUGUCCAAAAUAAGUGUACUAUUUGCGAUCAAAUUAUGUAAAUUUCAAUAAAAUUUAAUUUUGUUAAAUGUUUUAGCUGUGCACUUUAGCAAGUGAGUAAAGUUGAAUAUUUCAAAUUAGUAGCUAUGCUAUGAUAUUAUCUAUACUUACAUCAUAUAUAAUUGUAUAGAUUAAUAUAUGAUUUCACUUCGUUCGAUUAGUGAAGGUCUUGUCCGUUCGGUGAACUUGUGCACGUACCUGAGCGGACCUAAUUGGGGUUGGCCUAUUUAUUUAGGUAAUUUUAUAAACACAUCUUCUCGACAUUGCCAUGUUCUUUUGCAUGGUGCUCGGUCAUAUCCAAUACAACUUCAUUGUACACGUGCAAGGAACAUGACUAAGUCAAUAGUAAGGUGUAUAAAUACAUGCAUUAUUUAAUUAAUUUACAUAAUUUACUAUUGUUGAUUCAAUAGUUAAGGCUUAGCACGUGCAAUUAAUGAAUUUCAAAAGUAGCCAUAGCUAGAUUAAUUAUAGAUAUAUAUAAUUUCGGCUGAUUAUUAAUAUCACUUUGUUUUCCGUAGAUUAAUAAUUAACUAAGACUAAGUAAAUUUGUGUACGUAUGUGUGCUCGUGUUUGUGUGCAUAUAGGACUAAGUAUUUAUGCAUUUGUGUUUGUAUGAUUUGGAUAUUUUUGACUAAGGCCUCGUUUGGAAUUAAUUUGUUUCCAUAGAAAGAUACUAUAAUAUUUAGAUUGCACUAAUUCAAUUACAAUAUCAUAUUUUAGUUAUAUUGAAAAAUUUAAAAAUGCAUAAUUUUAUAUGCGUUUAUUCUAUUUUUAGUUUUAUCUAAUAGUUAGAUAGUCCUUAAACAUAAAACAUUUAGAUUGCACUAAUUCAUGACGGUUGUUUUGAAUGACAUUAGCACUAUAUAUAUCAAGAUGUUUCUAAGACUCCAACAAUUUUUUCUACAACAAAAUUAAAAUACUAAAUUUGGAUUUAUAAUGUUGAAGCUGAGAAUCUUAUUUCUACCUCCAGCUAUCAGCAGAAGCCAAAAUUUUUUUUCUUUAUGGUGUGCUUGGAUCCUUGUAAAAUUAUCCGAAAAUUCUUUUCGGUUGAAAAGUAAUUUUUUUGAUGUAUUGUUACUAGUAAAUUUUUUUUAAAAUAAUUUUGUUUUAAAGAUUUCACAGAAAAGAGAAGUUUUUAUUUUCCGCUCUCUUCAAGUACUGGAAAACGAAAACUUCUGCCUGAAAAGACGCAACUUUUGGGAGAGUUGCAUCACACGGUCCAUGAGGUCCACUCUACCUCGUGGCCCGUGUGAGAGAGGUGCGCGGACCACUUGGUCUCCUCUUUCAUUAUGUAUUAUUAUAUUCUUAUAAUUAAGUAUAGAGUUCUUUAUACUCAUAAGUUUUUUAAUCGUUGAAUGAAAUAAUGUGUGGUUAGGAUGAUAGUGAUAUCUCAGGGUUGAGUGAUGGUUGAUUGAAUAGUAUAAUUUAACGGAUAAAAAUAGUCAAAAGGGUUGAUCUAACGGCCGAAAACUAAUGAGUACAAAAGGACCCAUACUCAUGAGUAUAGUAGCCGGACUCUCUCUCUAUAUAAUAAUUUUUUUAAAUAAUAUUUAUAAAUACCUAGUAAUUUAUUUCAUAGUAUUAAAUAUAUACUAUUAUAUAUUAUAUUACAUAUUUUUUGUAUAAUAUAUUUUAAAUAUAUUUUAUUUUAUAAAUAUAAACUAUAAUACUAAUAUAUGUAAUAUGAUAAUUAUUAUAGACGAGCUAUUAUAUGUUCGGAAGCACAAGAGAAUUGGUGUUUUGACCAUUUCUGACCUUUGGAUUAAAAUUAUUAUCAUAUAAGAACCGCUCAAUUCUAGGAAAAUUAUUCAACCCUAAGGUGGGCCGCUAUUCUACAAUCCUUAAUUCAAUGGCCAAAAAGUUGGAAGCACUAAUUCUCUUAUAUUUGAAAACGCAGUAGCCCUACACAUUAUUAUAUAUCAAUAGGCUAAAUUGCAAAAAAUCCUGCUGUCAAUACAUGUUUUUUCACUUUCUCCUCCUGUCAUUCAAAAACCUAUAUUUUGUCUCCUUAAAAAAUAAAAAAAUAUUCACUUUGACCCCUGUCGUCAAUGUUCCACUAGUGUUCUGUUUAUAUCCUAUUUUUUUAUAUCUAAAAUACCCCCAAAAUCCUCCUCCUUCCUUAUCCUCAGUCGCAUCACCUCACUCUGCGCUGCCUCGCUCUCGCCCACCUCUCUGUUCAUGCCCAUACACACACCCUCGCUCGCCUGCGUGGCUUCACCCUCACCUUUGCCUAUCUCUCCAUCCACGCCCACCUUGGAGAGGAUGAGAGGCAAUUUGGUUAUUUUGUCACAACGUACCCCCCUAUAAAUAUUUUUUUUAUUUUUUAAAAGGGUAAAUGAUAAAAGUGGAUAUUGAGAGGGAAUUUUCUAUAAUUUAGCCAUAUCAAUAAUAUAUAUAUCAGUUCGGCUGGGAUACUAUCUAUUGAGUUUUUUACCAUUAGAUUUAAUCCUUUGAUUAUUUUUACCCAUUAGAUUAUACUAUUCAACCAACCACUCACUCAAUCUUAGGAGACCUACAUCAUCCUAACCACACAUUUCUCAAUCCAAGGGCUAAAAAAUUAAUAGCACCAAUAGCUUGGUGCUAUUGAUAGUAUUCCAGUCUAGUUAUAUAUAUAUAUAAUUGAGCUCCUAUGCUUUUAAAAAUACCAAGUUAUUGGUGCUUAUAGAUUUUUAGCCGUUGUAUUAAGGGAUAUGCGGUUAGGAUGAUGUGGACCCCCUUGGGCUGAGUGAGUGGUUGAUUGAAUAGUAUAAUCUAACGGUUAAAAAUGAUCAGAGGAGUAGAUCUAACGGUAAAAAAUUUACAAGCACCAAAUACUUGGUGCUUUUACAAGCACCAUAGCCGUUCAUUUUGACAUUUUUGAUCUAGAUUAAGGUUAAGGUUAACAUUCUUGAUCUUGAAUUUAAAAAUCCUAUACUCAAAUUUUAAAGAUUAUACAAUUUUCACCAUUCAUUUUGACAUAAUUUAUUUAUUAAGUAAACGACGUCGAAAAAAACUAAAAUUUUAUUUCUAAGAACUUCAUAUACCCUAAAUCAUAUUUAAUGGUGUGGAUCGUUAAUUUGAACAACCUAAGAUCGAAAAUAAGACUAUAGUACCGGAGCUCCGGUACUAUAGAUAGUAUAGUAGCCCAAUUCUAUAUAUAUAUAUAUAUAUAUAUAUAUAUAAUAAUNUCGUUAAAAUGGACAAUUAUUAGACCUUUUGACCGUAGGGUAUCAAACGCGAAAAAUUAUAAAACUUGCUUUAUAGAAUGUUUAAAUGUUUUAAAUUAUAUUUAAUAGUAUUGAUCGCCGAUUUGAAAGUUACUAGCAUUAACUAAAAAAAGAAGUAAGAAAUAAUAACCUUAUGGGCAAUGUUAUACGAACCAAGUCCAACAGUGAUCCGAAAAUAUUAUUGAAUCAAGGAUCAUUGGUUCAAACCAAUGAGUCAACCAUUAAUUAAACCAAUGACGUCAGCAUAACAUAUUAAGAGCCUGUUUGGAUACACAGUAAAAUAUCUCAACGAAAUUUAUAAACUGUGGUUUCGUCUAGAUAAAAUGGAGAAUCCUGCAACUCUAAAAAAUUCCACGGAUUCAAUUUUUAAACUGUUUGGAUACGCAUUGUACAAUUUCACAGAAUUUUUCUAAAUUUUAAGAUUAAAAGUUAAAAUUUAAAAUUUNNNNNNNNNNNNNNNNNNNNNNNNNNNNNNNNNNNNNNNNNNNNNNNNNNNNNNNNNNNNNNNNNNNNNNNNNNNNNNNNNNNNNNNNNNNNNNNNNNNNNNNNNNNNNNNNNNNNNNNNNNNNNNNNNNNNNNNNNNNNNNNNNNNNNNNNNNNNNNNNNNNNNNNNNNNNNNNNNNNNNNNNNNNNNNNNNNNNNNNNNNNNNNNNNNNNNNNNNNNNNNNNNNNNNNNNNNNNNNNNNNNNNNNNNNNNNNNNNNNNNNNNNNNNNNNNNNNNNNNNNNNNNNNNNNNNNNNNNNNNNNNNNNNNNNNNNNNNNNNNNNNNNNNNNNNNNNNNNNNNNNNNNNNNNNNNNNNNNNNNNNNNNNNNNNNNNNNNNNNNNNNNNNNNNNNNNNNNNNNNNNNNNNNNNNNNNNNNNNNNNNNNNNNNNNNNNNNNNNNNNNNNNNNNNNNNNNNNNNNNNNNNNNNNNNNNNNNNNNNNNNNNNNNNNNNNNNNNNNNNNNNNNNNNNNNNNNNNNNNNNNNNNCUCUCUCUCUCUCUCUCUCUCUCUCUCUCUAUAUAUAUAUAUAUAUAUAUAUAUAAUAAUUUUUUAUUUAUAACUUCUUUUUUUUUCGUUUCAACCAAACAAUCGUGAUAGAAUACUUUUAUUUUGUUACCAACCAAAUACUAAAUAACGUGAAAUUUAUUUCCUUUAAAAGAAUUUUUUUUUUUUUUCACAAUUUUACGUAGAAUUAAAUAACCCUUUACCAAUUGCUCUCACUAGAGACGUGAAAGCAGCGACGAAAACAAAACAAAUGGAUUCUUUAAUAAUUGAAAAAAAAAUGAUAAAGUUGGGUCAUUUUCAAAUUGAAUUAUUUAACAUUUUUAAUAUUUUUAAAAAAAUUAUAACGUUUUCUUUUUCUUUUUGCUAAGAAAGGGAGGUAGUUUCGUAAGCAUCAAUCACAAAUUAAAUGACGGGAAAUCAUGUUCCCUUCCUCCCCCGUGUUGACUUUUAUUCAAAGCUGCGAACGUUGGUUUAAAAAAAAUAAUAAGCCAAACAUUUUAUAUUUUAUACAUUAUUUAUUUUUUUAUUUAUUCAUUUAUAUUUUUGUGGAUGUAAACUUGGAGGAUAGUUUUGCUGCAACCAACUCAUCUAGAACUUCAAAUAAUUAUUUAAAUUUAUUAUUUAAUNAAAUUUAAAAGUUAAAACUUGAUGCAUUUUUUUGAAUAAGGGAGCUCAAGAAUGGUGGAAUUUUUUUCCUUUUGUUAGAGUGAAUUAUACUUUUACUCCAUUUUUUGGAGUAUAGUUUAACUAUACUCCAAAAAUUACGUUACUUUUUUUCCUCCCAAACGUUUCAUAGGAUAUUUUUUCGACUGCCGUAACAUAGUUUAACUAUGCUACGUUUUCAGAAGUAUCCAAACGGGGCCUAAAUAUUUAAUUAUUUUUUAAUUUUAUUAUCACGCCCCGGAUUACAAGUUCCCCGGGCACGCCAACAAAUCCGCCGUACACGAAGGAAUUUCCCCUGUAUACGAGCGAUAGCUGUACCUGUAAAACAUACAAUACUACAAACAGUAGUAUAGAGCCGCUAGAAGAACUAGUAAAGUAAAAGAAACCGAGUUCCAUAUACAUACACUGAAUCCCAGAGUACAAAACUACUCGCGCUGGCGAGUUAAAAGUCUGUANUAAAGUAAAAUUUCUAUUUGAAAAUUAAUAAUUGAUUCUUUUAAAAAGAUAAUAUCUUCGACCUUUGGAGUUUUUAUUUUUUGUGAAAAACAAAAUAUAAGAUCUUGUUUGGUGUAAGACUUUUGGAGUUUUUAUUUUUUGUGAAAAACAAAAUAUAAGAUUACAAUCCCGGUUUACUAGCAUCUGUAUACCCUUAACCUUAACCUUAAUAAUCAAAUAUCGGGUAUAUCCCUGUUUACUCAAAAAAAGAUCUUGUUUGGUGUUAUUAUUAUAUUUGCUGCUGAAAACUAUUAAAGGAUUUUAAUAAAAAAUCUUUUAGUAUUUUAAAUGGCUAAAUGCUGAAUAAAACACACUCUAGUUUGCCAUGAUUUAGAAAUCAGGUCGAAUAGGCUGGUUCGACCGGUCCGACCGUAAUCUAGUUCAUAAAGUAAUUUGAUUCUAUCCUUUGAAUAUGUUAAAAAACUGUUUUGAACCAUUUGAACCGGCGGUUAAAAUAUUAACGAUGAAGUAAUCCGAUUUUAAUCAAGUUGAUUGUAUUUUGUUCAUAAAGUCAUAUUAAAAUUCAAUGACUUAAAAUUAACUUAGUUGAUUUUAUUUUCUAUUAGUACAUACUAAUUUUAUAAAAAUUAAAAUUUGAAAACUUAUAUUAACUUAAUUUGGUCAAAAAUCAGUAUUUUAUAAUAAAGUAUGAUACUAAAAAUAAAAACAUAUAUAAUAAAAAUAAAAAAUAAUAAUUAAGUUAUGUUAUUUUUCUCACGUCAAUGAUUCAAUUAAUAAUUGACGCGCGCUGUGGUUGAAUCAGCCAUUCUGGACCCAUGCCAACAACUUUUCCGAGGCGUUAUUCGACCUGAUUUUUAAAACAUUUCUAAUCUAGUGAUAUAUUCAAAAUAUAUCGACUCUGAUUAAAUCACGUGUGUCCGUAUAUCCUGUGCACUUUAGUUAAUUAGUCCUCUAUUUUUUUUUUCUUUUUUCCCUGCUUAAUUCCAGGUGUAAUUGGUUUUAUGUGUGAAAUUCUUUUGUAUUUUUAUAACACCCUUUUCGUGAUGCAAAUAAAGAAAAGGAUAAAGAGGGAGACACCCAUUAUAGUACCUCUUUUUAUCAAAAGGCAUGGCAAGUAGUGGUCCUCCCAAUGACUAUUUUGUUGACUUUGUUGAAUCAAUAAAGUAUUUUGUUGAUGUUUAAUACAAAAUAUAUGUCUAUUCAAAUAUUAAUAUAAUCAGCUACUUCAUUUCCUUAAUCUCAUCAGUGCACUGCCUUCCAAAUCUCUCUCUCUCUCUCUCUCUCCACAAACGCGCGCGCGCGCACAUAUAUAUAUAUAUAUAUAUAUAUAUAUAUAUAUAUAUACUGUACUAUUAAGAAUACAGCAGUUCUUGUACUCUUAACUUUCUAACCAUCCAUUAAUUUUAAUAGAUGGUUAGAAUGGGAGAGAACAGAGAUAUUAGAAAAAAAUUCGAAGAAAAGAGAAAUUGAGACACCAAAUUUUUUCUUAAUUUCUUUUCUCCCGUUCAUCUUACCCAUCCAUCAAACUUAAUGGAUGGUUAAAUUCGAUAACUCCAUCAAAUUUAACCGGUAAGCUAAAAUUUGAUAACUCCAUCAAUCGUUAGACUUUCUCAAUUUGAUAAAGAGGGAGCAAUUUAGCUUAAACUUUCUCAAUUCUUGGAGUUAUCAAACGUUAUUUAAAUAGUAUAAAAAUUUCCAUUGUAUUGUUGUCACGCCCCGGGGCCGAUUUUAAAAGUCUUUUUAAAACAGAGUUGCGGAAAACGUGCCUUUUUUUUUUUUUUCAACCUGGCCCACGCGACAUACAGACCCGCCACAAAUACAAAGUUCCUCUGUCCACUUGGACAGAGUCUCCUUUGUAUUUGCACUGCGUACCAGCUAUACAACAGGAUCUCAACCACAACCUACAUUUAUCAAUCAACAACCAAAGUAUGAUAUGCAUUUCCAUACAGCUAACAAUCCUUAGAAUGAUGCAUGCCUCUAAGCACUCCUUAGGCGCUGGAUGAUGUAAUGCACAAUACAACAAACAUCCUAUUUAAAAGUGCUCCCCACACGGAAGCUUUUGUUUUUAAACUCUAAUUCAUUCAUUCAUAAAAACCAUUCGAAAACCUUUUUAAAACUGUUUUCCACACGGAAACUCUAUUUUGAAAACCGACUACCUCGAGGGGUAGAAAACCACGAUGCAUAACUACAAGAAAACCAAAUCUCCACAGAACCAAUAACACAAAUCAAAAACUCCAAUCUCAUGUCAUAAAAGAAACCAACACACAUUUCACUACAUUCAAAGGCAUACAUAAGAUCAUCCUAACUGACAUAUUAUUAAGAAAACUAGGCGGAAAGAGAAACCCAGAAGGUGACGGCACGCGCUAGACCCCGCCAAACUAGAUGUCCUCUCAUCGAGCCCAAAGAUCCAUUGUUCUCUGUCACCGUGUGGGGGGGAAAUGGGUGAGAAAGCGAACCCAUGGUUUUCUCAGUGGGACGACGAGCCAGAGGCAAGUAUCACUGGAAACAGAGGAGAUAGAUAUAACAAGUAUAUUAUACUGUUAAGCUGAUUAUUGAAAAUAGAACUACCAGUAGCUACAACAAGAUAAUGAGGAAGCCAUAAAUAACUGCUAUGUAUUAGAAAAAUAAUGACAAGAUUGCCUCAAUGUACUGAACCGAAAUGUACCCAAUCUGUGCCUGCUGUAUCAGUCCGCAGACUCCAAAGCGCUUACAUGCUCACUUCUGCACGCAUGAAUCCAUCGCCCGACAGGACGACCUAUCGGUAUAAUAACUCCGAUUCGGUGGCAAACCGACUCCACGGUCAUGAAUCAAAGAUGCCAGUGAUAAGUAAAUGGCUGGUAUGCGUCAACCGAACAAAACCCGGCUGAAGCGGUGCGGGUGGACGAAGCAACAACGGGGGCGUACAAUGCAAACUGGAAUAGAAGCUGGCGAUACAACGCCGAAACUGAAUUAGAUGCAUAGGGCGUACAACGGCGAACCUCGAUCAACCAGAUCCGAAAAACACGACGACAAGAGAGUUCGAUGUGUUGCUGGACCAAGGUCCACAGAAAGUACUGAAAUACGAAUGCAGCUGCCUCUACUGUCGAUCCAAAUAACGAAUGCAAUUCAAGGGGCCAUGCGGAUAACAAACGAUAACAAGGCAGAUGACUAUGUAAGAGAUUUAAAUUACAGGAUAGAAACAGGAGAAGGAAGUGAUACGGCUGCUACGUACCAGCUGAGACACCACCUGUGUACUGUUCGCGUCGGAACAUGGUGUACGCAAAUGUCGGCACGGACUACGAGAUCCACGGGUCAGUAACAACCCAGCUCAUGAAAUACACCUAUCUCACAACCCCACACAGGCUUUAUCGGUUUCCCAAAACCGAUUCGUAACGGAAGUCCCGAAAACCACACGGGCGCAGUCGGGGCACUGAGUGCCCGAAAUUACCGCUAGUGCAAAGUCAGCGCCGUGCCCAAGCACUCCAUUUGGAUGCCUUUGGACAGCGAACACAAGGUCACACAACAUCGUCAUCGGGAUAUAUGUACGAAGAUCCGGGUUCCGGAAGUGUUAUUUCGAAACGGAACCCUCGUCGCUCACUAUCAUAUUCGAGACACAAAAUGAUGAUGGCGUUGACGGCAACAAGGCUCUGCGACAAACAGAAGCAACCAAACACCGUCGAAAGGAAUUCGAACCGAAACCGGCGUUUUUUCGCGGCGAAUUUCGCCGAAAAAGACGAAAUGAACUACGGAUUUCGGAAAGUAUAUGAAUGGACAUAUCAGUUCCCAGCGAUCAUAAAAACUCCCAACACUGCCACAGUAGACCAGUCAAAGACAAUUGACGUAAGACCUUAAUAUAAAAUAUCUAUCUUUUAUAGUUAAUUUGAGCGAUCAAGCGCAUCGUUCACGCAACCGGACUUUUAAGUCGCAGAGAAGUAUCUGAUAAGGUCUCGAUGUACGGAGUCCGUGCUAUGAUCCGGAAGCAAGCGGCUCGCUGAGUGGGAAGACAGGAGCAACCGAAGGUUCAGCGACAGCGCAGUCAGGGAAGAUCGCGACGAACAGAACUAACCGGGACAUUCUGAUCAAAGUGGAGGUGAGCAUGUUGAUCAAGCAUCUGCAACGGGCGCUUUGGAUCGCGGAAAGGCGGACGCAAACCAACAGUCAGCAAAAAGGCGAAAGGAGCAAGCCGAAAAGAGCACCCGACGGAGUCCCCGACAGAACUAAGUGAGCACGAUGAUAUCAGCACUUUCAGUCAUCUUGCUCCACUCGUAGAGAUUGGGAAAGGCUCGGGUAAGCUAGAACAAAAUCAUCACAAUAAGCCCUAUUUUGGGCUUGGCGGAGCAGAACUUGCUUCCGGCGGCUCCGGCGGCCCGGCGGCGCGGCGGCGGCAGGGAGGGUGCGGGGAGGUGAGGAGUAUCGGCUCCUCGGUUGGCGGCUGGAAAGCGGCGGCAGAGGCCGGCGGCGGAGCAACGAGCGACGAAUCGUGGCUCGGCGUUCCCAGGAGUUGUGCCGGCACGCUACUGGCGGCGGGGGCUCCGGGACGGCGGAGGCGUGGUAUGCAGAGAGUGGGGCGUUGGUGGCAAGGUGGAUCAGGCGGCGGCGGGCGAGGAAGAUGGCCGCCACCGCUCUCGGCUGGGCUCGGGCUGGACUGUCUCCAGCCGGCGACGGCGCGAGCAGUCGGCGCUGUAUUGGGGCGGCGGCGACCGGAUGCGGCGCGUUGGACGGGGGAUGUCGGCGGGAGAGGAUCUCGGUCGCUUUUCACCUAGUGCGGCGGGGGCAGAGGCUGCCAACCCAAGUCUCGGCUUGAGCUCCGGCCUGGGAUGCUGCAGGCGGCGCAGCCGGCAGCGGCGUCGCAGGCGGACGCGGCGGUCGGGGGGAAAGUUGCCGGAGCACGGUGAAGUCGGGGAAGGUUGCAGGAGGCGAGGCCACGAGGCCUCAACACAACCCGAGUAGGAUGAGAGGGGACGAGAGAGAAGAGAGGGAUGAGAGGUAAGAAGUGUGGCAUCUGCGCGGUGUGGCGGCCGGGGCGGGUUGCGGCGGACCUUGCGGCACGGCAAGCAGGUGCAGGGGAAGGAGAUGGAAAGGUGGUGGGCGACUUAGAGGUAGUAGGGUUAUGUUAGGUGAGACAACCUAAGAGCAACUUAUAUUACAAGGCUGCACUUUGCCAAAAAGCGUCACCAAAACUCGGAAUUUCAAUCGAGCUUCACGACGGACAUAAUAACGCCUAACAUUAAACUAUACGGUACCUACAACGUGGAACGACCUCACGUCGAUCUCACGACAAAACGGUACAUAAAAUAUUCGCGACUUUCGCAAAAAUCGUUUUUGCAUAGACUCUCCUACGAAAACUCGAUGCGAUAUUGCAGAUCGAUAUCGUCAGAUUACAAGCUCUGCGAACGGAUUGCACCAGUGAGUUAGCCGACGGAUGACAACAAGUACGAUUUCGUUUCGUUUUUGAUCGACACGGAUUUCACGACAAAAUUCCACCUUCGUUCGAUGUAGAAUUGUAUUACACUGGUCUUAGCAAUUGCAAGAUUUCGAGUUGUGUUGAUUUGCGUGUGGAGCCUUUCCCAGUUUUAGGAGGGUCGUUGUAGUUGUUCGACCCCUUGGACACGCAUCUGAGGUGUUGAUUGUGGACCUGGCCCAAAUUCCCAAAAUCGAGAUUUUUGGACGUCUGGAGUGCAGCACGGUUGUACCGGAAGACUUGGCUUGUCCGGUAAGGUGGUUGAUGGUUGUACGUCAGCCAUCGUGGCUUAUGUAACCGGUACGGGGACCAGACCGCAGGACCGGCCUCGGUUGCAACUUUCGUCGGCCUGUACGUACAAGAACCGGUUGUACCAGGUACAGGACGGCCAGAUUUGCUACGUUUGAACUGCGCGGUUUUCGCGAUUGUGGGCUUUCUUAUAACUAGCACCCAGCCUUAGGGCUUUUUUGGUUGCUGGGACCUGAGGGGAGAAGGUGAGAGGACUUCUUUCCUUUCCUUGCUUUUUACCCUAUUGCUUGGUUUUUAAUUUGAGAGAUAUUAUCUUUCUCUUUUUGCAUCUUUGGUGGUUAAUCCCAUUGUUUGAUGGCUUGAGUUGGAGAGGAGUUGUGCGUGAGGAAUCUCACAUUGGAUUGGAGCUAGUUUGUGGCUUCAAAGAGGUUAGAAACAUGAUUCCACUUUUGAUUUCAUGUUUAUUGAGGCUUUAUUGAAUUGAACCCUUAGUUGUGUAUUAGGUGUUUUAUUUUGGCAUUUUGAGAUCUAGGGCUUUUGUAAGCUAGAUUGAUUGGCAUUGAGUUCAUUAGGAGUUGCGAUUGGAUGAGCUCUAGCAUAUUUUGGAGCUUUUAGAGGAGAUUUUAUAGAGGUGUUUUCUUAUACCUAUACUUGUUUAGUUAAUGUUGAGAUAUUUGAUGGUUAGUUUCGUUUGUUGUGACACCCAUGUUUCUAUACUUUACGUGUAUAGGAGAUAGAGGAACCCAUCGUGUGGGGCGCACGAGGAGUUUCGGUUGUCAAUCGGUGGUUUGGCUUGUGGAAAUGGGGCAAAUGGCCCCUAUGCUCUUUCUGACUUGUUGUAAAAUAUUAUUUAAGUUAUUUUCUAUGCUAAUAUGGAUUUAUUAUGAAUUUAGACUUAAAUGCAUGCCUUUAGUAUUAUGAAAUUUCAUAAUAUAGUAGAGUUAUAUGAGUUAGAUGGCUGAAUAGGGCAAUGUAUUGUUUUGCAAAUGAAAUAUAAUUUUAUGAUGAUGAUGACGUGGUAUAUGUACUUGGAAUAUGUGCAUGUUUUGAUAGAGAGCAAGAGUGUCAUAAUGGGCUUGAAAUAGUAAACUAUAAUGCAAUAUAGGACAUAUUGAUAGGCACUACAUAUUCUAUAUUCCAUGUUAGAGACAUUGAUGAAUAGGGAUAGGAUUGAAGAUUACCUGACAUUCAUGGUUAUUAGACCAUGAGGACUUCUGAGUACUUGCGACAGAUCGUUUGGACUACUUGGCUAUUUGUCUCAUUCGAUCAUUGUUGUGAUGUCGGCUCCCUUACAAGCCGAGCUUCCGGGAGAUGGCAUCGCGAUAAUAUUCCGUGCGGAGGAUUGGGCGGCCGAAUGUGGAUGCGUUGGGACAGGCUCAUCCCUUAGGGUGGGGAGAUAGAUACGGGUGCCUUAGGUCAGACCGGCGACAGCAUUCGGAUGUGGUCUCAGGCCAUAGACAGCUUCGGGUUGUAGGUACUCUUCAGAUUCGAUGAGCAAUUCGUUAUGAAUUGUAGGGAAGGAUGAUGAUUUAGAAGUUUAUUUGGAAUUGAUAGAUAGUAAACAAUUAUAACUUUAUAUUUGCGAUUGUGAAAAUUAUGAUAUGGGAGACUUUUAUUAUGUAUGGUUGUUUGAUAUUAUGCUAAUUAGGCUAAGUUGCAGAUAUAUGUUGUAGUUAAGUUUACAUUUUUACUUCUUUCGUUUUUACAUUUAUAGUAUAACCUCUUUUGUAGCUUGGGCCUUGUUGGUGCAUUUACUGAAGUCAGUUAAUUGCCCACAUGUGGAAUAUUUUUUUGAGUUUCACGCUGUUUCUGGUGGUUUCCUUUUAGAGGCUUCGGCACGGCGGGAAGGCGGCAAGAUCGCGGCAAGGCGAGAUGCGUAGAUACCUAGCGAGGAGCUUACUUGCCUAGGUGGUUUACUUCUUUUUUGUAAGUUGAGAGAGUGAGAGUUUUUUGUACCAUGUAUUAGAGAACUAUGUAUUAUCAUAGAAUUGUUAUUUUGGGGAUUUCUAUUGUAUUUACUUUAUGUUUUAUUUAGUUGAUUUACUGUUUGAACUUUAUCCUUGUUAGUUAGCCUUAGAAUUUUCUAUGCUCUUGUACUCUUAGAUGUCUUUUAUUAUUGCUCUUUUAUGUAGAGAUGUUUUAGAGCACUUAUAUGUUUGUAACAGUAUGGCGGGUCUGGAUUUUAUGGGCACGCGCCGGGUGGCUUCGCUGGAUCCGGGGCAUGUGACAAAAAACAUAAUACAUAUUAAAAUAUUCUAAUUUUUUGGAUUUUUUUCGAAUCCGUGCGAUCGACUCAAAUCCGUCAAGGUCAUUAUCUCGAACAGCUGACCGGUUCGACGAGCUAUUGGAUGCUAGAUGAACAGAUUCCAGGUACGAGCCAGAAGCCAAUUUUCUCGACGCGGCUUUCACGGAAAAUCGAGUUACUAUUCAUUAAGUGAAACUUGGAAAUCGCGUAGAUAUUUGUUUUAACUCAGAUUUCAAGCCCGAAACUGACGAUGUGCUUUGUAAUUAAUUAAACAAAACUAUCAACUGGAGUUGAUUAGACUACACUGACAAAAAUCUCAAUCUUUCAAUUGUUCAGAUAAAAAUUGAGUUAUUAAAAUUGUAUUUUCUAGAUAGAUGCAAUAAAUUUCUUUUAAUAUUUAAUUGAUUUUUGUUUCUCUACACCUUUAAUUUAACAUCACACACCUUCGUUAAAUGGAUCAUUAUUAGUUUUGACCGUGGGUAUCAAAGCGAAAAUUUAUAAACUUGCUUUUAUAGAUGUUUAUAAUGUUAUUAAAUUAUAUUUUAAUAGUAUUGAUCGCCGAUUUUGAAAGUUUACUAGCAUUAAUAAAAAAAGAAGUAAGAUAAUAUAAUUAUGGGCAAUGUUUACGAACCAAGAUCAACAUGAUAGGAAAAUAUUAUUUGAAUCAAGAUCAUUGGUUCAAACCAAUGAAGUCAACAUUAAUUAAAACAUGACGUCGAGCUAACAUAUUAAGGCUGUUUGGAUACAUCAGUAAAAUAUAUAACGAAUUUAUUAAACUGUGGUUUAGUCUAGAAUAAAUGUGAGAAUCCUGAAAUUAAAUAUUCCACGGAUUUCAAUUUUUAAAUGUUGGAUUACGCAUUUGGUCAUUCGAAUUUUUCUAAAUUUUUAAUAUUAAAUUUAAAUGUUAAAAUUUCAAAAAUUUAAAAUUAAAAUUUGAUAUGUUGAAAUGGAAAUUUUAGAAUUUUAUUUUAAAUUUUUAAAUUUUCAAAUUUGAUUUACAAUUUUAAAAGUUUAAAUAUAAAUCUAAAUUUAAUAUUUUAAAUUUAUUUUAAAUUUUUUAAAUUUUAAAAUUUAAAAUAAAAAAUUUAAAAUUUUAAAUAAAAUUUUAAAAUUUAAACUUGAAAUUGGAAUUUAGAAUUUUAAUUUAAAAAAUACAUUUAAAUUUAAAGUUUUUAAAAAUAAUUUAAAAUUUAAGUUUUAAAAUGGAAAAAUUUGAACUAUGAAGACUUGAAGAUUGACAUUUCAAAUUUAAAUUUGUUUUGAAUUUUAUAUUUAAAUUUUAAAAGGUUAAAUUUAAAAUAAAGUUUGAAAUUGAAAUUUAAAAUUUGAAAAUUUAAAAUAAAUUUAAUAUUUGGAAUUUUAUUUAAAUAAAAAUUUAAAAUUUAAAUUUGGAAAACUUAUAAAAUUUAAAUUUUAAUUUAGAUUUGAAUUUAAAUUUUAAAUUUAAGAAAAAUAAAUUUAAAUUUAAGGUUUAAUAAUUUGAAAUUGAAAUUAAAUGAAUUUAAAUUUGGAAUUUGAAAUUUAAAUUUAAAAUUUAAAUUUAAAAUUUGAAAUUUGAAAUUUAAGUUUGAAUUUAAUAUUUAAAAUUUAAAUUUGAAAUUUAAUUUUUAAUUUAAAAUUUCAAUGUGUAUUUCAUUUCCAAUUUAAAAAUUUUUAAAAUAUUAAAUCUAUGUUUGAAUUUAAAUCUAUGUUGAAAUUUUAAAGUUAAAACUGUUGAUGCAUUUUUUGAAUAAGGGGAGACUCAGAAUGGUUGGAAUUUUUUUUCCUUUGUGUUAGAGAGUGAUUAUACUUUUACUCCAUUUUUUGGAGUUAUAGUUAUAACUUAUACUCCAAAAAUUACGUUAUUUUUUUCUCCCAACGUUUAUAGGAUAUUUUUUCGGAUGCCGUAACAUGUUUUAAAUAUUGCAACGUUUUCAGAGUAUCAAACAGGGGCUAAAUAUUUAAUUAUUUUUUAAUUUUUAUUAUACGCCCGCGUUCGGAUUUACUAAGUUACCCCGGGCAUACGCUAAAGUAUCCGUCUCGUACCGAAGAGAAAUUUCUGUAUUUACGAGCAGAUAAGCAUGUACUGUAAAACUACAUACUGAAACGAGUGAUAUAGAGCCGCGCUAGAAGAAAUGUAAAGAUAAAGACGAGUUUCAAUAUACAUACACUGAUCCAGAGUACAAAAUUACUCGCAGCUGGCGAGUUAGUGUGUAUGUACAUGACCAAACCAAAACAUUUACUUACAGAGUAGUGGAGUGCCUCUAGCUCUGUUCCUCGGUAGAGUCUAACUCGCGACGCACUUGCUCUAGGAUGCCGAUUAGAACAGGCAGUCAGAAACAAACCCGAAAAACGGAAGGCUAUUGCAAAACGUAAGUAACAAGCUGGGCAUGAGAAUACUGUAAAAGUGUCUCAGUGGGUAACCAGGCCCCAUAUUUUUACAACAUCGCGUCCCAUAAUUAUAGAGGGCAGCAGAUAGAAUAUGCAGGAAUAAUAUCUUACCGCUAUCAAACAUACAUAUUAGCUGUACAUAACAACUGUAGAAAUGUCAAUCUGACCCAUCACAAUCGGACUAAUGAAUACCUCACGAUCUGGGACUGGUUGAACCCACGUCCUGCCGUUGCGAUAUUCAGCUCUUCACAAACUAACUAGAUCGGAGAGAGUAAGUACCAACGCAUUAGAGCGACCACGCGGAAAGCACAAGGCUGAUCGGAAGUGGCACUCGUGAGGCCGCUACCCAACCGAGUAUAUGCAGCGAUAUCUUGAUCGAGCUCAACAGGCUCAAUAGCAAUUCAAGUGAACAGGGUCAGAACCGGUCUACAAACGCAACACGUGCCCUCGGCACAAUCUGUGACCAAAAUAAGAAUCUGGGUCCACCGCUAACCCGAACGGCACCCAACGACCCGAAACAGCCUAAACUUUGCUGAAAAAUAAGCUCGGCACCCCAACACAAGCGUAAAUGCCUUCUAAACUACCCCAGAUAUCUAUCGUACUGAUACUGCAACGAUAUAAUCGAACCACGGCUCCCAGAGCUAAAUCUGGUAGUUUAAGCAUAUGACGGGUCAAAAUGCAGGUUUUUUCCUAAGUCAAAUUUCAAGUCCAACAUGUAUAAUAUAAAUAUUCAUUUCAGCAUGCUUCUACAUUCAUAUUACAUUCAAGAUGUUAAUCGAUGAAUUAAAGCAUGAUAUACAAGAACCGAACUAUACACGUCGACUAAACAUGCACUUAGGAGCGAAACCGAUGAUAACUCAUCUCUAGUGCAAUUUCUGGCAGCAAGAGGGUCUCAGAUCACAAGCAACACUGCUGGAAACACCUCCAAACCAGCAACAAAGCACCUCAAGAUCUGGAUAUUACAAUUUACCCAAAAUCCAAUAAAAAUCAUCAAUUUCAGCACUUAAGCUUAGGAUUUAUCCAAUUUCAAUGUCAAAACUCACCUAAUGGUCUCCAAAUCAGGUGAGGACAAUUCCAAAACCAGCAAAUACUGAGGGGUGAUCAAACUCAGGUCUAAAAUCCCACUGCCAACAAAGAUAGCAUCAAGAAAAGCUCAAAAAUCCCAUUUUCAGCUCAAUAUCAACAGCAGUCCAGAAAAAUCUCAGUUCGACCAAGCUAACCUCAUCCAAAAUCUGCAAUUCAGGAUUUCGUGGAUUCCUCUGGAAGUCUAGAAUUCAGCAAACCAAGUUUCGUCGAAAUCCGACCUUCCUAUGUCGCGCACGAGCCAAAACACUGGAGGUCGUCGCUGAAGAACUGCAGAAUCAGCAUCUUGAAAUUCUUGGAGAUGUGGAUCUUGAUGCAAAUUGGAAAGAUUGGAGGGAUUGGAAAUGCAAUUUAUGGGUUCCCUAUGAAGAAGAGAGGAAAAGAGCUCACCAGGGACGCUUCUCAGCUAUUUAUAGGGUGAAAAUAGGGUCAGAUGAACCUCAGGAACAAAGGUUGCAAUCUGCUGUCCCUGCAGAAAAUCCGAGAUCUGGGCGCCCUAAACUCAGUUCUGGGCGCCCAGAACUUCCAGCCUGCACAAAACAGCCCUCAUCGGUUCCUUCGCCUGCGGUAUGCUGCACCCUUAUCCUGCUCCGGCGGCCCACACCUACCACCAGCCACGCGUCAACGCGAUCGAUAUUCACGAUGUAGAAUUUCCGGACCCACUUCUGGGCGCCCGGAACAUAGGAUCCGAAUUGGCUUUCAGUUUCAGUUAAAUUCAGCACUCAGUACUGGGCGACCUAAAUCCAUUUCUGGGUGCCCUAAACUUCUAGGCGCCCUAAAUCCAGUUCUGGGCGCCCUAAACUAGCAAAACUCCAGUUUUGCUUAUUUGAGUGCGCCGAGUCCAUUUCUGCAUCUAUUUCGUACAGAAACAACUCCGACUCAGUCCGACACUCUCCAGAAGCAUCGACCAGUCACUAAUAUUGAAGCCAAUCCUAUCCGAAGCUCAGAAACACUACAUUUAUUAUAUAGAAUAUAUAUGUAUAUAUUAAUUUAUUUUAGCAUCAUACUUAAUUAUAAGAUACUAAUUUUAGAUCAAAUGAAUUAGAUAUAACUUUUCAAGUUUUACUUUUUAUAAAACUAAUCUGUAUUGAUAGAAAAUAAAAUCAACUAAGUUAAUUUUAAGUCAUUGAAUUUUAAUAUUACUUGAUCUAUAACAUCCGGCCGGUUCGAUUAAAACCGGACUGGUUCAUUGGUUCGGUGGUUGCCUGUUCAAACAGUUCAAAAUGGCUUUUUGACUUAUUUAGAUUAAAGGGUUGAACCGAAUGUGAGACCCCAGAUAGUCCUAUAUCUAUAACACUAUAUUAAACCCCGAUUUCUUAUCCAACGUGGCACAAGCUCCGUCAUUAGCGAGACCUAAUUAAUUUCCAACAUGGCCCCACCAAUCUCUCUGUUUUCUUUUCUCCGCCGAACGGAGGGAGUUCCACCCCCUCGCAUUCCACAGCGGUUCUCUCUCUCUCUCUCUCUCUCUCUCUCUCUCUCUCUCUCUCUCUCUCUCUCUCUCUCUCGAUGCUGCAGUUUUUUUGGCUCUCCCUCUCCCUAGGCUACUUUGCCUCUCUGGUGAUGAUGGUUGGAAAAACCCUAAUCUCUUCUUCCUACAUCUCCUGGUUUAGCAAUGGAGAGAUCUGCAUAGCUAUGAGAUGUAUAUUGUUGAGCCUCUGAUUCUCAAAAUUAGGGGUGUAUGAGAGGUAUAUGGCUUCAUUGGUGUUCCUUGAGGCGAUCGCAUUGGGCUUUCCUUAAAUUUGAGGCGAUUGCAUUUGGGUAAGAUUGUUAUAUUUUAAAUUUAUUUUAUUUAAAAUGUUAUUUUUAUUGAAUUAUGUAUACCGAUAGAAUCGAAAAAUAGCAGUCUAUUAAAUCAUAGAUUAUUGUAAUUAAACUGAGUUGCUUAAAAGUUUUUUUUUACCACUCAUUUACUAAUAAGGAUGUGAGUACUAAGUUGGAACAAUAUUUUCUUCCAAAAUAGGCAUCGUGUGUAGCCAUAUAUCUCUAUACCAUAAAUCUAUGGGUAUUUGGGUUUGAAAUAUGAAUGAAAGCGCAGUCUGUACGCUUACAAGUCUAUUAAGUUAUUUAAAAAUCGAAACAUUAAGGUUGAAUGAUGAAAAUGGAAAGUAGAGGUUUGAGAUUAACAGUGCAAUUUACCUCCUUGUCUUUCUACUACACACAACUCCUAUGCGAUCAUCGGCGGAGACAGAGGUGGUGCAAUCAAGCAUCUUUAUCAUCCUCACAGCAACGCUCGCGAUCGUUGUAGACUUACAAAUAGCACUCUUAAAGAAUCGACUUUUGUAAGAAUUGCUUUGAAUCAUAUAGGGACAACAAUCUUAUGGGAACAUAUGUUGCCACGGGAAGGUAUGUAUAUUUCUAAAUUAUUUUAUUAUCCUUUGCUAUAUAUUCUUCAUGUUUUCCAUAUGGGAUUUAAUUAAUUUAUUCGAUAUUAUAGCUUUUUCUAAAUUAUCUCCUUACAUGAUUGGAAUAUGGUUGAUUGAAGAAUAUAUUUGGUUGUAUGUACAAUGCUUUGCUAAAAAUCUCCUUCCUUUACAUAUUUAUCAGAAUACUGGUCAAUAGCAUUUUAGUCCAUAAAUAAAAAUUUCAGGGCGAAAUUCAAAAGAAAAAAAGGAAGAUCAAAGAUACACGAAAAAAAUAAAGGACUAUUUUUUCAACAACCCAAACUAGCUAGGCAUUGAAGUUGCUACAUGAUAUUCUCUAAGCUGCUUCAUAAGGUUGAAAAUAUUUGAACUUAAGUGGUUUGCUUAUUUGAAGUACCGUGUUCAGUUUUCUUUUCAUUGUUUAUAUACAGUCUGCUUAUUAAAUUAAGAACACUGAUUAUUAUAUAGUUUUGUUUUGUUGCUUUUACUUUGCUUUAUAUUUUUUUGCCUUAGCUUUAUAGGUUGUUGUAAGAAGCUUCCCAUUAACACUUCAGGCAUGUGCAGCUUUGUGGAAUGUCUCUUUUGGUAUCUCUUAUAAUAAGCUUUUGAAUAAAAAGUCUCUCCAACUACUCCAUACACGGUGAGUUUAACAAUGAAUUUAUUUACUUUUAAACUAUCUCUUUUUUCUAUAGCAAUAUAGCUUAGAAGAGCAGUAUUUAAUAAUGAAUUUUUGCAUUUUACAUCUUGCUAAGUUUUUAGAAUUUUUCUACAAGCUAUGAUGAUCUAGCCCCUUUUACAACUUGGAUCUUUUUUCUAAUUAUGGAUGCAUACAUUUUUUAGUGUUGAUUUACGAUUCGGCUUAGGAUUCUGAUGAUUAGUUUAUUCUAGGUCCUUUUUGAAUUUUAUUGUGAUGGCUAGGCCAAUUUUGAAUGAUAUGCUCUUUCGUAGAUGACCAUUUGUAGUCAUUUCUUAGGCUUCGUUUGGUAUUGAGGUCUACCUGACAUUAUUAGAUAAAAUGGAGUUAGGAAAAAAAUAUAUAGGGAUAUACUUCUGCGUUCUCCGGUGAGAUCGCGGAAAAUAUAUCAUAACCGAUUUAUCGUAAUAUGCGGAACGCAAUAUUACGUACGGAAACAAACAUGGUAUUUUUUCAUCGUACUUUAUCACCGCACGUGACACAAUCUCUCGCAACCCCAAACGAAGGCUUAGUCCACCAGAGUGGUUAAUAUUAAUCAUAGUAAUUGUAUUUCUCUCUAUAUGGAUUGCAUGGGUUUAAUAUCUCUAGGCCUUUUUUUUUUUUUUUAAUGAGAAUUUGUCUAUUGGCAUAUUAUAGCCAGGGAAUCAUAUUUGUUUUCUAGGUUCUUUGCAGACUUUGAAUAUCUGAUAUCUAAUAUAUGGCCUAAUAUGAGCCGUAUCAUGUUUCUUUUUUUUUUUUCUUUUUUGAAGAAAUCUUUUUGCUCUUUGAUGUGUACUCUAACUAUUUUCUUUUCUCAACCUUUAUGAUGAUGUAGGAGAAGAUUCGUUAAAUUUCACAACUUACUUGAGGAUUAACACAGCUACGUGGAAAAUAAAGUUUCAAUCUCUUUUUCUCCAAAUGCCUGCGACUUUCUUUUGCAAUUUGAUAGUGCUAUAAUUUAAUUUUGCUGGUUUGGUAUUAGUUUAAUAAAUAUACUAGGCUGACAAUGUGGUCUAGAAAUAUAUUACGAACACAUUCGUAGAAUUGAUGUACAGAUUUGGUAUUAGCCCUUUUCCUUUUCUUUCUUUGGCUUUUUUUGGUAUUGCUUUGAAUCAAAUGUGGCACAACAAUCUUGCCGAAACAGAUAUUUUGGGAAGGUAUGUAUAUCUCUAAAUUAGUUUAAUAUCCUUGCUAUAUUUCUUUAUGUUUUUCUAUGUUGGAUUUAAUUUAUUUGCUAUUAUUACUUUUUUGUAAUUUAUCUCUACGUCACUGUAAUAUGGUUGAUUGAAGUAUGAUUUAUUUUUUUCUCUCUUUUUAUGAGUCGUUGCCAUAAUUUUACUUAUGCUUUAACAAUAAAUGCAACUUUUUUCAUGAAAGCAAGUUUCUUCUAAACUAGAAAAAGAAAACUAGACGGCCAUUUUGUAUAUACUUUCUACUAUUUUGGUCAAAAAUAUUUUAGUUCAUAAAUGAUAUAUAAAAGAAGUAUAGUAUCUUAAAAACUCCAACUGUCAUAUAAUGAUAAAUAUAUCCUUUCAUCUGGAGCUCUAUCUCACUUGAAUAAUAUAUUUACUAUUAUUUUCAAGGGCAUAUCUCUUUUCUAAACAUUAAGUAGCAAUUGUUGACCAUUUUUCAAUUCUAGAAUGCAUAUAUCAAAAUUUGUUGUAAUGUUGUCGUCGAUAUGGACGAAGAAAUCAAUAGUGAGGCACAAAAGGUAGCUUGAUAUAGGUGGUGAAUUGAUAUUUAGUAACUAUCCCUUUAUGACUGCUUUCUCUUCAUGAUUGAUUUUUAAUAAUAGCCGCAUUACUUGGUAUCUAAGCUUAUUUAUUAAUUAAUUUAUUACUUUUUUUAAAAAAAAAUUGCCAAUUAAUGUUGAAUGUUGAUUAUGAUAUUAUUUGACUUAAUUAUUAUAUAGAUUGUCCAAUUCUCAGUUUCUUUGCAUCGGUAGCAUUCUUUGAUACUCAACGCACUCAGUGUAUUGUCAUGUAGACUGAGCCGUUAUAUUGGAGAAGUUUCAACUUUUUUUUUUUUGUUUACUUGGAAUAGCUUUUUUUGCUUAGGCUGAUGGCAAUUUAUGACGUGUGAUUUACACCGAUGCUAAUAUAAUCAAAUUUUUUAAAAAAUAUUUAAAUUAUUUUGUCUCUUAUUAUAUAUUUAUGAAAAAGUGUAAUCUGUCUUAUUCUUUUUUUAUUUUAUAUUUAGUAUGCAAAUUGUGAUUCAUAGUUUUUAUUACGAUUUUAUUUUUUAUUUGCAUUAUUUCUAAAAACUUUUGAACAUGUGUUUCUUUCUAUUCUUCAAUUUAUAUUGCAAAGACAACAAGAAGUAGCAACAGAGCAGGUACACCAAAUGAACUACGAAACACCAAGCCAAAGAUAACAACACAUAUUAAAAGAUAUACAAUUAAGGAGGCAAUAGAUCAGCACAGCUUUUGGUCUAUUAGUAUACUUAUUUUUCUUUUUAGUUAUUGUUGUUGUUAUUUAUGACUCUUACCUUUUUUUCUUCCGCAUUACUUUACUACUGUUUACUCUUUUAUCCUUCUUAUCCUUUUUAUAUCAUUGCUAUAAACGUAAUUUAUUUUUUCUUAUGGUUUAGUCUUUACUUUUUUCUUUAUUCUUAUACUUCUAUUGAUGCUGCUUCGUCUUUAUCAACCUUUUUUUUUGUUUCUAUUCUUCUCUUAUUUUUCAGCUCUCCCCAUAUUUUUUUAUUCAUUCACUACUAUGGAAUUGACCCGCCGCAUCGCGCGGGUAUCUUCACUAGUAUAAGAUAUAAUAGGGUUAAAACUCUUAAUCCGGCUUAAGUAUUUUGGGUGGUGGUUAGGCCCAAGAGGCUAAAAGAGUUAAGCGUGCUAAGACGGGAGUAGUCCUAGGAUGGGCGACCCCCUAAUCCAAUUACCAGCCGAAAGUGUGAGAUGGGUCUCGGCUGAGUCAAGAUUGUACAGCUGAAAGAGCGAGACUCUCAUGCUGUUGACUAUUGUGGGUACAGUGCGGUUCUCCCACAAGGUCGGUUUAGGCUAGCGAGACGAGUCUCACAUCGUCUGGUACUUGUAAGUCUGAGUAUGACGGAAACGUCAGGGCUUAAAAGAGGAAAGAUUGUGUCCCCAGAUAGUUCUAUAUAUAAAAUAUAAUAGGGAUAAAUUCUUAAUCCGGCUUAAACAUUUUGGGCGGUGGUUAGGCCCGAGAGGUUAAGAGAAUUAAGCGUGUUAGGACGGGAAUAGUCCUAGGAUAGGUGACUCCCUGAGAAGUUGGGGUGUCACACUAAACUACUUUAUAGACAAGAUCACGAUCGAACCGGUUGAACCGGCCAAGUUUUUAAAUUAUUGCUUACCAGGAAUUCACUAUGUCUAUUUGGGUUUGUUUUUUCUUUUGGUAAAAUGUAUAGAGGUCCCCUUGAACUUUUCCUCUUUUGUAAGUAGAUAUCUAAACUUUUAAUUUUGGCAUUUAGAUUUUCUAAAUUUUAUCAAGUAGUUCAACAUAGCCCUCUUCUUAAAUAAGCUUACUUACUACACUUUCAUUUAAUCGGAUGUCAAUCAUAUAAUUCUGUAAGAUUUUAAAAUAAAAAAUCUAUUUUUUCACUUCUAAUUUUGAUAAUUAAGUUUGAUAAUCAAACAAAUCGUUGAAUCAAACUUCAAUUAAUUUUUAUUACUUUUUUUUGCAUGUUAGAAUAUAAAACAUAAUUUUUUUUUUUGAAUAUUUAUAAAACUAUAUACAAUACAUACGACAAGAACGAUAGUGUAAUCAAUAACUUAAAUUGGAGAGAAGGAUUUAUUGAACUAUUUCAUAAAGUUUUAAGAAAUCUAAUUGUCAAAAUUUUAAAGUCCAGAUGUCUGUCUACAAAAAAGCUAAAGUUCAUAGGACCAUUGUAUACUUUUCUCUUUUUCUAUUUUUUUGAUGGUAUCAAUUUGGUUAAUAUUGCUUUAACAAUUCACACUUUUAAGCCAGUGGAGGCUAUAUAGCCAAUGUGAAAUAAUGCCCCUCCACAUUUAAUAUUGAUGUUUACUUUUCUCUUUAUUUUAUCUGCAUCAAUUUCUCCUUCCUUUCAUGUUUCUUUCUUUAUUUUAAUUUUUUUUUUAUCUUUUAUCAAAACAUCUAGAAUUAGUAGGCAGGAUGUCAGCUAUUAAUCUUCAUUUUUGUCAUUAGUGAAUAGUGAAUGCAAAAAGUCAAAACUUUAGAAUCCUUGCAACCAGGGGAAUUUAGAUUUGACUUUAAUAUCAUAUUAGCGAAGGAGCCCGCGAUUCGCCAUGGGUAAAAAUGUAAGGACUGAGAUUUUUACAGUAUAGCUAAACUCUCAGUUGACGAUGUUUUUGUGUGUAAUUUAAUUACAAAAGCACUCGUCAAAUUUUGGGAGAAAUCGAGUUAAAACGGAGAUUCUACGCGAUUUCCAAGUUUCACUUAAAGUGAAUAGUAACUCGAUUUUCCGGAGAAGCCACGGUGUGAAGUUGGCUUCAGGCUCGUAUCGGACUCCGUUCCUAGCGGUCCAAUAGCUCGUUUCGACCGGUUCAGCUGUUCUGGAACUAAUGGCGCUGAUGGAUUUUUGAGUUUGACUCACGGAUUUCGAGAAAAUCCAAAAUUACAUGUUUUAUAUGUAUUUUUGUGUUAUUCAUUCUGUUGGAAUGAAAGGUUGGAUUUUGUCACGAAUCCGUGGUCGAUCGAGGUAAACCAAAAUCGUAACUUUGUUGUCUCCGAGGUGCUGAUCGCACUGGUACAAUCCGUUCGCAAAUCUGACGGACGGAUCUACGGAGAUCGCACGUUGAUCGAGGAGAGGUCCGUNNNNNNNNNNNNNNNNNNNNNNNNNNNNNNNNNNNNNNNNNNNNNNNNNNNNNNNNNNNNNNNNNNNNNNNNNNNNNNNNNNNNNNNNNNNNNNNNNNNNNNNNNNNNNNNNNNNNNNNNNNNNNNNNNNNNNNNNNNNNNNNNNNNNNNNNNNNNNNNNNNNNNNNNNNNNNNNNNNNNNNNNNNNNNNNNNNNNNNNNNNNNNNNNNNNNNNNNNNNNNNNNNNNNNNNNNNNNNNNNNNNNNNNNNNNNNNNNNNNNNNNNNNNNNNNNNNNNNNNNNNNNNNNNNNNNNNNNNNNNNNNNNNNNNNNNNNNNNNNNNNNNNNNNNNNNNNNNNNNNNNNNNNNNNNNNNNNNNNNNNNNNNNNNNNNNNNNNNNNNNNNNNNNNNNNNNNNNNNNNNNNNNNNNNNNNNNNNNNNNNNNNNNNNNNNNNNNNNNNNNNNNNNNNNNNNNNNNNNNNNNNNNNNNNNNNNNNNNNNNNNNNNNNNNNNNNNNNNNNNNNNNNNNNNNNNNNNNNNNNNNNNNNNNNNNNNNNNNNNNNNNNNNNNNNNNNNNNNNNNNNNNNNNNNNNNNNNNNNNNNNNNNNNNNNNNNNNNNNNNNNNNNNNNNNNNNNNNNNNNNNNNNNNNNNNNNNNNNNNNNNNNNNNNNNNNNNNNNNNNNNNNNNNNNNNNNNNNNNNNNNNNNNNNNNNNNNNNNNNNNNNNNNNNNNNNNNNNNNNNNNNNNNNNNNNNNNNNNNNNNNNNNNNNNNNNNNNNNNNNNNNNNNNNNNNNNNNNNNNNNNNNNNNNNNNNNNNNNNNNNNNNNNNNNNNNNNNNNNNNNNNNNNNNNNNNNNNNNNNNNNNNNNNNNNNNNNNNNNNNNNNNNNNNNNNNNNNNNNNNNNNNNNNNNNNNNNNNNNNNNNNNNNNNNNNNNNNNNNNNNNNNNNNNNNNNNNNNNNNNNNNNNNNNNNNNNNNNNNNNNNNNNNNNNNNNNNNNNNNNNNNNNNNNNNNNNNNNNNNNNNNNNNNNNNNNNNNNNNNNNNNNNNNNNNNNNNNNNNNNNNNNNNNNNNNNNNNNNNNNNNNNNNNNNNNNNNNNNNNNNNNNNNNNNNNNNNNNNNNNNNNNNNNNNNNNNNNNNNNNNNNNNNNNNNNNNNNNNNNNNNNNNNNNNNNNNNNNNNNNNNNNNNNNNNNNNNNNNNNNNNNNNNNNNNNNNNNNNNNNNNNNNNNNNNNNNNNNNNNNNNNNNNNNNNNNNNNNNNNNNNNNNNNNNNNNNNNNNNNNNNNNNNNNNNNNNNNNNNNNNNNNNNNNNNNNNNNNNNNNNNNNNNNNNNNNNNNNNNNNNNNNNNNNNNNNNNNNNNNNNNNNNNNNNNNNNNNNNNNNNNNNNNNNNNNNNNNNNNNNNNNNNNNNNNNNNNNNNNNNNNNNNNNNNNNNNNNNNNNNNNNNNNNNNNNNNNNNNNNNNNNNNNNNNNNNNNNNNNNNNNNNNNNNNNNNNNNNNNNNNNNNNNNNNNNNNNNNNNNNNNNNNNNNNNNNNNNNNNGCUUGAUCGCUCAAAUUACAUAAAAUGAUGAGAUUUUAUGUAAUUAGAGGGUCUUUUAUGCAUUUGUGCUUUGCGUGGCUACUGUGGGCAGCGUGUGGGAGUUUGUAAUGACCGCUGGACUGAUUGUCCAUGGUCCAUUAGCUUUCGCAGAAAUCGGUAGGUCGAUUUCUGUGCGUUUUUCGGCGAAAUUCUCCGAAAGAACGCGGUUUCGGUUCGGAUUCUUUCCGACGGUGUUUGGUUGCUUCAUGUUUUGUCGCUGAGCCUUGUUGGCUGGUCACCAUCAUCACUUUGUGGGUUCGGUGAUGAUGUGUAAGACCCCAGAUAGUCCUACAUAUAAGAUAUAAUAGGGCUAAACUCUUAACCCGGCUUAAGCAUUUUGGGUGGUGACUAGACCCAAGAGGUUAAGAGAGUUAAGUGUGCUAGGACGGGAGUAGUCCUAGGAUGGGUCCCUGGGAAGUCGGGGCGUUACAGCGGUAUCAGAGCCAAUUACCAGCCGGAAGUGUGAGAUGAGUCUCGGCUGAGCCAGAGUCUGGAUGACGGGCUAGCGAGACGAGUCUCACAUCGCCUGGUACUUGUGAGUCUGAGCCUGACGAGGACGUCAGGGCUUAAAGGAGGGGAGAUUGUGAGACCCCAGAUAGUCCUAUAUAUAAGAUAUAAUAGGGCUAAACUCUUAACCCGGCUUAAGCAUUUUGGNAAUAAAGGUUUCCGUGUAGGGAACAGUUUUCAAAAGAAUUUUCGUGAAUUUCUAUUUAAACACUGAAUGUAAAACUGUGAUGUGAAUGGUGAAUGUGUGAAUGUAUAGUUAUCUUUAUAUUCAUUUGGUUGUGGUUGUUUCCUGGCUAUACUCUUGUACUUGUGUGACGCCGUGCAAAUACAGGGGAAACUCUGUCCGUGUGAACAGUGGAUUUCCUGUAUUUGUGGCGGAUCUGGCAUACCCUGGGAUCAGGUUUGCAAAAAAAAAAAAAAAAAAAAAAAAAAAAAAUAUUUCCGCUGUGUUUUUAACCUAAAAGGACCCCGGGGCGUGACAAAAAAUUAUAGGAGUAAUUAAUUAAUGAUAAGAGAAUAUCAAAUAUUCUCUUGUGUAUCUCACUUGCUAUAGUCAUCAAAGGUUCCUCACUAUUAGUAGCGGGGAUGGAAUUGAUGACGCCUUCUUCGGCGACGGUGAUAGUGAAGAUGACGACGAUCCCUUUGGCCACGACGGAUGGAGGAAAUGGGCGUGCAUUAGUGAGAGAGGGAGGAAGGGAAGGAGGGGACGGUGUAUAGGAUUGUAGAUGGUAGCGAAUUGUUUGGAUGCAUUAUUAGAAGUCUGGUGGAGGGAAGGAAAAGAAUGAUAAUGAAUUAAUCGGAGAGAGGGAGCGAGGUAAGGAUUAUAGAUUGCAUGGAAAUAUUUAGAUGCAUUAAUUGAAAGUUUAGUAGUGAGAACGUUUAGAUGUAUUAGUUAAAUAUAUUAAUUAAAAGUUUGAUGAAGGGAAUGGGACAAGUCAAAUGCCGGUGAGGGUGAAGGACAACUUGCCACGUGGCAAAAAAUAUUUGAGAUUGAAAAUUUGGCAGUGAAAACAUUUAGAUAUAUUAAUUAAAUGAGAAAUGAUUCGGCACUUUAUUAUUAAAAAAAUAAAAUAGAUCUUAACCGUUGAUUAAUAGAGGAUAAAGUUGUAAUUUUAACAUUCAGCAGGUAAAAGAGUUACAUCAUUCGAGGUUAUUUUGGUAAUUAAACUAUAGAACAUUUAAAGAAACUUUUAAUUGAUAUCCUAAAUUUAUGCAUUAAUUUGCACUAAUUUGAAAAAUUAAUUGAUUACCCUAAUUUAGCCAUUAAUUAGGCAUUAAUUUAGGCAUUUACUUUACAAAUUUUAGUGUUUCUAAAAUUUAGGCAUUAAUUUAAAUUAUAGAAAUUUUAGAAAUAGUUCUAUUUCUAAAUAUAUUGAAUUUAAAUAUUAAAUAUUAAAUAUUUAAGAUUAAAAAAUUGAAAUUUAAGUUAGAGGAAUUUUGUAUUAUUGUUUAAAAAAUUUCUAAUGUCGGUGGUUAUUUCAAUUAAACAUACUUAAUAUGUUUAAGAAAUUUUUAAAUUCCUAUAAUUUAGACAUUAAUUUUGCAUCACUUAUUUAAAAAAAUUUGAAUGUAGGUAAAAAAAUUAUAAAUUAAAUGUAUUUAAUAUUGUUAAAAAAAUUUAGAAUUGUUCUACUUUAGACAUUAAUUUUGUAUCAUUAUUUUAAAAAAUUUGUAAUGUUGGUAAAUAUUUAAAUUUAACAUAUUUUAUAUGUUUAGAAAAAUUAUGAAUUCAUCUUAGACAUUAAUUUUGUAUUAAUAAUUUUAAAAAAUUGAAUGUGGGCAAAUAUUUCAAUUCAACAUAUUUAAUAUGUUUAAAAAAAUUUAAGAAUUUUUCUAAUUUAGAUAUUAAUUCUUUAUCACUAUUUAAAAAUUUUAAUAUGGAUAAUUGAUUACAAAUAUAAGGUAUACUUCAAAUUUAUUCUUAGAAUAGAAUUGUAUGAACAAAAUUAAUUUAAAUUUUAAUAGUAAAAAUUGAUCUUUUAAAAUAAUAAGAUUAUGUAUUGUAAUUUAAAAUAUAAGCUGAAAACAAAUAAAAUUUGAAGUUUAGAACUUAAAAGGAAAAUAGAAACCUCCAAUAAAUUUAAAUAGUGUAGUGCAAUUUAAACUUAUCAAUAAAUAAGUUUAGACUGUAUAAUUUAAAUUUUAAGUUUGUAAUAAAUUUCCACCAUAGAGUUUUACUAGAGUAAACAAAAUUAGAAAUGUCGAUAAAUUAAAUAAAUUUAUAUUAAACAAGUCUAGGCUAUUUGAAUAUUUUACCAAUUUGAUCAGUCCAAUUAAUUUGAUUUAUUAAAUUGAUUUUGACUCUUAUUUUUAAAAUUUUUCAAUUUUUACUUGAUUUUUUAAAUUUUAGUUUGUUACCUUUUGGUUUACAAUUAACUUCUUAACUUUUUAUUAUUCAUUUUAAUUAAAUUAGUAUCAAUGAUUUAAAACCGGAUUGAACCGAUUGAUUCGACUUAUCAGACUUUAAACUAUUCUAUCAAGAUCUGAUUUCAAUCUAUUAAACUGAAUAAGACUAAGAACAAUAGGGAACUGUUAAAGAUAAUAAACGUUUUAAACAGAAUGACAUUUUAACUGUUAGAGCUAAUAAAUAUUUUAAAUAUAAUUUUAAACAUAAAAAUUAAAAAGAUUAGGAUUACUGUUUAGAAAAAAUUGGUUAGGAAUUUGAAUUCGAACCCGACUAACAAUGGCAAAACCAAUUUCCGAACUUGAUGGAUAUAUUUCAAAAAUCCAUAUCUAAAUCCGAAACUGACUAAUUUUUUGAAACUCAAACUCGAAGAUCGGAACCGGUAGCAAUUAUUUCUCUUUACCAUAUUUCAAAAUAUUUUAUAUUAAAUUUAAUUUUUUAAAAUAUAAAUUCGAAUAUAAUAUUAAAUUUUAUAUAUGAUUCGGGUCGGAUUCAAGAUGGGUAUAGGCAAAAUUCAUAGUUGGUCCACAAAAUAAUCUUACGUUCUUGUUGUUAAAUAAUUUGAAACUUUUCUUAUAUGAAAUGCCAAAAUAUGAGAGGAAAGAUAGAGAGAGAAAAAAGAAACAAAGAGAGAAUAAAANNNNNNNNNNNNNNNNNNNNNNNNNNNNNNNNNNNNNNNNNNNNNNNNNNNNNNNNNNNNNNNNNNNNNNNNNNNNNNNNNNNNNNNNNNNNNNNNNNNNNNNNNNNNNNNNNNNNNNNNNNNNNNNNNNNNNNNNNNNNNNNNNNNNNNNNNNNNNNNNNNNNNNNNNNNNNNNNNNNNNNNNNNNNNNNNNNNNNNNNNNNNNNNNNNNNNNNNNNNGUCGUCGGAAACUGUGGAGGAGAGUCAGAGAAGAAAAGAAAAGAAAAAUGCAAAAAAAAAAAAGUCACAGCCCGGCCUUAGGGGGAUCGGAGGCGAGGAAGGUGGGGGCGACGCCGCUCUGUCUUCGCUGCUCUCUAGGAAGAGAAAGAAAAAAAAGAACGAGAGAAAAAAAAGAAAAGAAAAAGGUAUAAGGGCACCUCCGCUCCGUCUUCGCCGCUCUCUGGGAAGAAAAAGAAAAAAGAACGAGAGAAAAAAAGAGGAGAGAGAAAGAGGAAAGAGAAAAAGAUAUAAGGGUAUUUUGGUCAGUUUGCUGAAAAAGCGGACCGAAUCUGCAAAAGCCAAAAAGAUGGGCCGAUUUUGCAAAAGUCUAAAAUAAGUGGAUUUUUUAUGCAAAUUGGCCUAGAGUUUUACUAGAGUAAACAAAAUUAGAAAUGUCGAUAAAUUAAGUAAAUUUAUAUUAAACAAAUCUAGGCUAUUUGAAUAUUUUAUCAAUUUGAUCAGUCCAAUUAAUUUGAUUUAUUAAAUUGAUUUUGACUCUUAUUUUUAAAAUUUUUCAAUUUUUACUUGAUUUUUUAAAUUUUAGUUUGUUACCUUUUGGUUUACAAUUAACUUCUUAACUUUUAUUAUUCAUUUUAAUUAAAUUAGUAUCAAUGAUUUAAAACCGGAUUGAACCGAUUGAUUCGACUGAUCAGACUUUAAACUAUUCUAUCAAGAUCUGAUUUCAACCUAUUAAACUGAAUAAGACUAAGAACAAUAGGGAACUGUUAAAGAUAAUAAACAUUUUAAACAGAAUGACAUUUUAACUGUUAGAGCUAAUAAAUAUUUUAAACAUAAUUUUAAGCAUAAAAAUUAAAAAGAUUAGGAUUACUGUUCAGAAAAAAUUGGUUAGGAAUUUGAAUUCGAACCCGCUUAACAAUGGCAAAACCAAUUUCCGAACUCAAUGGAUUUCAAAAAUCCAUAUCCAAAUUCAAAACUGACCAAUUUUUCGAAACUCAAACUCGAAGAUCGAAACCGGUAACAAUUAUUUCUCUUUACCAUAUUUCAAAAUAUUUUAUAUUAAAUUUAAAAUUUUAAAAAUAUAAAUUCGAAUAUAAUAUUAAAUUUUAUAUAUGAUUCGGGUCGGAUUCAAGAUGGGUAUAGGCAAAAUUCAUAGUUGGUCCACAAAAUAAUCUUACGUUCUUGUUGUUAAAUAAUUUGAAACUUUUCUUAUAUGAAAUGCCAAAAUAUGAGAGGAAAGAUAGAGAGAGAAAACAGAAACAAAGAGAGAAUAAAAAUUUUGAUAAUAUAGUAGAGAUAAAAUGACUAAAAUAUUGCUCAUGUAUUAAAAGACAAAAAUACUCUUUUUUGACAUACCUGGUAACCGGUACCUCUCCCAAAGUGACCUACUAUUGCAAGUCACAAUUUUAAGAAAAUUAAAUCUGAACCGUUGAAUGGGAGUGAAUGAACGGUAACGAAAAAAAAAAGUAUAGAAGCGUUACUCUAAUUAAAUAUAUUAAUUGAAAGUUUAAUGAAAGGAAUAGAAAUGAUCAAAUGUUGAUGAGGGUAAAGGACAACUUACUACUUGACAAAAUAUAUUAAAAAUUCAUAUAAGUUAUGUAGUAUCCUUUUAUAUAUAUAUAUAUUUAUAUAUAUAUUAUAUAUAUUAUAUGUAUAUAAUUAUUUAGUUAUAGUAUGCAAGUGCCCAGAUGUAUUAUGUUAUCUAAUUAGGGGGGUUUGUACAUGCUCAUUAAUUAAAUUCCUCCUCUUGUUCUUGGAGCAUACGCGAGAGGAGAGCUUGGGUUGGAGCGCUCGUCGGGUCGCUCGACGAGCGGUUGAGGACGUUUGUCGCCGUAGGUCGAUAAGUAGGAGGCGGGCGAGGUGCGUUUCGCCGUGCCCUCGAUAGCAUCGGGUUGGAUUCGCUUCGAUCGUCGAACGUCAGACAUGAUUUCGGCUCGUAUCGGCUGGAAGGAGUAGGAUUUGACGGGUUUGAGUUGUUGGAUUCAGCGAUUUCGGGAAGGAAUCACGAAAGGCCUUAUUUGCUGGAUUUGGUGGAAGGUUUUCUAGGUCGCUAUAUCCUAUUUCUUUCUGCUGCGUCGUUUUUGGGACACGAUUGAUGUUAAAAUAUGGUUUUCUAUGUUUAUCCGUGAGGUGUUGUCGCGAGUUCGCGUGGGCUGCGCCGAGCUUGACAGGACUCGGUGCUUUCACAAUCGGGUAAUUUUCGAUUAAUGUGGGUUAAUCAUCGGAUGUAUUCUAAGUUCCUAUAAUUAUAGACAUGUAAUUGUGGAAUAUCUUGUUUGUUGGCGCAUUGACUCUUUCAGUGAUUAGUGUAUUGGUAAUAAUUGUAGAAUGGAGCUAGAUAUUAUCUUUGAUAAUUAUAAUGUUGGGACCUUUGCGGAUAGACUUUAGGAGAACUCGCGAUUUGAUCAGUCAUAUAUUUAAAAUUGACACUGAUUUAGCUCUAAGGAGGCGUAUGUUUAGUUUGUAAUUAGCGUAUCCUUAGUGGUGUAUCCGAUAGUUUAGCUCAGUUACAUCGUGCGGCAGACGCGGUAUUUUACAGUGCCGUUCAGAGCUGUUCCGGACUGUUGGGUGCCGUCGGUGAUAUGUUGACGGUGAUGGACCGGAUGCUUUUUGGCGUCGGUUGUGGAGGGACAGUUAUCCUAUUGAGUUGUCUUGACCAGUUUGAAGUCGUUACUGACUGUGGCUUUUGAGAGCCGAAUUGAGUGACAGAGAUACGCUGCAUACUCGGUUGGGUAGCUCCCACGAGUGCCACUCCGGAGACGGGCGCUGUGCUUUCGCGUUAGCGUCGCUCAUGCCGGUUGGACUUGCUCUCCACGGACUAGUAGUGUGGAGGUAGCUGGAUAAUCACAACCGGGCAGUGACGGGUGUGUUCACAGUCCCAGGGACGGGUAUGCUUACAGUUCCGAUUGGAUUGGGUCAGAUUUGACAUUUCCUACAGUUGGUUAGUAUAGAGCAUGAUAGUGUAGUGAUUCAUAGCGGUAGAUUUUAUUCCUGUAUUUACUACUAUCCUGGCUCCCUUCUGUAGAUUUAGUGGGUGGACCGAUGUUGUUUAGGGCGGCACCCACUGAGGACUAGUUUUUACAGUAGUUCUCACGCCCAGUCGUUACCCCUGUUUUGCAGAGCCACAGGUUUCGGCUGCUGCGCCUUCCGCGGAUCAGGAUCGAGGCAAGGGCGUCGCGAGUUAGAGCCCUACCCGACGAGCUGAGCUAGAGGCACUCCUACUGCAGGUAGACGUUUUGUUUCGAGUUUAUGUACAUAGCAUACUUAACUCGCCAGUGCGAGUAGCUCUGUAUUUUGGAUUUGGGCUAUGUACAUGAAACUCAGUUUGUUUAGUAUUUGUCUACUCGAGCAGCUCUAUACUACUGUUUGUAGUAUUGUAUGUUUACAGGUACUGUUGUCGCUUUGUAUACAGGAGAAAUUCCUUUGUAUACGGCGGAUUUGUCGACGUGCCCGGGGAACGAGACAUCCGGGGCGUGACAAUAGUUCACACAGAGGGAGCUGACCUGACGGCAGCCGCCGGUGCGUGUGGAGUUAUGAAGGACUAUGGACAUUAGUAUUCAGUAUAUCCCGGCAGGGCGACAUGUGCCUGUGGCAAUGCGGUUGAGCAGAGGAAUAUCAGUGCAGAGCCUGAGUUUAGUAUCACCUGAGCAGUAAGACCCCCUACUCGAGGGAGCUUCAGCGGUGUGGGAUCGAGAUGUACCCCCUGAGUCUACGGCGGAGUGCUGAGCGUCUCUAGUUUUACAAUCACCCGUGUUGGAUAGAUCAGAGAGAAACAGAGUGAGAGAUCCGUACUUGUUGAGGAUUAGAGAGCAGCUAGACAGGGGCAUGCUGCAGGGUUUCUGCUUUAGACAGUUCAGGAGUACUACGGUACAGGACCGACUGUGUGUGCCUUGUGAUUUUCUGAGAUUCGAGUAUACAUUCUGAGAGAGGCUAUUUGUUCUCUGUAUACGGUUCACCCUGGGGAACCAAGAUGUAUAAGGAAUCUUACGGCACGGUUCUGGUGAGCUUGGCAAUGGAAGAGGGACAUUGCAGAUUUGUGUUCAGGUUUCGACUUGCCAACAGGUGAAACGAAGCAAUCAGGUGCCUGUGGCAAGCUUCAGAGUCUGCAGGCCCGAGUGGAAGUACGGUAGUACAUCACGAUGGAUUCGCGUGUGGAUUGCCUAGAGCGCAGUGUGCUACGACGGCAGAUUUGGGUGAUAGUGACAGACUUUACCAAGUCGUGCUCACUUACCUACCGGUUCCACUACUAGUCCACGCAGAGAUACUCGCGCAGCUAUACUGGAUGAGAUGUUUAUGCUGCACCGUGACGUGCAGUGUCGAUUGUUGUCAGACAGAGACCGAGCGUUUGUUAUCCUUAGUGUUUGGGGACUUCAAGCCGCCUUGGGCACUCAGCUGCCAUUUUAGCACGGCUCCAGCCCAACAGACAGAUGGUCAGUCGAGCGACCAUACAGACUCUAGGGACAUGCUGAGGGACGCGUCUCUAGUAUUUUGAGGAGGGUGAUAUCGACAAUUGUGAGGACUGGUUGAGUUUGCGUACCAAAACAGCUAUCAAACAGCAAUUCAGUGCUCUCGUUGAGGCGAUGUAUGGACGCAGAUGUCGAUCCCCCUAUUUCUGGGAGCGAUGUGGCCGUGAGCCGGUAGGACACUUGGACAGGGACAUCUACUUGAGCUUGAGGAAAAGGGUGAGAGUUGCUUCGACGACACCUUUUAGAACCAGAGCGCGCCAGAGGAGAGCUACGCGAUACCAGGAGACGAGACUUUAGAGUUUCAGAUUGAGAGAUCACUGGUUUUCUCAACGCUCGUCGUCCACAGAGCGAUACGCGAUUUGGGGUACAUGGAAAGCUCAGUCACGUCUUUGUUGGGCGGGCCGUGUUAUCGAAGAUAUUGACACGAGUUGGACUGGUCUUGCUUACGAAUGAGCUCUAGCCCGGCGACUUGCUGGCCUCCACGAUGGUUUUCAGUCUCAAGCUUUGAGAGAUUCAUUUCGAUCCUCUCACCGGUGAUCGACUUUUACCACUCGAGAUUGGCAGAGGUAUCUGAGAUUACGAGGAGCGGACCCGUUGCGGAUUCUGCUCGGAGGCACGAAAGAAUUACCGCAACCGGCAUCAUUUCCGUAUGUUGAAAGUUGCCAGUGGAGCAUAUCGAGAGCGGGAGCGCAUUGGGAAGCUGAGACAGAUGAGAUGAGCGAGUAUCUUUACCCAACUUGUUUGAUCUUUUCAAGUUGAGUAUGUGCUAAGUUUCGCGGACCGAAACUUUUGUCAGUGGAGGGACGAAUGAUAUAUAUCUGAUUAUAUAUAUAUAUAUAUAUAUAUAUAUAUAUAUUAUUAUAUAUAUUAUAAUAUAUAUAUAUAUUAUAUAUAUAUAAUAAUAUUAUAUUUUUUUAUAUUAAUGCCCCACGAUAGCCCCCAUGCAUGUAUUUCAUGCUUAGUCUAAUUAGGGGUUGUACAUAGCCUCCUUAAUGGAAAUUAUCCUCCCUCUUCUGUCUCUGGAGCCAAGCGGAGGAGGAGGCAGUGGGAUGGAGCGGUUCGUCGCCGACAUCGCAUCGCCGAGCCGUCUUGAGCGCACGUCUGUGUCGCGUAAGCGUCGCGUGGAGGCCGGCGACGAGGGUGACGUUUUCGCCGUCCUCGCACGUCACACCGGCUUGUGAUUCGCUGUCGAUCUUCGACCGGUCAGUGUUGUUCGGCUGCGUAUUAGCGUAGAACGUCGGUAUUUCAACGGGGAUUAGGUUGUUGGAUUCAGGAAUUCGACGGAACCGAAAUCCACGAAAGCCCUUAUUGUGCUGGAUUUGUGUGUGAAGGGUUUUUCUUAGGUCGUAUCCCUAUUUCUUCUGCUGCUGUGUUUUGGGCAGAAUUUGAAUGCUUACUUAUGUGAUUUCUAUGUUAUAACCCGUGCGAGCGUUCGUUGUCGCUGGUUCGGGACUGCGCCAGCUGUUGAUACGGAACUCCGGUGGCACCUUCUUCACCAUCGGUGAUUUGCGAUAAGGUGGGGUUAAUCAUCGGUGUUACUCCUAAGUGGCUAUGAUAAUCGACAUGUAAUUUGGAAUAUCUUGUGUUGGCGCAAUUGCUCGAGGUUCCAUUGAUUUAGUUAUCGGUUAAUUAUCUGAAUUGGAACUGAGUUAUUAUCUUUGAUAUAUAUAUAAUAAUGUUUGGACUUGAUAAGAUUUAGGAGAAAACUCGCGAUUAUAUCGUCAUAUAUUUGAAACUAAACCUGAUUUAGCUCUAGAAGCUCAUGUAUUAUUGUAUACGUGUAGCAGUAUCCUAUAGGUGAGUAUUUUGUUAAUUUUUUUUUUUUUUUUUUUUUUUUUUUUCCAAGAUAGUUUAGCUUUCAGUUACGUCGUGCCAGGGAGAUGCGAGAUUAUUUUUACCAGUAGGUUCAACUGUUCCGGUACUGUUGGGUGCCGUCGGUGUUCGUUAUGACGGAUGGACCACGUAUCGCACUUUUGGGGCUCGAUUGUGACGAGGCACGUUACUAUUGGUUGUUAGACCAGUUUGAGUCCGCGUUUGACUGGACUUUGCUUUUGAGAGCGUUAGCUGCGCUCGACAGAGAUACGCCCUGUAUACUCGGUUGGUAGCCCACGAGUACCACUCCGGGAGACGAGCGCCUGUGCUUUCGCAGUUAGUGUCGUCAUGCCGGAUUGGACUUGCUUCACGGUAUAGUAGUGUGGAGGCUAGCUGAUAAUCACCACGGGCAGUGACGCGGUGCUGUUCACCAGUCCCAGGGACGGGUCAUGCUUACAAGUUUACAUUGCGAUGUGGGCAGAUUUGCAUUUCUACAGCUUGGUUAGUAUAGAGCAUCGAGUGUAGUGCAUUCAUAGCGGCUAGAUUUUAUUCCUGUACUUUACUACUAUUCUCGGCUCCCUUCUGUAGAUUUAGUGGGUGGACCGAUAUUGUUUAGGCGCGGGCACCACUGAGGACUACUUGUUUUUACAGUGGAGUUCUCCCACGCCCAGUCGUUUACCCUGUUUUGCAGAGCCCACAGGUUUCGGCCUUCUUCUUCUUCUUCUCUCUCUAGAAAAUGUAGGGAGAGGGUGAGAAUGAGAGAAUGAGAGAGGGAAGAGGAGGAAAUGGCUAAUAAGCCCAUCUAAUGUAACAAAAUCCAGUGAGGCCCCUCAAAAAUCCAAAAUUGCAUCAGCCCGAACUGGGCAGUUUUCGCCCAGAGGGACCGGUCUCUCCCCAGCAGGGACCGGUCUCUCGCUGCGAACCCGAAAAACCAGCGUUCGGGAACCGGUCUCUCCCUGCGCGGGACCGGUCUCUCACUGCGAAGACGCGUUCGGGAACCGGUCUCGCCUGCCAGGGACCGGUUGCCUCAGGCUGCCUCAACACUGCUCACUGGGGGGACCGGUCUCUCCCUCCAGGGACCGGUCCCCGAGAGUAAAAACUCUCAGGACUUGUCCAAAGUUCCAGUUUUCGAACUUUUCGGGUCGGGGAACAUUUUACAACCCUCCACCAAGUGUGGAAAAGCUCGAAAUACAACCAAACACUCGAACCUCCCAAUUUGCAAAGGUCCAGUGUGUUACAGGGCAGGUGCUACGGAUGUGGUCAGCCGGGACACAUGAGGGCAGCUUGUCCCCGAGCAACGUCUCCAGCACCAUCAUCAGCUUCAGCACCACCAUCACCAUAGCAGUCUUACGGAGCAGCGCCGAGUUACCGCCAGGAGGACAGAUCGUCUGUGCCGCGGUCGAGUGAGCGGCGACAGCAGGCUCCGAGUGGCAGAGUCUACGCAGCUCAGGUGGAGGAAUCUACAGUAGCCGACCGAGUGGUGGCAGGUAUCACUUUGAUUUCUGGCAUUAGAGUUCGCACUCUUUUUGAUACCGGUGCAUCGCAUUCCUUUGUUAGCCGAGCAUUUGCACAGUUACAUGGUCUAGAGUUAGGAGCGUUGUCUCAGGCACGAGAGGUGCAGAUCCCAGACCAUGUUUUGCCUGUGGUGGAGUGUUGUUGGUCAUGUCCGGUGCAGCUAGACUCGUGGAUUAUGCCCGCAGACCUGUUGGUGUUAGGGCGGCUGCAGAACUUCGACGUUGUGCUCGGUAUGGAUUGGCUGGCGCGGUACUAUGCUACGAUCGACUGUGGAGUGAGGACGGUGACGUUCCGUGAGCCAGGCCAGGAGUUCACUUUCAGAGGCUGUAGGAGCACGCUGUUUGCUACUUGGAUAUCUUUGGCGAGGGCUCGAUAGAUGCUAAGUAGUGGGUGUCUCGCUUUUCUAGCGACUGUUGUGGAGAUACCUACGGCGGCGCCGGGACUUGAGGACAUCCCAGUAGUCCGCGAGUUUCCGGACGUGUUUUCCUCCUGAGUUGACGACGUUGCCGCCGGAAAGGGAGAUUGAGUUUGUGAUUGAUGUAGUUCCUGGAACUGCACCAAUCUCAAAGGUACCUUAUCGGAUGGCGCCGGCAGAGCUGAGAGAGCUAAAGGCACAGCUUCAGGAUCUGAUGGAUAGAGGGUUUGUGAGACCCAGUGUGUCGCCUUGGGGAGCGCCGGUGUUAUUUGUAAAGAAGAAGGAUGGUUCGCUCAGGUUAUGUGUGGAUUACUGGAAGCUGAAUAAAGUGACCAUCAAGAAUAAGUAUCCCUUGCCGCGUAUUGAUGAUUUGUUUGAUCAGCUGCAGGGAUCUUAUGUCUUCUCGAAGAUUGAUCUCCAGUCAGGUUACCACCAGCUGAGGGUGAGGGCCGAGGAUGUUCCCAAGACGGCUUUUCGGACUCGGUACGGGCAUUAUGAGUUCACGGUGAUGCCUUUUGGAUUGACGAAUGCCCCUGCCGCAUUCAUGGAUUUGAUGAACAGAGUGUUCAAGCCGUUCUUGGAUAGGUUUGUGGUAGUCUUCAUCGACGAUAUCCUGAUUUACUCCCGGAGUGAUGCUGAGCAUGAGGAGCACUUGAGGAUUGUGCUACAGCUUCUGCGCGAGAAGAAGUUGUAUGCCAAGUUAAAGAAGUGCGAGUUCUGGCUACGGGAGGUUGCUUUCUUGGGCCACGUGAUUUCAGCUGAGGGCGUAGCAGUGGACCCGAAGAAGAUUGAGGCGAUUCGAGAUUGGCCUAGACCGACGACGGUGACUGAGGUACGGAGCUUCCUGGGACUGGCAGGAUAUUACCGUCGGUUUGUGGAAGGCUUUGCGAAGCUUUCCACACCCCUCACACGCUUGACGCGGAAGGGGAUUCGUUUUGUCUGGAGCGACGACUGUCAGAGGAGCUUUGACGAGUUGAGACUGAGGUUGACGUCGGCUCCUAUCCUUGCCCUUCCGGUGAUGGGGGAUGGAUUCGUGAUCUACAGUGAUGCAUCGCACAGUGGACUUGGUUGCGUGCUGAUGCAGCAUGGUAGGGUGAUUGCUUAUGCUUCACGGCAAUUAAAGGAUUAUGAGAAGAAUUACCCUACGCAUGACUUGGAGCUUGCCGCGGUGGUUUUUGCUUUGAAGCUCUGGCGGCAUUACUUGUAUGGCGAGCACUGCGAGGUCUUCACCGAUCAUAAAAGUCUCAAAUAUCUGUUCACACAGAGGGAGCUGAACCUGAGGCAGCGCCGGUGGUUGGAGUUAUUGAAGGACUAUGACAUUAGUAUUCAGUAUCAUCCCGGCAGGGCGAAUGUUGUGGCAGAUGCGUUGAGCAGGAAAUCAGUGCAGAGCCUGAGUUUGAGGAUCACUGAGCAGAGACCCCCUACUCGAGGAGCUUCAGCGGCUGGGACUCGAGAUAGUACCCCCUGGGUCUACGGCGAGGCUGACGUCUCUAGUUUUACAAUCCACUCUGUUGGAUAGGAUCCGAGAGAAACAGAGUGGAGAUCCGUACUUGUUGAGGAUUAGAGAGCAGCUAGACAGGGGGCAUGCUGAGGGUUUUGCUUUAGACAGUUCGGGAGUACUACGGUACAGGGACCGACUGUGUGUGCCUGUGGAUUCUGAGAUUCGAGUAUACAUUCUGAGAGAGGCUCAUUGUUCUCCUUAUACGGUUCACCCUGGGGGAACCAAGAUGUAUAAGGAUCUUAAGGCACGGUUCUGGUGGCUUGGAAUGAAGAGGGACAUUGGCAGAUUUGUGGUUCAGUGUUUGACUUGCCAACAGGUGAAGACCGAGCAUCAGGUGCCUGCUGGCAAGCUUCAGAGUCUGCCAGGGCCCGAGUGGAAGUACGAGUACAUCACGAUGGACUUCGUCGUUGGAUUGCCUAGAGCGCAGUGUGGCUACGACGCGAUUUGGGUGAUAGUGGACAGACUUACCAAGUCUGCUCACUUCCUACCGGUUCAAACUACCUAGUCCAGAGAGAUACUCGCGCAGCUAUACCUGGAUGAGAUUGUUAGGCUGCACGGCGUGCCAGUGUCGAUUGUGUCAGACAGAGACCCGAGGUUUGUAUCCUAGUUUUGGAGGAGUCUUCAGACCGCCUUGGGCACUCAGCUGCAUUUUAGCACGGCAUUCCACCCACAGACAGAUGGUCAGUCAGAGCGGACCAUACAGACUCUAGGGGACAUGCUGAGGGCACGCGUCCUAGAUUUUGGAGGAGGGUGAUAUCGACAUGUGAGACUGGUUGAGUUUGCGUACAACAACAGCUAUCAAACGAGCAUUCAGAUGGCUCCGUUUGAGGCGUUGUAUGGACGCAGAUGUCGAUCCCCCCUAUUUUGGAGCGAUGUGGGUGAGCGGAGGACACUUGGACAGGACAUUCUACUUGAGGCUGAGGAAAAGGUGAGAGUUGUUCGACGACACCUUUUGACAACCCAGAGCCGCCAGAGGAGCUACGCCGAUACCAGGAGACGAGACUUAGAGUUUCAGAUUGGAGAUCAUGUUUUCCUCAAAGCCUCGUCGUCCACAGGGAUACGCCGAUUUGGGGUACGUGGAAAGCUCAGUCCACGGUUCGUUGGCCUUUUCGAGAUAUUGGAACGAGUUGGACUGGUUGCUUACAGAAUAGCUCUACCCCCGCGACUUGCUGGCAUCCACGAUGUUUUCCACGUCUCAGCUUUGAGGAGAUUCAUUUUCGAUCCCUCUCACGUGAUCGACUUUACUCCACUCGAGAUUGGCGAGGAUCUGAGAUACGAGGAGCGACCGUUGCGGAUUCUUGCUCGAGAGACGAAAGAAUUACGCAACCGGAUCAUUCCGUAUGUGAAAGUGCAGUGGAGCAAUCACGAGGAGCGGGAGGCGACUUGGGAGCCUGAGACAGUGAUGAGGGAGUCUUACCCAAACAUGUUUGAUUCUUAGAGUUGAGGUAUGUGCUAAGUUUCGAGGACGAAACUUUUUGUAGUGGGGAGCAUGUAGUAUCCUUAUAUAUAUAUAUAUAUAUAUAUAAUGCCACGUGCCCCCAUGCAUGUAUUUCAUGCUUAUCUAAUUAGAGGGUUGUACAUGCCUCCUUAAUUAAAAUUUCCUCCCACUCUAUCUCUGGAGCCAUACGCGAGGAGGAGAAGCUUGGGUGGAGCGUUCGUCGCCGACGUCGCGCCGCGAGCCGUUCGAGCGCGCUUGUUGCCGGAGCUUUGCGAGGAGGCCGGGCGAGGGAGCGUCUUCACUGUUCUUGACGUCGCGCCGAGGUUCGACGCUGUCGUAUCGUCGAACGUCAGUGUUUGGCUGCGAUACUUAGCGUAGAACGUCGCGUAUUCAACCGGGCAUUUGAGGUUGAUUGGCUUCAGGACUUCGAGAGACAGAAAUCCACGAAAGCCCUUAUUUGCUGGAUUGGUGAAGGGUUUUCUAAGGUUCGUAUCCCUAUUUCUUUCUGCGCCUGCUGCUUUUGGCAAAUUGAUGCUUAAUAUGGAUUUCUAUGUUUUAACCCGUGGAGCGUGUUUGCUCGCUGGUUCGGGGAGCUGCGCCGAGCUUGAUAGGAACUCCGUACCUUCUUCACCAAUCGGGGAUUUGCGAUUAAGGUGGGUUAAUCUAUCGGUUUAUCCUAAGUGCCUAUAUAAUCGAACAUGUAAUUGUGGAAUUUCUUUUGUGUGGCGCAAUUGCUCGGUUUUCAUUGAUUUAGUAUCGGUUAAUAAUCUGAAUUGGAACUGAGUUAUUAUCUUUGGAUAUAUAUAUCAUGUUGGACUUGGAUAAGAUUUAGGAGGAAAACUCGCGAUUAUGAUGUCAUAUAUUUAAACUUACCUGAUUUAGCUCUAGAAAGCGUUGUAUUAAUUGUUAUACUGUAGCAGUAUCCUAUAGUGAGUAUUCCAGAUAGUUUAGCUUUCAGUUACGCUCGUGCCGGGAUGCCGAGUAUAUUUUACAGUAGCGUUCAACUGUUCCGGACUGUUGGGUGCCGUCGGGUCGUUGACGGUGGACCCGUAUCGCCUUUUGGCGUCGGAUUGUGCGAGGGCACGUUACUAUUGGUUGUUAGACCAGUUUGAGUCGCUUACUGGACUUUGGCUUUGAGAGCCGAUUGAGCUGACAGAGAUACGCUGUAUACUCGGUUGGCGGGGUAUUUAUUAAGGGGGCUCCCACGAGUGCCACUCCGGAGUCAGGCUUUGUGCUUUCGCGUUGGUGUCGCUCAUGCCGGUUGGACUUGCUCUCCACGGACUAGUAGUGUGGAGGUAGCUGGAUAAUCACAACCGGGCAGUGACGGGUGUGUUCACAGUCCCAGGGACGGGUAUGCUUACAGUUCCGAUUGGAUUGGGUCAGAUUUGACAUUUUCUACAGUUGGUUAGUAUAGAGCAUGAUAGUGUAGUGAUUCAUAGCGGUAGAUUUUAUUCCUGUAUUUACUACUAUUCUGGCUCCCUUCUGUAGAUUUAGUGGGUGGACCGAUAUUGUUUAGGGCGGCACCCACUGAGGACUACUUGUUUUUACAGUAGUUCUCACGCCCAGUCGUUACCCCUGUUUUGCAGAGCCACAGGUUUCGGCUGCUGCGCCUUCCGCGGAUCAGGAUCGAGGCAAGGGCGUCGCGAGUUAGAGCCCUACCCGACGAGCUGAGCUAGAGGCACUCCUACUGCAGGUAGACGUUUUGUUUCGAGUUUAUGUACAUAGCAUACUUAACUCGCCAGUGCGAGUAGCUCUGUAUUUUGGAUUUGGGCUAUGUACAUGAAACUCAGUUUGUUUAGUAUUUGUCUACUCGAGCAGCUCUAUACUACUGUUUGUAGUAUUGUAUGUUUACAGGUACUGUUGUCGCUUCGUAUACAGGAGAAAUUCCUGUGUAUACGGCGGAUUUGUCGGCGUGCCCGGGGAACGAGACAUCCGGGGCGUGACAAGUUAAUAAAUAGAUUAAUAGAUAGAUAGAUAAUAGAUAUUGCUUGAAACUUAAUUUGACUUAAAGAAAGUAAAUAUAAUAUUAACAAAAUAAAUCUUACCUUCUUUGGUUUGGAGCUGUUUAGAAGCGGAAAAUUGAAAAAGGAUAAAUUUGUGACAAAUCCAACUUCGUCCCCUCAACCCAAUCAAAAUUGAAGAGCUGAGAAGUUGGGCUGAUCUCACAGCCUUAAUGUCGAAACAAAUGCUAACGAGACAAAAGACAAAUUGACCACAUGCAGGUGAAAGUAAGAAAAUUAAUAUUCCAGACAAGUAAGGGGGAUUCUGGCUUCUAGAAAAAGCGUUAAAAAUUAUUUUAAUUACCGGAAAACAGUUUUUUUUAAGAAAAAUACUAUUUUUUACUGCUUUUGUUUCUCAGAUAAACAAUUUGAAAAACAAAAAUACUAAUUUUUUAUAAAAUUUUAAAAAAUAUUUUUUAAGAAAACUAUAUUUUUAGUAACCAAAUUAAAUGAAAAUAAUUUUUGAACCCGAAAAAUAUUUUUUAGGCUAUUUUUGCGAGAACAUAAGAAGUGGCCAAAAAAAAUUAGAGUAAUUGGCCCUCGAUAUAACAGCCACAAGAAUUGCACAAAGGCAAAAGAGUGUUAAAGACCUUUCCUACCAUUUCCAAUUAUCAAUUAUCAAUUAUAUCAAUAAUAAUAGUAUAGUAAUCCAUACAAUGCGAUAUGUAGAUAAUUAAAGAAAAAAAUAAAAAAUGAUAACAAAGUAAGAGAAAACCGUAAUGAAAAAAGCGACGAUAAAGAAUAAGAUUCAUCUUGCCGAUAAAGAAAACUAAAGGAAGAGGAAGAAGAACAGUUCGCCUCAAUACAGAGGUGUGACCCGGUUUAAUUUAAGAAAAAAAAAAAAAGAGGUUAAUCUCGUUCGAUUUAAGUAAAAAAAGAGAGAAAUCAGAUUCAUUUCAAACAAAGAAAGAAAAUAAAUAUAUAGAAAACUUGAACCGGUUUGAGAAAGCCCACACUUAACAAUAAUCAGUUCGGUUCAAAUAAAGAAAAAAAAAAUUCGGUCCAAUUCAAGUAAAGAAAGAAGAAAAUAUAUGGAGGAUUUAAGCCGAUUCUAGUUAGAGCCCACACUCAAUAAUGAAGAAUAUAUGUCGUCACGUGGCAAAUUUAAAAAAAAUAAUAUAUAAAAAAUAAAUAAAUAAAUAAAUAAUUGGACCUAAGUUAUUGACACUCCCAUUUAUUAAUGAAUCAAUUAAUUAACGAGCUUUUUAAUGCUCCUAAUCACCGUCCAUCAUCCGUGACCCAACGGGCGCGACAUUUCACACACACCCCUUGAAAACAUAAACAUAAACAUCCCCUGUACCUGCAAUAAGAGAGAGAGAGUUAAGAGGGAAAAGUGAGGAAGAGGGCGUGAUGAUCAUGCUGAGACCAACGUGGAGAACGGUUGCUACUACUCGGCACUAAUAAUACAGAAGAGAGAGAGCGGAGUUAGAGAGAAGAGAUGGGAGAGAGAGAGAGAGGGGGGGGGGGGGGGGGGGGGGGGGGGGGGGGGGGGGGGGGGGGGGGGGGGGGGCGAGAGGAGCGAUAAGAGAAAGAGAAAAAGACACGUUUUUUCUCUUCUUUUUCCUUUUGCUGUUCUCAAAAAAAAAAAAAAAAAAAAAAAAAAAAAAAAAAUCCACACCAUCGAUGAGAGAGGGAGCAAGAAGAAGAACUUUGAUUAGAGAGAGAGAGAGACACAGAGAGCAAAGUUCACAAUGAAAGUGCCCACGGGAGAAGAACCCAGAGCACAACAACGCCCGCCAUUAAUGGCGCCGCAAGGAGGAGUCGAAGCCGAAGCGAAGAAGACGAAGAGAAGAAGGAGAGGAGAAAACACAGAGAGAGGAAUGGAGACGAAGAGGAGGAGGAGGAGGAGGAGGAGGAGGAGGCGCAAAGAAAACUAUGGUGGUGGGCAUAAAAAUGGACUCCCAGAGUCGCGAGAUCCUCACAUGGGCUCUCGUUAAACUCGCCUCCCCCGGCGACCGCGUCGUCGCAUCCACAUUCCUCCUCCUCCUCCUCCUCCUCCUCCUCCUCCCCCGUCGACUUGGACGCCAUGAUCGCCGUCUACGAGGGCUUCUGCAACCUCAAGCAGGUCCAAAACCCUAACCCUAACCCCCAAUCCGAUCCUCCCCUUCUCCCCGAAAUUCUCCCCGCCCAUCUCUAAAAAUCCGAACUUUCAGACGAUUUGCGUCGGUUUCUAAUCGAAUUGCCGCGACCCAUUUCGCAGAUCGACCUGAAGCUGAAGAUCUGCAGGGGCUCGUCCAUCCGCAAGCUCUUGGUCCGCGAGGCCACCGCCCUCAACGCCUCCGCGGUUAUCCUCGGCGCCGCCGAUAAAAGCCGCGCCUUUGGGUGAGCCCCAUUCUUUCUCCUCCUCCCCCAUUUCGAUCUCUCCCCCUCUCUCUCUCUCUCUCUCGCUCUCUCUUCGCCCUGUAGUUGUGGUGUGUUAGUGCUUUGAUCAAUUCGCUAGGUCUUCGUCUAUCUCCGUGGCAAAGUACUGCGCAAAGAAGCUGCCCACCAAGUGUUCGGUGAUUGCUGUGAAUAGCGGGAAAGUUGUUUUCCAAAGAGAAGCAAUUGGUUCGUUCGUCUUUUCCGUAUAUUUUUUUGUCUCUAAUCUUUCACUAAGUUUAGCUUCUUUGAAUCAAUUGCUUGGCCUUUUGUUUUGCAGAUGACAAGUGUAACAGCAGCAAAACGGGAAGUCGCAGCUUCUCGACAAGCUUCAUCUCUAAGCUGAGGUCGAGCAAAGAUCCGGCAGCCGAUCUCCCCAGUUGCUGGGACAAUGAUUUGUACUGUAUAUUGCCCGUUAAAGUUCAUCAGGGGAACGAUUCGAGAUCUUCGGAUGAAUUUAACGAUGUUCAUGAUUUGAAUUGUGGUGCCAAGGACUCAGCCGAGCUUCCGAGCUGCCAAAAUGGUGAAUUGUACCCGAUUGAAGAUCGGGAAGAGAAUGAUCACGAUUCUUCAAUUGAGGCGAAAGAUGUCGAUGGGAAUUGCAAUGAUUCUACUCCUUCAACUGAAUUGGAGAUUGGAAAGAAUGACGAAGUUCAUUCGGCGAUAGAUGCUCCGCCAAAAGAGAACUGUUCGGUGUGUAACCUCCGAUUGGAUCCUCCUUGCGCAAAUACAUCGACUAGAGAGGAAGAGAGGCUCGGUUGGCCUGUUGUUAGAAAGAAAAUUGUGACCCACAAAAGGAGUGCAUCCUUCGAUUGGCCCAAGAUCUCUGUGGUUCAGUGGGCGAUGAGGCGUUCGAACCGUAAUGCAGCCAUUCAUCCAGACAGCAAAUCCCUUAAGUCAAGUUCAAACACCAAAACUAAUUCUGAUUCAGAUAGCGGGUCCAAUUUUAUGCUCGAUACCGAUUCAAUUCAGGAUUUUGCUUUCUACGAUGAAGAAGGGUGGCCUCCGAAGGAGUUGGACUCUCUUCAAGAGAAGUAUUCUUCAGUUUGUAGAUUGUUUAGAUACGAAGAGCUCAAACUUGCUACAUCAAACUUCUCGCCUGGUUUGUUCUCUGAACAUAUUAAUUAUGCACAAAUAUCUCAUUAAUUGAAUGGAAUUUUUAUUGAUUUUGAGUUGCUGAGCAGAGAAUUUGAUCGGGAAAGGAGGGAAUAGUAGAGUAUAUAAGGCCCGUCUUUCUGAUGGCGACGAAUUGGCCGUGAAAAUAUUGAAGCCAUCUGAUGCUGCAUUAAAGGAGUUUGUUUCCGAAAUCGAGAUCAUCACCACGUUGCAUCACAAGAACAUUAUAACUCUAUUAGGGUUUUGCUUCGAGAACAACAGCCUCAUAUUGGUAUAUAACUACUUGCCGAGGGGCAGCUUAGAAGAAAUUCUCCAUGGUGCACAUUUGAGAUCAAAUCACAAACUUUUUCUAUUUCUUUUUCUUUUCCUUGUCUUAAUUCCAAUUUUUCUUUAAGUUAUUAUUACUCUUAUAUGGUUUAUUUUUGUUCAGGUGAUCAAGAGAUCAAGUAUGUUGUUAGUUGGGCUGAGAGAUAUAAAGUGGCGAUCGGCAUAGCAGAGGCGCUUGAUUAUCUACAUGGAAUUGCUCAACCUGUUAUUCAUAGAGAUGUUAAAUCUUCGAAUAUCCUACUCUCCAAUGACUUCGAGCCACAGGUUGAUAUAUGCUUAUUUUCUUUUUAGAAUAUAUGGAAGGCUAAAAGGUUGGAUACCCCCUGUAAAAGUUGCAAUUUUCCUGCAUUGACCUAUAAACUAAGUGAUAGAUGUCCCUUAAGGAACAUCAAUGUAAGGGGCAAAGUAUUGAAAUUUUGUAGUUCUUUUUUAUGAAAAAUAAUAUAACAUCUUGUGCUUUUAGGAGGAAAGAUAUAGUUUUCAAUAUUUUAGCAUAGCAACAUGACAAUCUCAGAAUUUUAGAGGGUUUCCUGCAAUUUAGCCUAUAGGGAAUUGAAACAUCAAUCGCCGAAUGAUAAUUUUCUUCCUGCUGUACUCCAGCUGUCUGAUUUUGGGUUUGCAAAGUGGGUCUCAUCUCCGACAUCACAUCUAACUUGCACCGACGUUGCAGGGACUUUCGGGUUUGUAUCGUGAUCGAAUUAUAAAGUUGAUAAAUUAUGUUGAAACUUGCUGUUAUAUUAAUCUUGAAUUCAGCAUCUAAGCUAGCAUCUCCUUUUAUAGGUACUUGGCCCCCGAGUAUUUUAUGUAUGGGAAAGUCAAUGAGAAGAUUGAUGUGUAUGCAUUUGGGGUUGUGCUUCUCGAGCUUAUUUCGGGUAAAAAGCCCAUUAGAACAGGGUGCCCUAAGGGCCAGGAGAGCCUAGUGAUGUGGGUGAGUGUUCUAUCACACUCUCUAUUUCUUUCUUUAAGCAUAUCCCACAAACCUAAGCACUAUUCGCGCAAACUAAAAAUGAAUGGUACAUACUUCACUUACACUGUUGGAUUCAAUAUAAUAAAAAAUAUCUGAGGCGGUCCACUAUUUUUAUUGAUUGAUUUAUUUCUUUCUUUUUUUUUAACGUAUGUUAGGCGAAACCAAUCUUAAGAGGCGGAGAGAUCAAAGAGUUGUUGGAUCCGAGCUUGGGUAAUGAAUAUGAUAGUGAUCAGAUGGAAAGGAUGGCUCUGGCCGCCUCCCUCUGCAUAAGGGCGGCUUCUCGAUUGCGACCACGAAUAGCACUUGUAAGACCCAAUUGUUUCUCCGUAUUACAUAUUUCAAAUGUUGUUGUUAUUCAUUAAUUAGGUUAUUUAUGCUAGGUUGAAGAAAGCUAGUUAGUAGUAGUUGUUCCUUAGUCGCUUACUCUUGAGAAGGCCAUUUAUUGCUAAAUUGACAUAAAACCAUUACCAUGAAAGAAGGGAUGUCGACAAGUGAGCUGAGGCUUUUAAUAAAUGACGGAGUUUUUUGUCAUUUCGAUCCCUCAAAACAGGUUAUCUAAAAAGCAGGAGAUAUAGUCAAGCACUUUUUGUACUAAUAUACUAUUCGGAUUUCAGGUUUUAAAGUUACUACAAGGGGAUGAUAGUGAAGUUUUUAACUGGGCAAGAUCAGAAGUUAGCUCUUCAGAAGGUCUCAAUGAUGCAGAAGAUGAAGAAUCGAACGCCGAGAACAUCCGAUCGCAUCUAAACCUUGCGAUGCUGGAUGUAGAGGACGAUUCUCUUUCCGUCAGCAGCACGGAACAAACUGUUGAUUCCAUGUCCAUGAGCACUUCUAUGGAGGACUAUUGGAAGGAGAGAUGGAGUCAAUCGAUAAGUUUCGACUAACUAAAUCGGCUCUUUUUGUAAUUUUGGUUAUCCACUUGUUUGUAUAGUGUUGAUGCCUUCUAAUUGUUACUAGUUUAAUCUAUUCUACCUACUUGGUUGUGAGGAAUUCUAGGGUUAGAGGUGGUGCUUUGUCCUUGCAGGAGGAGUUUAUUAAUUUUUUUCUUAAUGAUUUUGGUUCUUGAGAGUUGGGAGUUCUUUUGAAGCUGGUGUAGAUUUUUAAACUGAGAUACACUUCAUAUCACUCUUUAAUUAUCCCUCUUAACCAUGACACUCGAUGCUUUAUGGACAUUAGCACUUCAAGGUUAACUACGAAAAACUAUUUGUAAUUUAUUAUGUACUUAUUGAGUAGAUCCAAAAAAAUUGGUGCCGAACAAAAUUGGUCAAUUAGGUUAUAAUUACCUAUAUAACUAAAACCCUAUUGCACACCAAGUUUACCCUUUUUUUUUCCUUUUUUCUUUUCUUUUUUUUUGUGAGAGAUAGGUAGCACGCUAUCCGCUUCGUUUAUUUCAUUUAGAAACAAACUUAGCUAAAAAUGUGAAGCAACUAAGAUUCGAACUUGAGAUCUCGGGUACCAACCAUCAAGUCCUUUGCCACUUGGUUUAGGGACGGUCGGUAAGUUUACCCAGUUUUGUUCGAGGUCAUGCUAAUCAUAUGCAAGGUGGUCAAGGUUGUGUCUGCAGUCGAGAUCUACAAACUUAUUUUAACUUUUUGCCAUAGCUACUAACACACGUGCACACUUUUCGGUUAAAGCAGUAUUCGAUUGCGAAUCUCAUAAGUGAAUUAGGAUACUUUUCAACUGCUCUAAACCGUAAAAAUAAUGCAAAACGUCUUCUGUUCAUAAAGUUAAAACAAAAGUAUAGAAUAUAUAACUAAAAAAAUGUAAUGGCUUGUUGAUUGUGCUAAUUUUUUUUUUUCUACUUUCUUCUCUUCUUGGUUGGAAAGUUCUAAAGACCAAUUAAAAAUCUGCAAAUUGAGUACUUGUUGAGGACCACAAAAUCUAUAUUGAUUCAAUUUCCAUAGGAAUUAAUUAACAUAGGUAUCUGAUGCUUGUCCAAACUUUUAAUGUGAUUAUGUAGAAUGAUCAUAAUAAGGGCAAUAACCAUCUCUAACUGUUUAGAUAGCUCAGUUUUGAAUGCGAUUGAUUGUUGUUUUAAUUUUAAUAGCCACCCAUAAAAUUGUUUUUGAUAAAGAUAUGUAGACCCCUUCAAUGCCCCCUCAACUUUUCAUUCUAGUGACUUAUAUUAUUGUCUCAACUUUUAAUUCUAGUGACUUAUGCUAUUUGUCUCAACUUUCAUUUCUAGUGACUUAUGUUAUUUGUCUCAAACUUUCAUUUCUAGUGACUUAUGUUAUUGUAGUUAGUUAACUAAAGAUUAUGUUUACUUUGAUGGCUCCAUCAGCUAUUAGCCAAUUUUUUUUUUUCGUUUUAUUUACCAAAAAAAAUAGUAAUUGAAUUCAUCAAGUUUGAGGAAAUGACCAAUAAAUUUAAUAAAAUUUUUAAUUUAAAAUUUUUAAUUUAAUUGACUAUGAUUAUUUAGGUUUUGUUUGGGAGUGAGAUGUGGUGCAAAAAGUUGCGUCUCAUGCAUCACUAGUGUAGUAACACGCGCGUUGCGGCGGGCAAAACACAAAGCAAACUGAAGAUGUUGAGUGAAAACUGUGAAAAGAUAUGUUUAGCUAGUAAUAUACUCAUUCACCAUUAUUUCAUAAUAUAAAAUAGACUCCUAGAAAGAUUAAGAAUUGUAGAAAUUAUCUCGUUUAAACUAUUAGGUAGAAAAUCUAAAAUACAGCAGAAAAAUCACCAGCAAAUGUAAACUCAAAAUUUAUAAUAAAAUACUUAUGAAAAAGGAAGAAUAAACAUAACUGAUAGCAACAGCUAGCAGAAUAACAAAAAUAAUAGAAGAAUCUAAAAUUUUGACAGUUUCUUGAAGAGACAUAUAUGCAAACUUAUAUAGUUAGAAAAAUAUUUACAAUUUACAUGAAAACAAAAAAAAGUGAAACUAAUAGUAAAAGAAAAAUUAGGAGAGAGUCAAAAGUACCCAAAGAUGUAUAACUUUGCUGCAAUUACUAUAACUAUUAAAAAUCGAAAAUUAAUAUCGGCUCAGACAUUCUAUGAGUAUUAUCAGAAAUCAACUUAUAGCAGCAUAUGCUCACGGCAAUAUAGGGGCGAACGAUGGGCACCCAUUGUAUAGGCUUUGAUAGGUAAGGGAAACGAUAUUAAACAAUCCUUUGUAAGCAAUAGAAAAACAAAACUGAGGUAGCAAAGGAUGAUUACAAACCAGGUCCCUUUUUUUUCAGUAGGGAGAGUAAUAGACAUGAUCGAAAUGAUUUGGGGGUAGCUCAAUGGUUGUAAUUGUUCUGCAAUUGCCAUCCAAGUUGUUCUACAAUGUAUAAACUUUGUUGAUAUUUAAUUAUAACUGCUUCAUUUUGUCAUCAUUGCCGAUUACAAAAAAAAAAAAAAAGAAGAGUUAAAUGAAUACUUUUUUAAAAUAUAUUAAUACAAAAAUAAAUGAAAGCACAAAGUUAAUAUUUAAAUGAUCAAAAACUUAGUUGAAUGUGUAUAGAAAAUAUUUAAAUAAAUGGAAGAUGUUAAAAUAAUUAUGGAGUACAUAAUAAAAAACAAACGAAAUAGUGCAGAGUUCUCUUACAGGAUUAGAUGAUCGUAGCAACAUGGAGAAAAUGAUAGAUGGCUCAUUAUAUAGGCUCUGAUAGGUAAGAAAAAUGGCACAAAAUAACCCUACGUAAGCAACGCGGAAAGAAAAUCGAGCCAGCGAAGAAAGGGGAAACGAUUAUGAACCAAACAUGUUUUUUCUUCAGUAGGGGGGAGCAAUCGAUGGGAUCGAAGCGGCCGAGAGACUAAUAGACGGGAUNAGAUAAGGGAAAUGGCACGAAAUAACCCUUUGUAAGCAACGGGGAAACAAAAUUGAGGCUGCGAAGAAAGGGGAAACGAUUAUGAACCAAACCUGUUUUUUCUUCAGUGGGGGGAGCAAUCGAUGGGAUCGAAGUGGCCGAGGGACUAAUAAAGGGGAUCGAAGCAACAGGAAAACAAAAUCGAGGCGACGAAGGAAGAUGGAGCGAGCAUAAACCAAAUCCAUUUUUCAGGCAGUAAGGGGGAGCAACCGACAGGAUCGAAGCGGCGAAAGGAGUAAUAGACCCUAUCGAAGCGACGGGGGUAGCAGGGAUCGAAGCGGCGACAGGAUGCAUACAUGGAACUCAGGAGAGGGUGUUAGAAGCCAUACCAAUGGAAACUAUUUAUUAAAAAAAAAAAAAAACGAAGAACCUGUUUAAAAAAAAAAUGAAGAAUCUGAAAAAACUUUACCAUGACGUCAGUUUAGAGAUCGAUCGCUCUCAAAGUGAAGCAGAUUCUGUAAAUAGUUUAGCUUCUGAAAAACCCGUUUUGAAGAGGAAAAGAAAAUACCGUGUUGAUAUUCUCCGCUGCGAGAGCUUGGCAGCUCUUGCACCAGUAACCCUAGAAUGGUUAUUUCUUAGAGAUUAUGAUAUCAUUGUUUCUAUGAUUUCAAUUCCUUCUUCGCCUGUUUUACUUGGGCCUUUGGGCCCAAUUCAUUUCGGGCCACCUUAUUCUUCAAUGACACCUUGGAUGAAGCUGGUGCUGUAUUCAGCUAUAAAUUAUGGUCCAUUAUCUGUUGUUCUUAUGAAAGGGCAGUUUCUUUGACUGCUUCUUGCACCGUUAGCAGGUUGUGAAACCGGUUCAACAUAAAACACCAACAGGUGGGACCCAAGACGGGUCCAUGUGUACAAAAAGAUAAAUGAAGAACCGGUCAAAGGAAUAGAAAGCACCAGAUGGGUUCAACAUAAAACAACUACAGAUGGGACCCAAGUCGGGCNAAAUGAAGAACCGGUCAAAGGAAUAGAAAGCACCAGAUGGGUUCAACAUAAAACAACUACAGAUGGGACCCAAGUCGGGCCCAUGUGUACAAAAAAUUAAGGAUAGAUAAAGGAUAACAUGACACGUGGAUAGAUAAAUACGGGAAUUAAUAGGGGUUAAUAGAGAAUAAUUAAGAGCAAAUAUAGAAAAAUAAGAGGCAGUGUAAAAAAUAAAACCUACUAAACAUCCAAUUGUAAACUUAUGUAGUUAGAGGAAUAUUUAUAAUUCACAUGAAAACAAAAAGAAGUGAAACUAAUAGUAAACGAAAAAUUAGGAGAGAAACAAAAGUAUCCAUGCAUAACUUUGCUUCAAUUACUAUAACAAUUAAAAAAAAUGAAAAUUAAUAUCGGCCCAGACAUUCUAUAAGUGUUAUAAGUAAUCAACUUAUAGCAGCAAAUUAUCACGGUAAUAUAGGGGAGAACAAUGGGCACCCAUUAUAUAGGCUCCGACAGGUAAGAAAAAUGACAUUAAACAAUCCUUUGUAAGCAAUAGGAAAACAAAAUCGAGGCAGCAAUGGAAGAUUACAAAAUAGGUCCCUUUUUUUUGUCAGUAGGGAGAGCAAUACACGUGAUCGAAAUGACUUAGGGUAGCUCAACGGUUGCAAUUGUUCUGCAAUUGCCAUCCAAGUUGUUAUGCAUUGUAAAAACUUUGUUCAUAUUUAAUUAUAUCUGUUUCAUUUUUGUCAUCAUCGCCGAUUAAGAAAAAAGACUUAAAUAAAUACAUUUUUUUAAAAAAAUUAAUACAAAAAUAACUGAAAGCACAAACUUUGGCUGAAAUUGUUUGAAGAUAGAGCUUAGAAGGUGAGCCGGAAUAAAUAAUUAUGAGAAGCAAUGGUUCAUUAAGAGAAAAAGAGUCGCUAGUAAGAAAUGUUCAAAAAACAAUAGAGUUUAGAUAUAAAAGAACAGUGCACUAUACUGAUUAGAUAAUUUGAUGAAUAAAUUAUAAGAAUACAACCUACAUGACAGGAGUUUCAUGAACUCUAUCAAAACCCCACUUCUCAAGCAAACUCUUAAAGAUAUGCAGUAAGAAACAAUAUGAAUAAAAACGGGUAGGUUAAGAAUAGAUUAAUUUUUUAUAAUAAGAUAAGAUAUGAUUGCUAUUAUUAGGAAACAUGUAAACACAAAAUCAAGAAGCAAAGACAACAAAAACGAACUGGACUAAUCGAAAGAGACAAAGCAUUAGGGUUAAGGGCAAAUUGAAUUAAACCCCACCACCCCCACACCGACCAGUGCCAUCGCAGAGGAGCUCCUCGCAGGCGGAGCAUCUGGGAGGAGGCCUCAUUUUGGGAACCAUGGAGGAAGAGGAAGUGUUUAGGGAUGUCAACGGUAAAACAUCCUAACACUUAAACGAUACAGCACAUCACCAAAUUAUUAAUCAACAAAGCAAAAGUAAGAAGAUAUUCAAAUCAACCACAACCAUUGUCGCAAACCAAACUUACUCUCAAUUUGUAAUCCUAUAUUUCACAAUCCUCUUAUAGAAUCGUAAUUUACGAUUCGCCACACAACACGUCACCAAACUAAUCAACAAAUUGUAAGUAACAAACAAUCCAAAUCAUACUCUACUUGAAAGAUGCCAAAAAGAGGAGAGAGAGGAGAGAGAGGAGAGAGAGAGGGAGGGACCUCUUAGAGAAGGGUCCAUCGGAGGUGACGGUGAUCCGGGACUUGUUGCGGGCGACGGCGAUGGCGUCGGCGUCGUCUAGGGCAUCGGCCCUGCCCCCGGCGACCUUGAUUCACUCCUAGAGAAACUUCUCAAGGGACGUGAUCUCUAUGAUCGGGAUCGAAGCAACAAGAAAACAAAAUCAAGGCGACGAAGGAAAAAGGAGCGAGCAUGAACCAAAUCCAUUUUUCAGGCAUUAGGGGGAGCAACCGACAGGAUCGAAGCGGCAGAAGGAGUAAUAGAGCCUAUCGAAAAGGCGGGGGUAGCAGGGAUCGAAGCGGCCGGGGUAGCAGGGAUCGAACUCAGGAGAGGGAGAAGAACCCUGUUUUAGAAAAAAAAAAAAAAAAAAUGAAGAACCGGUCCAAUGAGUAGAAAGCACCAGACCGGUUCACAUGAAGCACCUACAGGUGGGACCCACAACGGGUUCAUGUGAAGAACCGGUCAAAGGCAUAGAAAGCACAUACGGGUUCAAUAUGAAACAACUACAGGUGGGACCCACGACGGGUACAUGUGUACAAAAAACAUGAAGCACCUAUUCGUGAACAACUACAGGUGGGAUCCAUGAUGGGUCCACGUGUACAAAAGUUUAAGAAUGGAUUAAGGAUAAGAUGACACGUGAAUGACUAAUACGGGGAUUAAUAGAGGUUAUAAGAUGUGUAAAACUACGGCACGUUUGGUUUACCUUUUUUUCAUUUUAACAAAUUUAAGUUUUCGUGACGGAAACAUUCCAUAGAAUAAUUUUGUGAACUAACUUUUGGAUUGCAUAUGUGGCACCUUAACGAAGAGCCACAUUUGGUCUUAGUUUUUAAAAACUAAGAAGAGAAUACAAAUUGCAAAAAAAAAAGAGGAGAAAAAUAAAACUAUGGAGUUAUUUCAAAUUGUGCGAGUAAAACAAAUUUUAAAUCUUAAGAACCGCAAUUGAUUCAAUGAACAAGAUCCACAGAAGAUAACCGAGUAAUAUUUUAAGAAAUUUAAAAUGCUUCUCAAUCAUCAAGAGUUGGUUUUGAAAUUUUUAACUUAAUUUUCAAAAAAAAAAGAUUUGGAUUUUGUAGUUUGAGAUUUGGUGGUUGCUUUUUUGGUAUCUGAAAGUAAAAUUUAGUUUAUGAAAUACCUCAAUUUUGAUUCGUAAAUCGUGAUAAAAUAGGAUUUGUUAGGGCCAAUAAUAAAACGUCAUGUGGCAUGUUGGUGUACGGUUCAAUCAGGACUUUCAGAGGUCGAUUUUUGGUGCACCGGAAGUAAUAAAGGAAUAAAUAGCAUAACUGCAAGGCGUAACUGCAAACGGUUACGAGUAGUUUGGAUCGGCUUGUAGUGCCCCCAAAAAUAGGGAAGUGGCCGAUCGUGAGCAAUAACUAUACAAUAACAGCGGAAUAUAAAUAGACAAGUAACGCCUAAAAAUGGGGUCUUUUUUCGAGAACAGAAGACCACCUUUUAUUCUCUCUACAUUUUCCUUACAUUUUUAGGAGUAGUCUACUUGUAAUCUUUUCCUUUCUCGCAUUUACUGCUUUUCCUAGGGGUGGCCUUAGAGUUAGAUUUCUGGAGUCUAUAUGCCCCAAAGGCACACUCUAUUUUGUACAAGUUUCCAGAUCUAAUAUCAAUAUAUAAAGGUAUUCGGCUUUUCAGCUGACCCAACCACUGUGCAUCUCAUUCAUUCGGCUCGUUCAGCCGAACACAAUCUACAGUGAAUGUUUUCGAACUCGGCGGAUGAGGGAUCGCUUGAUCCGUCGGAGAGCGCAAACUUCGAGGAUCACCACCUGAAGCUAUAUCUAAUUCUUUCUUGUUUCUCUAGGGAUAUCUUUGACCAGGUCAAAGGUUGAGGAAAUUGGGCCCAUAGCAAUUUUUGGCAUGCCCGGUGGGACACAUUUAGGUAAAUUUAUUUCUUUAUAAGAACAAUGGCUGACGAUAAUGUCAUGAAUUUGCAUAACAAGGUCGCUCCGCAAAAUUCUGGGAACGACCAAACUAGUAAUUCUGAUAAUGCAAUAGAGCGCCAAGCAGUCUUGCCAGUCGAAGGUGAGGCCAGUGGUCAAUCAGAUUAGCAAGAGCCAAGUUUGGCUCAAGCGCUCGGACAGAUGAAGCAAGUCCUAGAAGUGUUGGACCAAAAUAGUCAGAGAAGUACUGCUUGCUUAGAUGCAGUGUUGACCGCAAUUACGACCUUUAGUGAGAAUAUUACCCGAAUAGGACAAUUGUUGACACGAAACGAGCAACCUACCGUGGGUCUAUAAGGACCUGUCGCCACACCGGUAUUACAAAAUCCUGUAACAUCGGUGAAUGGUCAGCCUCAGCACCAGGGGCACCUUUUCAAGUGGAGACCGACUGUUUUAAAUGCCAGCCAUCAACCGAAAAUAGCAUGGGGAUUACCUCCUCCGCUGUCACUGGCGACAUAUUAGCCCCAAAAUGUAGGGGCUAGAGUUGGGGGGCAAACCCCUAAUAUUGCUAUGCAGGGAGUAAACCCUGCAGUACAGAAUUUUGGACUUCCACCUGGACCAAACCAAGUUCAAGCGCAGGCUCCUAUUACUAGACAAGCGAACAAUAAUAAACUUUACGCUCAAAUUGAGGAAGCUAUCCGAAGUACCUUCGGAGUUGGGGUAAGGCCGGCAAUACGGCCUGUAUUUAGAUCCCCUUAUCCUGCAAAUAUAGAUGCAGAACAUUCUUAUCCGACAAAUUGAAAAAUGCUAAAAUUCCACAAAUUUUCAGGAGACGAGACCGAGAACACGGUCGAACAUGUCGCACGAUUUACGACUCAAUGUCGAGAAGCCACUGCAGAUCCUUUCCUGAAACUCAGGUUAUUUAAUACCUCGUUAAGCAAGACUGCGUUUACUUGGUAUAUAAGUCUGCCAGCCAAUUCUGUCCGAGAGUGGGGCGAAUUGGAAAGAAAGUUUCAUGAGCAGUUUUAUAGAUCAGAGCUGGAACUUUCGGUCACUGAUCUUGUUCAGUUUAGACAGAGAACGGAGGAAUCGGUUGAAAAUUAUUUGAACCGAUUCAAAACGGCAAGAAGCCGUUGUUUUGUAAGAAUGUCAGAAUCAGAGUUUGCUAAAAUGGCAUUCAAUGGUCUGCAUUUCAAAAUCAAAGACCAUUUUGAAGACAAGUAUUUUUCAAAUCUGUUCAAUUUGGGAGUUCGGGUUGUUCAAUAUGAGCAAUUUAGAAAAGGGAAUAAUAAAGAUCGGCCUAGAUGGAGCCGAAAUAAAGAUUGGAGUAAAGGGAAGGAGAAAAACAUUUCUUUCCUUAAAGAGUCUUCAGCUCAAGAUAAGCCGGACAUGUCUGAUGAAACAAAGGAUUCGACUGAAGAAGCUGAAAUAUAUGCUGCUGAAAUGGUAAAAAACCGCCAGCCAUAUAAAUGUGCUUUGCUUAAACCCGCCAAAUCUAGCGAAGUGAAAGCACGAGUAGCAGCAUAUGCUUAUUCUUUCAAUGUGUCGAAGAUCGAUUUGAUUUUUGAUCAGUUACUAAAGGAUGGACGAAUUCAGCUCUAAGAAGGUCAAACGAUACCCUCUGGAGAAGAAUUGAAAAGGAGAAGAUAUUGUAAAUUGCACCAUUCAUGGAGCCAUAGAACAAACGAGUGCACUGCCUUUAAAAGGCAGAUUCAAAAGGAAAUAAAUGAAGGUCGGCUCAUAUUUGCCGACCAGAAAAACAAAAAUAUGGAAGUUGAUAAAAAUUCUUUUCUCUCGCAGGUUAAUAUGGUGGAUAUUAAAAAGAAGGCUUCUGCGGACAUGAAGACCGAUGGUGUUAUUGCCUAUACCAAGAGGACGUUACGGCUAUACAUAAGAUGUAAGGCCGAAAUGACUAAAAAAGAUUGGGAAGCGAUUAUUCAUGAGAAGAAACUACAUAGGGAAUGGGGAGAGUUCAUGCCAUUCCUCGCAGAAUGGGAAGACAUUCCCUAGACGGAGAACAAAUUGGAGGAAGGUUCGGAAGAAGCCUUCAACGAUUCCGAACAGGAAGUUGAUGUAAUAAAGGAUAAGAGAAUUAAUGCAAAAGGUCUUAAAUGAUUAUUACAACAGUCGAAGAGAAUAGCGCAAUAGCCAAUGGAGUUAUCCUGAGAAACCAUUCGGCUCUUAACAAAGAUUUUCAGGAUAUCGGCUAAACUGGCAACAUCAGGCCAGGCCGAGACCUGAACCUGAAUUUGAAGGGACCUGAACCUGAAUUCGAAGGGAUGACCGAGGGAGACAUAGAGUUCCUCGUCCUCGGUCGGUGGUUAGUCAAUGAACUCGGCAUUCAGCCUUGGCCGAGACCAUGGGGAAGAAGAGAGAUACUAAGAGAUCAUCUCAGGACAGUAAAAGUACCUUCAAAUGUGCCAGUCGAUAAAUGGUACAAAGCAAAAAGUGUUUGUCAAAUGGUAUGGGCCGAAAUUGACAAAAACGCAGAAACGUCGGCAGCAAAGGUUGCAAGGCGAAGCGAGACAGCACUAUGAGGAGGCUAAAUGGAUGAAACUGAAUGUAUGGAGGCAACCUCAAGAGCAACAACCUCCCUUUAGGCCUAUGAAAAAUGACCAUGAGGCAGGUGGUUCGGCACCUGUCCCCUGGCUGAAAUCCAAAAUAAAACGGCUACUCCCGGCUGAGCCAGAAAAGAAAGCAACUCGGAAGGAGCUGGAAGAAAAAAUAGCCUCUUUGGAGACCAUAAUCAAACGAGAUAGAUGGCCUCCUAAGGAGAGAGAGAGGCACACAUGGAAAGUGAUUCCUCAGCCGAGACGGCAAAGGAAUCUGAAGAAAAGAAACAAAAGAAAUAAAGAAAAUCGGCUGAUGAAGCUCAAGCCAAUGUGAACAUAGUGUAUACUCUAUCUCAGUCAUUCAAGGUGGAGUCUAUCGAAUAUGAAGAAACAACACAUGACGGAGAUGAGCUUACGGUGGCUCAACUUCAGUUAGAGGAUGCUAGACCAGCCGAUUUGAUGGUUUUUGAAAAACCAUCGAUCAUGCAGAUAAGAUUCGUAAGGCCCUUGUUUAUAAGGGCUUUGAUAGAAGGUCGGCCGAUAGGCCGAGUAAUGAUAGACGGAGGAGCAAUGGUCAAUGUUAUGCCCACUUCUUUCUUUAAGAAGUUGGGCAAAAGUGAAGAUUAAUUAAAGCCUACCGACACCAUUAUGACCGACUUCACUGGUAGCGGUCAACAAGCCAAAAAUGUGCUUACAAUCGAGCUCACGGUAGGAUCUGAAACCUUGCGAACAGCCUUUUUUGUGGUAGAUGCAGAUAGCCACUACAAUUUAUUGCUUGGACGUGACUGGAUUCACACAAACGAAUGUGUACCUUCGACACUCCACGAAAAAUUAUUUCAAUGGAUAGGGGAUAAAGUGGAGGAAAUCAGGGCCGAGGGACGACCUCAGAUGGUAGAUGUUGACUCGGAGGGAAUCGGCCAUAUCAAUUGGGCCGAUACUGACCCAGAUCAAAUUUUAUUUGUACGAGUGACCGAGAAAGGAGUUCAGUUAAUACUGGUGAAGAUGAGGAAGCAAUGGUGGCAGCCGAAGAGCACCAAGUUGGUUCAAAUGAAUGCCAAGAGUCGGGAACCAGAGCUUUAGAAAAGCUUCGGUAGAAUAAGCCGACUAGAGAAGUUGGCUAUUGUAGCAAAUCUCCCGAGCAAGCCGAUGAAAUAUCGUGCAUCAAAACAGCCAAGUUGGCCGAAAAUAACGUGUUUAAAAAAUCGACCAUGGCGGUCGAUAAGGAAAUGUUCAAUGAAUCAUCAAGUAUAACAGCCGAGUUAAAUGAAAAUGAUAGAACUUGGAAAGCAGCCGAGUCUAAUGAUGAAAACGGCUCAAAAAUUCAUAAAAUUAUGAAGGAACCUAUGGAGGAAUCACCUAUCAAAGUCGGCGAUAAGAAACUAGAGACCCAAGAUCCAUUGAUAGAAUUAAAUUUGGGGUUUGAUGAAGAUAAGCGGUCGACAUACAUUAGCGCCAAAGUUUCGGCUCAACAACAAGAGAAGCUGAAGAAGUUGCUGUUAAAGUAUAAAGACUGCUUCGCCUGGAAUUAUGAAGAGAUGCCGGAAUUGAGCUGAGAAAUUGUAGAGCAUAGUGUCAGGGAUUUAGAAAAAUUCUGUGGCAGCCCGGUCCCUAGCCCAAAUCUGCUAGCGCGUUUGGGUUAAAAAUGGGUUGAAUCAGGUUGUCAAGGAGACCCAAAUCCGACCCGCUGUGGGAAACUCAAGGGUUAUGAAACUCAUGGGAGUUAUGGGGUGACUCUUGGGCAUUUGGCUAUUAUGAGGGCUCAUUAUGUAUAUAAUAGUGGGUGAGUUAUGUGGCUAGUGGGUGAGUUAUGAGGGCUCAUUAGGCCUAUAAAUAGUGGGGUUGGCUAAGGCCUAAACACACAAGAGAGAGAGUGUUGUAUGCUGUAAUUCUCAUUUUCUAAGUAGUGUAGUACUUAGCUUUUUGAGAGAAUCUCUGCCUCUUUCUCUUGUUAUUUUCCUUUUGCAUACUUAGUCGUAGGGCGCAAAGGUCCGGGCUAGCAACAGGGACGAAGGCUUGUCCAUCUUCGAGUAGGAAAGAUGGGCGCCGCGCGGGCUUUGCGAAUAAGGACGCUAAGUCCAUGACAAUAGGCUCCCUAUUAAAAAAAGAUGUAGGCCUUACAAACAAUUGGUUCGUAGAUUUGAGCCGAGUAUUGUACUUCAAAUUAAGAAUAGAAUUAAAAAUCUGUUAAAGUCCGGCUUUAUUAGAGCAGCCUGUUAUGUGGAUUGGGUGUCUAAUAUAGUUCCAGUACGAAAAAAGAAUGGCAAACUUAGAGUUUGCAUUAAUUUUAGAAACUUGAAUAUGGCUACGCCUAAAGAUGAAUGCCCAAUGCUUAUAGCUAAUAUGCUGGUGGAUUCGGCAGCCGGACAUGAAAUCCUAUCUUUUAUGGAUGGACAUGCAGGAUAUAAUCAAAUUGUUAUUGCCGAAGAAGAUGUAGCUAAAACAGCUUUUAGAUGCCCAUGGUCUAUUGGGACCUUCGAAUGGGUAAUAAUGCCGUUCGGUUUAAAGAAUACUGGAGCUACUUAUCAAAAAGUAAUGAAUUUCAUUUUUCAUGAUUUGAUCGGCAAAAUAUUAGAAGUUUACAUCGAUGAUAUCGUUGUAAAAUCAAAAUCACAAUCUUAACAUUAGGCAGAUUUAGAAUUUGCUUUUGAAAGAAUGAGAAAAUAUAAUUUGAAAAUGAAUCUUUUAAAGUGUGCUUUUGGAGUUUCGGCGAAAAAUUUUCUCAGAUUUCUAGUACACAAAAAGGGGAUUGAAAUUGAUAAAAAUAAGGCUAAAGCUAUAAUGGAGUUACCGCUGCCAAAAAAAAAAAGGAACUACAAAGUUUAUUAGGUAAAUUAAUUAUUUACGGCAUUUUAUAUCAAACUUAGCUGGUAGAAUAGGAGUUUUCACUCCAUUGCUUAGGCUGAAAAAUCAGGAAGAAUUUAUUUGAACAGAGGAACAACAAGGAGCAUUUGAGAACAUAAAAAGUUAUUUAGCAAAUCCUCUAGUCCUCAUGCAUCCUCGUCAAGGUCAGUCGAUGAAAUUAUAUAUAUCAACUACGGAAGAAAAUUUAGGGUAUUUAUUAGCCCAGAAAAAUCACAAAAAAGAAGAACAAUCUAUUUAUUAUCUCAGCCGACGCUUGUUAGAUGCCCAAAAAUGUUAUUUGGCAAUCGAAAAAUUGUGUCUGGCAUUAUAUUACGCAUGUACAAAAUUAAGAUAUUAUAUCUUACCAAUAGAAGUGUCAGUAGUUUGUAAAACUAACUUGGUAAAGUAUAUGCUAUCAAAGCCUGUAUUGACUUGGUAAAGUAUAUGCUCUUCAUUUUCCAGCCACUAGGACUUCCGAAAGCACCCGAUAGGUGAGCACCGCACUCCUGGAAUCACGUGGAGUCUCGUCCUCACCUUCGUUGCGAUCAAUGAAGGUCCGAUGCGCGCGUAGGACUCGGCCUCUUCGAGGACUAAGCAAUUGGAGGAUUGCUUUCACUGUUUGGAAGCCUUCCGGUCAUCAAUUGCAAUUCAAACAGUGAGCACGAUCAUCAUCACGUUGAGAUGAAAUAAAUCAACAGGUUGGUUGGAUCCGUUGUGACACAGAUCGGGGUAACGAGCUCGAAACUCGUGUUUGUGUAUUAUUUGUAUAGUAAUUAAUGCUAUAAUGGGUUGUUUGCAAGUUGAAUGCAAUGGAGACCUUGCACGCAGCCUCGGAUAGCAUGUAUUCGCUAUUAGUGACCUCUUGACUGAUCGUCAAAGGUCCAGGAGCCGUUGCAGAUUGAAAACAAGGUCCCAUGGCUUCGUUUGCUGGCAAUUCGCCGAUUGGACGCAGUUUAUGUUGCGGUUGAGAUCCCGCCAAGACUUGUUGGCUGGUUGAUACCACCACCUUUGAAGUCCAAAUGGGGUGGAUAAGCGGUGGAUGGCUUUCGAUGCAUUUUUCGGCGAAAUCGCUGGUAAAACGCGGUUUCGUAUCGCGAUGAGUUUCUGGCUAUGUGGCCGCCCUGAAAUUCAUCACCUAGCCUUGUUGGCUUGCCACCGGGGGUACUUUGCAUGUUCGGAGGCUAUAGGUGAGUGGUAGAGAUUUUCGGUGCCAAAGUGGACACUUUCGAAAGUCCGGAGCGAAACGGUCGACCAGCAACGAUCGAAUAGACCUUGGUGCUUAUGUUAGCUGCUUAGACACUCAAAUAGAAGUGUUUUCAGGGUAACGGGUGACUCACGACUUGAGUCGGUGUGUUUCAAGAUGUUUCGUCAGUCCCGCAGGUAUCCCGGUGUGUUUUUAGGAUUCUCGGCGAGUUUGGGAAUCAGUUUUGGGAAACCAAUCCCGCAGGUGGCUUGGAUUUGUGAGUGAUGUCUUUUGAGUCAGUCGGUUUAGUUUCUGACUCGGUAGACCUGUCGUAGGUCCGGUCGACUGUUCUGCAUACUGUAGGAGCUAGGUACAGCUGCGACAUAGGUGGCUACUUCGAUCCAAAGUCGGUUUACUGGUGCACGCUCGGUGAUAUUCCCUUCACCCUUUUCUCUUACUUCUUGUAUAUAUCUUAUGCUUGAGCCUUACACCACAUGGCUUCGACUCUAUCUCUACUUAGCAUACUCAUCUUUUGUUUGUCAUGACAAAGAAGUAGAGCAGUAGAGGUUGCUUAUACAUGAUCGUAUACAUCAUUGUCGGUUCCCGUAGACACGCCAUUGUUCACCUGAGUGGUCGUCUCUUGUGCAUACCCUAUUGUUGACCUGAGUGAUCGGUUCUCUUGGUCGCGUUGUUGUUGACCUGAGUGGUCGGUUCACGUGGAUACAUCCUAGCUGACCAGAGUGGUCGGUUCCCUUAUACUCUUGUCAUUGUUGACCUCGUACUUUCUUGUUGACCUGAGGGGUUGGUACUUGCAUACUCGUGAGGAUGUUGACCUUGUCCAUCCCUGUUGACCUUAGUGGUUAGUGGUCGUAUAUCAAUGUUGUUCCAAUGACCUAUUGGUCAGUGUGCCCUGAUAAGCGGUGAUUGUCGGCUAUUCACCGACGGUUGGCUAUUGAUCAUACUCGCAUCGAUCGCCACAGCUCGACAGCAUUUCAUGAGUACCAGCGUCUGAUCCCCUGAAGAAAGGUAUUCUUUUCUAGAAAAGUGGUUGGUUACCAGUCUGUGAGCCCAAUAGUCAUUUACUGGGGUUAUAUGCAAACAGAGCGGUUGUAGUUUGCCUGAGGUCCUUAGACCGACACGGUGGUACAAAUUUGGUACAUAUGGACUGUCUGUUCAGUUGACACAUAUAGCUACAGUAGUGGUUAUUGCAUGCUUACUUACAGUUCUUCUUUUUUCACACUUGCAUUACUACUGUAGGGUUUUAUUUACUUAUACUCGAUUACCGGUGAGCACGCUUGCCUUCGUCGGCUUGCGGUACCCACUGGAUAACCCUUUGUUGGUUUCUCACCUUCAUUGUUCCAAAGGUAAUGAAAGUGGGAUUGGUCGGGACAGUGCGUGAGGCCAUAGUUAGAGGGCCGAGAUAGAGUUUCCCGACAUACGGUAUACGAUUUGAUUAUACUCCAUACUUAGUAUAGAUAUACUUAUGAAUAGUAUAGUGUUACUCCAUUACUCCUUUAGUAGAGGCUUAUAUGUGGUUCAGUUGAUAUCCUAUACCUUCGAAUUUUGGAUAUUGUACUUAUGAGGGUUUUGGAUGCUCAUGAUUUUGGACAUUUGUGGUUUUACUAUGUGCUACACCGUGCAGAUAUAGGAGAAACUCUAUCUGUUUGUUUCAAGAAUUUUCUGUAUAUGUGACGGAUCUGUUGCAUGCCUGCCUUUGGGUUCCAAGUUUCAUAAAGAGAGGGGGGGCAGUUUUUCGUUGACUCUAAUUAAUAAAGAUAGCCUGUUUUCGAAUUGGUUUUCAAAAAGUGACUCAGAGCAUGACAGAUUAAAAUGGUAUCAGAGAGAAGAUUACAACCACGAGCUUACUCAUGGUUUUUUUAAAAAAUAAAACUGAACCACUGGUUAGGUUGACCCAUAGGAAGACCUAAGAUGAUAGGCAGAUGAGUGUGGGAUUGUUGGAUUGAGUCCCAGUGUUCUGGACGAGCUUUAAUAGUCUCGAGGUGCAUGGUUAUUAUUUCGUGCAUGUUACGAUUUUCUCACAGACUUGUGUCUUAGCCAAGAGUGAAGGCGGUGUACUAGUACAGACAUCAUCAAGUAGUCUAGUUUUAUAUAUAUAUAUAUAUAUAUAAAAUUGGGCUAUAAUAUUAUUAAUAGUAUUUGGGCUCUUUUACUAUCGAGUUUUUAACCCUUAAAUAAAAAAUUAUAGGAUUAGGAUGAUAGUAAUCCUCUAGGUAUCGUUUGGUUCGGGGAUAAGCAAAAAGUGGCUGUUCCAGGGAUAGGUAUAAAUUGAGGUAUAAGCGGGAUUAGAUCAAUUUUGCGUUUGGAUGAAAAUUGGGUCAUUCCUGAAAAUAAAAUAAAUAGUGUUUGGUUAGGUAAAAUGGAAUAAGAAGGAUAGUGAGUUUUCUAAAUAAAAAGUAAUGAUAUUAUCCUCUUAUUCUAUUUGAAUUUGAAUUUUUAAAAUUUUAAAUUUAUAUUUUUAAAGUUAAAAUUUUAAAAUUUGAGAAAUUUGAAAUUUAAAAUCUCAAAUUUUAAAUUCAAAUUUUUAAAUUUUAAAUUUCAAACUUUAAAUUUAAGAUCAAAUUUAAAUUUGAAAAAUUUAAAAUAUCAAAUUUUAAAUUUUAAAAAUUUAAAAUAUCAAAAUUUAAAUUUAAAAUUUAAAAUUAUAAACUUUAAUUUUGAGAUUAUAAAUUGUAAAUUUUAAAAAUUUAAAUUUUUAAUUUUUAAAAUUUUAAAAUACUACUAAGGGCGGGAACAAUUAAUAAAAAUAAUUUAUUAUAAUAAAUUUAUAAAUUUUUUUAAAAUUCUACUUAAACUUAAAUUUAAUAAAAAAAAUUUAUUAUAAUAUUUAAAUAUAAUUUAUUACAAAUUUUAUUAUAAUAUUUAAAUAUAAAUAAUAUGUAUUAAUAUAGUACAAUUAAUAAUUUUAUAAUAAAAAUAAUAUAUUAUAAUAUAUAACAUAUUAUAUUUAUAUAAUUUAGUUUGCUUAAUUUAUAAUUUUAAUUAAGUUUGAAAUUAAGCAUUGGAAUAGCACUAUUCCACCAAAAUGGUGGAAUAGCAAAUUUCUUGCUAUUCCGGGAUAACCGGGAAUAGCAAGGUUUGAUCGGGAUAAAAUAUUCCGGCCAAAUUUCACCCCGUUUGGCGGAAUAGCGGGGAUAACUUUCGUUAUCCCUGCUUAUCCCCCAAACCAAACGGGGCCUAAGGGUUUAGUGGUCAUCCCUCUAGGGUUGAGUGGGUGGUUGGGUGAGUAGUAUUGUAAUACUUGGGAAUUUGAAUUUGAAUUUGUUUUAUGUGUGUGUGUGUGUGUGUGUGUGUGUGUGUGUGUGUGUGAUGGAGAGAAAUGGUUUUGUUGCGAGUCGGCAACCGAUUCUAGCAAAACAAAAUCGCAAGUCUAAUAGUCUGGUACUGCGAAAAGCGUUGGUACAAUCCAUUUGUAAAUCCGAUGAGCCGAUCGUUCGAAAUUCCACGUUGUUCGAGGAAGGGUCGAUAUUGCAUAUUGGAUAUUUUUGCAAAAAAAACCCAAUAUUUUAUGUAUCGAUUCGCAUAAGAUAGCUAGUGGAGGCGCGUUCACGUGUAUUACACGAACCCUAAACGACUCGGCUUGAAAUUCUUUGGAUUUGGCUAGUUUUUUGCAAUUGUACAUUUAUGUAUAAAUGUGCAACUACGGUAUUCUCUUCUCUAACCCUAACCCUAACUCCUCCUGCACCCAACCCGAGCCCUAGCUGCCUUCCCUUUCUCCUUUAACUCCGCUGCUUAUAUCCCCAGCCGUCGAUAACCACUGCGUGGCCAGCCAAACUCCGGCCACCUAUCUCCUCCCGUUCCCUCAACCUCUCUCCUUCUUCUUCUCCCUCUAUCACGGGGUCUGUGAGUACCCGAAGAGGGUUGCGUCCCCCUGACCUCACCUGCGGCACCUUGGGAUCCCGGCGACCCCUCUCCGAUAGCCUCUAGCACUGUCGAGCGUCGCAGCGACCGUUGCGGUCGUCUUGGUGCAUAUUUGGACAGAAGCUGCCGCACCUCUUUGCAAUGUCGCCGUCGCUACCCCUAGCUGCCACUGCUGCCUUCCCUUUGUCCUUGGAGACUCCCCGUUGCGCCUUGCCUCCUCGGCCAUCGCCAUUGUCGGAGAGGCAACCCGAGCUCAAGCUUGAACUCAGGUGGGCCGAGCUUGCUCCAGGGCCAUCGGCGUCACCUCCCGCCGCUGACUAGCAUGAGCACGGUGCUACCCUCAUUGACCAUAUCUUGGCUCUGCCUACGCAUGCGCCGCUGUGCUGCCGGAGGCCUGCAGCCAACCCAAGACCCCUUGCUCCUUGUCUGCCCGAGCUAGGGCAAUUUUUGGGCUCUACUGUCACGCCCUGGGGUCCCUUUUCAGUUUAAAACAAAGCGGAAAAGCGUCUGAAUUUUUUUUUUUUGAAAACCUGACCCCAGAGUAUGCCAGAUCCGCCACAAAUAUAGGGAAUCCACUGUUCACACGGACAGAGUCUCCCCUGUAUUUGCACGGCGUCGCACAAGUACAAGAAGUCAUCCAGGCACAACCACAACAAACGAACAUACAAAUAACCAACCGUUAUAUAUAUUCAUACACUAUUCACUACAGAUUCACAUUUAUGCAUAAAUCCACACCUAUCAGUUAAAAUGUUUCCAACCACAGAAACAGGUUUUGAAAUACUAAGAUGCAAAAUCCACAGAAANCUAUAGUAAGAGUAUAACUAGGAUUACAUACUAUAUAAUCCUACUCUAUAGAAGGCAAUGAUACUACUCUAUAUAAGGCAAUAAAACACAAUAUCCUAAUAUAUCGUAACAUCCUAAUAUAGAUAAAAUAUAUCGUAACAUAAUGAAUGAAACUAGCUAAGAAAGAAAAGAACGGCUACAAGUAAAGAACGGUUAAUGAUAUAAAGUAGAAUCAAGUAAUCUACUUACAUGAUUUACAGGUAUUGCAUAUUGCAUAGCAGCGCGGCAAGGUAUGGUUUUAUUUGUUGCAUAGUCAAAUAUCUAUCUGACUAUUUGUUGAACUAACCUACUGUUGCCUCCUUUGGACCUGGUGGGUCGAGCUCUUCUCUUGGGUGGCCGUACCCACUGAGAACUAUAUUUAUAUAGUUCUCACCCCCGUGUUGUUUUGGGGGUACAGGUUGCACACGAGCGGCGCGAGGACAGGGCGUAGCUCCGUAGAUAGCGCCCCACCACUGAGACCGAGAUAGCAAUACCCUGAAGAGGUCAAGCUCAGCGUAUCAGUAUGAAUGAAACAAAUUUGUAGUAAUUUGUAUAAGUUUUGUAAUAACUUAAAGGUAUUUGAAAUUUUGUAAAUAUAAAAUUCUGAGAUGAAUGCUUGUAAUAGCAUAGUUAGCAUUUUAUGUUUUUGAUACUUAUACAAUCUGUGGUUGAAUGCAGUUCCUGUUUGGAACCUCUUGUAUUGCAGUGUAUAGAUUGUGACGCCUAGAACGUACAGGGAGGCUCUGUCCGUUCGGCGGUCUGUCGGCGUGCCCGAAUCCGACCAAAUAGGCGGAGCUUGGGGCGUGACAGGUUAGUCUCAAAACUGCACAGUUAUUGGUAACGGUCCUAAACAUCACCUUUACAUAUAUAUUUUAUGCGAUAACAGGUUGUUUAGGGGCUUUUAUGCAAUUUUUCUCGGGCAGUGUGGGAUCACAGUUUGUGAUCUUUGGACUGGUUGUCCAUUGUCUCGUGGCCUUUGCAAUGUCCGUUGGUUGGUUUGUAGCGUUUUUCGGCGAAAUCACUAGCGAAACACAAUUAUCGUUGUGGGGUACAUUUGCUGUUAGUGUAAAUAUCCCAGGUUUCUCGCCGAGCCUUGUUGACUGGUUGCACUCGCUAUCUCGAGUUUCUAAAGACAACGGGUGAGCGACGGAGGGUUCCAGUGCUGAAAACGACAUUUCUGGGGAACCGAAUGGGCACUAAGUGUGUUAUUAUAUAUCUAGGUUCUUCUGGCUUGUGUUUUCUAUCCGAACACCUAAUUUGGUGUGUUUUGGGACAGCUGGUGACUUGGGAUGUACAACGAUACUUUCCGGGGUACUUCGUUGUGUUUGGAGGUGUUCUGGUGGACUUUCCAAAAAUUUCGACGGUUUCGGGGUUGUGUUUAGUAUUUUGGAGUCGACUUAGUGGACCUUGACUUGGUAGGUCUUUUGUAGGUCCAGUCAACAUCCUUGCACGCAUUGGGUGUUAGACGCUACUACGAUUGCAGAUGGGCGCUUCGAUUCGAAGUCGGUACACUAAUGCUAGCUCGGUGAUAUUCUUCCUUUACCCUUUUUCAUUGCUUUUGCAUAUUAUUAAUGAGCAUUACACCAGUUGACUUCUAGUUUAUUUACUCUACUUCUGGUCUUGCAUAUAUUAGUAGUAGAGUGGUGUUUGAUAUAUUGCAUGAUCUCUAACUGUGGGAUCUGAUUGGUCGAUGUUGGUCAGUUCGCCGAUCUAGGUGGUCUAAAUUGGAUAGGUGUUGGUUAUUAACUUACUCUCGGCACUUUGCCGUCUUGUGGACUAGUGAGCAUUUUGCGUCGAACGUCACAACUCAUAUAGCAUAUCACGUACACUAGCGGUUUGGCCACCGUGUGAGUGUUCUUUUUCAGGAAAAGUGAUCGCCUCUUUAACUCGUGAGCCCUUGCAAGGAGCUAGCUGGGGUUUUGUGCCGGUAGGUGAGCAUAUUGUGGCACUAACUGCGGUCUUUAGACAAAUAUGGCAAUGUUUGGAUAUCGAUUUUUCAUACAGUUGAUGCAUAUAUUUAUUAUUUAUAGUAACGGUAGGUGCUUACUAUUGUUCAUAUCUGUAUUUCUUUUUCCGCUAUUGUUCACGAGUAUCUAUCUAUCUCUAUUAUAUUCUUCUCGCCAGUAAGUACACUCGCCCUCGUCGACUUGCGAUACCCACUGGGAGACCCUUUUGGUUUCUCAUCCCUUGCCCCCCCUUUAGUGAUCUCAUUAGUGGGAGUCGGGAUGGUGCAUGAGACGUGGUAGCUAGCGAGCUCUAGAGGUCCCGAUCUUUCGACAUUGGCUACGAUUAUCUUGAUUCUGGCCCGUUCCUUUUAUUGUUAAUAAAUUAGAAAAUUGUGGUUCAGUUAUUUGCUUUUGUGAUCUUUGGUUUAUAAGUAUUUCAGUCCUGGUGGAUAGUUGUUUAUUUGCGAAUAAAUUGAAUGGUGAUAUUCUUGUGAUUACUAGUGACGUUGUGGUUUUAAUUUUAUGACAAAGUAAUUUUUUACCCCCUAUAGUAGUCGGCUUUACAAAGGAAUGAGUUUCCGAGUGGGCAAUAGUUUUCAAAUGAUUUUUCGGAUUGAUUGAUGUCUUAAUAUUCCAAAAUAAAGUUUCCAGGUGGAAAACACUUUCAAACGAUAGAACUAAUUGUUGUAAUGUGCAUUCGCAUCAUUCUUCGCUUAAGAAGUGUUUAGAGCAUGCAUCAUCUUAAGGAUGACUAGCUGAUUGAUUACGAUGAGCAUCUGCAUUGUGAUUGAUAUUUGUGUGAGUGGAUAAAUGUGUUGCAGUAUAUACUAGUUGUAGUACGUCGUGCAAAUAUAUAAGAGACUCUACCCGUGUGGAUAGGAAAACUCAUGUAUUUGUGGUGGGUCUGUUCUAUCUCAUGGGCAAGUUUAUAUUAAAAAAAAAGGGGCAUUUUUUCGCUGACUAUAUUUUCAAACUAGCCCUUUCUUUAAAAAGGGUUUAAAAGAAGGGUCCCGGGGCGUGACAAGUAUGAUCCAAAGGGUGGAGUUGAUUAAAGUGUAGAUCUGAUGGCUAAAGAAUUGAUAACAAGAAAAAGACCAAAUACUAUUAAUAGUACCCUAGUUCAACUCUCUCUCUCUCUCUAUACAUAUAUAUAUAUAUAUAUAUAUAUAUAUAUAAAAUUCAAAUUCGAUCUUGGUUGAAUUCCUCAAUUCCAAAUAUCCCAGAUAUUACAUUUUCUUUGUACCAAAAUAUCAUAUUCUUUAAUUUCCAAACCGUACAAUAAUAUAGUCAAACUCUACUUUAUAAUAAAUUGCCUAGGAAUCCAACGAUAGGGAAAAAAAGAAGAAGACUAGUAUACAUUUUUAAUGAUUAUUUCUAAUUUUAUAUGUCUCAAGCUGUUAGUUGGUACACUAAUUCAAUAAAAACUAUUUGAAAAAUAAUAUAACUACAUUCAACUUCAAUUUUAAAAAUCGAAAUUGUUUAUUCAGUUAUAUUUUUCUUUAAGAUUUGUUUGUUCUACAUGUGCAGGCUUCGUUUUGUUUUGCUUACGAGAGAGAUAUUAUAGAAUAAUUAUUUAAUUUAANGUAUAGAUAGAGAGAGAGAGAGAGAGAGAGAGAGAGAGAGAGAGAGAACAAGACUGCUAUGCUUUUAGGAGCAUGGAGGCCUCUGUGCUCCUCAGCCGUUUUCGAUGAUGGAAUUUUUGAAUCAACAAUCGACUUCGUUAGAUCUGAUCUAGUGUAUUUAAAAUUUUUAUAAAAUAAUUUUUGCGAUUUUUCGAUACUAUUUAUCUAUUGAUCGAAAGGGUUCAAAAUCAAUAAUUUUUAAUAGGUGCAAUGUCUACUGUUUUCAAGUUUAACGGUGUAGAAUUAUUUAAAUCAGGUGAAAUUUUGAUACAAAAUUCUUUAUACUAUCUACAGCAGGAUCAAUAUCUCUGAUCGAAAAUUUUAGUUCUAUAUUACCAUUUUUUAUAGAAUUUUUUUUCAGCCAUUGAUGUUAAACCCUUUCGAUUGCUAGGUAAAUGAUAUCGAAAAACUGCAAAAAUUAUUUUCUAAAAACUUCAAAUACGCUAGAUUAAGUUUAAUAGAGCCGAUCGUCGAUUCGAAAACUUUAUCAUCGAAAACGGCUCAGAAGCACGGAGGUCUCUGUGCUCCUAAAACACUACAACAAAAACGGUCUAUAGCAACACUUUUAAAUGUCGAUACAGGUCAAAAAAAGUACUGCUGGCUAAAUUACCGACACUUUUAAAAAGUGUUGCUAUAUGUGGGGUCGCUAGGUAUAAAGUGACAGUUAAAGAGUGUCGCUCUAUCCUAAAAAGAGUGCUGCUAAUUUAACAACACUUAUUUAACUAUUUAGCAACCGCCGAAACUCUACCUUGUUGGUUGCGGUAGCGGAGGAGGAUGAGAGAAAGGAAUCUUCGUCUAGAAUUUCAGUCGAUUGAAUGAGAGGAGAAGGAAAAAUGGUAACCGAUUUUUUUUUCUUUUUUUUUUCUUUUCUGUUUGUAAUCGGGCCGAAUGGGCUGGGUGAGGUGGGUUGAGUAGAGUAACCUUUUAUUUUUGAUUUGAUUGGACUUUAUAUUUAGAUAUUAGUAAAUUUUUUUUUUAAGUUUUGGCAUAAAUGGGACACUUACACAAAAGUGUUCCAAACAUGUGUCCCUAUAACAUAAUUCUGUUAUAGUGAAAGUACCGCAGGAGGUCUUUGUGCUCCUAAAAGUACCACAGUUCUGCUAUAUAUAUAUAUAUAUAUAUAUAUAUAUAUAUAUAGAGAGAGAGAGAGAGAGAGAGAGAGAGAGAGAGAGAGAGAGAGAGAGAGUGGCUAGUGAGAACUUUUGACUAAAUAUUAAUUGUAGAAUAUUAUUCAUCCAGUCACAACAGUCCAACCAACAGCAGAACGUAUUUGAAAAGUACAACUAACGAUGAUUCUUUAAGCCAAUGUAUAAAGUAAUCCAUUGCAUGUUCCACCACAAUUGAUCGAGGAUUUGCCAAACACCCAUCCCCUCCUUUACCCCAAUGCAGGGCCAAAGACCUGCACUAUUUUGAGUUUUUUUUUUCGCUCCGGUGACAAUUCAUUGCCAAAAAUAGAAGCUCCAUACUUCUCAAAAAAAAAAAAAAAAAAAGUGCGACGAGAUAAACAUGGAAGAGAUUUUUAAUGGAAAAGCUGGUGUGCUUACCAAAAAAAAAAAAAAAAAAAAAAAAAAACUUUUAUAGAAGUUCAAGUGUGGUCAAUCUCAAGGUUGUGUGAUGUACGUAGAACCAUGAACGUAGAUUCCACAAUGUUCAUUGCAUAUGAACACAUAUCAGGGAAGGUAAAAACAGUAACAUAUUAAUUUGUAGUCAGUGAAUGAUAUUUAUAUCAAGAACUCGUGAAUUCUUUAUCCUUAUAUUCAACAAUACCAUGUGAAUUAAAAUCACACCUAGAAUUACCUGACAAUUUUUAUGAAAAAUUCAGAGAAAUUCCAUGAAACUUUCCGCCCAAAAAUGUAUUUUUUGACUUGCACUAUCCUAGUUAAUACCUUAAAAAUUCCUCCUCUUUUUCUUUGCUAAUUUAAUAUUUGUAAUUUUCAGAGAGAAUUUUCAAUGAAGUGGAGGAUACAGAAGCAAGUGUUCGAGGACCCAAAGAAUAUAGAAUAAAUUUUAUGGGCAUUGUGCUCAUACAGCUUUAUUUGGGGAUUGCUCGGAGUGGCACCUAUCCGAGUCUUUGCUGGGUUAAAAUGGUAUAUAUGGAGACCCCCUUCAAAUGCUUUUGCAGGGUGGCCCGGAUGGGCCUCGAUAACCACACGGCGCCCAUCCAAGCAAUCCCCAAAUAAAAUUGUUUGGACACAAUACCUAUAAAAUUUUUGUCCGAAUAUGGGGAUCUAACAUUUUUUCUUUUUUUCCCAUCUCGUCAAAUCUCAUCUGAAACAUAGCUGGUGGCUAGCAAUAUCCUAGGGCGUGCCACCUUAACUUUAUCUUCCUCCAAUUGAUGUUCCCAAAAUUUACUAGAAAUAAUUAUUGUACCCAAACUGCAAAUAGUUUUAGAAAGGGAAAACUUUGAAAAAAUCCCAUAUGGUUUCGCACUUUUUUAUUUUAGUCCCCUGUAAUUUAAACUGUAUUAAGUUAGUACCCUAUGGUUUCGCCCUUUCUCACUUUAGUACUCUGUGGUUUAAAGUAUAUCAAGUUAGUACUUUGUAGUUUCAUUUUUGUAUCAAGUUAGUAUCCUGUAGUUUCAUUUUUCUCUUUUUAUUAUUCAUUUCGGGGUAUUUUUUUCAUUAAAUCAGUGGUAAAGUUAAAACUAAAGGAUAAUAAAAUAAAUAUUCGAUAAACCUAGGUAGGGUAUCUGUAGUUUUUUGUAUAUAAUUUAACGAAAUAUUAAACCAUAAGGUACUAAAGUGAGAAAAUGCGAAACCACAUGGUACUAAUUUGAUACAUUUUAAAUUACAGGAUACUAAAGUGAGAAAGUUCAAAACCACAGGGGUAUUUGAAGUUUUUUUUUUUUUAAAAAGUAUCUACUUAAUCACAUCUUUAAAUUUAUAAAAAUAAAUAAAUCAUGUAAUCGUAAAUAUCUUAUCCGCAGCGAAAUAUGUUUUCUAUACUAGUUUUUCAUUAUUCUUUAUAAAAUUAUGAAACACAAGAUUUUUUUAUUCUAAAAAAUCACUACAACAGAAUUAGGUUAUAGGGACACAUGUUUGGGACACUUUUGAGUAAGUGUCCCAUUUAUACUAAAAUUUUAAAAAAUAUAUAUUAAUGCCUAAAUAUAAAGCCCAAUCCAACCAAAAAUAAAAGAUUACUCUACUCAACCCACCACACCCAGUCCAUUUGGCCCGAUUAUAAACAGAAAAGAAAAAAAAAAAAGAAGAUAAAUUAAUCAUCAUCUUUUCUUCUCUCUUCACUCAAUCCACUAAAAUUCUAGACGAAGAGCCUUUCCUAUCGUCCUCCUCCGCCACCGCAGCCAACGAGAUAGAAUUUCGACGAUUGCUAAAUGCUUAAAUAAGUUCUGGUAAAUUAGCAGCACUCUUUUAGGUUAUAGCGACACUCUUUAACUGUCACUAUAUACCUAGCGACCCCACAUAUAGCAAUAUUUUUUAAAAGUGUCGGUAAUUUUAGCUAGCAGUACUUUUUUGACAUGUACCUACAUUUAAAGUGUCGCUAUAGACCGUUUUUAUUGUAGUGAAUAAAGUAUCAAACCACGUACAAUUUUUUUUUUAUUCUUUUAUAUCUUAGAAUAGUAGGUUAUCUCUAAAAUAAAAUUCUUUAGUUUUUUAAAUAUUAUUUCGUUACCAAUUCCAAUCUUAGAGUAACCAAAAUAAAAUUAUUUUUUUAUUUCUCUGUAAUUCGGGAUGUAGCCUUAAAAUUUCUGGAACGGAGGAUAACAAUUAAUUCUUUUCUGAUAUUAUUAUCAUAUGAAUAAAGGACCAUCUCAUCUACAGAGAAAAGAGAUAAAAUUGGAUGCUAUGGGUGAAUUACAAGGCCAAUGUGGCUGCCCAACUGGGUGGCGACCAAAACCAGAUAUAUAUUUUACAUUUUAUCUCUUUUAAAAUAAUUUUUUUUCACUAGUAAUAUUAAUAUAAUUAUAUUAAAAAUUAUGCCAUAAAGUGUAUAGGCUCCGGUGGGCUGUUUCUAAUAGCACUAAGCAAGUUUUGUAUCAUUUUUUUUUAAAAGAUAUAUGUAGUAUGCUAUUCGAUUCCUUUAUUUAAUUUAAAAAUAAAUUUAGUUAGAAAUAUGAAUCAAUUAGGAUUCGAACUUGGGACCUCAGAUACCAACUAUCAAGCCCUUUGCCACUUGCGCUAGAAAUAAUUAGUAUUCCUUUGAUCAUUUUCAUCCACUAGAUAAUACUAUUCAACUAACUAUCCGCCCAACGCUAAUGAAUCACUAUCAUUCUAGCUGUACAUCUACAAGCACUGAAAAUCUAAUAAUUUAUAAACAUAUGAAUUGGGGAUACGGUCGCAUCACUUCAGUGGAGUAUUCAUAGAGCGACACGUGUCGGCGGGUGAGAGGAGCGCGAGGGCGGGCGCGGUUGCGAGCGGACGGCGCGGGAGCGAGCGAGCGGCGCGAGCGGGCUCAGGCGGGCGGGCGCGCGUGGGCGCGGGCGGGCGCGCGGGCGUGGGCGCGGCCGGCGCGGGCAGCGAGCCGGCGAGGUGCUGGGGUGCCGGCGGCGCGGGCAGGACCCGAGCCGCGGCCGUGGGAGUCCAGAAAAAAAAAAAAUUACAGUUUUGUCGGGGCUCACACUUCUCCUUUGCACGCGUCCACGAGGUUAGCACACCUCGUGACCGCCUGAGGAGAGAGAUCCAGCUCUCUCUCCCUCUUUGAGAAUUUUAUAUAUAUUUAUAUAUUAUAUAUAUAUAUUUAUAGAAGAGAGAGAGAGAGAGAGAGAGAACUAGGCUCCUAUGCUUUCGAAAGUACGGGAGGCACGUGCUUGUAAGUUGUUUUCGAUGAUGGACAUCCGAUUCUGCGAUUCGGUUCCGUUAAACUUGAAUCUACGUAUUGGAACUAUCUAGAAACCAAAUUUCAUAAUUUUUGAUUUCGUUUGUCUAGUGAACAAGUAGCCUCAAAAUGAACGGCUGAAAAUGAAAAUUUCAUAAAAACAGUGAUAAAUUGAUUCAAAUUUAAAUCGAAGAUCGGAAGUAUUGAACUUGCUACGAUUUAAGUGAAAUUUUCUAUUAAAUUUUCAUGUAAUUUGGAUACUUCUACACCGUUGAACUUAAAAAUGUGCUACAUCGACGUUAAAAUAGGCAUUUUUAGACCUUUUGAUCGCUAGUAAAUGAUGUCAAAAAAAUCUAAAAUUUGGUUUCUACAUUGUAUUCCAAUAUGGUAGAUAUACCUAACGGAGCGGAUCGUCGAAUCGAACGCCUAUCAUCGAAAACAACUUACAAACACGGACCUUCCCGUACUUUCGAAAGUACGGGAGACGGACUCAUAUAGACAAGGCUCCUAUGCUUGAAAGUACGGAAGGCCCCUGCUUUAAGUUGUUUCGAUGAUGGACAUCAUAUAUAAUAUAUAUAUAAUAUAUAUAUAUAUUAUAUAUAUAUAUAUAUAUAAUAUAUAUAUAAUUUUAAUAUUUUAUUUAAAUAUAAAUAAUUUAUUUUAAGAAUCAAUAAAGAUAGUAUUUUUAUUUUAAUUUAUUUUAUUUGUAAGUUCUACCAAUAAGAAAAAAAUAUUACGUAUUUUGAAUAUACAAUGAGCUUUUAUUUAUUUUAAACUGAUUAUUUAUUUUAGACCACUCUAAUCUCUCUCUCUCUUUUUUAUUUUUCUUUCUAACACCCUUCUUAUUUUUGAGUGUUAUUGUCUACAUACAAAAAAUAAAUUUUAAUUUUAAAAUUUAAAUUUAAAUUUAUUGUUAAUGAUUUUUGAAUGUGUUGCUUAGCUUUAUAUAUUUAGUUAGUAUAUUUAAUGUAAGUGUUGUAAUUAAAUAUAUUUAAAAAAUUUAAUUGUAGUGUUUUUUCUAAAAAAGGAUUAUUUAUAUCUAAAUAAUUGUAAAAUUAAAAUUAAUAUUUAAUGCAUACAAUCUAAAAUAUUUAAAACUUAGGCAUAAAUAAUUAUAUAUUUUAAAGUUUUAUUAUAAUUAAAAUAUAAACUUAUGAAUUUACAAUCUGAACCCGAACGAGUUUUAAGAUCAGUAUUAUUAUUUGUAAGCAAAACUUACAUAUAUGAUACAAUUGAUUACAUGUGAAAAUCUAUUUAAAAUUUUUUUAUUUAAUUAACUAAAAUAUAUUAUUAUUUACUUUAUAAAAAUAUAUUUAAUUAUUUAUUAAUUAUUUAUAAAGAAUUUAAAUGAAUCCGUUACGUAGCACGGGUUCCUUAACUAGUUUGACAAGGAUUUAUGGUCACAUAAUUCCACUCCAUAAAGUUAGCGCUAUUUGAACUUUGAUAAAUAUUGAUAUAUCAAUUACCUAUCCCACUCUACACACUAGUGUGGUGGUGGGACCCCAUGCGAGACUCUUUAAUUUGUCGUUCCAUAAAAUAUAUAAGUUUGUACUUAGUUCAGGGAUUUAAAUAACUGAGUUCAAAUUCCAUUACAUUAAAAUUUUAAUUUAGAAUAAUUUAUUGUGAUAUAAUAUAUAUAUAAAUUUCGUUGAAGAUAAUAACAUUCUGAUUUUAAACGCACAAAUUUUGAUUUUGAUUUUUUGAGUCCCAUACUUCUAAGCAACAACGUGAAUCAACGGCCCGGCCCUUUUAGAGCAAUCUUAGAGGCCCAAGUUUAUUACUGGGCCGGAUUCGUUAUUCACUGUAGAAGCCCCACUCAUUUUGGGCCUAGUUGUUUCUUUUUAUGACCUAACUUUUAAUGGACCUAAUGUGAGGGAUAAGCGUACGUGGGCUGAGUUGAUGGUUAUACGGGCCACAUCCAAGCCCAUUAGGCUCAAAUAUUUAACCCAAACAUAAGCAUCCAAUCCAUGUGGCCAAUUCCUUCUUUCCAAAGUUGUCUUCAUUUUGAACCAUGCUUAUUAUUAUUAUGAUUAUUAUUAUUUAACUUGCUCGUAGGCUCGUAUUAAUGAUUUGGUGCUAUCACGAGCAUCUAUACAAUCUAUCUAUUUGGGACUCUAUCCGAUCCUACGUGGCGCCUCUACGUUUGUUUCAUUCAUCCGAGCCUCUCUCUCUCUCCCUCUUCUCCCACCGAGCCUCUCUUCCUUUUCCUCCACUGCCAGCUGGUCCUCUCUCUUCACACCCUCUCUCUCUCUCUCUCUCUCUCUCUCUCUCUCUCUCUCUCACCCCCUGUCUCUCUCUUUCCCCCUCUGUCACGCCCCGGGACCCAGCGGAAGCCCGCCCGGCACGUGCCCAGACCCGCCAUACGUCUAAAACAUAUAAGGCGUCUAAAAACAACAAUAAUAAAAGCAAUAAUAAAAGACAUCUAGGAGUAUCAGAGCAUAAUAAAUGUCUAAAUGCUACAACAAGGGAUAAGGAUAAAACUGUAAAUCCACUAAAUAAAACAUAAAGUGAUACGAGAAAAUCCCACAUACAAGUGCUAUAGGUAGAUACAUAGGUAGUCUCUAUACAUGGAUACCAAAAACCUCUUACUCUCUCAACUACAAAAGAAAGAGUAAACCACCUAGGCAAAAUACCGCUCCUCGCUAGCUAGCUAAGCGAUCCCCUUGCCGCGAUCCCGUGCCUCGCGGGUGUCGAGGCCUCUGAAAGUAUAACCAUGAAAACAGGGGCGUGAGAACUUAUUAAAAAAUAGUUUCCAGUGGACAAUUACUUGACUUCAAGUGAAUGCACCGAUGAGGCCCAAAGCUAUCAAAAGAUGUCAAGUGACUAUAAAAUAGAAAGCGAAAGCUAAGUAAAAUGUAACUUACUACAACAGAUAUCUCUACUUAGCAUAAUUCAGCAUAAGUAUGAAGCCAACUAUGCAUGAAGUAAAAAGUCUCCAAACUAUCAAAUGUUCACAUCGAAAUAGUAAAAUUCGUGUUUGAUAUUCUAGUCAAUGUCCAAGUAUCACUAAGUCAUCAUCUGAUCACAUGUCAUUAGAUGAAUACUUCAAGUUCAAAUUAAAGAGACCUACCCGAAGCUGUCUUAUGGCCUCUGAGACCCACCCGUUAGCUGUCGCGCGGUGCCGAGGCCUAAUGCCGUGGUAGCAUCAUCCCCACCUUAGAAUGAAGACACUGUCCACGCAAUCCUUCGGCGCCCAUAUCUCCGCACGGAUAUGAUCACGAUGUGCUAUCUCCGGAAGUGCCGGUGUAGCGAGCGACCCUCACAAGCAUGUGCGAAUGAGCAGCGAAUGGCUAAGUAGCAAUAUGAUCUGCUUGCAAGUACCAAGUCCUCAUGUCUAAUAACAUGAAAUAUGUCAUUAUCUUAAGCUGCCUAUCCCUAUGUCAUCAUGUCUCUAACAUGGAAUCUUUGUUAAAAGGCGGAUAAGUAGUGCUAAUCAUAUGUCUCUAUAUUGCGUUUCAUGUUUAGUCUAGUUUCAAGUGCCCUUUGAUAACACUCUUGUUCUCUGUGCACAGAGCAUGCAACCUAAUGUUCCAAAGUACAUAUUCCGAAGUAAAUAAUCUCUCAUAAGUGAUGUAUUUUUCACUUGCAAAAUAAACAUCUUUCGCAAUAUCAUGCAUCAUACUCAUAUAACUCUACUAUAUAGUGAAAUUUUAUAAUACACUAUGGCAUGGCAAUUUAUAAGUGCUCUAAAAUUCAUAUAAAAUUCCAUUUAGCAUAAGAAAUAAUUAUAAAAAUAUUUACAACAAAUAGAAAGAGAAGCGGUCCAUUUCGCCCCAUAUUCCACGAAGCCAAACCUCACCGUCGUUCAACCGAAAGCUUUCGUUUGCCCAGACGAAGGCGGUCCACACACACUACGCCUAAGUAUUCCUAAAAGGUCAUGAAAUAAGUGUCAUCUAGUCGAAAGAUAUACUCUCAAGUUCAUCAUUACCAACUACAAGUAGCGGCUUGGAUAAACUCACAUCAAUGAAAAACUCCUCUCUUAAUCUCAAAUGGAAAGGUAAGUCUUCCAUAUCUAACCUAAAAACGGCUUCCCAACACCAUCAAAAAGGUUUUCAAAAGCCUCAAAUAAAAAAGCCCCAAAUCUAAUCCUAAGAACCCAAUCCAGGGUUUUCAUUCUAAGUAAAACCUAGAAAAAACAUGUAUCAAGCUAGAGAUUACAUGCUACCAACCUACAAGUAGGAGUCUUCGAUCCAACGUCAUAACCAAGUAGGCGUAAGUUUUUGAUCCUCCAAAAGCUCUCAACCGCAACUCGAAGCACCAAAGGUGAGAAAAAAAUGGGAAGAAGAUGAUGCUCCAAAGCUCGCAAGCCAGCUCCUUCCUCUUACAUUUUUUUUUCUUAAUUUCUUCUUCUUCUCUCUUCUCUUCUUCUUUCUCUUAGAAUUGGGUAGGAAGUGAAGAAAUAGGAGAGAAGAGGGUGAAAUGGCCAAUAGGACAUUAAAAGCAAACAAAAUCCACCUAGUUGCCUCAAAAAACUUCUUAAUCAGCCCGGUCUGGCAGUUUUCGCACCAGAGGGACGUCUCCCCGACCUGGCAGACCGAUCUCUUAGACCUGCCCCCCGAAAAAUCCACGUAUCGGGAACGGUCUCUCCCAUGCACGGGACGCAGUCUGCUCCCAGCGUAGACGCGCUGGGGACCGCGUCUCGAUGCAAGGGACGGUUGCCUCGCUGCAUUGCGCAGCACUGUUACACUGGGGGACCGUCUCUACUAUCAGGGACCGGUCCCUGAGAAGUAAAACUCUCAGGACUCUGUUCAAAACUCUCGAGAUUCGAACUUUUUAGCCCGGUAUACCAAUCGACACCCUCCCCAAGUAUUGGAAAGUUCGAAUACAAAUUCGAAAAUCGAAACCUCGCAAAAAAAAAUUUUGCAAAGGUUCAGUGCGCUACAACCCUCUUUCACAUCCUUUUCUUUCUUCCCCCGCCUUCAUUUCACACCCUCUCGUCUUUCUCUACCCCCAUCUCUUAUCUCUUCUCUUCACACGCCUCUCUUUCUCUCCCCCCUUUUCUCUCUCUCUUCCUCCUUCCUAACACUUUCUCUCUCUCACCCACCCUCCUCUUUCCUCUCACUCGGUCUUCUCUCUCUUCCCCACUCUCUAGAUCCUCUCUCACCCGUCUCCUCGCUGGGCGCUGGGGUGUGGCGGCUUGAGGAGGGCUGGCCGCUUGGUGAGAGCGGGGGCCCGAGCGCUGAGCCCGAGCCGAGGCGCCGGGCGCGAUGGCACUUGGGGGCCGGCACGGGCACGCGGCCGGGUGGGGCGGUUCACGAUCUGCAUCUUUCCGUGCGCGGCCAAGCGGGCGAGUGCGAGUCAGCGCGACGCGGGAGCGCCUUCGGUUGCCGAGAGGGCGGGCGCGAGCCGGCGCGGUGCGUCGCCGCGCAGUGUGCACCAGUGUGUGUUGGUCGUCGAGGGCGCGGGAUGCGCGGAGUGGCCGAAGGUGGCCACGGUGCGGGGGCACGAGGACAGAGGGGCGGCGGCGGGACGCUGCACUCUUUCCCCCUCUCCCUGCGCGACGGCGGCGCGAGUGGUCGGGCCGGGAGCAGAGGUGCGCGCGUAGCGCAGCGGGACAGGCGGGCGCGGGCUCCGGGCGGGGCGCGCGACGGGCGCGCGCGCCGGUGGCCUUAUUUAUUAUAAUAUAUAUAACUUAUAUAUUAAUUAUAUAAUAUAUUAUAUAUUUUAUAUAUAAUAUAAUAAUACUUUGGAGUAGCUUCUUUUGCUAGAUCUUCUUUUUUGGUUCUCUCUCUUUCCUUUUGGGUUAAACGUGUGUGUGUUGAUUGUGUGAGAGACGAGAGAGCAAGCGGGAGCGAGAGAGAAAGAGUGAAACAAAGGUUGAGACUGGGUUGGAGGCAAGGGAGAGGAGAGGGAGGACCGCAUAUGGAUCUCCACAAGCAAAGGAUAGCGUGCCAGUCUGCAUCUCUGUCAGUUCAUGCAAUUGAGGUCGCGUGAAGCAUCUCACUCUCAUCUUCUUUUUCUUUCCUCUUUUUUUUCUUUCUUAUUUUUUUUUUUUUUCAAACAACAGUAACUUAAGUCUCAAACCCUUCUGAGUUUAACGCAAUAAUUAAUGGGGUUUUUUGUUAGGAAAUUAAACAAAUUGUCAAAAUAAAUUUUUUGUCAUUGUUUUUAGAGUUUUGAUUGCGAUCUCAAAUUGUGCGGGUUAUCGACUGCCUUAUACAUCUCUCUCUCUCUCUCUCUUUCUCUCUGUAUUUGAUGAAAUAUUAGUCAAAAUUUUUCUAUAUAUUAAACUGCUAAUUAUUAUGUAUGCUAAUAAAUACGGUGGCAUCUAUGAAAUACUAUCUAUAUACUUAUGUGUAGAGUUGUUGUGCUAUCGAAAGCAUAAGGCAGUCGGUAUUUUCAAUUUUUUAAUUCUUGGAUAAAAAAUUAUGAGAUCAGAUAAUAAUAGUCCCCUUUAAAUUUGAUUGGUCCUGAAUAAUAAUAUUUUACAAAAGCCCAAAAUAAGAGCAAAAUUGCUAUUUAUUUUUUUUAAUGUAAAAUUAACAUUUUUUCUAAAUUUUUUGUAUUUUUUAUCUCUUUCUUUAAUUGUUUUCUAUUAAUUUAUAGAAUAAAAAAACGCAGGAGCGUGGGGCGGCCCACGGUGUGGCGCGGACACGCUGGAGGGCGGGGCGGGACGCGGCGCGGACAAUGCUCUUUUUGCCUUUUUCCCUCUCUCUUCUCUCUUCAAUGUUCAAAUUAUUUUUUAUUUCUCUCUAUUUAAAUUUUUAAUUUUUUUUUUUAGCUCUUUAAUUUUUUAAAAUUUAAAAUUUAAAAUUAGAUUUAAAAAUUAAAAAAUUUAAAUUUAAUUUUUUAAAAAUAAAAUAAUAAUAACAUAAAUAUAGAAAUAUAUUAGUUUGUUCAAAAUAUUAAAAAAAAUGCGUAAAUCUCCUUCACUAGUUCCGGUUUAAUUCUGAGUGUAUAUUAUACAGCAUUUUUAACCAAUCCCAUUAGGGUUGCCACGUGGGCGUCUCUGGUUGGCUUGCAAGGGUGUAUAGGCAAAUUGAUCCUGGGAGAGCGUGGGGGUAAAGCCGAGAGAGAGAGAGAGAGGGGUUUGAGAGGAGAGGGAGAGAGAGGAGAGAGAGGCCAAGGGAGGAGAGAGAGAGGCCAAACGAGGAGGAGGAGGAGGAGGAGGAGGAGGGCGAUGUGGUGCCAAUCGUGCAGGGGGGAGUACGAAGAGGAGGAGCGCGGGACGUGCCAAGGAGUGCUACGACGAGGCGAGCGAGACGAAGGCAGGAGCUCAAAGCGCUGAGAUCGACGACCUCAAGUCCAAGGUUCGAGUUCCUCCGCCUCGCCUCCCACUCCCACGAUCCCAAGCCACCUCCCACUAUUUCCACCGUCCAUCCCUGCCUCCCUCCUCCUCCUCCGUCACUCCUACCCGACCUCCUCCUCCACGCUUCCUCCUCCUCCUCCUCCUCCGCCGCCGCCGCCGCCCCUCCCGUCCCCGCCCACCGCGCCGUCCUCGUAAGGAAACCCUAACUCUACCUCUUCGAUUUCUUGUUCCUUUUCUCGGUCGCGCGUUUUCUUGCGUUGAGUUUGGUCUCUUGGACGGUUAAAAACGCGAACUUUGACCGAUUGGGGGCGCGUGAGAUUGGAAAUUAGGAUUGUUGAUCUGUGGGUUCUCCUCUCGGGGUCUGAUGGCCUCGUAAUGUGCGUUUUUAGUUGUGAAUUUCGAUGGCAUUUGAACUUUAGGUGAUGAGUUGCUUUGGAUGGCUCGGUCACCUUCGCUAGGGUUUCUUUGAUCUCCUGUUAUUUAUCUGCUCGAUCUUGUGUCGGUUGCGUUCUUUUUGGUGGAUCGAAUGCUGAAAAACACCAACUUGUAGCGAUUGGGGCGUGUGAAAUUGGAAGUUAGGGGAUUUUUGAUUUGUGGGUUGUCGCCACGGGUGGUGAAAUUGAAAGGUAAGUUAGAGUUUGCAUAGCCAAUUGCAGAUGAUUCAGGUUUAUGUGCCAUCUGGGACUGGAUGUAAGUAUUGAUGGACGGAGAAUUUUAUUGUGCACGUGUAUUGCAUAUUGAGAUUUGUGGGGCGCAUGUGAAGCACAAAAACAAACCAUUAACACCUUAAUUUCUCUAUUUCAAUUGUGAUUAGUAGUUGAGAUUACACUAGGUUAAAAUUCUUUUGAAACUUUGAUUAAAGAAUUUGGGUGAGACUAUUGUUGAAUUUUGUUUAACAGAGAUUAAUUAAAUGGAGAUUGAACUAGUUCAUUUUAUCAGAUAGGAGACUAAAUAGAUAAGAAUGUGUUAUGAUAAGAUAUUUAACAGGAAUUAAAUAGUUGACUGCAAAUUUUACAUAAAACUGCUUCACUUAUCAAUUUUUUAAUGCAUCUUUAGAAAAAAUCUCUGACAAACAUUCAUCCUAGCUGUCUUUUAUUGAUGGACGUUCACUAGGUUUUCAGUAUUUGAUCUGAUUUUAAAGGGUAGAAGUGCUAAAAGUAGAUAGUCAUUAUGUUUAAUUGUGUGUUUUUUCUUAUUUCUCAAUUUUGUUUGGUCACAGAAGUAGGUGGGACAACAUAUUUUGUAGUUCUGUUUUGCCAGGAAAUUAGAUAAUCAAUGUAAAAAUGUAUUUAGUUGGCUGGCUGAAAUGUAGUGUUUAUCAAGAUUAUUGUAAUCUUUACGUCUUCUAUCUCUUCUUCAGUAAGGUUGUCAACGAUUGUUAGGUAGUAUAUACCAGGAUUGUUCUAAUCGUUACGUCUUCGUUCUAUUCUUCAGUAAAUUGGUUGACAAUUCUUAGGACGACGCUUUUACCAUUUGGUGGAACAGAAAUAUUCUGGGGGUAAAGGCAUUUUAUUUCUUUUUCUGAAUGUAUCAACUCUGCUUCUUGACUCUUCUGAAGAAAAGUAGCACCUGUUGACUUGGCAGCAAUGAGAAACCUAUAUUUCCACUUAAGUUGAUAGGGGGAUUUCAAUUAGAGGAUUGAAAAGAUGAAUGAUUUUGAAUUUGUAGAUGUUGAUUUCAUCAAUUUCUGCAUACAAACAGAAAGCAUGAGCAUUACAGUUGAUUGUUCAGUUCACAUAAAUUCGACACUGCAUGUGUUUGACCAUAUUAAAGCUCUUCAAAUUAAACACUUAAAUAUAAUUGUCAUUUAAAAUGUUCUUAAUAUCUUUAUGCAUGUUGGUUUUUCUCACAAUAGAGGACUACAGAGAAUGUGUUUAACUAAGAUGCUUUCAAUCAAGACUCUGUGAUGCAUCGUUUGAAAAGGCGCAAGGCGCAAAAAGGCGCAAAGGCCUUAUGGAGUCUGGGCGCGAGGCGCGCGCCUCAAGAAGGUGAGGCGCAUAUCUAAUAAAAAUAAAACAUUCUUAUCAAGCCUAUUUUAAAUGGAUAUUUUAUGUUAAAAAAUUCUAAUGUGGCUAUACAAAAACAAAAUAAUCAUAAAAAAGUAAAGAAAUCGCAUGUAUAAAUGUUCUCAGCCUAAAAAUAAAAUUAUGUUUCAACUUUCAACUUAUAUGCGCUUGCUGCUGCGUCUUUCUUCUUACCACUACCACUUAUUGCCAUUGGGGUAGAAGAGAGAACGACCAAGAGAAAAGGAAAAGAAAGCGUUCAAUUAGGAAAUUUUUUAAAAAAAUUUUCUCAACAUUUUGAAUAUAUUGAAGAAACUGAAAAUCCGAAAACCCAAACCUUAGAUCCAUUAAACGUAAAUAUCACGAGGCGCGUCUGAGGCGCGUGUCUCACUCCUUGAGGCGCUGAGACUCACGCCUCGCGCCUAGGCACUGAGGUGCGCGCCUGAUGCGCGCCUUUUCAAACACUGUUGUGAUGUUAAUGUUGAUGGAGCUUUUAUGAAUAUCUGAUAUGAACGUGUUAAAUUACCUGUUAGCUUCAUUUACACGUUAUUAUUAUUUCCUUUGCUGCUUUAUGUAGUUUGAAGAAAUAGGGCUAUUGUGUUUAUGAGCGAUAUGGUUAUUAUCAUUUUAAAUUUGUUACCAAAAGUUGAAUAGACCAUAAAAAUAUCAAAAGUUAGUUAGAUCCUAGCUUCUGCUUGCUUUAGCAUGUAGAUAACUUGAAUCAAGUUGGGUAUGAGGAUUUAAAUAUUUUACGGUACUAUUGCUUUUCGACGUCUAACUAACACUUCGUCCAUUUAAUUGUUUGAUCAGUGUAUUUAUGUCUUCCUAGUUGUGCAACCGGAGUGUUUUAUAUGUGUAUCUUUGAAUUUGGUUAGUUUUUGUAAAAGCAAGCAUUAAUACUGAAGCUGAUGAAGCUCCGAUAAUCUAUUGCUAUGUGAGAUCGAUUUGGUUAACUUUAUGAAAGUAAAAAAGGAUGUAGAAAAGAACAAUUCAUUUAAUUCCAAUUUGUAGAAGAGAAGAAUUAAUGUAUAGAAGAGAAGAGUUGAGGUUAGAUGCGGAUAACUGUUUCCUGUGGAGUCAAAAAAAUUCAGUCGCAUAUUUGCAUGUGAUCACAGUGUAGUUGAUAUUUGCUGCAACUGUAGAUGAUAGGAGUUAAAUUCAUCCUUUAGAUGUAGGAUUUUAUUUUUUGGAUAUAUGUACCUUUUCCUUUAGUGAUGAUUUAAAAUUUUGUGUGAUUGUAAUUUAGGACACAACUUUAUAGAUGACUACGAAUGUGAAAGAAUCUUCCUUUAUGUUCUGUAGUAGGUGUUUGGAAAUGAUAUCCAUAUGGGCUUGAUAGGUCUAGAAGCCACUUAUAAAUUUGCUAUAACAGUUGGGGCACGUUUGUUAUGGGGUUAAAAGGGGUGAGAUGCUAUUUCUGUAAACUUUCACUCCGGUUAACUAUGUUUGGUACGUGGGGUGAACCUUUUAGAAAGAUUAAAAUUUCAUUUCCUUUUAACCUCCAACAAUACAAAUUUGUUGACCUAGAGGGGACUAGGUUAAAGGAAGGUUAAAGAAGGUGAAACAGGUGUUUAUUUUCUCUCCACUCACUUUUUUCUUCUUAUUUUCUCUCUAACUUUCUCUCUCUUAACUUUCUUUCUCUUUAUUUUCUCUCUCGUUCCUUUCUUUUUCUCUCUUGCUUUCUCUUCACCUUCUCUCUUCUUUCUCUCGUUCCUUUCUUUUCUCUCCUUGCUUUCUUCACUUUCUCUCUCUUCAGUCUCUCCUAGUUUCUCUCUUCACUUUCUCUCUCCUCUCUCAUCCUUGCGUUUUCUUCUUUCCCUUUCUCUUUUCGCGUCCCUCUCUCUCAUCACAUUCUCUGUCCUUAUUUGAUCUCUACUCGGUUUCUCUCUUUUCACUCGAUUUCUCUCUUCACAUUCUCUUCUUAUUCUCUUUAUUUUCUCUCUCCUUAUUUUCUCUCCCUUCACUCUCUCUUUACUUUUUUUUUUCUUCUCUCCUUUCUCUUCACUUUCUCCUUAUUUUCUCUCCUAACUUUCUCUCCAUUAUUUCUCUUCUUACUCUCUUCACUCUCCUUAUUUUCUCUCUUUACUUUCUCACUUAUUCUCUCUCUUCACUCUCUUCUUAUUUUCUCGCUCCUCACUCCAUUUUUUCUUCUUAUUUUCUCUCUCCUUAUAUCUUCACUUUCUCACUACGUAUUUUCUCUCUCUUCACCUUCUCUCCUUAUUUUCUCUCUUCUUUUUUUCUCUUUUUCUGUCAUUUCUCUCUUCUUUCUUUAUCUCCCUUUUAACUUUUCUGUUCUUAUUUUCUCUUUUUUAUUUUCGAUCUCUUCACUUGCUCUCUCAUCCCUCUCUCCUUUCUAUUUUUGCAUUCCCUCUCCUCACUUCUCUCUCUCCUUAUUUUCUUUUAUCUCUCCUUAAUUUCAUUCAUGACAUGACCAAACAUUAGUAAAAGAAUUUUUUUUUUUUUAUACUCCAUGAAGUGUUACAGGAAGAAUGCUUAGCCCCCCAACUUUUAAUCCAUACCAAACUAAACCUUGGUGUCAAUAGCAGUUGAUUAUUAUUGCUCUUAGGGCUUGUUUGGUUCGUCCAUUUUGGACACGGAAUGGGAAUCGGUUUGAUCAAAUCCGGUUAAUUUUGUUUGAUUCGCAGGAAUCGGUUUCGGAUUCCUAUUCCGGACCGGAAUGGGAAUGGCCCAAUAGCUUUCAACUUGAUUCUGGUCUCCAAGCCCGGAUUGAAAUUUCAUUCCCAAGCCCACCCACACCUCUCCCUCAAGCCCAGCCCACGCCAUCAAUCUCCAUCCCACGCAUCCUCUCUCCUGUACGAUCUCUCCACCCUUUUCUCAUAAAAAAAAUCCUCUCUCAAAAACCCUAUCCCUAACCCUAAAGGCGUCGCGAAGACAACGCUGCAGCGUCGUAGGGUGGCGCGGCGGCGAGUCUCAGCGGAGCAGCAGGGUGGUGCGGCGGCGAGAAAUAAUUUUAUAUAUUUUUUAUAAUUUUUUUCUUACAUAAUUUUUUUAAAUAAAUUUGAUAUUUGUUUGGCAAAGCUCUAAUUUGAGAAUAGUAUUAAAUUUUUCAUAAAUUUUAAAUAGGUUUAUAGACUUAUAUUUGAGAGUAAAAUUAGUAUUAUGUUAUUCUAUUAUUUUUUAGUUUAUACGAACUAAACAAUAGAAUGAGAAUAAUUCAUUCCAAUUCCCAAUCCAUGAAUGAACCAAACAUCUAGGGGAAGUGGGCCAAUGCAAUUACCAUUCCAAUUCAUUCCCAUUCCAUUAUCCAUUCCAAUUCCAAACUUGAACCAAAGAAGCCCUUAGAGCUGAUUCUUGAGUUCUUCUAGUCAUAGAUUUUCUUCUUCACUAAAUUGGUGGGCCCUUUUCAAGUUUUAUGUUUUGUGCAUUUUUCAUUCAUGUUCCCCAUUUAUUAGAUCUCUCAGAAUUUCUCCAUUAAUGCUCCGUUUUACUCGAAGUGAUAAGUAAUUCUCUGUUUUUUUUCCUUUUGUUGACUAUGCGUGUGGCAGUGAAUAGCUGACGUCUUUCAGUUUCAAAUAUGAAAAAAAGUAUCCUCUACAACACGUCUUCUCCCUUCUACUUAAUUUUCGAUACCUUACGCACUUAUGGUAAAAGUGAGUUUAGUUUGCGUUUAGCACCUCACCAAUAUGGAUCAGGAGCUUGCGGCUUGUUGUGUUGCUAGAGCCAUUGUUGCUGGAGCCUUGCAUGUCAAGGUGCUAAAAACUAUUCUAGCACAGCACUAAUGGGCAUGCCUAGGGAUGCAAACGGGGCGGAUCUGGGGGCGGGAGCCCUGCGCCGUCUCCCGCCCUGACUAGCAAAAUCCUGCCCCGCCUCCUGCCCCGAAUCCGUGACGGGUUAAAAAAUACAUCCCAUAAUCCGCCCCGCCUCGUAACCCGCCUCCCGCCGGCGCUCCGAAUCCGCCCCGCCAACUAAUAUUUUUUAUAAAAUUAUAAUAUUAUUAAUAUUUUGUAAAAUAUAAAUUAAUAAUUUUUAAUAAUAGUAUAUAUAUAUUUUAACAAUAUCAAUUAUAAAAAUUAAAAAUAUCAAUCACAAUUCAAAACAAAAUUCAAAAGUUUCAAAUACAAUAGAAAUGAGAGUACGAACUUAUUUGUAUUUUAAACUUUUUUUGUACAUACAUUAUUUUUGAGGAAUAUUUUUUUAAAAUAUAAAUGAUUUUUGGGGCGGAUCAUGGCGGGGCGGAUUCGGGGCGGGUCAAAAUUUCUCCCGUUUCCUGCCUCGAAUUCGUCUCGGAUGGUAAAAUUUAUCCCGUUUCUUGUCCCGAAUCCGUUUAUUUUCUCCCAUUUAUUGCCCCCGUCGGGGCGAGAGCUCCACCAACCCGGAUCUGUUUGCAUCCCUGGGCUUAGUCAUGAAUACUACUACGUAGUAUAUACAAGUUUCUAGUACUAGUCUUUGACUACUGUUCCCACGAGUCAGUCAAUAAUGCAGAUAUAAGUUUGAUGAUACUUGUUACUAUAUUGCUCCCAAAAGUCUUCUCCACUUUGCACAUUUUGCACGUUAGUCUCAAGUUUUCUUAACGUCAGAGUUUAGGAAUUUUCCGAUAAUACACAUGUAUAGAAACUAUUUAUUAACAGUGUGCUAACUUAAGAACAUAUUUGUGUUAUAUUCUUUUUAAUAUACCAAUUGAUGCUAUUCAAUUAUCUCUUAAUCCCAUAAAUCAAACCCAUUACUCAAUUCUCACAUGUUAGCACUCGUUCAAAAUAAAUAGUCACUAUUCAUGCAACCCAAAGAUCCAAAUAUCAUAGAGCAUUACUAUUCAGAUAAAUUUGGAACUCCUGUUUGAGGAUAUAAGAUGGAGGGCGGAAGUGACUAGAUUGAUGGAGAUGGAGAUUUGGAGGAGAAGAGACCCUUUUUUUUUUUCCACAUAAGAACUUUUCCCUUUCUGUGAGUCUUAUACUAUCCUGGGAUAAAAAUACAUUGCAAAAGAAUUAGAAUCAGAAUAGAACCUGAUAGUUGCUGGCGCGUACAGUGGGAUGGUACGCAAAAUCUUCAAGUUUGAAUCUUCUUUGAUUGUUGAUUUUGUCUUUGAUAACCAAUAUUCUGAUUGUUAUGUUAAUCAUACUUUAUGUUUAGUUAACUAUGUUGUUGGCUUUGUCCCUCUUGUGCUCUGGGUAAGCAGUUAAUUGUGAUUUUCUAUUCGAGAGGCUAAAAGUUCUAAAUCUCUGACUGUAGUGGAAAUCUGAAACAAACAAGUUUCUGAGACCUCAAAAGCAAGAGCUCCAAUUUCAGGCUUCUGCUUCUAACUUCAGCAACAAGCUGCUGGGGUGAUUUUAUAAUGAAAAGCUGUUUAAGCUUCUUUCAUAUGCUCUCUCGAGCAAUAAUUCUGCAUAGCUUGAGCAGGCAAAAAGACCAUUUGUAUGUAUUCAGGUGAAACUCAACUACCUUUGCUUGAUUAGAAUAGUGGUUCUUACCCUUGAUGUUCUUCUCUCUCGAGUUAUUGGCAAUUCUAACUAUCAAAAAUUUGAACCUUUUUUGUGUGCGCGUGUGAAUAAUCAGAUCAGCAGGUCUCCCGUUUUUAAGGCAAUGCUGGAGAACGAGAUGGAGGAGAGCCGGAGUGGCAUAAUAAAAAUCCACGACGUCUCCUACGAUGUGCUCCGCUCGUUCGUCCACUACUUGUACACCGCGGAAGUGCUUCUGGAUGAGCAGCUGGCGUGCGACCUUCUGGUGCUAGCAGAGAAGUACCAAGUGAAGCACCUCAAGUGCUUCUGCGAGAAGUUCAUGACGUCCAAGGUGAACAACGACAAUGCCCUUGCAAACUACGCCUUUGCCCACCGGCACAAUGCGAAACCGCUACUCGAGGCGGCCCUUUCGUUGAUAAUGGACAACAUGGCCACUCUGACCGAGAGAGUAGAGUACAAGGAACUCGUGGACGAGGACCCGCGGCUUGUUGUGGAGAUUUACGAGGCCUAUCUCACUAGGCAGGUAAAUACGGCCGCCAAAGAUUCACGGCUGGCACCAUAACAGGGAGACACAAAAAGAAGGGGCAUGUGUGAAUCAUUAUCUUGUAUACAUUCCACCUCCAAUUGCUGAUUUUUUGGGAAUCAUGGAUAAAUAUAGAGAUGCGGAAAUUUCUCUUCUAUAUGCGUGAGCGUUUGUCAAUGUAGUGCGCUUUUUUUCUCUUGUUGUACGAAGAAGGUAUAGUAAUGUAUGGAUAUUCCCUCGCUAUAGGACAUUUUGAGGUAGACACCUCAACUCUAGCUAUUUUGUUGAUCGGUGCACCCUUUAAGUUUGUUUGUUUUAAUUACCUAAACUAGAUUUGGAUUAGAAGGUGAAUUUUAUCAAAUUUAGUUAGGUAAUUUGUGAAUUUAACUAAAAUAUAUGGAAAUUUUAUUAAAUUUAAAAUCUCAAAUUAAAUUACAGUGAAUAAAGUUAUAACGCUUAAUGUGACACUCUAAUACUUCCACAUCGGAUGGAAAUGGAGUUGUCAUUGGGUAUAUAAAAAAACUUCUCUAACAAUAAUGACUGGGUUUAAAUAUUUUGGGCCGGUUUUGGGCCGGUGAUUCGUUACAAAAGUAUUAAUCAAAAGGACGUUAUUUUGAAUUAAAAAAUGUUAAAAAAUUGAGAAUCAUGUGUCAAUAUUAAAAGAAAAAAGAAAUUAUGAAAUAAAUACAAUUCUCACCAAAUUUUUUUUAUUCUCUUUUUCUCUUUCCGGCACUUUAUUAUUAUCCAUAAAAAUACGAUCUCUCCAAUCUUGUUCGCAUGAUUGAGUUACUUUGUUAUAGAAUGGCUGCCUCGAUUUAAUAUUUGUAUCUAUAUAUUUGUGUUAGCGCCAUAAAAAUCGCGCCACGUGGUAAACUGGGAUACACCUCAAGCAAGUGACAUAUGGUGCGUCAGGGGCAGAGAAGAAUGCACCAAAAAUCAAAAAGCAAUUAAAGCUAUGCAGUUGAGAUCGGCUAGUAAUGACCUAUGAAAUCAAGGAUGUGGCCGAUCAUGUGAAUAACUGCAUAACAAUGGACGGAAUUAUAAAUAUAUAAGAAACGCCUCACAGAGAGAUUUUUUUUUUUUUUUUUCUGAGAAACAAGAAGACCAAUUUCUUUUUUUUUUUCACAUUUUUUGCUUGCAAGAGUAGUCUAUCUGUAAUCCCUUUCUUUUUCAACAUUUACUGUCCUUUUUAGGAGUAGUUUUUAGGUUAGAAUUUUAUCUGAAAUUGUACGCCAUAUCAGCGCACCCUCUUCUGCAAACAUCUUCUAGUUUUGAGCAAUAUAUAAAUACCAUUCGACUCUUCAGCCAAACUGGAAAAUAUUGUGCUGUUUCUUAACUCGGUUGAUUUAGUUGAACUGAAGUUAUCGUGAAAUCUCUGAACUCGGCUGAUCCGAUCUAUUAUCAGCCGAAUCGCUUGAUUAGACAGUGGACGCAAACUUCGAGGGUCAUCUACAGUAGCCACUCUACCUCUUCGCACGCUUCCUGAAGAAGGACAUUGACCGAGUCAAAGGUCAAAGAAAUCAGCUCGCAGCAAUUUUUUGGGCAUGCUUGGUGGGAUAACUUUUUCUUAGGUAAUUUUUCACCAAUUUCACUAUAUGGCUGACGAUACUGCCUUGAACCUCCGCAACUGGAUUGCUCCUCGAUCUUCUGGGAAUGACCAGACAAUCAGCACUGAAAAUGCAAAUGAGCAUUAGGCUGUACUGCUAGUAGAGGUGAAACUAGUGGGCAGUCGGCUCAUCACGAGCCAAGCUUAUCUCAGGCACUUGGUCAGAUGACACGGGUCUUACAAAUUUUAGACCAAAAUGUCAUCAAAGCACCGCUCGCUUAGAUGCAGUUCUAGCCGCUAUCAUGACUUCUAAUAAGAAUAUUGCCCGGAUUGGGCAAUUAUUAGCGCCUAAUGAACAGCAUAUGGUGGGUCCACAAGGACCUGUAGUCACGCCAGUGUUGCAACACCCAGUAACACCGGCAAUUACACAGCCUCAAAUGGCACCUUAUCAAGCUACCUACAGAUCGGCGAACGCGAACGCUGGUCAACAACUAGAGGUAGCGUGGGGUUUACUUCCUCCACCACCUUUACCGUUUUAUCAGCCCUAAAAUAUGGGGAUAAGGGCCAGGGGGUAAGGCCCGAAUAAUAUGCAAGCCCCUAUUCUUGUAUUAGGGAACAAUAAUGAAUUAUACGCUUAGAUUGAAGAAGCUAUCCUAAAUAUAAAUACAAUUCUCACCAGAUUUCUUUUAUUGUUUCUUUUCUCUUUCCGGCACUUUAUUAUUAUCCACAAAAAUACGAUCUCUCCAAUCUUGUUUGCAUAAUUGCGUUGUUUUGUCAUAGAAUGGGUGCCUCGAUUUAAUAUUUGUAUCUAUAUAUUUGUGUUGGCGCCAUAAAAAUCGCGCCACGUGGUGAACUAGGAUGCACCUCAAGCAUAACCCUUGAGGCCAGAGAUAAGUGACAUAUGGUGCGUCAGGGGCAGAGAAGAACGCACGGAAAAUCGAAAAGCAGUUAAGGCUUAUGCGGUUAAGAUUGGCUAGUAAUGGCCUACGAAAUCAGGGAUGUGACCGAUCAUGCAAAUAACUAAAUAACAAUGGGCGAGAUUAUAAAUAGAUAAGAAACGCCUUACAGAGAGAUCUUUUUUUCCUGAGAAACAAGAAGACCAAUUUAUUUUUCCUUACAUUUUUUGCUUUCUAAAAGUAGUCUAUCUGUCGUCCCUUUCUUUUUCAGCAUUUACUGUGCUUUUAGGAGUAGUGCCAGCGUUGUUUGCAUGUGAUGUGCUCGGCGCUAUUUGCACAUGAAGUGCCUGGCGCUGGUGAUUGUUCCAUCGCAGUCGCUCCUUCUGCCACCGCUGGCGGUGAAGGAUCUUGGGUUACCCUAGUAGUAACCUGCUGAAGUAGCAAGUCCUCCAAUCGCUUCAUCCUCGCCUCCUAUCGGCGCGCUGCAUCUGCUUGCUGUUGGUCGGCCGUCGUGUCACCAAAUCCGUUAGCACAGCAAACUGGUUUCUCAACUCACGGACCUCACUAGAUCUAGAGGUAGCAGAGGUAUCCACCUCCUCCGCACUAGCUGCCUCGGCCGCCCCGGCGNAGCAUUUACUGUGCUUUUAGGAGUAGUGCCAGCGUUGUUUGCAUGUGAUGUGCUCGGCGCUAUUUGCACAUGAAGUGCCUGGCGCUGGUGAUUGUGCCCAUGCGGUCGCACCUCUUGUCGGCGUUGGCGGUGAAGGAUCCUGGGUCAUCCUAGUAGAAGCCUGCUGAAGUAGCAAGUCCUCCAAUCGCUUCAUCCUCGCCUCCUAUCGGCGCGCUGCAUCUGCUUGCUGUUGGUCGAUUGUCGUGCCACCAAAUCCGUUAGCACAGCAAACUGGUUUCUCAACUCACGGACCUCACUAGAUCUAGAGGUAGCAGAGGUAUCCACCUCCUCCGCACUAGCUGCCUCGGCCGCCCCGGCGGACCUAGAGCGAGUCGUCGGCAUCUCAAGCUACAACAAACAUAACAAGCGCAAGUUAUUAAAAUCCACACCAUCGCAACCCCAUUCAAAGAAAAUAAAAUCCCAAUCAUGCAAAAGUAGUGAAGUGAGCCUCACAACUAACUCCCGAUGUAACGUUGUCAGCCGCCAACGUGACCUUCCACGGAGUUAGAAGUUGCACACUUCAAUCAAACUCCAACCAUUCGGAGUUAAAGAUACGGCCCAAUCGUAAUACUUUCGCUCGAAAAUCAUAUAGACCUGUCUCUCACGAGCCUAUUUCCUAUGGUCCAACCGUCUUAAGGUUUACUAGGUUCACUAAGACUCAACCCUAGGCUCCGAUACCAAUAUAAUUUGUCACGCCCGGGUUCCAGCGGAAGCCUACCCGGCACGUGCACAAACUCCCCGUAUGCACAAGGUACUCCCCGGUGCACACAAGGCGUCUAUUUCAAACAUUUAAAGAAUAGAGCAAGGAAUAUAAGCCUAGCAAGGUAAUAAGAGCAUAAUAUAAAACUAAUCUAUAAAACAACAAGUAAACAAAUAAAGUUCAACUAUCCCCAAAAGAAAAUACAUCAAGUCACUACCAAAAAUACAUAUGGAAUAUAAGGGUAGUCUCUAUACAAUGGUCAAGUACACCUCUCAAAGUUAACAAAAGAAAGGUGUCCACCUAUGCAGGUCACUCCCGACAGGCUCUAGCUAGACGCGACUCUCUUGCCACGGUCCCUAGCCUAUCCCGUAGUGUAUGGCUCUGAGAACAAAAACAACAAGUGCAUGGGGUUAAGAACUAUUAAACAAUAGUUUCCAGUGGGUAAGCCACCGAGAAAAGCGAAUUACACCACUAGAUCAGCUGAGGCAAAAGUGGGGAAUAAAAUGACAUAAUAAAGCAUGAAUAAUAUGCGAGAAUUAAAAGUUCUAGUACCACUAUGUCUCCAACUUACAAUGUUAUAUAACAUGUAUGAAAUCUACUCUAUCAUAUGAAUGAGCAUGUAAAUAGCUAAUGCAAUAUCCAACUGUCAUGCACUAUCUAGUAGUGAAGUCAAAUUAUUAUGUUUAAUUGUCAUUACCCAAAUUAACGAGGACUUACACAAGGUAUAGUCCUGGCUUGCGUCGUGCCUAAUUGCCCCGUGGUAAUCAACAUUCCCCCGCUAGGAAUGAGCCUCGCCGACGGCAAUCCACUUCGGCGCCCAAUCCCGCACGGGCGAGCAUGAUGUCGCAUAGGCCAACUCCGGAGUGCCGGUUUGUAGGGAGCGAGCCUCACAAGCUUGUACGAAUGAGCACAAUGGCAAGCAAGCAUGAUCAACAACAUAGGAAUCUCAUUCAUCAUGUCUAAAACAUGGUAUGUCAACUAGCGACCUAGAGGUUGGAUACUAUUGUCACAAUGUCGAAUUCUAGUUAUUCAAUUAAGUUAAGUACAAUAUGAUUUUGCUACUAUCAUAUUGUGUCACAUUUACCUUGUCUAUAACAAGUAAUGUUAAUUAUCAUGCAAGUUGAUCUACUAAAUCCACUAACCAUAAAAGAUCCAAGAGACAUAUCAUUUACUCAUAACUAACAUGCUUUCUAUUGUUGCAUAAGAGGAAAACACCAUGAUGUACUACUUAGUAGACAUAUCCACAUUACAAGCCUUUACUACAUAGAACCUAAAACUCCUACAUGAAACAUGGGUGUAACAUGCAUUCAAAAAUUUUAUCAUAUUAUAACUAGCAUGAAUAUGCACCAUUUCAAGUCUUAAAACUAAGUAGAAGAUAUAGAAGGAGUUCACCCAUUUCGGCGAGGUCAAAUCCACUGGAUACCCUUCGAAACUUGUUCAUUUCCUCGAACGAAGUUGUCCUGGAGACUUCUAGCACCCUAAGAAAAAUUCUAAAAGGAUUACAAGCUUCUAACAAACUUGCCACGAAAUUCAACAAAAAUCAUACAUAAAAGAGGUGGAAAUUACCUUCAACCAAGGAGAACUUGUCCAAAGCUCAAACCAAGGCUAGAAAGCUUCAAAUCCAACCUAAAAGAGAGUUCUACAAUCAUCAAUUCAACUCCAAAAGUUCUACAACAAGAAACCCCAAAUUAAACCCUAGUUUUCUUACAACUAGGUUUAAUUCCAUAAAUCCUCACAAAAUUGACAAUCAAAGAUAGUAAGAAAACUACUAAACUUAAUAAAAGCUCCAAACCAAGCUAAGCAAAGCUAGGGUUGGAGAUUAAUACUCAAGUAAGCUCCCUUCUUCACUUCCAAGUCUUCUUCAAGGUCCAAAUAGCAAGCUUCCAAUGAGAGGAAGAAGAAAAAGAGAUCAAAACCCAAUUCCACUAGAGAUUGGAGAAGGAAAUCAAGAGAGAGAAAAAGAAAACCUACCUUCCUCUUCUCUCAAGUCUCAACACAAAGAGAGAGUAAGUGGGGAAAGGUAGGGUUAUACACAUGAUGUAACAAUCCCCAAGAGACCCCUCAAAAACUCAAAUAUUACAAACUACACGAAACUGCAUUCUGCAGCAUUGAAUACCGGUACUCAGAUUGGAGUACCAGUACCCCGCAGUUCCGGUACCAAAUACCCAGUUCCGUAGAACCCGUACGUUGGAAAUUCGAGUUUAUACUGCGUUUUCGUACCAGCUCGAUGCAGUACCGGUAUUCAGCUCAGUACCGGUACCCGCAACCCAGUUCCUCAAUGUGAGAUCCCUGGUGUUUGACUGUGGAGGCUUGUCGACAGCUCUGGAGAGUGUCAGGACAAGUCCGAGUCGCGUUGGCGUCAAAUAGACGUAAAACGGACUCCGUGCGACGCGAGGGCAGCUUAUCGCGAAGAAUUCUGCAAAACAGCAGCAUUCUCUGCUUGCUGUACCGGUACAAGCUUAGUGGCUGUACCGGUACAACCAGCGCGAAAUAGCUUAACUGCUCUCGGGUUGGCUCUUGUACCGGUACAAGAGCCCGUGUACCGGUACAAGAGGGUAGGUGGCAGGGUAAUUAGGUAAUUUCUCCCCUCGUUUGUUUCACCCAUCCCACCUACUGCUAUAUACAUGCGUAGAGAGCUGAGAGAGGAGAGUUUUCUUGUUCAUCUUCCUCUCCCUCUCUAGCAUUGGCCGAGCAAGGAGGAGAGAUUGUGGGAGCGCGGAUUCGUCGCCAACGUAGUGCCGCGGAGUUGUUCGAGCGCACGUUUGUCGCCGUGGUGCUGUGAGGAGCUUGGGCGGGCUUGGAUUUGCAUCGUCUUCGAUGUGGUGACGACUCUUGAAGGUUGUUCAAGGUGAGUGUGUUGCUGAAAUCGCCUCUAUUACUUCAGCAACAUCAUUUUGAGCUUGAAUGCUGUUUUGCUGUUUUUCGCCGUCGACCGUUGGUAUUUCAGCUCGUUCUCGACGUAGGAGCACCGGAUUGCGACGAGACUUGGCUCGUUGGAUUCAGGACUGCGAGAGGAAUCCACGAAGCCCUUACUUGCGAAUUUUGGUGAAGGUUAGCUUGGUCGAAACCCUUCCCUUCUCUGCUGCGAUUUCUGGACUGAAUUGGUGAAUUUUGUUGCGUAGAGCUCGGGCUUAGGCGAUUUCUGUACUCAGCGGGUUCCGGGUGAUCAAGCAGGUUGCUUUACACCAGGGGGAGUCCUUCGCUGCCAGGGAUUAGCAUUUUAGGUGGGUUACAUCGGUUUUACUCCUAAGUAUUAUUAGUCGACAUGUAUAAAUCGUGAUUUCUACAAUAGUUGUUAGCUCAAAUUCAUGGAUUAUUGUUAGAAUGUAAAAUCUGAAUUUUCGAGCAUAUUUUAUCAAGUAAAUAGAUUAUACAUAUUGGACUUGAAAAUUGAAUUAGGAGAAACCUGCGAUUUGGACCUGUCACCAGUUUUAACUACCUGAUUUAGCUCUAGGAGCCGUUAGAAAAUUGUACUGUCGCAGUUUCUUCGAGACGAGUACUUCAGGUAGUUUAGAAUGUAUUUACACUCGUGCUGGUUCGCCGAGUGGAUUUUUACAGGGUCGUUCAGGUCGUUUCGGACUGUUGGGUGCCGUCAGAGUUGACGGUGGACCCGUAUCGCCUUUUUGGCGUCAGAUUGUGCCGAGGGCACGUUACCUGUUGGUUGUUAGACCAGUUUGAGUCGAUUACUUGACUUUGGCUAGUUGGAGCCUGAUUGAGCUCGACAGAGAUACGCUGCAUACUCGGUUGGGUAGCGCCCACGAGUGCCACUCCGGAGUCAGGCUUGUCUUUUUUUUUUUUGCGUUGGUGUCGCUCAUGCCAGUUGGACUUGCUCUCCACGGACCAGUUAGAGUGGAUAGAGCCCGAUAUCGCAACGGGCAGGGACGGGUGUAUUCACAGUCCCGGGACGGGUAUGCUUACAGUCCCGAUUUGGAUUGGGUCAGACUUGACUUUUCCUACAGUUGGUUAGUGUAGAGCAUGAUAGUGUAGUGAUUGAUACGCGGUGAGUGUACUUCCUGCUUUUCCUACUAUUCUUGCUCCCUUCUGUAAACUUAGUGGGUGACCGAUGUUGUUUUGGGCGGUACCCACUGAGGACUACUUUUUUUACAGUAGUUCUCACGCCCAGUUGUUACCCAUGUUUUUGCAGAGCCACAGGUUCCGGCUGCUGCACAUCCGUGGAUCAGGAUCGAGGCAAGGGCGUCGUGAGUUAGAGCCCUAUCCGACUGACAGAGUUAGAGGCACCCUACUGCAGGUAGAUAUUUUGUUUCGAGUUUAUGUACAUAGUGGACUUAACUCGCCAGUGCGAGUAGCUUUGUAUUUUGGAUUUGGACUAUGUAUAUAAAACUCAGUUUGUUUAGCUUCUGUUUUCUCUAGCAGCUCUCUACUACUGUUCGUAGUAGUGUUUGAUUUACAGGUACAGCUAUCGCUUCGUAUACAGAGGAAAUUCCUUUGUAUACGGCGGAUUUGUCGGCGCGCCCGGGGAAAGUGUAAUCCGGGGCGUGACACUCAAAACUCGAGAGCUGCUCAUUUUGGCACUCUAUAGGGUUCCGGUACCAUACUUUAGUGCCGGUACUCAACACUAAAAUCUGUAGUUUGCAGAUUUUGAUGUCGGGAAUCCUUUCUUGCGCCUAACAAGCACUAGAAACGGGUCGAUACUCUCCAACAACCCUCGAAACAUCCAAAAUAGUUCAAAAUACUAUUCCUAUACUAGAACCUUUCAAUUUGCUAAAGUUCAAUGUAAAACAUUGCCAUUGCUGAUAAAAAAUACUAAUGCCAAAAUCAGAAGAAUAAAAUAUGUAGUCAAAAUGAUCAGCAAGAAAUAAUAGCAAAUCUCGGUGAAAAAAUCAAUACUAACAAAUUAGCAAGUUUAAGAUAAUAUGGUCACAUAAGUUCCACCAUGGUAACAAAAUAGCAGUAGCAGUAAAGGAAUGAAUAUGUAUGCUUAAUUUAUGUAAACAGGAUUUGCAAAAGUUUGGGAACUUAUAUUCGGUAGAAAAGAAAAACCCCGCAGCCAAGAGAGAAAGUAGGUCGCUUUCAAUUUUAAAAAACAUAGGUAACAUGAGCGAAAUAAAACAUAAAGCAAAACAUAGAAAAAAAAACAUUAACAAAUUUUAGUGAAAACUAAAUACAGCAAACAAAAUAGCAAGGCUCAGAUAACAUAGACAUACAAGUUCCACCAUGAUAAGAGAAUAGUAGCAACGGGAUGUAUCACAUAGAGAAUAAAAAAUAUAAGUGAUGAGUACGUACGUAUGCUUAAUUUAUGUAAAUAGAGCUUGCAAGUUUUUGGAAACUUUAAAUUUGAUGAAAAAGAAAAAAAACACAAUCAUGAGAGAAAGUAGGACACUGCCAAUUAAAGAAAUACAUAUUUAAUAAGGGCAAUAAAACAUAUAGAGAAAUAUAAAAAGAAGCAUUAACAUAAAAUAUAAAAAGAAACAUUAUCAAAUUUUAGUUAAAAAUAAACUUAACAAAUGCAAUAAUAAGGCGAAGAUAAUAUGGACAUAUAAGUUCUACCAUGAUAAGAAAACGGUAGCAAUAAGAAUGUACCGACCGUCCAUAGCGCAAGUGGCAAAGGGCUUGGCGGUAAUUGGUAUUUGAGACCCAAGUUCGAAUACUGGUUGAUUCACAUUUCCAGCUAAGUUUAUUUCCAAAUUAAAUAUUCAAAGAGGGUAGCAUGCUACCUUUCUCUCAAAAAAAAAAAAAAAAGCAAUAAGAAUGUAUUGCCGAGAGAAGAAAGUUGGCCACUGCCAAUUAAGAAAGAAAAUAAAAAUAUGUAAAAUGAGCAAUACAAAAUUUGUAGUAAGAUAUUGGAUUUAAUUUGUUACUUAGCAAUUUCAGGUUGUAGUUGAAUUUAAAGUGGCUCAAGCUGAACCGGAAUCAUGAUUAAAGGUAACAAUUCAAUUAAAUUAUUCAAAUUGGCCCGGACAAGAUCAAAUUGUACCAAAUUGGAUGCAAGUGCCAUUACAAUAAUUUGGAGGACUUCUUUGCAAUUAUCGGAUUUGAGCCAGUCAACCUAGUCAAGUUGUUCAAUUCACCUUUUGGGUUUAAUUUGUGCUUAAUGUCAAAUUAGCCUUAUUUUAAUAUGGUAUGAAAGUGAUUUUAUGUAUGGUAUAAAUUCAAACAUGAUUUUAUUAUGGUAUGAAUUUGAAAAUGUGAAAUAUGAUAUAAAUGUAUUUUACAAGUUUGGUAUUAUUUCAAAAGCUUUUACAAAUGUGGAAUGAAUUCAAAAAGUUUUCAUUUGUAGUAUUAAUUUAAAAGGAUUUUACAAAUUUGGUAUAAUUUCAAAUGAGCUUUUCAAUAUAGUAAUAUUUCAAAUGAGUUUUGCAAAUGUGGUUGAAUUCAAAUUUAUUUUGGAAUUAAUUCAAAUACAUUAGCAAAUAUGGUUAAAAUUCAAAUUGAAAUCAAUUAUGAUUUAAUUAUGCUUUUGUUCCAUUUUUGAAAUGAUGGCUAGUGUAUUUAAAGGGAGGCUUGGAUGUUGUUUGUAUACAACUUCAGAAAAAUUCUCUAAGUCCUAAUUGUUCAUUGAUUUGUAAUUGUGAGCUUCUUGAGAGAUUGUAAAAGAAGUUUUGUGUGAUUGUAAGCGGCUUUGGUCUUGCCCUGUUCAAAAGGCCAAGUGAUAGUGAAAUCGGUACCUCGAGGAGAAGAAGGACCGGACUGGAGUAGGCAGAAGGGCCGAACCAGGAUAAAUCAUCUGUGUUAUCUGAGUUUGAUUUUCUUCUUUUAUUUGGUUGUGCAAUUUUUAUCUGGAUUUAAUUUUACUUGAGUUUUUAGUUGUCAACUAAUUCACCCCCCCUCUUAGUUGCCAUUUGUUCCUUCAUUUGGUAUCAGAGCGUAAGUCUCACUGUUGCAGACUAACUGUCUCAUGAGAUGGCAACUUUUCACGCUACCAUUGAAGGCCAAUCCAUCGCUCGUCCUCCUUUCUUUAAUGGGAGUAACUACACCUAUUGGAAGGUGCGGAUGCAGAUUUUUCUACAAUCCCUAGAUUUUGAUCUUUGGGACAUUGUAGAAAAUGGCUACACUAAGCCUACCACGGCAACUAGCACAUGGAAGGUAGAGGACAAAGGUAAAUUUAAUUUGAACUCUAAAGCGAUGAAUGCUCUUCAUUGUGCUUUUGACUCAAACGAGUUCAACCGGAUUUCUACAUGCAAAACUGCAAAAGAAAUUUGGGAUAAAUUAACCGUUGUUCACGAGGGGACAAAUCAAGUAAAAGAGUCUAAGAUAAAUAUGCUUACUCGCAAUUAUGAAAUAUUUUGUGUGCAACCAAAUGAAAGCAUUACUGAUAUGCAUACUAGAUUUACCAAUAUUAUUAAUAGUCUAAAGGCUUUGGGAAAGGCUUUUUCUGAUGCAGAUCGUGUUAGAAAAAUACUCAGAAGUUUUCCUCAAAAUGGACCUUGGGAACCAAAGUUGGCGGCCAUUCAAGAAGCGCGUGACCUCGACAAAUUUUCAUUAGAGGAACUCAUAGGGUCUCUUAUGACUUAUGAGUUACGAUUGAAAAUAGAGCCUUCUACUUCCAUCAUCCAUACCGAAAUGAAAAAUAUAGCCCUCAACUCUAACGAAGGAGAUAGAAGCGACUCCGACAAUGCCACUGACGACGAGAUCUCACAUCUUACUAGAAAAUUAAAAAAGAUCUUACAAAGAAAACACGGAGCUAAGUGGUCCGGCAAAAGUAAUGGUAGAUCUCACUUUUUUAAAAAAGAUGUAAAAUGCUACAAUUGUAAUAAAACAGGGCACAUGAGUUAUGAUUGCCAAAACCAAAGUAAGUCUCCCCGAAAGGAGAAAAAGAAGAAUAAAGCCUUCUCCGCCGCUUGGAGUGAUGAUAGUGAUUCCGACAAGGAGGAAUCAACCAAGGAGGUCUCUAACUUAAGCCUCACCUAUGACGAUGCACCUUCGAAUUGUUGCUUCAUGACAAACAUAGAAGAUAAGGUAAAUGAUUUAACUUACGAUGAACUUUUAGAAGCUUUUUAUGAUCUUUAUGAUGAUCUCCAAAAAUUUGGUCCCAAAAAUGCUUCUUAAAAAAAAAAAAACAUCUUUAAUCUCCAAUUUAAAUUUAUUAAAAUCUAAAAAUAAAAGUUUAAAAACUGAGUUAAAUUUAUUAAAGAAGCAACUUGAGACCAAAAGUGAUGGCGAAAAUUAUAAAGAUACUAGUUUAUUUAAAACUGAAAAUGAAUCUCUAAAGAAGGACUUGAACGAUUCAAGAAACACUUUAGAAAGAUUCAUUGGUAGCACAAAAGCUCUAAAUAUGAUGUUAGGUAAUCAAAGAUCCUAUUUGGAUAAGACCGAACUUGGAUAUCAACACAAGUCUAGUCAAAGAAAAAAUAUUUCUAAGACAUUUGCAAAAUAUACAAAUGGCAACAAGAAUGUGUUGUACACCUAUUGUAACAAAAUAGGGCAUCAUGUAACCCAAUGUCAAUUUAAAAAUAAGUUUAAACUUAGACAACUUUGGGUGGUUAAACGUUCUAACACAAGUGGACCCACAUCCAGGGUACCCUUCAUAACUUAAAUUUUUGUAGGUAUGCCUGCACUUAACAAAGUCAAGCGACAAAGGUUACUUGGACAGCGGGAGCUAAAGGCACAUGUCGGGCAACCCAACAAAUUUAUUGUCGCUUGAAUAUGAAGACCGUGGGCACAUAACCUUUGGAAAUAACUCGAAAGGUCGUAUCAUUGGAAAAGGCUCAAUCGGUAACAAUUAAUUUUCUUUGUAUUUUUGGUGGAUUCUUAUCACUAUGGUUUAUCUUUCGGUUCGAUCGUUUUUUUUUUUUGGUAUAAGAUUUUCUGUGUAUUUUUUUUUAUCCUCCUUCAUCUUUUUAAAUUNUGAGAUGGCAACUUUUCACGCUACUAUUGAAGGUCAAUCCAUCGCUCGUCCUCCUUUCUUUAAUGGGAGUAACUACACCUAUUGGAAGGUGCGGAUGCAAAUUUUUCUACAAUCCCUAGAUUUUGAUCUUUGGGACAUUGUAGAAAAUGGCUAUACUAAGCCUACCACGGCAACUAGCACAUGGAAGGCAGAGGACAAAGGUAAAUUUAAUUUAAACUCUAAAGCGAUGAAUGCUCUUCAUUGUGCUCUUGACUCAAACGAGUUCAACUGGAUUUCUACAUGCAAAAGUGCAAAAGAAAUUUGGGAUAAAUUAGCCGUUGUUUACGAGGGGACAAAUCAAGUAAAAGAGUCUAAGAUAAAUAUGCUUACUCGCGAUUAUGAAAUAUUUUGUGUGCAACCAAAUGAAAGUAUUACUGAUAUGUAUACUAGAUUUACCAAUAUUAUUAAUAGUCUAAAGGCUUUGGGAAAAGGCUUUUUCUGAUGCAGAUCUUGUUAGAAAAAUACUCAGAAGUUUUCCUCAAGAUGGACCUUGGGAACCAAAGUUGGCGGCCAUUCAAGAAGCGCGCGACCUCGACAAAUUUUCAUUGGAGGAACUCAUAGGGUCUCUUAUGACUUAUGAGUUACGAUUGAAGAUAGAGCCUUCUAUUCCCAUCAUCCAUACCGAAAUGAAAAAUAUAGCCCUCAACUCUAACGAAGGAGAUAGAAGCGACUCCAACAAUGCCACUGACGACGAGAUCUCACAUCUUACUAGAAAUUUAAAAAAGAUCUUACAAAGAAAACACGGAGCUAAGUGGUUCGACCAAGGUAAUGGUAGAUCUCACUUUUUUAAAAAGAAUGUAAAAUGCUACAAUUGUAAUAAAACAGGACACAUGAGUUAUGAUUGCCAAAACCAAAGUAAGUCUCCCCGAAAGGAGAAAAAAAAGAAUAAAGCCUUCUCUGCCGCUUGGAGUGAUGAUAGCGAUUCCGAUAAAGAGGAAUCAACCAAGGAGGUCUCUAACUUAAGCCUCACCUAUGAUGAUGCACCUUCGAAUUGUUGCUUCAUGACAAACAUAGAAGAUAAGGUAAAUGAUUUAACUUACGAUGAACUUUUAGAAGCUUUUUAUGAUCUUUAUGAUGAUCUCCAAAAAUUUGGUCCCAAACAUGCUUCUUUAAAAAAAAAAAACAUCUGUAAUCUCCAAUUUAAAUUUAUUAAAAUCUGAAAAUGAAAGUUUAAAAACUAAGUUAAAUUUAUUAAAAAAGCAAUUUGAGACCAAAAGUGAUGGCGAAAAUUAUAAAGAUACUAGUUUAUUAAAACUGAAAAUGAAUCUCUAAAGAAGGACUUGAACGAUUCAAGAAACACUUUAGAAAGAUUCAUUGGUAGCACAAAAGUUCUAAAUAUGAUGUUGGAUAAUCAAAGAUCCUAUUUGGAUAAAACUGGACUUGGAUAUCAACACAAGUCUAGUCAAAGAAAAAAUAUUUCUAAGCCAUUUGCAAAAUAUACAAAUAGCAACAAGAAUGUGUUGUGCACCUAUUGUAACAAAAUAGGGCAUCAUGAAACCCAAUGUCAAUUUAAAAAUAAGUUUAAACUUAGACAACUUUGGGUGAUGAAAGUUAUAACACAAGUGGACCCACAUCCAGGGUACCCGUCAUAACUUAAAUUUUUGUAGGUAUGCCUGCACUCAACAAAGUCAAGCGACAAAGGUUACUUGGACAACGGGAGCUCAAGGCACAUGUCGGGCAACCCAACAAAUUUAUCGUCGCUUGAGUAUGAAGAGGGUGGGUGCAUAACUUUUGGAAAUAACUCCAAAGGUCAUAUCAUUGGAAAAGGCAUAAUUGGUAACAAUUAAUUUUCUUUGUAUUUUUGUUGGAUUCUUAUCACUAUGGUUUAUCUUUCGUUUCGAUCAUUUUUUUUUUUUCGGUAUAAGAUUUUCUGUGUAUUUUUUUUAUCCUCCUUCAUCCUUUUAAAUAUUUUUUUUUUAUGAUAACAAAAAAGGGGGAGAAGAAAAGGUUAACUCAAAAUUAUUUUGAAAGAUUUUUUUUGGUUAUUUUGAGGGGGAGUUUAUCUAUUACCUUAUUAUCUUUUCAAAUUGUUUGUCAUCAUCAAAAAGGGGGAGAUUGUUGGAUUUUAUCCAAUAAUAAAUUUUGAUGAUAACAAACAAAUAUUGGAUUUAAUUUGUCAUUUAGCAAUUUCAGGUUAUAGUUGAAUUUAAAGUGGCUCAAGCAGAACCGGAAUUGAUCAAAGGUAACCAUUCAAUCAAAUUGUUCAAAUUGGCCCGGACAAGAUCAAAUUGUACCAAAUUGGAUGCAAAUGCCACAACAAUAAUUUGGAGGACUUCUUUACAAUUUAUCGGAUUUGAGCUGGCCAACCUAGUCAAGUUAACCAACUGGCGUUUUGGGUUUGAUUUGAGCUUAAUGUCAAAUUAGCCAUUAUUUUAAUAUGCUAUGGAAGUGAUUUUAUGUAUGGUAUAAAUUCAAACAUGAUUUUAUUAUGGUAUGAAUUUGAAAAUGUGAAACAUAAUAUAAAUGUAUUUUACAAGUUUGGUAUUAUUUCAAAAGCUUUUACAAAUGUGGAAUGAAUUCAAAAAGUUUUCAUUUGUAGUAUUAAUUUAAAAAGAUUUUACAAAUUUGGUAUAAUUUCAAAUGAGCUUUUCAAUAUAGUAAUAUUUCAAAUGAGUUUUGCAAAUGUAGUAUGAAUUCAAAUUUAUUUUGGAAUUAAUUCAAAUACAUUUGCAAAUAUGGUUAAAAUUAAAAUUGAAAUCAAUUAUGAUUUAAUUAUGCUUUUGUUCCAUUUUUGAAAUGAUGGCUAGUGUAUUUAAAGGGAGGCUUGGAUGUUGUUUGUAUACAAUUUCAGAAAAAUUCUCUAAGUCCUAAUUGUUCAUUGAUUUGUAAUUGUGAGCUUCUUGAAAAAUUGUAAAAGAAGUUUUGUGUGAUUGUAAGCGGCUUUGGUCUUGCCCUGUUCAAAAGGCCAAGUGAUAGUAAAAUCGGUACCUCGAGGAGAAGAAGAACCGGACUGGAGUAGGCAGAAGGGCCGAACCAGGAUAAAUCAUCUGUGUUAUCUGAGUUUGAUUUUCUUCUUUUAUUUGGUUGUGCAAUUUUUAUCUGGAUUUAAUUUUACUUGAGUUUUUAGUUGUCAACUAAUUCACCCCCCCUCUUAGUUGCCAUUUGUUCCUUUAGGAGGGAGUGGAAUGAGAGCAAGAGAGAGGGAGGUGGUCCCCUAUACUCUCUAUUGUAACAAUAUCCCAACAGCCCCCUCCACUUUUGCCUCUGUGCACUGCCCUCACUGGGCAGAAUUCGCGCGGAGAGACCGGUUUCCCGGACCUGGGACCGGUCCCCGAGAGCGGGAUUUUCAGGACUUAGCCAAAUUUCUGGCUUUCUCGCUGGGUUCGCGUUCGGGGACCGGUCUCUCCCUACCAGGGACCGGUUGCAUCAAGAAUCCCUGCAACCCCCAGCCUCGGGGACCGGUCUCUCCCUGCCAGGGACCGGUCCCCGAGAGCAACUUUUGCCCAGUGCAAGUUUUGCACUAUUUGCUCUCAUGGACUCGCCUCUAAGGCACCUUUGGUGAUUAAAACAUCUUCGGCCUUUCCGAAGCUCACCAACACGACCCUUGGUCGAUUUUAAACGAAGUCUAACUCUCGUAUUUCGAUAAUUCACUUCUUUACAUAUAUAUAGAGAAAGAAAGAGAGAGAGAGAGAGAGAGAGAGUAGAUUGUGUGCUAUUAGGGGCAUGGAUUUGAGGAUCCUUAAUUAAGGUGCCAUAGAUGCAUAAUGGCUUUUGAUUUCUACAUACAUGUAGAGAUGAAUCUCUCCUCUUCUGUAAGGACUAAGAUUUUGGUAGUGUAGCUAAACUCUCUGUUGAUGAUGUUUUUGUGUGUAAUUUAAUUACAUAAGCACUCGUUAAGUUUCAGGAGAAAACGAGUUAGGAUGGAGAAGUUACGCGAUCAUUACUAAUCACUUAAAGUGAAUAGUAUCUCCGAUUUUUCGGAGAAGCCAAUGAGUGAAGAUGGCUUCUGGCGCGUAUUGGACUCCGUUUAUAGUGAUCCAAUAGCUCGUUUUCAAUUGUUCGACUAUGCUGGACCCAAUGACACUGACGGAUUUGGAUUUUGAUGCAUGAUUUUCGAGAAAUAGGAGUUUUAUCGAAAAGAGGGUUUUUGUUCUUUGCUGUUCGUGCAUUAUAAAACUCCUUGUGCUCCGUGCAUGUGACCUGGAGUAGGGUGAGGGAUGUUUCGGGUACCUACUAGUGGAAGGGAAUUCAAAUUUGAAUUUGAAUUUAAGGUUUAUUGGGUUUACACAUAUGUUUAUAUGUGGUGUAUGGAAUAAUUGGAGAGAUGAUGGGUUUUGUCGCAAAUCGGCGACCUUAUCGGGCGAAACAAAAUCGUGAGUUUGAUGCCCCGGUCGUGCUGAACGUGCUAGCGCAGUCCGUUUGUAAAUCCGACGGACGGAUCGCCAUAUAUUGCGCAUUAACCGAGGAUGGGUCGAAUUUAUGUUUUUGGUAUUUCGCGUGAAACUCUCUAUAUUUUAUGCGUGAAAUUCCUUGUAUUUCUGAGGGCUAAUGCGUGGGGUUGUCAUACACACGCGGUCUGGAUCACAGCGUGAAUACCACACUUUGGAGGGAGGUACACGCAAAGUUGGCAAGCUUUAAGAUGAUUCUUCAGGGUGAAUACCCUAACCCUAGGCCUAGCAACCUCAGCUGAACCCCUAGCCACCGACCUCUCCUCCUGCUCAUCUCCAUGCAUGCAGCAGCCGCCGCCGCCAACCUGCCGCGGCCUGCCAAAGUGGCCGUGAAGCCUUUCUUCCUCUCCUCCUCUCCACCUUCCUUCACCCCUACCCGAGGUCAAACUGGAUGAGUCUCACCCUCGGGCCCCCUCUCUGUCAGUGGAUGCGACCUCCGGUGACCUCCCUGCCGGUCGCCGCCGUUCCCGCGCACCGCCGUCGCUGUCGUCCUGGUAGCUGGCGACCAAAUCAAACCGUCUCGGGCUGAGACAGAUCCGGCACCUCCGCCGCACACCGCCGUCACUCGGGGCCACCUCGUUCAUUCUUCCCGACCCUCGGCGACCUGCCCCCGCCGGUCACUGUCGUCCCUGCGCACUGCCGUCACCACCUGGGUGACCUGCGGCCAACCUAGAGCUGGUGUGGGCGGAGGGUGUGUCAUCCCCUUGCCUCGUGCGUCGCUGCUGCUUAGGACCGGCCGCGUUGCCUUCCUGCGAACUCCGGCGACACCGAGGCCGUCGGCCGUCGCCCCCGAGGCCGUCGGCCGUCGCUUUUGCUUCCUGUGGCCGCCCAGGCUUUGUGCAGGCCGAGGCAGAGCCACCCUGGCCUCCGCACGCUGCCACCGCCCAACGUCAAAUGCGCCGCCCUCCCUCGGCCCCCGGUGACCGAUCGUCGUUGCCUCAUCGCUCCCCUGGCCGCUGCCCGGUCGCAGUUGCCUUUCAAACCCGAGCCGAGCUGCACGGGUUGGAUCUCCUUCGCUGCGCUACCGGCCUCCUCCCGCCAAUGGCCAGUGCAUGCCCGAGCCCCCUCUGACCGGCCGCGACCUUCCCCUGCUGGAGUGCCCACCGUCCGGCCACUGUUGGCCACCCUCGUGCUCCAGCUUGCUUCGAUAAGGCUGUUGCUAUUUUCUGUGCACUGUUUGGGAUUCCGGUCACCUUUUCGGCCACCCGGAGACACCUCGACACCCCUAGAAGUGAGCACGAUGAUCUUUGAUCUGUGCCGAACAUCGUGCUCACCUCCAUUUGGGUCAACGAGGCCCCUGUGUGCGUAUUAAAUGCAGUUUUGGCACUGUACGUGCGGUUUCGCUGAAGUUACUGUCGCUCGUGUGCUUGCCACAGUGGCCGGCUGUGCUCCGAAGUGUGAGCACGGCCUUUGGCACAUCAAGACCUGAUAGUAGGUGCCCCGGUCAGGCUUGAGGGUUCUCGGUUUGCGCUGUCGGGGUGUAAAACCUCGAAAACUACAUGAAAUAAGGUGAUAUUAUGUUGUCACAGGAGUUUCUUGGCAAUUGUACACUUUGUGGUAGCUGUUAGCAGCGUGUGCAGGCAGUGGGUGACCUCUGGACUGAUUAUCCAAGGCCCCAGGCCUUUGCGGAGAUCGAAAAUUAAUUUUCGGUGCGUUUAUCGGCAAAAUCCGCCGACGGAACUCGUUUUCGGUUCAGAAUUCUCCCGACGGUGCCUCGCGAUAAUUUGUGUCAUUGCUGAGCCUUGUUGGCUGGUCACCCGUGUCGUUUUGAGGGUUCGUAAACGACGGGUGAGCGUUGGUGGGUUCCGGUGUUGAAUUGGACACUUCCGGGAACCCGGAUCGAAAUGAUUAUUCGACGAUAAUCGUUUCAAUGUGAGUUAGUGUAUUUGUUGCCAAAUCACACGAAUUUAUGUGUUUAGUGGCAGCGGGUGACUCGUAGCACGAGUCGGUGAGUUCCGGAAUAGUUCGUGGGUCCCGACGGAGUCCCGGUGCGAUUUCCGGGACUUCCGGCGUGUUACGGCAAUCGGUUUUGAAAAACCGAUUUUCGUAGGGUUAGUGGUUCGUGAUUGUGGGUUGGAUACUAAUCCGGUGGACCCUUUGUAGGUCCGGUUGACUUUCUUCCGCAGCCAGGAGAUCAGUGCUACGUACGUACAGGUGGGUACUUCGACCCGAAGUCGGUACAGUGGUGCACGCUCGGUGACAUUCCUUUCACUUCUUCCUCAUUAUUAUUAUUGCAUAUUAUAUAUUGAGCCUUGCACCCAUGUUGUUUCUGUUAUACCCUACUCGGUUGUUUACAUGUUUAGUAUCAUGAGUAGGAGUAGAGUAGAUUUAUUUACAUGUGAUAUCUAUGACCUAAUUAGUCGGUUCUUGUAUCUCGUAUCCGUGACCUUGUUUGUCGGCUUAUUGCAUUGUUAUCGUGACUUAUUUGGUCGGUUGGAUUAUUUGAUGACCUAUACGGUCGGUAUACCCUGAGAGGUAGGAUUGUCGGCUAGUGGCUGACGGUUACUUCUGGAUCAUACCGAUGUAUGAUGUGACAUCCUUGUGACCUAUUGGUCGGUUCAUGUGUAUAUAGAUGUUAGUUGACAUUGAGUGGUCGAUACUUCUAUAUCUUCGAUAGGAUGUUGAGUUGUUCUAUUCUAGUUGACCUAAGUGGUCGGUACUUGCAUUCCUUACAGUUCAAUGACCUAUUGGUUAAUAUGCCCCGAGGGGCGGUGAUUGUCGGCUAGUUGCCGACGGUUGGCUAUUGAGCAUAUUAGCAUCGAUCGCCACUGCUCGUACGCAUUUCACGAACACCAGCGGUUUGGCCACCACAAGAGGGUGUUCUUUUUCGGAAAAGAAGUUGGGAGUGCCAGCCCGUGAGCCAGGAGCUUUAUGCUAGGGUUAUAUGCUUUCAGGCAUAGGAGCUUUAUGCUAGGGUCAUUUGCCUUUCAGACCCAGGAGCUUAUGCUAGGGUCGUAUACAGGUUGGAGCAGUUCUGGCACAAGCUUGAGGUGUUGCUUACCAAUAUGGCUGUUUCAGAUUGGGUAUUUUUGGACUUGUCGUCCGGUUGAUGCAUACAUACAGUAGCGGUAGUUGUUCAUUUAUACAUAUCUUGUUCGUUUAUUAUUGUUGCUACUGUAUUAUCCUUACCCAUGCUUUUGUUUAUUCUCCGUGACUGGUGAGUACCCCUCGCCCUCGUCGGCUUGCGAUACCCACUGGGAGGGGAGACAUGUGUACAUGUUCUCACCCCCCACCCCCUUUCAGGUGACAUUGCUUGUCCGAGUCGGGACGGUUCGUGAGGCGCGCAUCUUAGCGAUCAAUAGAGCUACCGACCCGUUGUAUUGGUUAAAUUCCUUAACUUGCUUUCUUAAAAUAAUUGACUUAGCUAAUAUGGUUCAGUUGGCUUUUAUUUAUUUGAAUAAAUGUGAUUUCGUGAAUGUAAUAAAGAACUUAUGGUUUUCUAUGUGAUGAAAAUGAUUUUCUACCCCUCGUGGUAGUGAGUUUUAAGGAAAAAUGGUUUCCAUGUGGAAAACGGUUUUUAAAAAGUUUUUCUUGAUUUUCAUGACUUAGCGUUUUAAAACAAGUUUCCGGAUGGGAAAUAUUGUAAACUAAUAGUUGUGGAAUUAUGGAUAAAUUCUGAAUGUGAAUGUGAAUGGUGUAUGAGUGUGUGUAUGUUCAUAUGUGGUGGUUGUAUCAUGUAUUUUGUAUCUUGUACUUGUGCGACGUCAUGCAAAUACAGGGGAGACUCUGUUCGUGUGAAUAGUGGACUCUCUGUAUUUGUGGCGUAUCUGGCAUACCACUAGGGGGUCAGGUUUUUCAAAAAAAAUAAAAAAAAAAUUUGGGCACUUCCGCUUUACUUUUAAAUAACAAAGGGACCCCGGGGCAUGACAUCUCCAGAUUUCUCUCUCGCGUGCGUAUUUCUCUUCGAUCAACUUCUCUACUCUUCAUUGACUAGUGGAUCAUAAAGGAUUGCUAGCACCGUCCAGAUGGUUCGUGACUCAUCCAGUUCGUGAGACGAAUAUCGAUUGGGUAUGGCCGAUUCUGUGUGGAUAUGCGUAGAAGCCGAGCACAUGCGCGGCUAAUCGGAACUUCUAUUCAUCAUAUUCAGUUUCAACCGUACUGUAGAUCAAGAGACCUUAACUGCUCUAUCGCAAGAUUAAUUUUUUUUGCGUACUAACAUGAGAAUGAUCCGCCGACGUUGAUUGAUUUCUUGGAUUUCGGUUUUCAUAUGUGAUAUGCAUUUAGCUUCUAAAAAAUUUUAAAAGUGCAAAACUAUUUUUCGUUGCGUUUUUCCUUUGUGCCGGUAAUUUCUAACAAUAACACCAUGAUAAUAGCAAUAAAGCACACUUACCUUAAUAUCAAUUCUAAAAUUAAAGCAUUGGAUCAAACCCAACGAUUUAGGCCUAUUUCAAUAAAUACUCUAAGUUUAAAACAUUGCGAGCUUAAUGAAAUUUUCAUCAAAUUUAAUAUAAUUUCUAAUUUAGUAGAUGUUAAUCAAAAUAACCAGAUUUGAUAUUUAUUCUGUAGAUUAAGAGAAAAGGUGGGACCCAUUUUUUACCCUAAAAUAUGGAGAGGGCUUGAAUCCCACGGGGAUUAAUAGUAGUUAUAGAUUAUAGAUGGUAGUGUAAAUAUUAGAUAUGCAUGCUAGAGGCAUAUGCUAUGUGAAAUGUAUCUUAUUACUUAUGUAUGGAAUAUGAAUAAAUGCAUACAUGUGAUAAAUGUAGGUUGCAUUCUCUAGAAAUAGUAGAGAACUCAACAUGUGAAUAUAGAGAACCUAGUGUCAUUGAACAUAGGUGGUAGGAUGACCACUUGACAUGAAUAACUCUAAACCUAGAGAGGUUGACACAUAGGGUAGAACAUAUAGACCCUUGACGAGGCCGUGAAAGUGGCGAUUCCACUACUAUGAUUAGGGCAUGAAAUGGAGAUGGCGAUUCCAUUGCCCGGCACCCAAUAAAUGCGGCGAUUCCGCAUGUUGUGGAUUUAUGGCUAAGUGGUGUAGCAAUUCCGUAGCCCAAUGCCAAGAUGAGGGCGGCGAUUCCACCGGUGAUUGACUCAAGAGUGAGUCAGGUGACAUGACUAUAAUGGGGAACCUAGUGAGUAAAUAUACUUUACAUCACACAAGUAGGUUGCAUGAUCAUGAUUGAGGCAUAAGCUUGUUAUUUCCUAUAUGAUUAUAUAUUAAACUAACCCAUGCUUGUGUUUCCUCCUUUGGACCUAGUGGGUCGACCUUUUUGUUAGAAAAUUGCGUAAAAUAAAAAAUGCAACGGAAAAAAAAAUCAAACAAAUUUGAUUUUUAAAAACUCUUGAGAUCCAAUCUCAAAACCACGCAAUUAGGAUCCCUCGGGUUCUUUAAGAUUAAAGGAGAAAAGCAAGAUCCAAUCUUUACCUUUGCGUGGGUAGAUCUUCACCUUAAUUUGAUGAUCGUCGAAUUAGGUUUUCUUGAAACCGCACACGCAUCCGGGCUCUAUAGGUAUCCACACGAGGUUGGUGAUUUGAUCGAUAUCCUCACCGAGGUGCUAGCUCCCUUACAAAGGACGUCCUUCUUGCUAGAAGAUGGAAGAGAGAGGAUAAGAAAAAUGACGGCUAGGGUUUUCUAAUAUACGGGAAAAGGAUAAGAAAAAUGACGGCUAGGGUUUUCUAAAAACUCCCGUAUAUUAUAUAUAGAGAUAUAAUGACGGCUAGGGUUUUCUAAAAACUCCCGUAUAUUAUAUAUAGAGAUAUAAUCCUCUUUUUAAUAAUAUAAUGAUCAUUAAGGAUAAGUACAAAUCUAGAUUUAAAUUUAUCAUUUCCUUAAUUGGUUAGAUCGAUCAAAUCCUAAUUUGAUUCGACUUAAACUUUAUCUUAAUUUGAUCAAAUCAAAUUAAUAAUACAAUAUUUGCACAUAAGUCCUCUCAUAUUUACUAACUAUUAGUAAGUCCUCUCUUGUAACAUUUACACUUUAAUACCACUAAUUUGUGAUAAUUAUAAAUUGUCCAAUUAUCAAUAUAUUGACAAUUAGGUCCUCCGAUGAUUCAAAUAUCGCGAUCUAACUAUCCGAUCAGUCACAACCACUUAUGUGUGUGAUCCCAUGGUUCUAUUCUAUCUGGUAGUGAGAUAUAUUUUGAUCACUACCAACAAUAUCACUGAAACUCCUUUCAAUGGAUCGGAACAAUUCCAACUCAGUCCAAUGAGAAUUAUCGAUUAUCUAGAUAAUUCUUAUGAGUCUCACUGUCACGCCCCGGGACCAAGCGAAAGCCCGCCCGGCGCGUGUCCAGAUCUGCCGUACGUCUAAAACAUAUAAGGCGUCCAAAAUAAAGCGGUAAAUAAAGCAAUAAUACAAGGAGAUCUAGUGAUAUCAGAGCAUUGUACAACUAGUUAGUUCUAUAACAAGGAAAGAACAUAAAACUGAUAAUCCACCAAAUAAGAACAUAAAGUAAGUGCAAUAGGAAUCCCAUAACAAGUGCUAAACAAAGUACAAGGUGGUCUCUCUAUACAUGGUACAAAAUCUCUCCCUCUCUCUAAUACAAAUAAAGAAGGAGUAACCACCUAGCGCAAAAGAACUCUCUCCCGAGCAAGCUAUGCGACACUCUUGCCGCGAUCCCGUGCCUCCGCUGGUGCCGAAGGCUCUGAAAAGGAAACAUAGAAACAGGGGCGUAAGAACUAUUGAAUAAUAGUUCCCAGUGGGCAAUUACUGACUUCAGUGAAAUGCGCCACUAGGCCCAACUACAACAAAAAGGGGGUCAGUGUACAAGUAUAAGCCAAAGCGAUAAAACAACUAGAAAAUAAAUAUGAAUACUAUCCAUCCAUGAUGUCUCUACUUAGCAUGACUUGCAUAAGUAAGAAGGCAACUACUACAAGUAUGUGCACAAGAGUAUCCAACAUGCAAAUGCAUAAGUAUGCAACUAACCCAAUACCCACAAUGUAAAUAGUAAAGGUGUCAUUGUUUACUAUUCUAGUCGAUGUCCACUUGUCACUUUAACUGUUUAAAGUUCAACUCUAAUAAGACCCACCUGAAGGCUGUCUGGCAUAUGACCCACCCGAAGGCUGUCUGGCUUUACCGUGCCUAAUGGCCCCGUGGUAGUCAACAUCCCCACCCUAGGAAUGAGCCUUUCCCACGGCAAUCCACUUCGGCGCCCAAUCCCGCACGGCGAACAUAUCGCGAUGGCCAACUCCGGAGUGCCGGUUUGUAGGGAGCGACCCUCACAAGCAUGUGCGAAUGAGCACAAUGGUAAGCAUGCAUACGAUCCGACACAAAUACCAAGUCCUCAUGAGUAAUACAUGGAAUAUAUAACAUAUCUCAUAGGCCUAUCUCUAUGUCAUCAUGUUGCAGUUUCAUAGUUUACUAGUUUCAAAUGCCUCUUUAUGACACUUUUGUUCAACAAGUCUAAGCAUGAUAAUUAUGUUUAUAAUGCAUAAUUCUAGUCAUUUCCAUUAUACAUAAUGAGUUCCCAACUCGCAACAAGAACCACUCCUCUCAUGCAUGCUACCAACACAUAUAACUCUACUAUAUAGAGUGAAAAUUUUAUGAUACAUAAGGCAUGCAUGUUAAGUGUUCUAAAAUUCUUAUAAAUCAUAAAUAGCAUGGAUUUGCACUUAGAAAUACUUUACGACGAGUAUAGAAAGCAUAGGGGCCAUUUUGCCCCGUGUUCAAGAAGCCAAACCCACCAAAACACUCGCGAUCCUUCGUAAGCUCCGACGAAGGUGUCGACUAGCCUCCUAGCACCCUAGAGAUGUAGGAACAAGGGUCAAACAAACGUAACGAACAACCACAAGGUUGAUCAUUAACCAUCUCAAGCUAGGGUUGGGAAAAACUCACCUCAAGUGAAAAACCCUCUCUUAAUCUUCAAAUGGGAGGUAGAGGUCUUCCAAUCUAACCUAUAUAAAGGUUCCAAACCAUUCCAAUGAGAUCAAGAAGCCUCAAAUCAAGAAUCCCCAAAUCUAACCCUAAAAUCCAAAAUCUAGGGUUUAAACAAGCAAAAAGCCCCAAAACUAAGAUCUAGAGGAAGGAACCUUGCCACUUACCUCUAGGAUGCUCCAAUCCAAGCUCAAAAUCUUCUAGGGUUGAAGAUUGAUCCACCACAAAGCUCCAAAAGCAAGCUCCAAGCCUCCAAAGGUGAGAAAUGAGGAAGAAGAUGGUGCUCCAAGGCCUCCAAGCAAGCUCCUCUCCUCUCCUUCUCCUUCUUCUCCUUCCCUUUCUCUCUCUAGAAGUGUAGGGAGAGUGUGAGGGAGAGAAAAUGAGAGUGAGAGGGGGAAGAGAGGCUGCCUAAAGCCUCUAAGGUAACAAAAUCCACUUAGGCCCCUCAAAAAUCCACUCUGUGCACUGCCCGGUCUGGGCCGCUCACGCGCUGAGGGACCGGUCUCUCCCUGCCAGGGACCGGUCUCUCGGCUCGUCCCGCAAAACCAGCGUUCGGGAACCGGUCUCUCACAGCCAGGGACCGGUUGCCUCAAGCCCUGUCGCAGCACUGUGCUGAGGGGACCGGUCUCUCAUAUCAGGGGUCGGUCCUCGAGAGUGAAAACUCUCAGGACUUGCCAAAACUCUAGAGAUCGAACUUUUAGGCCGGUAUACAUCGACGGCCCUCCACCAAGUGUGGAAAAGUUCGGAAUACAUAUCGAACACUCGAACCUCGCAAUUUGCAAAGGUCCAGUGUGCUACAUUCACCCCUCCUAAAAAGGAGUUUCGUCUGCGAAACUCGAAUGCUAACAUACCUCAAAACUCCGUCUGAAAUAGAUGGGGAUAGCGCUCCUGCAGUGCACUCUUUAGCUCCCACGUGGCCUCCCGCUUCCCGUGGUUGCUCCAAAGAACCUUCACGUACGGAAUAUCCCGGUUCCGCAGUUUCCGCACCUCGCGGGCCAAAAUCUUCGCUGGUUGCUUCUCGAAGCUCAAGUCGUCCCAUAACUCCAUAGGUGUAGCAUCCAACACAUGAGUCCGGUCGAAGACAUACUUCCGAAGGACCGAUACAUGAAAGACGUUGUGCACGCCGGAUAGGUUCGGUGGUAGAGCAAGUCAAUAUGCUACCGGACCUACACGUUCCAAGAUCUCGUACGGUCCAAUGAAACGGGGGCUCAACUUACCUCGAAUCCCAAAUCUCUUAAUCCCUCUAGUCGGCGAGACCUUCAAGAAAAUAUGGUCUCCAACUUGGAACUCCAAGUCUCGCCGUCGUCGAUCGGCGUAGCUCCUCUGUCUACUCUGCAUCGUCAAAAGUCGCUCCCGAGCAAUUCGAACCUUGUCCUCAGCUUCCUGGAGCACGUCGAGGCCUAAUGCCAAUCUCUCGCCGACUUCACUCCAAUAAAGUGGCGAUCUACACUUCCGUCCGUAAAGUGCUUUGAAGGGCGCCAUCUUGAUGCUUGCUUGAUAACUGUUGUUAUAAGCAAAUUCCGCCAUCGGUAGAUGCUGCGACCAUCCUCCUUGGAAGUUUAUUACACAUGCUCGGAGCAUAUCCCCUAAAGUCUGAAUGGUGCGCUCCGACUGCCCAUUACUAUGAGGGUGGAAAGCAGUGCUGAAGUCCAAUCGAGUGCCUAGGGCGUCCUAUAGACUCCUCCAAAAAUGAGACACAAACCUAGUGUCUCGAUUCGAUACUAUCGAUGUAGGCACUCCAUGAAGCCGCACAAUCUCAUCAAGGUACACUUGCGCAAGCUUCUCCCCGGUCCAAGUAGUAUGAAUAGGUAUGAAGUGCGCCGACUUCGUCAACCUAUCCACGAUCACCCAUAUAGCAUCAUGCCCGGCCUGAGAGCGAGGCAAUCCAGUCACAAAAUCCAUGGUGAUCUUCUCCCACUUCCACACGGGUAUAGGCAGACUCUGAAGUUUUCCCGCAGGCAAUCGAUGCUCUGCCUUUACUUGUUGGCAAGUUAGAGAACGAGCUACAAACUCGCCAACUUCCUUUUUCAUUCCGGGCCACCAAUAAAACAACUUCAAGUCCUUGUACAUCUUGGUGCCUUCCGGAUGUAUAGCGUAGGGCGCUCGGUGCGCUUCUUGAAGAAUAUCCUCUUUAAUUCCCGAAUCCGUCGGUACACAAAUCUGUCCACGAAAACGCAUCAAUCCUUGAUCAUCCACAAGGAAGUCGCCGGUGCAACCAUUAACCAUUUUACCUUUAAUCCUUUGCAACUCUACAUCGGAAGCUUUCUUUUCUUUAAUUCGAUCCAAAAGUGUAGGUUGCACCACCAACGUCAUCAACCUCAAAGGCGUGUCAGGAGUCACUACCUCCAACUCCAACCGCUUCAUUUGCUCGAUCAACUGCGGUUGAGUAACAAUAUGCAUCGCUAAGUUUUCAGUUGACUUCCUACUUAGCGCAUCCGCCACCACGUUAGCCUUGUCCGGGUGGUAAAGAAUCGUUAGAUCAUAAUCCUUGAGCAGCUCCAACCAUCUGCGCUGUCUCAAGUUCAACUCCUUCUGAGUAAACAGGUACUUUAAGCUCUUGUGAUCCGUGUACACUUCACACCGCUAGCCAUAAAGAUAGUGGCGCCAUAGCUUCAAUGCGAACACUACGGCCGCUAACUCCAAAUCAUCCGUCGGGUAGUUCCUUUCAUAUUUCUUUAGUUCGAGAAGCAUACGCAAUCACCUUGCCAUCCUGCAUCAACACACAGCCCAAUCCGUUAAGAGAUGCAUCACUGUAAAUCACAUACCCUGCUCCAGUCACCGGCAGGGUUAGGAUCGGGGCGAUCGUCAAUCGUUGCUUCAGCUCUUGGAAGCUUCUCUCACACGCAUCAUUCCAGAUGAACUUAACGCCUUUAUGCGUGAGCCUCGUAAGGGGAGUAGACAACUUAGCAAACCCCUCAACAAAUCUCCGGUAAUAACCGGCCAAUCCAAGGAAGCUCCGUAUCUCCGUGACGCUCGUCGGUCUCGGCCAAUCCUUGAUUGCUUCAAUCUUCUUAGGAUCCACAGCUAUACCCGAUCCUGAUAUCAAAUGUCCAAGGAAGGCUACCUCUCGAAGCCAAAAUUCGCACUUUUUCAGCUUGGCAUAAAGCUCCUUUUUCCGAAGUAUUUGAAGUACAAACCUCAAAUGCUCCUCGUGAUCCGCAUCGCUUCGGGAGUAAACCAAAAUAUCGUCGAUGAACACCACGACAAACCUGUCCAGAUAUGGCUUGAAAACACGGUUCAUCAAAUUCAUAAAAGCUGCCGGGGCAUUAGUAAGCCCAAACGGCAUCACUGUGAACUCAUAGUGUCCAUACCGUGUUCUAAAAGCUGUUUUCGAUACAUCCUCGGGUUUGAUCUUUAACUGGUGGUAUCCCGACUUCAAGUCUAUCUUGGAAUACACACUCGAUCCUUGAAGCUGAUCAAACAAGUCGUCAAUCCUCGGCAACGGAUACUUGUUCUUGAUCGUGACUUUAUUGAGCUCACGAUAGUUCACACAUAGGCGAAGUGAUCCGUCCUUUUUCUUGACGAAUAGAACUGGCGCUUCCCACGGCGAGACGCUUGGUCGAAUGAAGCCCUUGUCCAACAGAUCCUGUAGCUGUGCCCUCAGCUCCUUCAGUUCCGCCGGUGCCAUCCUGUAGGGUGCCUUCGAGAUUGGGGUAGUCCCAGGGACGAGAUCUACCACAAACUCAAUCUCCAUAUCAGGAGGCAUGCCCGGAAGCUCAGCUGGAAACACAUUCUGGAACUCCCGCACCACCGGAAUAUCCUCGAUCCUAGGGGUGUCAUCCUCGCCCCUCAUCACAACACUAGCCAAGUAGGCUACACAUCCUCGGCUGAUCAGCUGCCUAGCUCGAGACGAGCUGAUCGACAUCGCGAAAAGCGAACUCCGGCAUCCUCUAAACACAACCUCAGUCUGCCCCGGUUCUCUAAAGGUAACCGUGCGAUUCUUGCAAUCUAUUGUGGCAUAAUACUUAGUUAGCCAAUCCAUACCCAAGACCACCUCAAAGUCCCCUAGCUUGCGCAGGGCUAGCAAAUCUACGGGCAUGAUCCAAUCUCCUACCCGAACAGGGCAACUAGGGCAAUACUCUCUAAUAUCCAGAGUGUGGUCGGGGACUACGACAUGUCUCGGAUGCAACAAGAAAACCAAAGGGAUGCCAUGCAACUGGGCAAACAGCCGAUCAAUAAAUGAAUGCGAUGCACCGGUAUCAAAUAAAGUACGAACUCUAAUGCCAUCACGUAAAAUGAUACCUGCAACCACAUCCUUGGCUGCUGCUGCCUCCUCGGUCUGAGCAGCAUACAUGCGUCCACUCGGGACCUGCCGAAACCCCUCACUCUGCCGCUGGACGGUUGGCCGCCCAGGCUGGUACUGUGUCGACGGAGUCCCCUGGCUGGCGGCUAGUAGAGCCGGUGCCGAUGCAGUCGACGUUGCUGGUGAAGAACCUCUCGGGCACUCAAUCCGCACGUGGCCCUCCUGACCACACUGGAAGCACCUGCCCGCCCGCUGUGGACACUGCGGUGGGUGAUGAGGACCACCACAGAUCACACACGAGGAGAGCCGGCGUCGGUCAAAUCCUCCUCGCUGCGCUGCUGAGCCGCGUCCUCGCUGCUGGCUUUUAGGAUGCUUCGGCGGCCUCCUAGAGUGCGUCUGGCUCGCACCCUCAGCCCCAGGCCUCUUGGCCUUGCCUUUGUCCAUCGCCUCUCGUCGCUCCUGGACCUCUGCUGCGCCGCUCUCCACUAUGAGCGCGCGAUCCACCACCUCCCGGUAGGUUUGGAGGUUAGAGGAUUGCACAAAUCGGAAGAUCGACGGUCGCAACCCUCGCUGGAAAAUGCGGGCCUUAUCCUCGUCGUCCCGCACGACGAAGGGCACGCAGUGAAGAAGCCGAGAAAACUCCCGCUCGUACUCGGCUACAAUCCGAUCACCUUGGCGCAAGUUGCGCAGAUCCUACUCCAUCUUCCGCUUGACGCUAGUCGGAAAGUAAUGCGCCAAAAGAAGCUCCUUGAACUUCUUCUAUGUGAUAGCUGCCAAAUCAGUGCUGGGGUUCUCCUGGAGAUCCAACCACCAGCGGUAGGCCUCGCCGUCCAAAUGGUGUGUGGCGAGCCAACCUCGAUCCCUUUCCUCCACGAAGGUAUCGCGGAAGAGCUUCUCCAUGUGCAUCAACCACUUUUCCACGAUCCAGUGGUCGACCUUCUCGCCAUCGAAAAUCCUGGAGCUGCACCUCCUGAACUCAUUAAGGCGUUCCAUCAGUCUGUCCCACUCUGCUCCCUCGGCUAACACGGAAAAAAUAGCUCCGAUCGGGGGCGCUUGAACAGGGGGUGCCACCAAACCCUCGCCCUGAGGCGCGCGCCGCAUGCGAAGAACUGGGCGCGGGGGAUGGCGCUCUCGGAGCGACGUCCACAACUGGUGCUUGCGGUGUAGGGGCCUGAGUCUCCCUAGAAGCUGCUGCCUGCUGCAGUAAAAGGUCCUCCAGGCGCUUCAUCCGCGCCUCCUGUCGGAGCGCCGCUUCAGUCUGCUGUCGGGCUACCUCCACCUGCUGAGUGACUAAAUCAGUGAGGGCCGCAAGCUGGCCCCUCAACUCACGGACCUCGCUGGAUCCGGAGGUAGCGGAGGUCUCGACCUCCUCAAAGUUUGCCACAUUAUCUGCCCCGGCAGAUUGGGAGCGUGUGAUCGGCAUCGCACUACAACAUCAUAAAAGCGUAAGUUAGCAAAAACCCACGUUAUCGCAUCCCCGCUCAAAGAUAAAACCCAAAUCAGGCGAAACUAAGGAAGUGUGCUUCACUACUAACUCCCGACGUUAUGUUGUCGGCCGCCAACGUAACCCUCUGCGAAGUUAGAAGCUAUACACUUCAAUUCAACUCUAACUUUUUAGAGUUAUCAAGAUAACCAAUCAAGGUACUUUCGCUCACAAAUCAAAUAGACCUCGUCUCUCACGAGCCUAUUUCCAAUAGUCCAACCGGUCUAAGGUUUGCUAGAUCCCCUAAGACUCAACCCUAGGCUCUGAUACCAAACUAAUCUGUCACGCCCCGGGACCCAGCGGAAGCCCGCCCGGCGCGUGUCCAGAUCCGACGUACGUCUAAAACAUACAAGGCGUCCAAAAUAAAGCAGUAAAUAAAGCAAUAAUACAAGGAGAUCUAGUGAUAUCAGAGCAUUGUACAACUAGUUCUUUAACAAGGAAAGAACAUAAAACUGAUAAUCCACCAAAUAAGAACAUAAAGUAAGUGCAAUAGAAAUCCCAUAACAAGUGCUAAACAAAGUACAAAGGGGUCAGUGUACAAGUAUAAGCCAAAGCGAUAAAACAACUAGGAAAUAAAUAUGAAUACUAUCCAUCGAUGAUGUCUCUACUUAGCAUGACUUGCAUAAGUAAGAAGGCAACUACUACAAGUAUGUGCACAAGAGUAUCCAACAUGCAAAUGCAUAAGUAUGCAACUAACCCAAUACCCACAAUGUAAAUAGUAAAGGUGUCAUUGUUUACUAUUCUAGUCAAUGUCCACUUGUCACUUUAACUGUUAAAGUUCAACUCUGAUAAGACCCACCCGAAGACUGUCUGGCAUAAGACCCACCCGAAGGCUGUCUGGCUUUACCGUGCCUAAUGGCCCCGUGGUAGUCAACAUCCCCACCCUAGGAAUGAGCCUUUCCCACGGCAAUCCACUUCGGCGCCCAAUCCCGCACGGCGAACAUAUCGCGAUGGCCAACUCCGGAGUGCCGGCUUGUAGGGAGCGACCCUCACAAGCAUGUGCGAAUGAGCACAAUGGCAAGCAUGCAUACGAUCCGUCACAAGUACCAAGUCCUCAUGAGUAAUACAUGGAAUAUAUCACAUAUCUCAUAGGCCUAUCUCUAUGUCAUCAUGUUGCAGUUUCAUAGUUUACUAGUUUCAAAUGCCUCUUUAUGACACUUUUGUUCAACAAGUCUAAGCAUGAUAAUUAUGUUUAUAAUGCAUAAUUCUAGUCAUUUCCAUUAUACAUAAUGAGUUCCCAACUCGCAACAAGAACCACUCCUCUCAUGCAUGCUACCAACACAUAUAACUCUACUAUAUAGAGUGAAAAUUUUAUGAUACAUAAGGCAUGCAUGUUAAGUGUUCUAAAAUUCUUAUAAAUCAUAAAUAGCAUGGAUUUGCACUUAGAAAUACUUUACGACGAGUAUAGAAAGCAUAGGGGCCAUUUUGCCCCGUGUUCAAGAAGCCAAACCCACCAAAACACUCGCGAUCCUUCGUAAGCUCCGACGAAGGUGUCGACUAGCCUCCUAGCACCCUAGAGAUGUAGGAACAAGGGUCAAACAAACGUAACGAACAACCACAAGGUUGAUCAUUAACCAUCUCAAGCUAGGGUUGGGAAAAACUCACCUCAAGUGAAAAACCCUCUCUUAAUCUUCAAAUGGGAGGUAGAGGUCUUCCAAUCUAACCUAUAUAAAGGUUCCAAACCAUUCCAAUGAGAUCAAGAAGCCUCAAAUCAAGAAUCCCCAAAUCUAACCCUAAAAUCCAAAAUCUAGGGUUUAAACAAGCAAAAAGCCCCAAAACUAAGAUCUAGAGGAAGGAACCUUGCCACUUACCUCUAGGAUGCUCCAAUCCAAGCUCAAAAUCUUCUAGGGUUGAAGAUUGAUCCACCACAAAGCUCCAAAAGCAAGCUCCAAGCCUCCAAAGGUGAGAAAUGAGGAAGAAGAUGGUGCUCCAAGGCCUCCAAGCAAGCUCCUCUCCUCUCCUUCUCCUUCUUCUCCUUCCCUUUCUCUCUCUAGAAGUGUAGGGAGAGUGUGAGGGAGAGAAAAUGAGAGUGAGAGGGGGAAGAGAGGCUGCCUAAAGCCUCUAAGGUAACAAAAUCCACUUAGGCCCCUCAAAAAUCCACUCUGUGCACUGCCCGGUCUGGGCCGCUCACGCGCUGAGGGACCGGUCUCUCCCUGCCAGGGACCGGUCUCUCGGCUCGUCCCGCAAAACCAGCGUUCGGGAACCGGUCUCUCACAGCCAGGGACCGGUUGCCUCAAGCCCUGUCGCAACACUGUGAUGAGGGGACCGGUCUCUCAUAUCAGGGACCGGUCACCGAGAGUGAAAACUCUCAGGACUUGCCAAAACUCUAGAGAUCGAACUUUUAGGCCGGUAUACAUCGACGGCCCUCCACCAAGUGUGGAAAAGUUCGGAAUACAUAUCGAACACUCGAACCUCGCAAUUUACAAAGGUCCAGUGUGCUACACUCACAAUCCACUAGUGACGCCUAGCAACAUGUAGUGGCAUUCCAGUAGAAUGGAAUACUGAACCUCUUGGUGCAGUUACUUCUUCUGGAUAAGUCAAUUAGGUAUCUGUUUGUUCCCUUUCUUCUAGUUGGUAAUUUGUUGGUCUUAGAUUGGUGAGUCUAAUCAGUAAGUAGAACUUCUUGUGAACUUUAUUUUAUUUUUAAUCUCUUUAUUAAUUUUCUAGAUUUAUGUACAUACAUUUUAUCAGUUGAUGUAUCAUUUUAUUUUAAAUUUUUUGUGAUAUAAAUAUUUCAUAUUGUGGUCUUACUCUUUGAUAUAUUUCUUUCGUUGUUCUUAAUAUUCUUGUACCUCCAGCUCUGUAUCUAUAAACUAAGAUUUUUUACUAAGGAGAAUAUGAUCCUGAAAUAGUUUUGUGAUUUUGUCAUUCUGAAUAAAACCUGUAUUCAUUUACAUUAAACCUUAAGCAAAAUAUUCCAUAUAGCUAGGGCCCUGUCAAUAGAUUCUAGGAAGCAAUGUAUUAAGGUGUGGUGUGGUUUAUGCUGUGCGAUUGCUGAAUAUGAUGCAUGUCUAGUGCUUAGUUGAGUUAAAAACUUAAAAGAUCAAUUGUCACCUCAAUAAAGGUAGGCUGAUGAACAAUGAUAGGACUUGCUAUGUUCCAUUAAGAAAUCUUGUACCUAAAAUGAUUGUUAACAUUAUUUAAUUGUAUAAUCAGGACAUUGAAAUUAGUAUUGAAUGUUUUUACCUGUUAUUCCAAGGAUUCAUAUGUAUGCAGACAAUGCAGCCACUACUUACAAUGUUAAAUGUGUUCUCAACAGUCAACGCUAGUGUUCUUUCGAAUUUGAAGUCAAAAUUCUUGCAUAUUUUCUCUCUAUUAUUUAGCAAGUUCAAACCGUGGGUUGUUAAUAUCUAUUCCAUUGGAUAACUGUGUAGAUUUCUAAAGGACUUGGAAGAGCUACAAAGAAUACACCGAACGACCAAUGCAUCAAGUUAACCCUUCAUCAUGCAAUCAUGAAAGGGGAAUGAAUUGAUACGUAGAGGGUUUAAAACAAUACAUGGGAAGGAGCCCUUUUUUGUAAUUUUGUUCAUAUGGGCAUUUCGUACGCUAUGGUAUGAGUUUGCAUAGAUUUUUAAUUAGGUAAUUUUUUUGUGUGUGAAUGGAUUGUUAUUUCAUGAACAAUUUUAUUGUGUAGGUAUAGUACAUUCGCUAUGGAUGUAACUCAUAUUUUUCAGUAUUAAUCAUAGUAAGUUAUUAUGAUCAACUUUAUAGAUAUGUAAAUAUAUAAAUUAUUUUUUUUAUUAAUAUGUUGAAAUAUUUGUUGGGUGCAAUAAAAAUUUGAAAAAAAUAAUUAGAAAAAAAUAAAUUUAUGAUGUUUCAAAGUGUCAGGAAUUUUGAAGAGUCGGGAAAUUAAGAACAAUAACCGGACGCUUCAAAGCGUCAAGAAUUCCUGACGCUUCAAAGCGUCGAGAAAUUGAGAGAAUUACUGACGCUUGAAAACGUCAGAAAUCGUGUAAUAGGAUGAUGGUUAAAGAUUUUCAACAUAAUGACGCUCAGAAGCGUCAAGAAUUUAUUUUAUUUUCUUGACGCUUAUUAGUGUCAGAACAUUUUAUUCUACGACGCUUGUAAGCGUUGAAAAAUAUUUUACCGACGCUUGGUUAAAGCGUCGGUAAAUACGUGACGACUCUUCAUUUGUUGACGCUUUUACCGACAUUUUGUAAUGCGUCGGUAGAUUUUUUAGGGACAUUUAAAAGCGUCUCUAGCUGUCACGCCCCGGGACCCAGCGGAAGCCCGCCCAGCACGUGCCCAAACCCGCCAUAUGUCUAAAAACAUAUAAGGCGUCUACUAACAACAAUAAUAAAAGCAAUAACAGAAGACAUCUAGAAGUAUCAGAGCAUAGUAAGUGUCUAAAUGCUACAACAAGGGAUAAAACAGUAAAUUCACUAAAUAAGACAUAAAGUAAAUACAAUAGGAAAUUCCAAAUACAAGUGCUAAAAGUAGGUACAUAGGUGGUCUCUACACAUGGAUACAAAAUCUCUCACUCUCCCAACUACAAAAGAAAGAGCAAACCACCUAGGCAAAGAACCGCUCCUCGCUAGCUAGCUAAGCGAUCCCCUUGCCGCGAUCCCGUGCCUCCGCCGGUGCCGAAGGCUCUGAAAAGAAAACCAGAAAACAGGGGCGUGAGAACUAUUAAAAAUAGUUCCCAGUGGGCAAUUACUGACUUCAGUGAACUGCGCCACAAGGCCCAAAAGCUACAAGAAGAGGUCAGUGACUAACAAUGUAAUAAUAAAAAGGUAAGCAUAAAGUGACUUACUAUAACAUAGAGUCUCCACUUAGCAUGAUUGGCAUAAGUAAUAAAGCAACUAUAUCAUGAAUGUACAUGGAUGGGUAUGACAUGCAUAAGCGUAGGAAUGCAACCAAUCCAAUGUUCUCAAUGCAAAAUAGUAGGGAUGUCAUUGUUUACUAUUCUAGUCCAAGUCCACUUUAAUAGUUUUAAAGUUCACAAAGCACGUUCCGUCACUAAGUCCCAAUCAUAUAAGACCCACCCGAAGGCUGUCUGGCCUGCGCCGUGCCUAAUGGCCCCGUGGUAGUCAACAUCCCCACUCUAGGGAUGAGCCUCCCCCACGGCAAUCCACUUCGGCGCCCAAUCCCGCACGGCGAGCAUGUGUCGCGAUGGCUAUCUCCGGAGUGCCGGCUUGUAGGGAGCGACCCUCACAAGCAUGUGCGAAUGAGCACAAAUGGCAAGCAAGCAAUGAUCCGUCUCAAGAGCCAAGUCCUCAUGUCUAACAACAUGGAAUAUAUCAAGUAUCUCAAUGGCCUAUCUCUAUGUCAUCAUGUCUCUAACAUGGAAUGUAGCAGAUAUAUAGUGGCCUAUCAACAUGUCCCUAGGUUGCAGUUUAAUAGUUUACUAGUUUCAAGUGCCCCUUGAUGACACUUUGGUUCAACGAGUUCCAAGCAUGGCAUUAAUAUGUUCAUGACGCUUAAAUUCACUCAACUCUAGCAUGGAGACAUGUUCUCAACUUGUAAAACCAAGCACUAUUCACAAUGCAUGCAAUCUACACAUAUAGCUCUACUAUAUGGAGUACAAAUUUUACGAUAUAUGAGGCAUGCAUAUUAAGUGUUCUAAAAUUCACAUGAGUCAUAUUUAGCAUGAAUUUGCAUUCAAAAAUAUUUUACAAAAGUUUAGAAGACAUAGGGGCCAUUUUGCCCUAUUUCCAUGAAGUCAAACCCACCAAAAUCAACUUCUUCGUUUCGCCGAACGAAGGUAUCCACAAGCUCCCUAGUACCCUAGAAACAUCAAAAAUAGGGUCACCCAAACGAAACGAAGAGCAAAUAGCUCAAUCAUUAAGCUCCUCAAGCUAGGGUUGGAGAAAACUUACCGAUUGCGAAGAAGGCUCUCACGAUCUCCAAAUGGGAGUUAGAGUCCUUCCAAUCUAACCUAAACAAAGGUUCUAAACCCAUCAAUUUGGUUCCAAAGCCCCCAAAUUCAAAAACCCCCAAAAUAAACCCUAAAUCCCAAAAUCUAGGGUUUCAUCUAGUAAAACCUAGGAAAGCAUGUAACAAAUGGGGAUUACAAGCUACCAACCUCAAGAGAAGCCCCAAUCCAAGCUCAAAACCAAGUAGGGUUGAAGUUUGAUCCUCCACAAAGCUCCAACCGCAAGCUCCAAGCCUCCAAAGGUGGGAAAUGAGGAAGAAGAUGGUGCUCCAAGGCCUCCAAGCAAGCUCUUCUCCUCUCCUUCUCCUUCUUCUCCUUCCCUUUCUCUCUCUAGAAGUGUAGGAAGAGUGUGAGGGAGAGAAAAUGAGAGUGAGAGGGGAGGAGAGGCUGCUUAUAGCCUCUAAAGUAACAAAAUCCACAUAGGCCCCUCAAAAACUCAAAUUUACAUCAGCCCGGUCUGGGCAGUUUUCGCCCAGAGGGACCGGUCUCCCCGACCUGGGACCGGUCUCUCAGCCUGCCCCCGAAGAUCCAACGUUCGGGAAUCGGUCUUUCCCUGCGCGGGACCGGUCUCUCCCCGCGCAGACGCGCUCGGGGACCGGUCUCGACUGCCAGGGACCGGCUGCCUUGCCGGCCACGCAGCACUGUUCACUGGGGGACCGGUCUCUCCUAUCAGGGACCGGUCCCCGAGAGUAAAAACUCUCAGGACUCUGCCAAAACUCUCGAGAUCGAACUUUUAGACCGGUAUACCAUCGACGGCCCUCCACCAAGUGUGGAAAAGUUCGAAAUACAAAUCGAACACUCAAACCUCGCAAUUUGCACAAGUCCAGUGUGUUACACUAGCUGUUCAUAAAAAGGUCCUUAAAUAUCAUAUUUUUUGUAGUGAGGACAAAGGACUAGUCACACUACUACAACAUUGAGUAAGUCGCUGACGAGUGAGUAGACAUCCAAGUGACUUUUCGCAUUGGUCACGCUUAGUACCCUUUGUCACGCCCCAAGACCGCUACCAAUUUGGUCCGGUUCGGGUGCGUCGAACAGACGCCGAACGGACAGCACCUUCCUUGUCCGCCCAAGGCCAAACAACCAGAUCGUGUAUAAGAAUUUGCCUAGAAAUAGAAAUUCUAUACAUACACAAUCAACGAAGGGCAUAACAAGUGCCAACAACUAAGAGCAAGAGUCACGAGUGCAUACAAGUGAACAAAAGAGAGAUUUACUAGCUAUUACACCACAUUGCAUUCAGUUACAUCAUUUUACAUUUACAUCUUUCCAAAAUGAAUACCAUUGCUACUAGGUCAUCAGCAAAAUACAUACAUAGCUCUCCAAUCCUCACCUACAUAAGUCUCUCAAUACAUAGGGUAAUGCUAAUGCAAAAAGGAAAGCUACUAUGUACUACCGCUCAGGCGCGAUGCCCUUGCCGCGGUUCUCGCCGGCGUACUCGUACUAGGCCCUGCAACAAAGUGGGGUGAGAACUAUUAUCCAUAGUUCCCAGUGGGUUCGGCCGCCGACUCCGCCGAUCUUCCCAUUAGGUCCGAAUGGACAAAAGCAGAUAGAUAGAUAGAUAGAUAGAUAGAAAAACUGUAACUAACAUAGUAAGAAAACUAUGCUACUAUAACCAAUCAUAAGUAAUGUAUGCAUGUAUCAUAUAGUAAAUGGUUUACUAACAUGCCACUAUAUCCACUACUAUGUCCAAUAAGNACUAGAUGCCACUCGUUCUCGGUUCAUUGUUAACUAGAUGCCACUCGUCCUCAUUACACUAGUUUACAAUAUGCUAGGUUCUUAUUCACACAGACAUGCUCAUCAUAUAUAGGGUUAACUAUCCACAGUGUUCAACGCAUGCAUACUAGUUCUCAUUCACUAUAUCUGCGAAUUCAACUAACACUAGUAUGCGAUAAUAUGUAACAACUGCAUAUAAAACCCUAUAAUGCUAUAUCACAAUAUGCAAUUGAUCGACGAUAGAACUCAGACAUAGAAAGCAGUUCAACUGCUUCGGUAUGGCACUCUCCCACCUCGUGGCGAUGUCGUGACUCUUCGAAUGUGAUUCACCGACUUUUCGACGUCUCGUUCGCCUUCUAGGCGGGAACGAAGCUCUGAGGGUCUCCUUUGACAAUAACUUCGCACCCACUCGACGGAUUGACAAACCGUUUUCGCCGACACGUUCAGGGACCUAGCAAUUAGGUUUGCGACCCCUCAAAUUAGAUCAAAACCCUAGCAUUGCCAAAAUCCUAAUUCUGAGCCCUAGGUCUCAAUACUGGAGAAAUCCGUGGUGCGAGCUUCAAUUUCAAGCUCGAACCUUCUCCCUAGCUUCAAUAGGUUCCAUUCGAACUAUUUCUAAACCAUAAAACCCUAACCCAAGAAAUCCACCAUGGUAGGGUUAGAAGCUUACCUUCAAAAGCUUAGCCCAAUGAGAGGAAGAAGAUGAGGAAGACGAUCCUCACCCUUGUCUUCUUCUUCUCUUACUUCAUCUCCUUCCUCUCCUCUUCUUUCUUUUCCUUUCUCUUCCUUUCCUUCUUCUUCUCCUUCUUUUUCUUUCUAGAAAGAGAGAGAGCAAAAGGGUAUGAGAGGGAGAGAGCAACUGAGAGAGAGAGAGUGUAACACACUGGACCUUUGCAAAUUGCGAGGUUCGAGUGUUUGGAUGUGUUUCGAGCUUUUCCACACUUGGUGGAGGGUCGUAGAAUGUUUUCCGACCUAAAAAGUUCGAAAACUAGAAUUCUGGAUAAGUCCUGAGAGUUUUUACUCUCGGGGACCGGUCCCUGGAAGGAGAGACCGGUCCCCCAAUGAGCAGUGUUGCGGCAGCCCUGAGGCAACCGGUCCCUGGCGGGCGAGACCGGUCCCCGAGCGCUCCUUCGCAGAGAGAGACCGGUCCCGUGCACGGAGAGACCGGUUACCGAACGUUGGUUUUUCGGGUUCGCAGCGAGAGACCGGUCCCUACUGGGGAGAGACCGGUCCCUCUGGGUGAAAACUGCCGAGACCGGGCUGAUGCAAUAUCGGAUUUUUGAGGGGCCUCUCCGGAUUUUGUUACACUAGAUGGGCUUAUUAGCCAUUUCCUCCUCUUCCCUCUCUCAUUUUCUCAUUCUCACCCUCUCCCUACACAGAGAAGAGAUAAACUCAACCACGUAUCGAUUUUCCAUUUCCAAUUGAAGGACCUACCAAAGUCAUGUCCAGCUGUGCCUAAAUGCCUGGGUGACCCGACAUUCCUACUCUUGGGAAAUGUGUCUGUCCACUCGACGCCCGUAGGUGUCUCCUAAUACCGCACGAGCGAACAAAAGCGCGUGGCUAACUCCGGAGUGCGCUUGUAGGAGCGACCCUCACAAACAUGUGCGAAUGAUGACAAAUGGCAACAACAAGUCAACUGUCUCAAAUACUUCUAUCCCGCAUGUCUUCUAACAUGGCAAGGUCGACUAGCAUCCCAAAGGAUCUAGCCAAUGUCUCUAAGUGAUGUCCAACCUCACUGCUUAGUCUCUUUAUGACACUUAAGCAUCACACUCGAUCAAGUCAAUUCUUGUCUAUGUUUCCAUUAAUACGAUCAAUACCAAUGAUUACACACCCGGCCCAAGUGCCGCUUUAUGGCAUGUGUCCAAUUCUCAAUAGUCCAGUUCUCAAACCUCCUCUAGGCCUUUCUAACAUUCUAAUGAUCACAAUUGGCAUAUAGGUUAAAUGCAUUGAAAGCAAUAGGUUCAUUUAAUAAGAAGGAUCAUGCUUUCCCAAUCAUAAAUAGAUAUCUAACAGUACCCAUGCAUGCACUCUUACCGACAUCAGGGGUCUACGAAAUUUCACCUAUACAUAAUAUAUGCCCAUGUUAGCAUUCUAAAAUUCAUAUUAAAUACAUUUAACAAGAAAUGAUGAGUUUCUAUUUUACGAAACAGUAUUUUGCCAAAUAUUGAGCCAUUUCUCGAUAUCACAGGCUAGGUCGAAGCCCACCGAACCGUCUCGCUUGCUCCUCGAUUCGCUAGAACGAGUUGUCCACCGAGUCUCAGAAUACCUAAAAGUGAUAAUCAGUCGUAAGAGAUACAGAGGGCAUUACGACCAAAACGUAAGAUUCAAACAGUUAACCUAGGAGCAAAAGGCGUAAACUACCUCAACCGAGAGAAAUCUCUUCCAAAGCUCACAAAAGAGCUAGCACCCUUCAAUCAAGCCCAAGGAACGUUUAAACCACUAAUUUAGGUCCAAAGCGCCAGAUCAAAAAUGCCCAAAAUCAACCUAAAUAUCAUUUCUAGGGUUUCAAAAUGGUAAAAACCUACCAAAAUCAGGAUAAAGGUAGAAUCCAAGUACUAACCUCCCAAGAUGCCUCCAAACCAAGCUCGAAUUUUCUAGGGUUGAAGAUUGUCCACCACUAAGCCCUACAAAGCAAGCUCAAGCCUUGCAAGGAAGGGGAAAGAGAGAAAGGGGUUGAUGCUCAAAGCUCCCUCAAGCUAAGUCCUCUUCUUCUUUCCUCUCCUUCUUCUUCUUCUUCUUCAUUUCUCUCUAGAAAUNNNNNNNNNNNNNNNNNNNNNNNNNNNNNNNNNNNNNNNNNNNNNNNNNNNNNNNNNNNNNNNNNNNNNNNNNNNNNNNNNNNNNNNNNNNNNNNNNNNNAGAUACAAAAAAGGGCGAAACAGUAGGAACGUAAUUCAUAUAGGCCUUGCUAACCACAUAGAAAACCCAAAAUAUAUCAAGUUUGUGUGCAAGGCCGCAAAAACCAGGUGGCAGAUUAAAGAUAUUUAUCUAGUUAGGAGGGAAGGAGGGUGCGUCAGGCUUGUUUCCAGCGGCCAGCUAUUGCAUGACCACUUGACGGUCAAUCCACAUAUACAAAAUAUCUCCACUCAUAGACAUGAACAUUGACCUAUUGCGCUCAUCCUUGAAAGCGUCACAUGCAGAGAGGAUAGCUUCAAGAGAUAGACCGGGAAUGUUAUUUAGUCUUACCAUACACUCCUCUAUGGAGUGAAGUUUUGGACAAGCGUCAAUCUCACGCUGUAGCAAUCGCUCAGCUAUGUUCAAUCUUUUUUUGCCAAGCUCAACCAACUCUUGCAUACAAUCAGAGUUGUUUUCAAUUUUUCCCUUACGGGUUGAUGUCAGUGUAGUCUUACGUGACGGAGGUGAGGAACGACGUCUCUUACCAGAAGAAGUAUGAGCAGAAGCACUAGUAACGUGCGGAUUUCCACUCUUAACUGGGGUUGGAGUGGGAGAAUAUGAAGUUGCAUCAUUGAUGCCAUCUUCAUUUUGUGGCGACAUUGCCAUGGGUAAUUGGUGGCUACCAGAAGUUUGCCCAUGUCCUGAAGGACCGGCCAUGGAUUUUCUGAUUUGCUCUAAAAUGGCGGUUGUGCCCGGGGAUGAUGAUGACAUGCUACGAACAUCCUCACUUUGCAUUCCAGUCGUAAAUCCAUGCCUACCCGUAGCAGUGGUCUUUCCAGAUAAGAACUCAAUGUCCUUAUAUGCAGGGAACGGUUUGUCCCUACACUUAGCAUAAGCUGAAUUUUCUUGUAACAAUAUAAAACACAAUGGUCAACUGAGAAAACUAUAAUUAUAUAAAAAUUAAAAUUUCAAGAUAAUUGGUUCAACAACAUACCGCUACCACUACAUCCCAAUCACUUGGGUCGCCGGCUGUUGGAAUGUUGCGAUCAUAAUCCCAACCCCAUCCACUCUUAUUAGCUAAUGUUUGAUACAUGACGAAUUGUCGCUUCAACACUUUUAGUCGAUUUUGUAAAUGGCUUUUAACAAAGUUUGCUUUUGUUCGCAGGUUGAAAUCAUGAAUUAUUCUUCCCCAAGCAAGUGGAGUAAAACUUCCAUUGACGAAAUUUCCAAGAACAUGUUCUUCUGUCAUCAAGUUCAACAUUGCCGAAUCCAUGACCUUUGUCCAAUUUCCAGAGCGUACUCUGGGUUUCGAGAUUUCCUGACUGUGGCUUUGGAGGCUUUGGCUAUCAGUUGAGGUGACAUCAAUAACGUUUAUGUUUUGUCUUACAAAACGAUGAACUUGUCUAUUUUGAGGUAGCAUCUGAAGUUAAUCAACAUAUAAAUAAAUAAAUAAAUUAACAAGUCGUCGUGAAGUACAGCUUAUAGUAAGUUAACAUGGCUUAGAAGAAAGGGGAUAAUGAUGAUCAUGGUGGCUGCAAUGCGAAAAACAUGCCACCCAACCAUGAAGUUCUAGUUUCUUACCCAUGCAUCAUCGUCUCAUUUUAUGUCAAAUAAGGCAUCCAACAAGGCAACAGAGAAAGCACCACCAUUUCACAAUACCUCCAAGAUCAUAUGCAUUGAGUACAUGUUCAUCAGCAGAUACUGAUAAUUCCCAGUGUUCAGCUAUAUAUAGAACAUGGUUAUUCCAGUUUUUUAACUGUGUAGAAUUGAUGGCAGCAUAUCUUUAUUUUUGUCCUGCUAUUUAUGAACCUAUAUUAUUGCACUUUGAAUAGACCCAUACAAAUGAUGGCCUAUCCAGAGAGCCUAAAUAAAAUGCAAUAGGAAGACAAAGAAACAUAAUAUAAAUAGCAUGCAAAAUUAUAUAAAACAACAACCUUGUCUUUCAACAAUAUUAUUUACUAUUAUUUAAAGUAGGCACAUUAUAUUACAGAAAUUAAGCAAAAUCUGAUGGUUUACCUAAAAAUCUAAUUAUUUAAAAUCAACUAUUAUGAACUUUUCAGCAUAAUAGUUGUAAAAAAUGAAUAAGAAAUAAAGUAAUAAGACGAAUCUAGUAGAAACUAAGAGAAAAGCAAGACGUAAGAGUAGAUGAAUUUUCGGCCAUAAUUAAUACACUCAAACUGAAGCUUUACAAUUGAAAUAAAAUAAUAAUAGGAAUCAACACAUAAAUAUAAAUGGAGCAAUCACUCAGCAUGAAUGAAUCGUCCUAUGUAUUGAAUUGGUAGCUGCAUAGGACUAAUCCCAUAUGCCUCCAAACCACAAUACAUCUGAAUUCAAAAAUGCUUCACUGCUUGUUAAUAGGAUACAUCUCGUUCCCAUUCAAGGCCCAGCAUUAUCAAAGUUAGGCCACAAGUUACAUCAAACUAGUUAAAAAAAAACCCACCUUUGUAAGAUCAAGGAGCGCAAAUACGAUUAACUAUUCAGAUGAGCACAAUGAAGGGUAGAGUUUCCUCAACCACAGAAUUUUUGAGGGGUUUGCAUCUUACCCUGGUGCAUACUAUUUAUAGGGAAGAAGUCAGGACUUACUAUGUUAGGUAGGAGAAAAUAAGUGUAGUUAAUGGAGACGACUCGACAACUCGAACUAACAGCAAGAUCGGAGAAGAUAUCUUUCUGUUGUGCAGCCGAGAGAGAUUGCCUUAAUUAAUGGCCGAUCUACGCAGGGAACCGAGCUUUUGAAAACAAUAGAUGCGUAGGAGACAUUGCUUCAGGAGUAAAAGCAAACCACUCCAAUAAAUAGGGUUUUGGGGGCAGUGAAGAAGACGAUAAAUAGGGUCUUUGGGGCGGUGAAGAAGAUGACGCUAUCUUUGGUAGGCGCGAGGCAGUAAAAAGGAAAAAGAAAGAAAUGUUCGCCUGGGGAAAAGAAGAAGAGUAGGGAGAGGGGUAUAGAUAGGUGCGAGGAAAAAGUAAAGAAGAUUCACAAGAGGAAGAAGACGACGCAGCUUCUCGAGAAAAAGAUGAAGACGAAGAUGGGACAGGUGCAAGAGUAAAGGGGCGAUACGAACGAGGCAAAGCAGCAAAAUAAAAUAGAAUUUCCCAUCCCUGCCCCUGGGACAAAAUCUAAUUCCAGGGGUGGGGGGGAAUUAAUCUUAACGGGUUAUUCCAGUUUUUUCUGGAAUAACCCGCUUUGACCGGUAUAAGCUAUUCCUAUCUUUUUUUCUUUUGUUUGGUAGAAUAUAUAGGAUAAAAUACUUUAUCCUCUGGUUAUUCUAUUACCAAACAUAGCCUAAGGGUAUUGGACAAGAACAAUGUAGAACAUGACAUGAACAAUAGGUAAGAACCUAUAAAGACAUCGGCAUUAUGACUUGUACUAUGUAUCCUCAACUUGAGGAUUGGAUCGAGGCUUACGUGGACUUAGGCUUGAGGGAGGUCGCUCCUCCUCAAGCGGUGUACUUCGAAGUGUAGACACCAACGGGGAAGUACCCCGUCAACGAUCCCUCGGGUGGUUGUACUUAAAGCCUCCCCCGGUAGACGAGAGAUGAAUUGUGAGCUAUUAGGGUUAACAAAGUUAACCGGUAAGAUUGGGUACAGAAAGAUAAAGUAAUGAUAAAGAACAUGCAUGCAUGCAUACUAUAUAUUGUUGAUUAUCUAUAUCCACUGACAUUCUUUUGCAGACAUAGUAUUAGAUGCAUUAGUACUGGUUACUUUUCUUCCUUUGUUAUACUUAUGCCUGAAUAGACCUAGUGGGUAAGUCGGCGAGGUCGGUUGCCGAACCCACUGGGAACUUCGUUGUAGUUCUCACACCACUAACCCCACAAGUCCGAGUACGAGCGGGGUGGCGGAGGACCACGGAAAGGGUUUAGCGCCGUAAGUAGCGGCCACCGGGACUUUUUCACAUUUUGUAGUCAUUUCCCUUUUGGUUUACAUGUAUCAACUUCUUUUGUUGAUUUAGAAAAUUGUAAAGUUGAUAACAAUUAUGUAAUUUGGUGAAUGGCUAAAUNNNNNNNNNNNNNNNNNNNNNNNNNNNNNNNNNNNNNNNNNNNNNNNNNNNNNNNNNNNNNNNNNNNNNNNNNNNNNNNNNNNNNNNNNNNNNNNNNNNNNNNNNNNNNNNNNNNNNNNNNNNNNNNNNNNNNNNNNNNNNNNNNNNNNNNNNNNNNNNNNNNNNNNNNNNNNNNNNNNNNNNNNNNNNNNNNNNNNNNNNNNNNNNNNNNNNNNNNNNNNNNNNNNNNNNNNNNNNNNNNNNNNNNNNNNNNNNNNNNNNNNNNNNNNNNNNNNNNNNNNNNNNNNNNNNNNNNNNNNNNNNNNNNNNNNNNNNNNNNNNNNNNNNNNNNNNNNNNNNNNNNNNNNNNNNNNNNNNNNNNNNNNNNNNNNNNNNNNNNNNNNNNNNNNNNNNNNNNNNNNNNNNNNNNNNNNNNNNNNNNNNNNNNNNNNNNNNNNNNNNNNNNNNNNNNNNNNNNNNNNNNNNNNNNNNNNNNNNNNNNNNNNNNNNNNNNNNNNNNNNNNNNNNNNNNNNNNNNNNNNNNNNNNNNNNNNNNNNNNNNNNNNNNNNNNNNNNNNNNNNNNNNNNNNNNNNNNNNNNNNNNNNNNNNNNNNNNNNNNNNNNNNNNNNNNNNNNNNNNNNNNNNNNNNNNNNNNNNNNNNNNNNNNNNNNNNNNNNNNNNNNNNNNNNNNNNNNNNNNNNNNNNNNNNNNNNNNNNNNNNNNNNNNNNNNNNNNNNNNNNNNNNNNNNNNNNNNNNNNNNNNNNNNNNNNNNNNNNNNNNNNNNNNNNNNNNNNNNNNNNNNNNNNNNNNNNNNNNNNNNNNNNNNNNNNNNNNNNNNNNNNNNNNNNNNNNNNNNNNNNNNNNNNNNNNNNNNNNNNNNNNNNNNNNNNNNNNNNNNNNNNNNNNNNNNNNNNNNNNNNNNNNNNNNNNNNNNNNNNNNNNNNNNNNNNNNNNNNNNNNNNNNNNNNNNNNNNNNNNNNNNNNNNNNNNNNNNNNNNNNNNNNNNNNNNNNNNNNNNNNNNNNNNNNNNNNNNNNNNNNNNNNNNNNNNNNNNNNNNNNNNNNNNNNNNNNNNNNNNNNNNNNNNNNNNNNNNNNNNNNNNNNNNNNNNNNNNNNNNNNNNNNNNNNNNNNNNNNNNNNNNNNNNNNNNNNNNNNNNNNNNNNNNNNNNNNNNNNNNNNNNNNNNNNNNNNNNNNNNNNNNNNNNNNNNNNNNNNNNNNNNNNNNNNNNNNNNNNNNNNNNNNNNNNNNNNNNNNNNNNNNNNNNNNNNNNNNNNNNNNNNNNNNNNNNNNNNNNNNNNNNNNNNNNNNNNNNNNNNNNNNNNNNNNNNNNNNNNNNNNNNNNNNNNNNNNNNNNNNNNNNNNNNNNNNNNNNNNNNNNNNNNNNNNNNNNNNNNNNNNNNNNNNNNNNNNNNNNNNNNNNNNNNNNNNNNNNNNNNNNNNNNNNNNNNNNNNNNNNNNNNNNNNNNNNNNNNNNNNNNNNNNNNNNNNNNNNNNNNNNNNNNNNNNNNNNNNNNNNNNNNNNNNNNNNNNNNNNNNNNNNNNNNNNNNNNNNNNNNNNNNNNNNNNNNNNNNNNNNNNNNNNNNNNNNNNNNNNNNNNNNNNNNNNNNNNNNNNNNNNNNNNNNNNNNNNNNNNNNNNNNNNNNNNNNNNNNNNNNNNNNNNNNNNNNNNNNNNNNNNNNNNNNNNNNNNNNNNNNNNNNNNNNNNNNNNNNNNNNNNNNNNNNNNNNNNNNNNNNNNNNNNNNNNNNNNNNNNNNNNNNNNNNNNNNNNNNNNNNNNNNNNNNNNNNNNNNNNNNNNNNNNNNAUACCGACUCGAGCUACGAGUCACCUGCUGCCACUAAACAUAAAUAAUCAUGCAUCAUGGCAGCGAACACAACUCCUCGUGUCGAAACAAUUAUCUCCGGAUAAUCGUUUCGAUUCGGGUUCCCAGAAGUGUCUAAUUCGACACCGGAACUCACCGUCGCUCACCCGUCAUUUCCGAACUCUCGAAAUGACGCAAGUUACCAGCCAACAAGGCUCAGCGACUACACAAAAGCUCACGAAGCACCGUCGGAAUAAUUCCGAACCGAACCCGCGUUCCGUCGGCGGAUUUCGCCGAAAAAUGCACCGGAAAUGCAUUUCCGAUCUUCGUAAGGGUCUGGGGCCUUGGACAAUCAGUCCAGAGGUUAACCUCAACCAACACUUGCUGCCAACAGCAGCUAUGACGAACCAAAAUGCAUAAAAGCCCUCCUGAAUACCUGAAAUCGCAUUAUUUCAUGCGAUUUCGGCGCUUUUACGGUCCAACUACGCAAACCAGAGGUCAAACAGCCAAGACGAGACUCCCGCUGACUGGUCUCGGCGUGCCGGAGGCCGUGCUCACCUUUCGGAGCACUGCCGGCCACUGUGGCACGCGCACGGGCGACGCAAAAUUAGUGAAACAGCGCGCACAGUAGGAAAAGCAUGCUUAUCUCGCUAACCAGUGGCUCGUUGACCCUAAGUGAGGUGAGCACUGUGAUCAGGACUGACUGACGAUCACCGUGCUCACCUCCGGAGGCAUCGGAACAGCCUCAGGUCGCCGGAACAGUGAGUAGAACAGGAAACACUGCGCAGAAAGGCUGAAAACAAGCUUACCGGCCAGGGGAGAGCUAGGGUUGGCCGCCGGUGGCUGGACGGCGGGCGGCCCGGCCAGGGGAGGGUGCGGCCGGUCGGUGGAGUCCGGGGCACCUGCUGGCCGACGGCGGGAGGCGGUCAGUUGCGCGGCGGCGGAGAUCAACUCGAUCUCUAGCUCUCGGGUUAAAAGCUUCCCGGCGGCGUGGCGGCGGUCGGAGGAGGUCGGGGCGGCGACGGUACGUCGGCGGAGGUCGAGGAGGAGGUGGUGCGCCCCACUGUGGGCGGCGGCGACGCGCGGAGGCCACUAGGGCUCCGCCUCGGCCCGCACCAGGUCUGGGCGGCCGCAGGAGCCGCUAGCGACGGCCGGCGGCCUCGGGGACGGCGAGGAUCGUGAGCGGGAGGUCCCCGGAGGUGCCAGGAGGGCGGCGCGACCAGACCAGAAAGGUGGCAUCGCGAUGGGAGAGAGGUUCCACAGCCUCGGCCAGAUCUGCUCAGAUCUGGCCGCAACUUGCCGUGGCGGCGGCGGCGGCGCUCGGGACGACAGGGACGGCGCCGGGGGGGGAGAUUCUGCCAGAGGAUGGUGGUGCUCGGGCUCACUAGCUUUCCCGAGCACAGCAGCCAACAAGGUGCAAGUUGGGGCCCGGAGGAAAAUCGAGAGGAGGCCGGGGUGGCUCUUCCGGCGGCCGGACGAGCUCGCCGGCGGCCGGGACGCGCGCACAAGUUGGGCGGGGACCAGCUGAGGUCGGCUAGGGCUAGGUAGGGAGCACGGUUGCAGGGUCUAGGGUUCCUCAUGGAUGAAACCCUAGGAAUACAAUGUAAACAAAGGCCACUUUGCACCAAAGUCCUCCGAAACAGAAAAUUUGCAACAGAGACCUUCACAGCGUGAGUAAAUCGCGUGUACGCACCUCCACGUUCGACCUCGUGCGAUUCGGUACAUAAAAUGUCGCAACUUUUGCGAAAUUACCGUUUUGCCAUCACCGACCUCUCCUCGAUCAACGCGCGAUCUCCGCAGAUCCGUCCGUCAGAUUUGCGAACGGAUUGCACCAGUGCGAUCAGCACCUCGGAGACAACAAAGCUACACUUUCGAUUCAUUUCGAUCGACCACGGAUUCACAACAAAAUCCAACCUUCUUCCAAUAGAAGGAAACACACACACAAAUACAUAUAAAGCAUGUAUUUUUGGAUUUUCUCGAAAUCCGUGCGUCAAACUCAAAAUCCAUCAGCGCCACUAGUUCCAGAACAGCUGAACCGAUCGAAACGAGCUAUUGGACUGAUAUGAACGGAGUCCGAUACGCACCAGAAGCCAACUCUACUCCGUGGCUUCCCCGGAAAACCGGAGUUACUAUUCACUUAAGUGAAAACUGAAAGUCGCGUAUCUUCUCCAUUUUUGCUCAUUUUCGCCCGAAACUUGACGAGUGCUUAUGUAAUUAAAUUACACACAUAAACAUCAUCAACAGAGAGUUUAGUAGCACUGUCAAAAAAAUCUCAGUCCUUACAGUAAAGAAUUGUGAAUGAAAGUAAAGAAAUGUAAUAGUUCAGUUUACUUUUAUUUGGUUCAAAUGCAAUCAAGUAUUAUGUAUGGUUAUAUAUAUUAGCGUAGAGCUUUCGCUUCCGUUGUUGCUUGCCCUCGUGCAAGCCUUGUAUAAAUGUUAAUCUCAUUGUUUGAUUGCUUUAUUAUACAUGUUUUGAGCCUUGGGCGGACAGGAGAGGUUCUGUCCGUUCGGCGUCUGUUUACGUGACUCGAACCCUACCAAAUUGGUGGGGAUUGGGGCGUGACAAAAUGUUACUGAUUAGAUAUUAUCUGAUGCUUGUGAAGUAUUGACACUAAAGAGAAAAAAGAGAGAUUUCAUAAGUUUGUAUUAGAGUUGUUGUUGCUUGAAAAGUUCGAGCAAUCCACAUAUAUUCUUUCUAGGACAUAAAUUUGUAUUUGACUUUAAAAUAUUAUGAAUAACUUUGGGUUUUUAUUUCUAUUCAUGUUGUGUAUGUGUCCAUGAAUCGUCCAAGGAAUUAAUAAGAUGAUGACAUAUAUUCUCAAGAGUUGAGAAUUUGAGACAUGUGUCUUUGGUGGUUAAUUCCUAAAUGCUCCCGAUCAAUGGAUCAUCACGGGGACGGUGAUUGAUCCAGUGAGAUUGGUGCAUAGGUCGCUUCCCUUUUGGGUAGACGAGUCUCGAGUCGACAGUGUGGGGACACUGAAGCGAAUAUGCAGGUAGUUGUUAGAGAACAAGGGUACCGAGCGUGACCAACGCGAUAUAACUGUUAAUCCAGGAGGCUGCUAAGUUAUUAGCGCUAGAUCGAUAAGCUAGUUAGUGUUGGAGAAUACACACACUGGGGUAUCCAAGAUAAGAUAGACCAUCACUCUAUAUAAAACUAGUGAUAGUUGUUAUAGUGACUUUGAGGAAAGUUACCUAAUCUUGUUAAGGUUGAGUCGGGUUACUCUUAAUAGCUAGUAGAUCUAUUAAGACCUAGCCGUCAUCUAUCCUCUCUUCUCUCUUCCAUCUUCUAGCAAGAAAGACGUCCUUUUGCAAGGGAGCUAGCACCUCGGUGAGGACAUCGAUCAAAUCAAGAACCUCGUGUGGAUACCUAUAGAGGCCGGACGCGUGUGUGGCUUCAAGAGAACCGAAUUCCACGAACAUUAAAUUUAGGUGAAGAUUUAUCCGCGAAUAAGGUAAAGAUUCGAUCUUACUUUUCUCCUUUAAUCUUAAAGAGCAUGAGGGAUCCUAAUUGCGUGGUUUUUGAGAUUUGAUCUCACAAAAAUCAAAUUUGUUUGAUUUCUUUUUCCGCUGCGUUUUUACCGUACGCAAUUUUCUAACAUGUAUUAGAGUUGUUGUUGUUUGAAAAGUUCGAGCAAGAUAACAUGAAGGUUAUGUGUGGCAAGAUAACAUGAAUUUGUUCUGGUUUAUGAAGUUUAGAACUCCAUAUGGUUCAUAUAGAACCUAGGUCUCAUCAAUGAUCCAGAUGUAUUUAGUGAAUGGAAAUGAUUUAUACUACGAAUAACAUUUUUAAGUAGAAAAUUAUAACCAUGAAUAGUUCAGUAGAUGCACUAGCUAAAAAGCAUUCUCUCCAAGAGUUGAAGAGUUGACUUUAAAUAAUGCAUAUAAGAUAUGUAAUUGUUUGGCUUUAGUGCAAGUGGGAGAUUGUUAGUUAUAUGCCUAAAAGCCAAUCUGGUGACACUAGCUUAAGGGUAUUUAUGUAUUAAUCAUUUAUAAUUCAUAAUAUAAGGGCGGAUAAUCUAUUCAUAUCUAUUGUAUAGCAGUACAAUAUUGACAUGAAUCGUCCAUAGGGUCUUUGUUUGAAAAGACAUAUUCUUAAGAGUUAGAAAUUUGAGAUAUGUACUUUUCUGUACCAGACUCUUUAAAUACUCCUAGCCACAGGAAUAUUACAAGGACGGUGAUAUUCCGGAUAGGCCGGUGUAUGCUAUGUUUCUAAUUGAGGUGACGAAUCUCAAGUCACUAGUGUAGGGACACUAGAACAAGCAUACAGGUGCUUGUUAGAGAACAAGUACACUAAGCGUGACUAUUUAGUUGAACAGUCAUAUGGUUCUAUGCUCGCCAGUGAUAAGUUCAUUGCUACAGUUGUGUGAAGUACUCCUCGGACCUGAGGCAUCAUAGUUGCUUCACGUAUAGAUUGCUACCGUUUGACAGUACUAAUAAUUAGACUCUAGACACGGGUCUAUAUUCGGUACUGAUUGGCUGUGGUGAUUUAUGUGAGGAGGCAUGUGAUUGCGCAAUAAGAAAUCCAACACUCUCAAUGACGAGGGAGAAUGUCCUAUGCAGUCUAUCGAACUGACUCGAAAAACCCCUAGCCAGGGUACAUAGUAUGUGGAAAGAGUUUCCAACUGUGUUGCCAUAUUGAGUUGAUUUCAGAUAGUUUAGUCAUAUAGUCGAAUGAUAAGGUUUGGCGAGUAACCAUGGCCUUAGUUCGAUUGGGACAUUGUAUGUUGGAAGGAAUUAAUCACAUGGUAACUGAAAGCGGAAAGGUUCAUUCUUCAUCACCAUUCUGGAUUGCCGUGAUAUACUGCUAGGUGUCACUCACGGACAGUGAGAGAAUAUGAAUGAAGAUUAGCUAUUUAUUCUUGUUAAGUUAAGCUUAAUANAAAUAUCAAAGAGUUUGAUGUUGAGCUCCACUGCCGAAUGGUAAUGAACCUAUGCGGUCACACACAUUAGAAAUUGUGUGCGCCUGAAUCGUUUGGAUGAGAGUCGUUCACCAAAGAGUUUAGUGUAAGCGAUGAAAAUAAAAAGAAGCUGUUUAAUUAAAUUAGAUUUAAUUAUUCGAUUCGGUUAUAACUGAUAGUCCUAAUUAGAUUAGGAUCUCAGAAUCAGUUAGAGAAUUAUGCGCAAGAUUUAAAUUUAUCUCUAAUUAGAUUAGUAGAUAAUAUUUAAUCAUAAAAGAUAUUUAAAUGAGAUUUAAAUAUUAGUGAGUAAUCUUAUUGGAUAAGAUCAAAAUUAGAUAAGAUCUAAUUAAAUAUUGGAGAGAUUAGAUUUAGUUGGAUAAGCAUGAAUAUUUAAUUGUUAAAUUUUAUUGGAGAGAGAGAAAAAUCUUAUUAGAUAAGAUUUUACGAAAUAAGAUUCUAUAUAUACAUAUAAAGAUUUAUAUGUAUGUAUGAAUAUACAAUGAAUUAAAAAAAGAAAAAAGGUGAAACCGUACGGCACAUAGUGUCAUAUGGAUUGAAUGCAUGGUAAUUAAGAUGCCAUGCAUCUUAAUUAAUUUGAUGCAUGUUAGCCUUUUGAUCUAUAUACAUAUAGAGAUCAAUCUCUCUGAUUUCUCUCCCGCGCGCGUGUUUCUCUCCGGUCAACUUCUCUACUCUUCAUCGACUGGUGGAUCAUGAAAGGAUUGCUAGCACCGUCCAGAUGGUCCGUGACUCAUCCUAUUCGUGAGACGAAGAUCGAUCGGGUCGUCAAUUCCGUGUGGAUACGGGUAGAGGCCGGGCAUGUGUGCGGCUCAUCGGAAUCUCUGUUCGUCAUAUUCACUUUCAACCGUACAGUAGAUCAAGUGACCUUAACUGGUCCACGGUAAGAUCUCUAAACAUAAAGAGUUCUGUUUAGAUUAAAUUUUUACAUAGUAACAUGAGAAUGAUCCGCCAGCAACGGUUUGAUUUAUUGGUUUUCGGUUUUCAUAUGUGAUAUGUAUUUGGCUUCCGAAAAAUUUUUAAAAGUGCAAAAACUAUUUUCCGCUGCGUUUUUCUGAUGUGCCGGUUAAUUUCUAACAGGAUUACCUGACCUUGACGGAAUGAUAUUCGCCGCAACUUCCGGCUACACAUAACGAGCAACAACCGGUGUGUUUACCAAUUGGUCCACAGCUUCCUGGAGUCUCUAGAUCCACUUUUCCUAGUGCAAGGCAGCCUCUUGCUUACACUGCACCACAUCGGCUUGUUGCCUCACCACUCUAAUAAGUAGGGCCAACUGAUCACAGAGUUUCGCGUCUCUACUCUCCUCGGCCUGCUCAGGGACAUCACUUGUCUCAACCCAUGUCGAUCUCAUUGAAGAUCGGCCAUGCGAAGUCAUCGUUUCCUAAAACACGACAACUCGGUCACUCCUCGACCCUCAAGGUCAAGCGCGAAACAACUAACAUCGACCCAAACUCAAAUCAAGCGAAAGCCAUGCAAGAGAGCCUAUUCUUAUCCCUCGGUUUCAUGAUAUGUGCACCCAACAUGAAAAUCCUCUGCUGAGAAUAAACCACACCUUGAAUCCACCUCUAACAUCCUUUUUAGAGGUAUAAAACACACAACCCAAUCAAUUCACCUUUCACCACAAGUCAAAAUUCCCGUCUCUCACAAGCCUAGCUCCUUACGGUUUCCAUCCUAAGGUCCCUAGAUCUAUCCUAUAUUUUUACUUUUAUUGCUCUGAUACCACUCUAUCUGUCACGCCCCACAACUGCCAAUUUGGUCGGUUCGGGUACGUACACAAACGCCAAACAGACAGAGCCUCCCCUGUUCGCCUAAGGCUCCACAAUCACGAACAUGUAUAAAGAAUUUGCCCAGGAAGAAUUUCAAUAUACAUGGCUUGUACGAGGGCAAGCAACAAAAGCAAGUGAAAGUAACCAAUUAUUACAUCCAUAUAUUGUAUCAUGAUUACAUUAAACCAAAUACAAAGCUUACAAGAUCCAUUUACAUUACAUUCAUGUCCAAAUACAUAACUUUUCUUUACAUGUCCUUUUUCAUCAACUACAAAAGAUGAAAUAUAAAAGGUACAUCUAUACUUGAAGGAAGUUCACUACCUAGGAUGCAAUGCCCUUGCCGCGAUUCUCGAUCGCUCUGCUCGUGCUACGAUCAGCAAGGUUAGUGGGGUGAGAACUAGAAGAAGUUUCCAGUGAGUUCGGCUACCGACCCCGUCGACUCACCCACUAGGACUAAUCAGGCAUAUGUAGGAAAAGGAAUAGAUAAGCAAACCAAACUGAUGCAGCUACUAUGCCUGGAUAAACUGAAACAACCAAUAUGAUGUUCAUGAUGUAUGCAUUUUUCUUUUAUCUUUAUCUUUACCCAAUCCUUUUGGCUAACUAUUUGGUUAAACCCAACUCACCAAACCAAAUUCUUUUUUGUCGGGGAGAAUUUCAUUACAAAUCCGACGGGACCGUCUGCUGGGGAGAAUUCCGCUACCGCCCAGUUGAUGACAACUCCGGAGCUCACCGCUUGAAGUAGAGCGACCACCCUCAAGCAUAUUAGACUACCUGUGAGUAUGAUUCAAUCCUCAACUUUGAGAAUACCAUGUCACUAUUGCCACAAAGUUCAUAAGAUUUUCUUUGCCUAGCAUUCCAUAAUUCUUGGUGCUAUUCAAUCCAUCUCGUCACAAUAUCACCUUAUUUAUUAUUAUCAUAGUCCAACACAUUGCUCAUACAUUCAUAGGGUUUCUAAGUUCAUGGUCCUUUGUCAUUUCACAUGUAUUCUUACAUUGAAAGCAUACAAAAAGUCUAAUAUCUUAGCCACAUAUCACAUUAACCCUACAAUGCAUGAAGUCAACACUAUACACAUACAAACAUGCUCAAAGAGGUGAUAUAGACAUAAUGAGAAAUUCGGAGAUUUCAGAUAGCACCACACACCUCGUAGGGAUGCCGAAAUGUGAGAAUCCAAGUCCCGCAAUUUUUAGACGCCUAUUUGUCUCGACCCACGACUAACGAAAGUGAAAUGAGGUUUUUCCUCAAUAUUUCGCCAUAUACUCGUCGGAACUUCGAUCCGAGUCUCCCAACACGUCGAAUUAACCUUCAAUUAGGAAUAUAAGAGAUCAAUUUCAUAAUAGACCUCAAUUCCUACAAAACCCUAUUUCCGACCCUAGGGUUUACACAUACUAUCCAUACUCCAAAUUUCUUAGGAUUUCAUGGAGUAAUCCAAGCUUCCAAAACCCAAGAAUCUCAAAAACUUGCGAUUUAGGGUAAUUAAAUUAAACCCUAACUCAUACGUGUAAGAAUACUUACCUAGACUCCUAGCUCCUCAAGUUCUUCCUUGCCUUGAGCUUCUUCUCCUUCCAAAAGCUCCAAUUUCCUACCUUUAAUAUUCUCCAAAACCCUUUGUUGGAGAAACCCUAGAGAGAGAAUGAGAGGAGAAAUGAGAAGAAAAUGAGAAGAAGAAGAAGAAGAGGAAUAGCCGUACAUGAAGGCUAUUUUAAAAAUAAAAUAGGGGUGGGCUUUGGGUGAGAGACGCAUAUAAGUGUUAUGUGAACCUUGAAACAUAGGUAAACAACAAUGACAUUGAAAAUAUGUUGGAGUCUAAGGUGUGAAAAUAGUGGCAUCAAAUCUAGGAUGGAACCUAGGGUAUGAGACAUAGUGGCAUUUGAACUUUAGAUAAAACCUGAGUUAGAGAUUAAGGGAAUGUGUAAGUGAUCGAUAUGAUUAACCUUAAAAGUCAUGAACUUAGGUGUGAAACAAGUUGCAAUCUUUAGGAAGUGUCAUAAUAGGAGAAGUCUAAUCUACUGGCCUUCGAUUAUGAUAACUGGGGAAGUCCGAGAGCCAUCCACUCCAAAUGCCUACCAAUUGGAGAGAAGUCCGAGAGCAGUUGACUUUCCAUAAGGUGUAUAAUAAGAAGAAAACCAAACUAAAAAGUUAGUUAAAGUUAAAGAAAAGAAUUGUAACGGAUGUGUAGGCCAAUAACAUAGUAAAAUAUUGUGUACAUAUUGAGGCAUAGUAGUAUAUUUCCUUUCCUUUUCUGGCUCUUGUAAAAAUAAAUGUUUGGUUUAUUAUCAUUUUCUACUAAUACUGUAAGGACUGAGAUUUUGACAGUGCAACUAAACUCUCUAUUGACGAUGUUUAUUUGUGUAAUUUAAUUACAUAAGCACUCGUCAAAUUUCAGGAGAAAACGAGUUAGAACGGAGAAGUUACGCGAUCUUUAUUUUUCACUUAAGUGAAUAGUAACUUGGUUUUUCCGGUGAAGCCACGUUGUGAAGUUGGCUUCAGGCUCGUAUCGGACUCCGUUCAUAGCAGUCCAAUAGCUCGUUUCGACCGGUUCAGCUAUUCUGGAACUAUUGGCGCUGACGGAAUUUGAGUUUGACACACGGAUUUCGAGAAAAUCCAAAAAUACAUGUUUUAUAUGUAUUUGUGCGUAGUUUCUUCUAUUGGAGAGUUGGAACGGUUCUUGUCGCGAAUCCGCGACCAAUCGAGAUGAACCAAAAUGGUAGCUUUGUGGUCUCCGUGGUGCUGAUCGCACUGGUGCUAUCCAUUCGCAAAUCUGACGGACGGAUCUGCGGAGAUCGCACGUUGAUCGAGGAGAGGUCGGCAAUGGCAAAAUGGUAAUUUCGCAAAAGUCGCGACAUUUUAUGUACCGUUUUAUGCGAGAUCGCACGUGGAGGGGUAUUCUCGCGUUGUUCACGCGCUGUGAGGGAUUCAGUUUGAAAUACUGAGGUUUUGCGGGCUAACUCGCAAAUCGGCACCUUGGUAUAUAUAGAGAUUUUAGGGUUUUUGAUCCACCUAACCCUAACCCUAGCCCCCAACUGCCCUAGCCGCACCCUGCCACCUUCAUCCCUCUUCCCUGCCCUAGCCGUACGCCUCCCGGCCGCCGCCGACUGAUCUCCGGCCAGCCACCACCACCUCAGCCUCUUUCUCUCCCUCUCCAUCUCUAUCUCUCUCUUCCUCUCGGGUUGAGGACAGAUAUAAGACCGUAUUUGCAUCCCUGUACCCUACCAGCAUCGCCCCGACCUCAUCGGAAUCUCCCCCGCCGGCCACCGCCGCCCCGAGCACUGCCGCUGCAACCUAGACCGGGUGCGGCCAUCCCGAAUCUGCUCGGGACGAGCAGACUUGGCAGCCUCUCCUUCGCGCUACGCACCUUGGCUCGCGCGAGCCUCCCCGAGCGCCGGCGAACCACGCCGCGCCGCCGCAACCGCCCCUGCUGGCCGUCGCCGCCGCCUCGGCCAGCCCGCAGCCACCCCAGCCUGCUGGGGCCGAGCUUGGCCUGCUUCCGCCCCGCGCGCCGCCGCCGCCCGGGGGCCACCGGUGCCACCUCCCUCCUCCUCCUCCAGCCUCUGGGGACCUGCUUCCGUCGUCCCCGAGGAGCCCCGGCCGCCGCCGUGGCCGUAGCUUCGCUGGAAUCCGAGCCCUAACUGGUGCAGGAUUGCCUUGUUCCGCCGCCGCCGCCGCCGCUUCCAGCCGCCACCCGAGGUGAGCUUGGUACUCUUCAUCUCCCCCGCAACCUUCCUUGGCCCGCGCGCACCCCGUCGUGCCGCCGGUAGCCGGUCGGAGCAAGCUUGCUCCGGCCAAGCCCGAAAUAGGGCUUAUUCUGGAUGGUUUACUAUUCCGAGCAACCCGAGCCUCCCUGAUCUCUAUGGAAGGGAGCACGAUGAUCGUGGCAAAUUGCUGAUCAUCGUGCUCACCUUUGAUUCUGUCGGGGAGACUCCGUUCCGUUGUUUAAGCGGUGUCGACCCCGUGGAGCCUUUUUGGCUGCUGUUUCUGGAUUGCGUGUGUUGUUCCGGUGAUCCGAGGCUGUUCCGAUGCCUCCGGAGGUGAGCACGAUGAUCGAUGGUCAGUGCUGAUCACAAUGCUCACCUCACUUUGGAUCAACAUUGCCCGGUUAGCCCUGUUUGGCGCGAUCUUCCCCGACUGCGCGCUAUUCGCUGAACCUUCGGGUUGCUCCCGCGCUUCCCACAGUGAGCCGUUGUGCUCCGGAUCGUGAGCACGGCCUACGAUACAUCGAGACCAAGCAGUACAUGUCUCGGCGGACCUUAUAAGUUCUCGGUUUGCGUGAACGAGCCACUUAAUCGCCCGAUUUACAUAAAAUGAUAGGAUUUUAUGUAAAUUGAGGGGAUUUUGUGCAAUUGUGCACCUUGUGGCUACUGUGGGCAGUGCAUGUGUGUGUGUGGUGAUCUCUGGACUGAUUGUCCAUGAUCCGAUAGCCUUCGCGAAAAUCGAGGAGUUGAUUCCGGCGCGUUUUCGGCGAAAUUAGUCGAAAGAACACGGUUUCGGUUCGGAUUUCUUCCGACGUGGUUUGGUUAUCCUGUAAAUUAUUGCUGAGCCUUGUUGGCUGGUUACCAUCAUCAUUUUGUGGGUUCGGUGAUGAUGGGUGAGCGACGGUGGGUUCCGGUGUCGAAAUAGACACUUUCGAGAACCCGGAUUCGUACAAUUAUCUGGCGAUAAUUGUGUAGUGGAGUUAUCUUGUGUUUGCUGCCAAAACAUCCAAAUUGGAGUGUUUUGGGGAAGCAGGUGACUCGUGACACGAGUCGGUGAGUUUCGGGACACUUAGUGGGUCCCGACGGCGUCCCGGUGUGGUUUUCGGGACUUCCGGCGAGUUACGGUAAUCGGUAUUGGGAAACCGAUCUUCGUGAAAUUGUUUGUGGGGUUGUGGAUACUGUGGUUAUUAGUUGUGGGUUAGAUACUAACCCGGUGGACCCUCUAUAGGUCCUGUCGACAUUCUUUUGCAGUCAGGAGACAGACGCGACAUCCGUACAGGUGGGUACUUCGAUCCGACGUCGGUACAGUGGUGCACGCUUGGUGAUGGUUUCUUACCCUUACUCUUCUGUUGUUACUAUCGCAUAGUAUAUUGAGCCUUGCCCCCUUGUUUAUUCGUUAUACACUACUCGUUGUUUGCAUGCUUAGUAUCCCGAGUAAAAGUAGAGCAGUUCAUCUAUAUGCGUAUCUGUUGACCUAGUUGGUCUGUUGUUGCAUUCUGUAUCUGUUGACCUAGUUGGUCUGUUGUUGCAUUCUGUAUCUGUUGACCUAGUUGGUCUGUUGUUGCAUUCAGUAUUUGUUGACUUAGUUGGUCGGUUGUUGCAUUCCGUAUCUGUUGAUCUAGUUGGUUGGUUGUUGCAUUCCGUAUCUGUUGACCUGGUUGGUCGGUUCUCGUACUUCGUAUCAGGGACUUUGUUGGUCAGUUGGACUCUGUGGACCUUGGGUCCAAGCAACACAUCGACUCUCUUGUCAUGUGUUUCGAUCUGGUUGAUCGUGGUUUGGCGUUGUACGCCCUUGUUUCUGGCUUCAGCCUAGGCAUCGGCUUUAGCCGGAUUUCGUUUGAGCACAUCAGCAUGAUUUAGUCACAGCACUGUGUAUUCUAGACACCAGGUUGGUUUGGCCACCAACAAGAGGUGUAUGUAUCCGGAUAGGUCGUCGGUGACGCAUGAAUAAGCUCUCAGUGUCUGCUCUGUGACAGACAACGCUUGAGGUCUGCGGACUAAUAUGGCAGCAUCAGAUUGGGUAUAUUUGGACUUAUCAUCUGGUUGACGCAUAUAACUAUAGUAGCAGUUGUCGCUUGUAUAUCUUCAGUUCUUUCGUUAGAUUGUUUUGCUACUAUAGUCUUGUUACAUGUAUACAUUCAGUUGUUCAUUACAGUAGCGGUAGUUGUAUUUUCUUUCAUAUACAUGUCUCUUUCAUUCAUUAUUAUUACUACUGUAUUUUCUACUGACCCGUACUGUUGUUUAGCUCUUCCUAAUCCGGUGAGUACUCCUCGCCUUCAUCGGCUUGUGGUACCCACUAGGAGGGGAGACAUGUUUACAUGUUCUCACCUCCCCCACUAUUUUUCAGGUAUCGCGGGCGGUGAGGGUUGAGACGAGACGUGAGAUACGUACGUAGCGGUCGAUAGAGCUUCCGACCCAGGUUAUUCGGUUUAGUUUCUACCCUUACUAUCCUGUUGAUAUAGCUUAGAUAGUUUGUAUGGUUCAGUUUUUGGGUAUUUCAGUUAACUAUCAUAUUUUGAUUUGGCUUUAUGAAUGUAAUAAAAAGGAUUCGUGGUUUUCGUAAAUAAAAGGUUUUCUGCCCCUCGUGAUAACGUUUUUAAAGAAUAAAGGUUUCCGUGUAGGAAACAGUUUUCAAAAGGAUUUUCUGUGAAUUUAUGUUUAAAUAUUGAAUGUAUAACUGUGAUGUGAAUGGUGAAUGAAUGAUUGCAUAGUCGUUUCUAUAUUCAUUUGGUUGUGGUUGUACCUGAGUUACUUCUUGCGCUUGUGCGACGCCGUGCAAAUAUAGGAGAGACUCUGUCCGUGUGAACAGUGGAUUUCCUGUAUUUGUGGCGGAUUUGGCAUUCCCUGGAUAACGGUUUUCAAAAAAAAAAUUUCCGCGGUGUUUUUAUCCUAAAGGGACCCCGGGGCGUGACAAAUACUUUCUAUGGACUAAGUGCAUGGAGAGCGCCACUUUGCUGCAUUCAUUAAAAACAUAUUUAAAGUUUUCACCCUUUUAUUGUUCACCUUUUUCGAAUCCUAUAUACCAUCGCCGGUGAGGCAAGGACUGUGGCAAAUACAUCGUGGAGUAUUUAAACUGAGUGAGUGGUCUAAAGUGUACCCUUUUAUGAAAAAAAAGACUUGUAAUAUUUUGAAAAUUUAAUAAAAGUAUUAAAUUUUUGAAAACUCUAAAGACAAUGUUCGUAAUGGUUAAAUAUAAAAGUAUUAUUUUGAUACUCUGUGUAUGUAUAUCAUGUAUGCUAUUGUCUAUAUUGGUAUAUGUUUUUGGUUAGUGUGGAUAGAAAAAAUUUUGCCCAUUAGCGGAUCCAAUUGGUGGAACACGGGGCAUGACACGAGAAGUUUCCGGUGCCCGAAAUAUCUUUUUGGGCGUCCAAAAGUUUUGAAAAGCUGAUUAUUACUUCUUUUGAAACUCUAAUUUAUCAGAAUUGAUUCCAAAUCAAUUCUAACUCAGCCAAACUUCUCCAAAUCCAUUCUAAUUAUGUUUAACUUGACUUUUAUCCGCAUUUUACCUAUUUAGCCAAAAUUUGGUAUAUUUUAUUAAAAUUCAGCAUAUUACAACAACCAAAGUCCUUACUGUGGCAUAAAGCUAAAUAAGAUUUGACGAGUUCCGAAAGCAAAAUACAAUUUGAAGACUCUCACUUUACUAUAUACUAGUUUAUGGCCCGCGCUUCGGGGCGGAUCGAUAGUAUUUCAGUCAAGCAACAUAUACAAUUAUUAAAAUUUUAAAAUUUAAAAAAUAUAAUAAAAAAUUCAUAUAGCCUUCUAUACAUUAUAAAGCUAAUUUUUUUUAUUAAUAUUUUUUAACAUUCAGUAUUUGUAGAGUUAAAGUAUUCUAACAACUUUACCUAAAAAUUCAAUCAAACUUAAUAAUUUUAGUAGCUAUUCUAUAAAUAAAAUUUUUAUUUAAAAAGUUAAAAUUGAAGGACUUAUUUAAAUUGCAAAUAUAUGAUGGUAUUCUUAUCUAAUUAACAUUAAUUGGAGAAAGAAGAAAUAAUUAUAUGCACAUGGUGUAUAUUAACACACUAUACACCACAACUUACAUUAAAGGACUAAUUUCUAAUAUCAAAAUUUAAUUAAAUAUAUAUCUAAAUUACAAAGUCUAAUAAUUUAAAUAUGUUUACUGAAUUAAAUUUUAAAAUUUCUAUUAAAUGUUUUAAGUAUGUGGUGUACGUUAUUAUAUACAUCCGGUGUAGAGAACGCUUAAUAGAGUGUAUUUAUAAUUCCAAGAAAAAGAGGAGAAAUCUUUACUUGCACCUGAUGUAUUGUCACGCCCCGGAUGGCCAUGUUUUCCCCGGCACGCCAACAGACCCGCCCGCCGCAUACACAAGAAUUUUUCAUGUACACAAAACGAUAGUUGUACCUGUAAUUAAAUUAUAGCUACAACCACAAGUACAAAGCUGCUAAACUAAAACAUGUAUAUAAAUAAAACAUAAUGUUCAUAGUACAUACAAAAUCUCCGAACCAACACUAACACCUUACUCCAGCGAGUAAACCGAACAUAAGGUAUGUACAUGAACCAAACACCUCAAAACUACCUGUGAAGGGUACUCCUCUAGUACGGCGACACAACUGGUAGGGAUCUAGCUAAUGACUCCCUUCCCACGGUUAGAAUCAAAACAGCAGCAGGCGCAGACGAAGGCUCUGCAAAAGAGUGUCAACAACUGGGUGUGAGAACUUCUGUAAAACAGAAUAGUUUUCAGUGGGUACCGUCACCGAUCUCAACGGCCCACCCACUAGGUCUACAGAAAUAUGUACAAAGAAUAGUUGGAAAAGCAGGAAAGAACUCUACAACUAUAUGCCACUAUACUAUCGCUAUCUGUAGAUAUGAAAAAAAAAUGCCUCACUCUGACCUAAUCUCAAUGGGGACUGCGAUACGCCCGUCCCGCCUUUCGAAGCUACCUCGUCCACCACUCAGAGGGCUGCCUGUUGCGAGAUCUCACUAGGGACUGUGAUACACCCGUCUCGUCUGCCUAAACUACACCGUACACCACCCACUGAAAUGGCCAUCCAAGUAGAAAGGUUCGACAGGACUGCUGCAACUCAAUACACGUCACAGCCUCAAUGAGGGUAGAGAAAGGCGUCACUAACUACCACUAACCUAAUCUCACACGGGCUGCCCAAACGGACCCACCCUGCCUGUAUCCAGCUAUGCCGUACACCACCCAAGGGGGUGGCCAGCUCAAGAACAGUCCAAACAGAAACUGCAACAUCAUCGCACUGAAAACCUCAUUCCGGAAUGACAUUCGUGGGCGCGACCCAACCUAGUUUAUAAGUGUCUCUACCGAGUUCAUUCAGAUUCUCACAGGCUGUAAUCACUGUAAAUAGAUCAAACUAAUCUAAGUCAGUGUAAAUAGGUCAAACUCAUCUAAUCUAAGUCAGUGUAAAUGGGUCAAACUGAUCUAAGUCACCCAAAACUCACGUGCCCUUGGCACAAUCUGAUGCAAGAUAUAAAAAUCUGGGUCCACCAUCAACCCUGACGGCACCCGACGAUCCAACACAGUCUAACACUACUGUAACAAUACACUCGGCUCCUUAGCGCGAGCGUAAACUCAACCUACACUAACCUAAGUAUCCACCUCCCACUAACAGCGGUGAUACAGAAAUCUGGGUCCCCCGUCAAUCACGACGACCCGCGACAGUCCAAACGCUACUAUACAACAUGCUCGGCCCCUCAGCACGAGCGUAAUGUCAGCCUAUUCUAAGCUAGGUAUCUUCUAUGCACUAAUAGUGGCGAUACAAAGGUACAGCAGCUCCUGAAGCUCAAUCUGGUAACUUUUCAUAAAAUGACAGUGUAGGUUUAAUGAGUUUUCUCCUAAGUCAAAUCCCAGUUCAACAUAGAUAAUUCAUCUAAAAUCAAUAGACUAUGCUUCAAAUUCAGAUUUCAUAAAACAUGCACAUCUAUGAAUUUGAGCUACUAAACAUGAUGAACAAAGCCAAGAAUACAUGCCGACACUCUACGUCUUAUGGGGGAUUUUGACGAUUUCGGUAAACAUUAACCAACCUCGAACGCUCGUCCAACGUCGGCAAGAAGUCGACCGGAGAAACCCGCACGCUUGCUCGACUCCAACGGCCUCCACCGGAUGCAACCACGAUGCGCGCACAAUCCUUCAAGGACAAGUGAACAAAAACUAAGAUCAAAUCUCCAAAAUCCCCAAAAAAACGAAGGAAAAAAGCUAGAGAGAGAAAGAGAGACACCAACCUGCAUUCUCCAAGCUCCCAGCACAAAGAGAUAAGGCCGGGGGUUUUGGUUGGUUUUAACGCCAACAAAUGACCGAAAAGCCUACUUGCUCACUUUUCCAGCUGGAAUACCGGUACCCAACUUAGAUACCGGUACUCGGCCUUUCAAUCUGCCGUCUCGCGCACUGGGUACCGGUACCAGCCCGAUGCAGUAUCGGUACUCGAGCUCGAUACCGGUACUCAACAACCAUGUACCGGUACUCAGCAUCAAAUAUGUGUAACCCGAGAGCAUCCAUCUCUGCCAUCCCACAAGGGUACCGGUACUCCUCUCAAGUACCGAUACUCAACACUGAAAUCCUGCACUUUGCGGAUUUUAGUGUCAGAGCUCCACUCUCGCACCGCGUCGAGCCCGUUUUGCAUUCAAUUCGUGCCAAAACGACUCCGACUUGUCCCGACACUCUCCAAACAUGUCGACAACCCUCACGACAACCCUCAGAUGCUGAUAUCUCGCGAACAGUGAAGCACGAGGGACAUUACAUAUGAUACUAUUUCGUACACCAUAAAAGUAUAAUAAUAAUUGAUAAAAUAUUUGAUAAUUAGUAUUAAAGAUUUUUGUGAUGUGAUAGAACUGCCAAAUUAUAUAUCUUAUAGAUUUUAAAAUAUUAAUAAUUAAAAAAGACUUGGUAUAUGUGAUCUUUUAAUAGACCAGGUGCAUGUAAUAUUGUUGAAGUACAGAAGGAGAGGAAAGAGGACACGUGUUGCUCUGAAGGCUUUUGAUGUGAUCUAACUAUCAAAUUAUAUAUUUUCUAUACUAUAUAUAAAAGCGUAUAGAAAUUCCGACAAUGACAGACGGAAUCCAAAAAGAAAUAAAAUAAUAUUCCCUACAAAUGGUUAUGAUUAAUUCAAUUAAUUCGUGACGUGUCAAUGUUGAAGUAAAUUUUUGAUGAAUUUUUAGUAGAUUGGGAUGGAUCAAUAGUAGAAAGGAAUCUCUCAUCUCCAACUUUAUUUGUUUAGUGGAUUAGGGCGAAUCCGAAAUUAGUUAUCUUUUUUUUAAAAUUCUUGGGCCCCCACUUACAACCUCAUGGGGGGGGGGGGGGGGGGGGGAGGCUCAAUCCUUUCCGAAUACAUUUGCAUCUCCAAGCAUUUUGUGUGGAAAAAGAAGCAAAUUUUCUCUCCAUAAUUAUUUCAUACAAAAACAAUAACACAUAAUUAUAUUUAUAUAAUCCUCACUUUAAUCUAUUAUUAUCAUUUUUAUUAGAUUCUUUACUUUCUUUUUAUAUAGCAGAAUAAAAUUAAUUUGGGGUAUAUUCUAUACAAUAUAAUUGUUACAAAAAAAGACUUAUUUCUAAAAGAAAGGACAUGGUAAGCUCAUUAGUAAAGGUUAAUCGUAGACCAAAUAAGAUUAUUGUAUCAGUUUAUUGUCUUUGCUAACUAAGAACAUUAUAUAUAAUUGCUUGUGUUAUUAAAUCUUUUCUAGUCAUUAACAUCACUGUAGAAAGAGGUUGGUAUAACAGAUCUAACAAUAGAUCAAAUCAAUUAUUUUUCCUUGUUACUUGUAAGCAUACCCUCCUUUAUUAACUUUUACAGAUGAAGGGUUAGCCUAGUUUUUAGCAGAGUAAAUUUUACAUAAUUAAUUUUAAUUCAAAGAAUUUAUUUUGAUUAAAAAUUAUAGAGUGCUUCGUUGAGUCUAACAGAAAAUCGAUUUUUGCAAACUGAUUUUAUAAAAUAUGCUGGCAAAAUUUUAUGCUAGUUUCAAAUAAUAAUUUUUUUACUGAAUUUUAUUAUAAAAAUUAAAUACAAAAUUCAAUUAUUUUUAAAUUUUAAAAAUUUUAACUUAAAAUUUAAAUUUUAAUUUAAUAUCUAAAUUUAAAAUAAUUUUAAAAUUUAAAAAUUAGAAAUUUAAUAUAUAGAAUUUUAAUUUAAAAAUUAAAAUUAAAAUAUUGGAAAAAUUAAAUUUAAAAUCUAAAAUUUGAUAUUUCAAAUUUAAAAUUUAUAAUCUAAAAUCUCAAAUUUGAAAAUUAAAAUUUUUAAUUUUCAAAUUUAUGAUUUGAGAUUUAAAACUUAAAAUAUAAUAUCUAAAUUUAAAAUUUAAAACUUUAAAAUUUAAAACAAAAUUUUAAAAUUUAAAAUUUAACAUUUGAACUUAAAUUUAAAAUUUGAAUCUAUAUAUUAGAAUUCAAAAUUGAGUUCAAAAUCAUGAUCAAAUUUUAAGAAGAAGAUUUUAGUUGUUCCUGAUUUUGGAGUCUCUAAAAUCAAAAAAUCGAUUCUAAAAACUAAUAUUUUGAAAAAAAAAUUUGCCAAAUGCUCUAUUAAAAAAGAAAAAAAAUCACUUUUAGCUUUGAAAUCACUUUCUAGAAUCUGGCCAAACACAGCCAAAGUUGAAAAAUAACCUGCCAUUAAAUAUGUUCCGUUACUCUCUGAUAAAAGUAAGAAUAAAUUAUACCACUAGUCCCUAAAUUAUCAUCGAGUUAUAUUUUGAUUCUUAAAUUUUAAAUUCAACAUCGAAGAUCCUAAAGUAUUAAAAAAUUUUACUUAAGGUUUGUUUGGGUACUCUUCAAGACAGAAAGACAGAGAAAUAAUCUAAUUUACAAUAUAUUUUUUACAUCGUUUGGAAUAAUAUAAGGUGUAGGAAACUUUUUAAGAAACUAAGAUCGUACCUUCUGCCAUGAUUUCGAUUUCUGCACCCGAUUUGUAGGCGGCGAUUCUUGCUCGUGAUUCGUCCUCGUUCGUGAUCUGCAAGAAGACGGAACGUUUCGAGUCUAAUUUCCUUAUCCCCGGAGAUGGAGCCGUCACAGACAAUUGGAUUGGGGUUAGACCGGGACUCCCGUAUGUUACAUAUUUAUAUAUAACUUGAUAUAAGGAUGUUAAAUCACGCCCGUCCAUCAAGGACGUGUCCAGUUACAUCCUAACCGUAAGAUCUAAAAUAUCUUUAUAGAUCGACUUAAAUAGAUUGACCGUAUCUUUAUGGAUCGCCUUGAAUAUAUCACGUGGGCCACAUCCAACAUUCUCCCACUUGGCCUAGUGAUAUAUUUAUUACCGUAUAGGCGAUACAAAAACUUUAUUAGGUACCAACUAAAUUAUACAGUCAAAAUCUCCAACUUGACCAAGAAAUCACAGUACUUUGAUUAUAGCGGUUAUGCCCUAAAAGAUGAACACUUCCUUCCAUGUAUCAAAAGUACGAAUUCCUUAAUCAAAUAACUUUAUGAGUUACAACCGUAUGAAUUUAUUAUAAGUUCAACUCAGAGUCCCACUUUAGUGCACAAUAAUACUUUAAUGUACAAAAGAUAACUUUAUGCGCAUAUGUGCAAAAACCAAAAUAUAUUCUUACUCAAAUAAGAAUAGUUUUUAAAGUCUUUAUACAAGAAAAAAAAUACUUAAACUGUAAAUGGACUCAAGAUACCCAUAUGAUGAAUAUGAUCCUUGAAUUUGUUUGCUGGCAAUGCUUUAGUCAUAGGAUCAGCAAUCAUCAUCUCGGUCCCAAUGUGUUGGAUAUCCACCUUCUUCUUGUCGUAUUCUUUUACAGCAAGGUACUUUAUAUCGAUAUGUUUGCUGCGAUCUGUAACUCGACUAUUCUUGGUAAAGAACACUGCAGCAGAGUUGUCGCAAUAAAUCUUAAUUGGCCUUGAGAUAGAGUCGACAACUCUUAAACCUGAGAUAAAAUUUCUCAGCCAUAAAGCUUGUGACGAAGCCUCAUAGCAAGCGAUGAACUCUGCCUCCAUAGUGGAUAUAGCAACUGUAUCUUGCUUAGUGCUCUUCCAAGAUAUAGCAUGUCACGCCCCACGCCCCGCCUAUUUGGUCGGGUUCGGGCACGUUAACAGACCGCCGAACAGACAGAGUCUCCCCUGUACGUCCAAUGCAUCGCAAUCAACACAAUACAAGAGGUUCCAACCAGAAACAGUAUUCAUUCAUAGAUUGCAUAAGGAAGUAUCAAAAACAUAAUACUACUAAGUUAUUACAACAUUCAACUUACAUACAUUUUUGCACAUAAUUUUUUUUUACACUCAUCUUCCAAAUACAAUCCCAAUUAUUACAAUUUAUUACAACUUGAUCAAAGUUUGUUCUUGUAUUUAAACCUCCCAAGCUAGACCACCGACUCGGGUACUGCUAUCUCGGUCUCUGGGGUAGGGCGUUAUCUACGGAGCUACGCCCUUGCCUCGCGCCGCCGCGCCGCUCACGUGUGUGCCUGUAAACACCCCAAAACAACGUGGGGUGAGAACCAACUCCAUGGUUCCCAGUGGGUACGGCCACCCAAGGGAAAAGCUCGAUCGAUAUGUCUAAUGAGGCCCUGCAACAAGUUAGUCCAAUAACAUAUAACAGAUAUAUAGCAGAUAUUGAACUAAGAUAUCCUGCCUCCCGAAAUGCAAUAUGCAACGAUCAUGAAACUAGCCCAGUGGGUUAAUUAAUCCUACCCUGCUCAUUCAUUCUUUACUCUUUAUUCAUUAUCAUUCUUUACACUACGCCCAUUGGCGAUUCUUUAUUCGUUAACAUUCUUAAUUACUGCUAGCCAUUCUUAUUCUUUGCCAUAGUCAUUGACAACUCAUAUCUAAGGUUAUCUCUACCUUAGUCAUCUAUAGUACCCGACUCGGUCUUGAGCCAAUCAACUGCGGAUAAUCCACGCUCUGGCUGCUCAUCAGCCCCCCGCCCUCCUGAUCUAGCCGUCUGGCGGCGAACGAAUCGCACCUAACCCAACAAUGGCCUAGGUCAUGACUUAGCCACCCGGCGGCGAAAUCGUCGCACAAACGCCACGACAGUGGUUCAAGUCAACUGGCGGUACAAUCCUCAACCGGCUCAACCAUCCGACGGCGAAAUCGUCGCACACGCCACGACAAUGGUUAGCCCUGGGCGGCGAAAUCGUCGCACACACCCAACACCACUUUGGGUGUAUCCUAUUGCCACUCUCGGCGCAUUCUUUUAGCUUUGGGAUUCCGGAAUCCAUUUCACACAACUCGAGGGUUGGUCUUAACCCUAAGGAGUUGACCUAUCUAGGUCCAAGCCUUUACUCAACCUAAGUUAAUACUUUAGGUUCAUUGUUACCAUACUCAUAGCCUAGGUUAUUAACUCUAGGUUCAUUACCUUUGCUCACCUAGGUUCAUGUGAUUCUAGAUUCAUUAUCUUUAUUUCACAACCUAUGUUCUCUAACAUUAGGUUUAAUGCCAUUCUUAUUUAACCUAUGUUCAUCGACACUAGGUUCAUUGUUUCUCUUGUCCAACCUAUAUUUACUAACAUUAGGUUCUUGCCGCAUUUGUUCAACCUAUAUUCUUGACUCAAGGUUCGAUGCCACUCGAUCUAUAGGUGCAUUUAUGUCCCAAUAGGUGUUCUACAUCACUGUUUCCAUUUUUGAGUUCUCUACUCAUCCUAGAGUUAUCAAAUAAGUUCACAAACAUAUAUAGUCUCACAAUGCUAAUCAUGCAUUUACAAUCUCACAAUGCUAAUCAUGUUUUUUAUAUAUUGUACUUACAUGCAUUCGUGAUCUCUAUAUCAUUUUAUAUGCAUCUACUUUAGCAUCUACAUCAUAGCGUUAUUCUCAUGCAAUACUUAGCAUUUUGCAUUAUACUAUCAACAUGCAUGAACUAUCAUUGACUACAUGCAUUAUCCACAUACCUCAUUUACACUUAUAUGCAUCAAUAGGAAUUCUUACUAUUUCUUAGACAUAAGGGCGACCUAGUCGCUUCGAUAAACACAACCCACCUUGACUUGAGCUCCGAUUGCUUGCAGUCACUUACAAUUGGCCUCCCGCGGCAACCGUUGCCCGGUUUGGCCCGAACUCUUGCGCGACUUAGCGAACGAUCUCCGAACCGCGAUCCGUCUUUUCCGGAGUUUAUUCCUUGACUCCAAGAUGCUCCAGUUUCGAUCUCACGAUUUUUAGGCGUCUAUUCCGCGUGCUGUGGCCAUUUGUAUGACAAAACACUAUUUUGUUAAUAACUUCGCGUACACUUGACGAAUGGUCAAACCGACUUCGCCAACGCGUUCGUUAGGUCCCCAAUUAGGUUUCCAAGUAGUCAAAAUAGAUCAAAACUCCAUAUAAGCAAAACCCCUCUUUGGGAUGCCCUAAUGUGACAUAUGCUCAAUACUCCGGAUUUGAUCUAUAAAACAAGUAAAAGAGAGCUUGUUUAACAUCUAGGAGCUCAACUAGGAGCAUUCGAACCAUUUCUAGGGUGUUUAGAACAAACUCUAGAAAUCCACCAUUAGAGCAUCAUGAGAAAAUCAUGGACUUCAUGGUGUUCUAGGUCUCUACAUGGUUCUAAACAUGUGAGAAGCUCCAAAACUCUAAGUAUUAGGGUAUAAAACCAAACCCUAACCCUAAUCCUACCAUGAGAGGAGGCAAAAAGCUUACCUCACAAGGUUGCUCCAAGCAGGAGGAAGAUGAAGAUGAAGGUAAGCUCUUUCUUCUCCUUCCUUGUCUUCUUUUCCUUUCUUCUCUGCUCUUUUUCCUUCUCUUUUCUUCUUUUUCUUCCCCUCCCUUGCAACCGGUUGAGAGAGAGGGAGAGACACGAGAGAGGGAGAGAGAGGGUGAGCUGCUGCAGGGAGAGAGGGCUUGGGUUAUUUGUUAGUAGGUAACAAUUGCAAAUAAACCCCCCAAACAUUCAUAUUUGCAGCAGACUAAUUUUUGCUGUCGAGUCCAUAGCGUACCGGUACACGAGCUGGUGUCACCGGUACACGACUCGCUCAACAGCCAAACCCGAGAGCCAUCUUCUCAGAUUUUACACUGCGUACCGGUACACGAAAUCCUGUCACCGGUACACAGCCUUUUUCCAGCUCAAACCCGAUAGCUUUCUCCCUCGGUCAGCAAUGGUUGUACCGGUACAGCCAUCACAUGGUACCGGUACACAAGCUCCAGAUUUCUAUUUUUUGCGUCUUUUUGACUCUAUUUAGCUCCCAUUAUUGCUAAAACCUCUCUAACUCUUUUAGAACUCAUGUUUAACCAUUCCAACCUUGUCGGAGUGUAAAUUGGAGCUUGUCCAUUCAUCUCAUUCGCAUGCUUUAGCCAAUUUGACUAAGGUCCAACAUAUCCCACCUAUAUUUCGGUAUGUUACAUAGCACCUUGAGCAAGUAAGAGAAUAUAUCAUGAUGUGGAUUUUCUAGAAUCCACGCAUCCGGCACAAUCAGAGUUCGAAUACCCAACCAUCUCAAGAUGGUCAGAAUGUCUGUAGGUGAGCAUAUAAUCCUUUGUUUCUUGUAAAUAUCUCAUAACCUUCUUUGCAGCUUUCCAAUGAUCAAGACCAGGGUUGCUUUGGUAUCUACCCAACAUCCCUACUGCAUGAGCUAUAUCAGGUCUGGUACAGAUUUGCGCAUACAUCAAACUCCCUAUUAUAGAGGCAUAGGGUAUGCUCUUCAUAUGUUCUCGUUCUAAAUCAUUCUGAGGACACUGUUUCUGAUUGAACAUGUCACCUUUUAUAAUAGGCGCAGCUGUAGGUGCACAAUUUGCCAUAUUAAAUCUUUCUAGAACUCUUUCGAUGUAGGCUUUCUAAGAUAGACCCAAAAUUCUUUGAGAUCUAUUUCUGUGAAUCUUUAUGCCAAUGACAUAAGAAGCUUCACCCAUAUCCUUCAUCUCAAAAUUCUUAGAAAGAAAAACUUUAGUCUCUUUAAGUAAAUUCAAAUCACUAUUUGCAAGCAGAAUAUCAUCCACAUACAGAACUAAGAAAAUAUACUUAUUCCCACUAACUUUAAGGUAUAUGCAUUGGUCCACAAUAUUUUCUACGAAACUGAAUGUAGUAAUUACAUUAUGGAACUUGAUAUACCACUGACGGGAAGCCUGUUUAAGUCCGUAUAUAGAUUUCUUUAGUCUACAAACAAGGUGAUUACUAUCAUCUGUGCUAAAACCUUCGGGCUGUUGCAUAUAAACUAUCUCCUCUAUAUCCCCAUUUAGAAAUGUCGUUUUCACAUCUAUCUGAUGUAGCUCUAAAUCGAAAUGAGCUACCAAAACCAUAAUAAUUCUUAAUGAAUCCUUCUUUGAUAUUGAAGAGAAGGUUUCAUGAUAAUCAAUGCCUUCCUUUUGAGUGAAACCUUUGGCAACAAGUCUGACUUUAUAUCGUUCUUUGUUACCUGAAGAGUCCCUUUUGAUCUUGAAAACCCAUUUACAGCGAAUGGCUUUGACUCCUUGUGGUAACUCAGCGAGAUCCCAAACUUUGUUAUCCGUCAUAGAUUUCAUCUCUUCUUCCAUGGCAUCAUACCAUAGUAAGGAUUUAUCUCCCUGUAUGGCUUCUGAAAACGUCCAUGGGUCUUUAUGGUGUCCAACAUCAAAGUCAGACUCCUGAAGAUAGACUACAUAACCAUCAGGAAUCGCCGGUCUCCUUUGUCUUGAGGAUCUUCUUAAGCCAACCUCUUCCUGCAGAUUUUUAUUAUUCUGUGCAGCUGGCUCUAUAAUUAUCUGUUCCUCUUGGGACAGAUCUUUAUGGGGAGGUUCAACUGAUUCAGCAUUUUCAUGCUCUAAAAUUAGUUGAUCUCCAUUAUGGUCAAAUUGACCUCCUGGAAGAACAAUUAGAUUAUUAUCUGUUGAUGGAUAACCAGUUGAAUCCCUUAUUUCCUCAAAAUCCAUCUUUUGAGAAACAACACUCCCACUAGCUUCAGAAUCCUCAAGAAAUUUAGCAUUCCUGGCCUCAACUAUCUUGGAUGGGUGAUUUGGAUUGUAACGACCCAGCCCACUAGCAACAAUAACUCGUCACUAGCAACAAUAACUCGUUGGGCCCAAACCAACAGCCCAAAAUGCUUAAGCCCAGUUAUUAUUACUAGUGUCUAAGUCUCUUAUAAACCCAAUGACAAUCCCAUUCCUAUCCGAUGUGGGAUUAUUGGGGUGUCACAAACUCCCCCCGUUAAGGCCCUGACGUCCUCGUCAGUCCAAACACACACACAGCCCAAGAUCACCAGGCGAUGUGAGACUCGUCUCGCUAGCCCGUCAUCCAGACCCUGGCUCAGCCGAGACUCGCCACACAUGUCCAGCUGGUGAACCGGCUCUGAUACCAAAUGUAACGACCCAGCCCACUAGCAAUAAUAACUCGUUGGGCCCAACCACCGGCCCAAAAUGCUUAAGCCCAGUUAUUAUUACUAGUGUCUAAGUCUCUUAUAAACCCAAUGACAACCCCAUUCCCAUCCGAUGUGGGAUUAUUGGGGUGUCACAGACUCCCCCCGUUAAGGCCCUGACGUCCUCGUCAGUCCAAACACACACACAGCCCAAGAUCACCAGGCGAUGUGAGACUCGUCUCGCUAGCCCGUCAUCCAGACCCUGGCUCAGCCGAGACUCGCCACACAUGUCCAGCUGGUGAACCGGCUCUGAUACCAAAUGUAACGACCCAGCCCACUAGCAAUAAUAACUCGUUGGGCCAAACAACCGGCCCAAAAUGCUUAAGCCCAGUUAAGAGUUUAGCCCUAUUAUAUCUUAUAUAUAGGACUAUCUAGGGUCUCACAAUCUCCCCCCCUUUAAGCCCUGACGUCCUCGUCAGGCUCAGACUCACAAGUACCAGGCGAUGAGUAGUGGGACGAGACGUGAGGUAUGUGUGUAGCGGUCGAUAGAGCUUCCGACCCAGGUUAUUUCGAUUUAGUUAUUACCCUUAUUAUUUCUGUUGAUUUAUAGCUUAGUCGGUUUACAUGGUUCAGUUUUGUGUUAUUAUCUGAAUAUCUGAGUUUUCAGUUGGUUUUGGAAUGUAAUAAAGGAUUGUGUUUUCUUGAAAUAAAAAUAGUUUUCUACCCCUCGUGGUAGCGUUUUAAAAAGACAAAAGUUUCCGUGUAGGGAACAGUUUUUAAAGGGUUUUCUGUGAUUUUGUAUCUUAGUAUUUAAAAACCUGUUUCUGUGGUUGGAAAUAUUUUAACUGAUAGAUGUGAAUUUAUGUUUAAAUAUUGAAUGGAAAAAUGUGAAUCUGUGGUGAAUGGUGUAUGAAUAUAUAACUGUGGUUAUUUGUAUGUUCAUCUGGUUGUGGUUGUAUCAUGUUUGAACUCUUGUACUUGUGCGACGCCGUGCAAAUACAGGGGAGACUCUGUCCGUGUGAACAGUGGAUCUCCUGUAUUUGUGGCGGAUCUGGCAUACCCUGGGGUCAGGUUUUCAAAAAAAAAAAAUUCAGACGCUUUUCCGCUAUGCUUUAAACUAAAAAGGGACCCUGGGGAGUGACAGACGCUGGGGUGGCGGCGACCGGCGGGGAGGGUAGCCGAGGGUGCGGGGACAGCAGCGGAAGCGGGCUCAGGCGGCGGCGGCCCGCGGGGAGGCCGCACGCAGGCCUAGGUCUGGGCUCGGCCUAGGAAGCAGCAGGCGGCCAGCUGAGGUGCGGCGGCGCUCGGCGACGGCGGCGGCCGACUGGGAGGCUUCGAUGAAGUCGGGGCGACGCCGGCAUGGUGCAGGGAGGCCGCUGCAGCCUCAGCCUGGGCUCUAACCUGAGAAGAAAAGAGAGAGAUGGAGGGAGAGAUGGAGAGAGAGGAAGAAAGGUGGCUGCGGCGGCGGUGGCCGGCCGGAGCUCGGUCGGCGGCGGUCAGGGGGCGUGCAGCUAGGGCAGGGGAGCAGGGUAAAGGUGGCUGGGGGCGCAGGGAGAACUAGGGUUAGGGUUUCCACGAAGCCCUAGGUUAAACAAUAACUCGUUGGGCCCAAACCAACAGCCCAAAAUGCUUAAGCCCAGUUAUUAUUACUAGUGUCUAAGUCUCUUAUAAACCCAAUGACAACCCCAUUCCCAUCCGAUGUGGGAUUAUUGGGGUGUCACAUGGAUAAUAGAACCUAAAUCCUUUGGAGUUUACCGCAUAGCCAAUGAAAUAUCCACUGACUGUUCGAGGGUCCAAUUUCUUUAUGUGUGGAUUAUAAACCCUCACCUCAGCUGGACAUCCCCAUACAUGCAGGUGAUUUAAACUAGGUUCCACCCUUUCCAUAACUCAAAAGGAGUUUUGGAAAUAGCUUUCGAUGGAAUCCUAUUUAAAACAUACACCGCUGUCUUUAGUGCUUCACUCUAAAGAGAAAAUGGAAGACAAGAGCUACUAAUCAUGCUCCUUACCAUGUCCAUAAGUGUUCUAUUCCUCCUUUCGGCAAUGCCAUUUUGCUGAGGCGUGCCAGGCAUCGUAUACUGUGCAAUGAUGCCUUCACCUUCGAGGAAUUGAGCGAAUGGACCGGCCAUUUGACCUUUAUCCGUAUGUCUUCCAUAAUACUCACCCCCUCUGUCGGACCUUACAAUUUUGAUUUUCCUAUCCAAUUGUUUCUCUACCUCAACCUUAUAAGCUUUAAAAACAUCAAGAGCCUCAGCUUUUUCAAAUAAGAGAUAGAGAUACAUAUAUCUUGAAUGGUCAUCAAUAAAUGAGAUAAAAUAUCUCUGACCAUUGAAACAAGAAGUAGGAAAAGGUCCACAGAUAUGUAUGUAUGAUCUCAAAAUUUCAGAACUCCUUCUGGCACCUUUAAUGGUAUUUGUGUUAGUAUACUUUCCCUUUAUGCAUUCCACGCAAGUACCAAAAUCGGUAAAGUCGAGAUCUUGUAAGAUCUUUUCUUUUGCUAAUCUCUUUAUUCUCUCUAAAGAGAUAUGAGCUAAAUGCUUGUGCCAUAAAUAGGAGGAGUUUUCUUUAAUAAUGUUCCUUUUAACACCAAUGUCAUGAUCAACAUUAAAAUUAUUUUCAAAAGAUUGACUCAAAUUAAAUUUGUACAAAUCAUCUACCAAACAACCAUUGCCAACAAUAACAUUAUCGGAGAACAUAGUAAAAAAUUCAUUUUCAAAUAAAAAUUUGAAACCUUUAUUUCUCAAUUUAGAAACAGAAACUAAAUUUCUAGAAAAUUUAGAAACAUAAAAAGUAUCCUCAAGUUCAAGUACAAAACCAGUUUUAAGUUCUAAAAUAAACUUUCCUACGGUUUUAACUUGAGAUUUAUUUCCUUCUCCACUAAUUAAAAUCUUUUCAUUUGGCUUUAACAUAGUUAGGUUGUGAAAACCUUGCAUGAUAUUUGAAAUAUGUACAAUAGUUCCAAAGUCAAUCCACCAUGUGUUUUUAGGAACAUUAACUAAAUAAGAUUCAUAACAAAUAUAUAUAGUUUCAAUACUUUUCUUUUCGAGUCAAUCUUUAUUGGAGCUGACAAACUGCUCCUCAAUAGCCUUUGGGUAAUCCUUGCCUUUAUCACAUUCUCGAAUCGAUCCCUUUAUACUUGUUGAUACUCUAGACUUUAUGAGCAUUAAACUUAAGCGGUUAGAUCGCUCUCACUUUUCCUGCGCGGAUUCCUGCUGUGGAGUUAUUGGCCCCACUAUCUUAGGCGGUUGCUCAGCAAAGCCAAGUCUAAAUCGAAGUAAAAGAAAUAAUUUCUUUCCAAUAAGAAUAAUUGUCCUCAAGUAUAGGAAUACGAGAAACAUCAUUAAGAGAUGCAGUAGAGGAAGAAGCUGCAAAAAUAAAGAAAAUAUUGAACUUUAUCGCCUACUAUAAGAUAAUAAUCUUUAGAUUAGAUAAAUUCUACCUUUCUGUGGGCAGAUGCGCUAUACGCAUAGAAUUUAUUUACUUUAAUAAUAAGUCUAGCAGAAAACUAAUUUUUAAAUAACAAGAUUUCUGUACCUGUGGGCAUAAGAAAACUCGCUAUUUAAAAUUUAAUCUACUAUCUUAUUCUAGUCAAAAUUAAGAAAUUAUUUUAUUUGACUGUAAUAAAUAGUCAAACUUUAAUUCAAUAUCACUAAUAGCUUAUAUAUUUUUCAUUAUCUAUAGAAUGUUGUGGCUACUCCUGAGCAUAAUGAAAAAUACAAAUAACCUUAUUUGACAUUGAAUGACUAUUUAAAAUAAAUUGGGAAUCAAUAUAAAUUUUUGGGAAACUUUAAUUCAAUACCAUCUUAUAAAAAUACCAUAAGUAAUCAUAUACCAUGACUAAAAUGCUGUGGCUACUCCUAGACAUAGUUGAUCUCACAAGUCCGUAUAUGAUAUUAAUGACCGAAAAUUUCAUAUUAUUCUAAAACGCAGCGAAAAAAUAAUAAAAGUCUUGAAUAAUUUUUUUAACAACCUUAUGUGACUCAAAAAUUAUAAACUGUAUGAAGUCUAUAUUCUCUAACUCUAAAAUUUUCAUGAUCACCUUAUAUAUGUUUAGAGUAAUAAUACAAAAAUAUACUGUAAAAUAUUAAACUAAACAUAUUACUUUAUAUCAUGAAUAAACAAACGAGUAGAACAGAAAUUAUAUAUAACAAAUACCAAAAGUUAUAUAUAAUUUUAAUAUAUAGACUUCUUCAUAAAUAAGUCACGUUAGAAAAUUAUUAACCAAAACUAUAAUAUAUAUAUAUCUCUAUAAUCUUUUCAUUAAAAAUAAAUAAAUAAAUAAAUUUUAUUGUGUCGAUGUUUGAUCACCACCCAGGCAGCUCCUAAUGGGGCUUGGUUUGACUGCCACUUAGGCAGCCCCAUUAGUACAUUACGGGCUACCUAGUGCGGUCCUUUGUGGGCCGUGCCUUGUGCGCCCGGGUGGCGUGGUGGUGCGAGUUCGCCACGCCGCCCCAUCGUCCUUCCUCUUUUUUUUUUUCUUUUUUUUUUUUUUUGCUUCUUGAUCGCUCAAUGCGAUUGGGCCGGUGAUGCCAUUCUUCCGAACGCCGGUCUCGAUUGAGAUCGGCCGACGUUACUAUUAACGCAAACCAUUGACGAUUUAUUUAUUUAUUUUCUUUAAUGAAAAGAAAACCAAACGAAAUCUGAAAAGAAACGAAAAUCCGGCAAAAAGUUUAGCUCUGAUACCACAUGUAGGAAACUUUAUAAGAAACUAAGAUCGUACCUUCUGCCAUUAUUUCGAUUUCUGUACCCGAUUUGUAGGUGGCGAUUCUUACUCGUGGUUCGUCCUCGUUCGUGAUCUGCAAGAACACGGGACGUUUCGAGUCUAAUUUCCUUAUCCCUGGAGAUGGAGCUGUCACAGACAAUAGGAUUAGGGUUAGACCGGAACUCCCGUAUGUUAUAUAUUUAUAUAUAACUUGAUAUAAAGAUGUUAAAUCACGUCCGUCCAUCAAGGACGUGUCCAGAUACAUCCUAACCGUAAGAUCUAAAAUAUCUUUAUAAAUCGACUUAAAUUGAUUGACUGUAUCUUUAUAGAUCGCCUUGAAUAUAUCACGUAGGCCACAUCCAAUAUAAGGGGCCUAUAUGGAUAAGUUUUGGAAUUGUAAAAGAAACAGAAUAAUGAAUUCAAAACGGAGGUUUUUUGGAGGAGAAAAAAGAGCAUGGAUUAUUAUUAUUAUUAUUAUUAUUAUUUCAUAGAACUUAUCCCACCUCUUUUCUUCUUACUCCCUGCAUUCUCCACCACCUCCUCCUAGACUCCACCGUUGAUACUUAUGAGCUCUCUCACUCCGUUAAUCGAGCACCCCUCCACCUCCCGGCGUCUCCACUGCCCUUCGACCUGCUACUCUUCUUCUUUUACCUUUGCUAUCUUUCUUCGAGAUUGUGACGUUUUUCCUCGUCGUCGAUUGUUGCUGCCGCUCAUAAACGCUUUUGCUCCGAAUACAGGUGAAUUUUUCAUAUUAAUUGGAUUGCCACAGCAGAGGGUGAUGAAGAAGGCGGAAGGGAUGGGGAGAUAAGUGGGUUUAAGCAAGUAGGAGAAGAUGAUAGGGAUAAAUUUGAGUAAGGCGAAAGUGAUGGGAAGGGAUUUUUCUUUACAUCAAAUUAUUUUUUUUUUUCAGAAUUGAAUCAAACACUAAAAAUAGAGUAAAAUAUUAUAGAAUUUUAAGAUUUUUGUACCAACAUAUUACAACAAUGAUAUAAAAUUUUAUUUUAAAUUCCUGUUUGGCCCUUAGCUCUUAUGCAUAUUUAAGAUUAGAUGGUCAAUCGUCACCAACACCCGUUCAUUUUUCUACAUUAUUGUAACAUACAUUAUGAAUCAGUUUUCUACCUCAAACAACAAUUUUUACUACUAUAUAAGGACUAAAUUAAACAUUAUUGAAAAUUUAGAAACUAAAAUGUAGCAUAAUUUAAAGUUUAGGAUUUCAAGCUAUGAAUUUUUAAAUCUAAGGGCUGAAAUAAAACUUGAAUUAAUAACAGUGAAAUCUAUCCGUAAAGAUACAGUUGAUUCGUAUCGUAAAAGAUUAUUUGAAAUACGACGUAUUCCAUGUUUGAUUCAGAGAAUAAUGCUCUUUUGAAACGUUGAAAAUAUCAAAAUAACGGGCCUGGUCGAAAACCCGUCAACCACUCUGUGGUUUUCAAACCCCACAAGAAAUCCUACUCUCGUAAACUCAUUUUACAUCAAGAAAAGUUUAUAAAAAAUUAAUUCUUAACCACUAAACAAGUCUACAAAAACACGGAGAAAACUGCGUUAAAUCUUUUUUCUUCUUUUUUUUGACAAAAGUUUCCACCUCCCAUUUUUGACCAAGCCGUUCCGUUCGACUUGGCCGUGCCACAGUCCAAGUCGCAGGGUCAAUGUCGGGUCCGCAUCAGUGGGACCACUCGGGCCCCACUCACUCGCACAAUCCACCGUUCAUUCGACGAUCCGCUUGAUCGCAUCGAACGGCCUUUAUCUCCUAGCGUCCUCUAGCCGCCAGAGUCAACAAAAUGUUCUUCUAUGCGGUGGAGACUGUAAAGUACUCCUCCGAACUAUGACGUGGCGGUACGUAAUUGGUUAUUGUAGUUUUAGCAUGUGUUUCGAAAUUUUAGAAGGUAUGUAUUUAUUUACAUAUCCAUUAGAAUUUUGCCACGUUUCAAUUGUACCAUAUAUGUACAACUUUCUUAAGUUGGAUCUCGUAUAGAACGUGCUCUAGCUGGCGCACUACAGUAUCAGUCGCAGCAAUAGUUGAGUGGACCAGGUUCAUCGGGUAAGCACAUUGACUGUGCGUUUUCAAUUUAAAUCAUAUUGUUAAAUAUAUAACUGAAGAUGUAAAUUAAGUUUUUUUAUUUAUCAAUUGCUGGCCGUCUUUGAAAGUUGAAGCUCCAUUAGCUUAAAAUCUAUUCAAAAAAAUUGAAUUCAGCAAAAGCCCCAUUCGAUUUAUCGAAUGCUCUAAUUUAAUUGAUAAAUUAUAUAAUACAAAAUCAAAGGGGUAAAAAUUGAAAAUAGUUGUUUAAAUUUUUUGAAGAGGUGAAUAUAUAUAUAUAUAUAUAUAUAUAUAUUUUGAGAGAUAGGUAGUUAGUUUAUUUUAUUUAAAAAUAAAAUUAGUUAGAAAUGUGAAUCAACUAGAAUUCGAACUUAAGUCUCGGAUACCAACUACCAAACCCUUUGCCACUUACUCUAAGGACAAUCAAUAAUAUAUGUAAUAUUUUUGUUUAAAUAUAACUUAUUGUCGAAGGAAUUUUUGUAAAUUUCUGAAGAGUAAUGUUAAUAUGUAAAAAUAUCACUUAUAACACUAAUUUUAUUGAUGAGUUGUAUGAAAAUAGUGUUUCUAAUAUAUAAAUAGGUAACAAAGGAGAAAAUACUUAUGCACAGAAGAUUAUAGCACUUGACAAGAAAAAUUAAAAUGCAAAAAUAUGUCAAAUUUAUUUGAUCUAUAGUUUAUUUCGAAAUGACUUUCGAAUCUUUAAAGGUUUAAAUCUUAUUUAUCUAUUUUUAAAAAAAUUUAUUAGAUUUGAAAUAUUUGAUGACUAUUUUAUUUUAAAAUUUGGAUGCAUUAUUUAUUUUAACAACUUUAUAAAAGCAUAUUAAUAUGUUCUAUAUUAUUAUAUUUUUAAUUAAAAACAACUAGUGUGCCCGAAUUUUAUCUCUAAGUAGCCAUCAAAUAGCUCAAAAGAAAUUAAUGACCAGAAAAAUUAAAUAUUAAAAUUAAGAAUUUCAAAGCUGGAUAAUUGAGUCAGAAAAGGUGUGAGCUCAGCAAAUUUCAUUCCAUACAUAUUUUUUUCUUUUCUUUUUUUUUUCCGCCUACAAUUAUGACAUCCGGAAGCGCACAGCUGCAGAUGCACCGGGUGCAAGAAUGAGUUUCCCAAUUGUUGGUCCAUUUCCGACCUCGUCGUCGGAGGGGGAGAAAGAGAGAAAGAGGACUAUCUACUUCGUCUGCUCUCCUCCGUUUUCUCAGCCAUUUUCGCUCUACGUUCUUACUCCUCGAUCCCUCAGCACUACUACAUAUAAACGUGAGAGAAUAUCAUAAAAAUUAGAAGAGCCGAGAGCCGAGAGCCGAGAGAGAGAGAGGUUUUUCUUCUCCUAGCCGGUUCUUCUCUGCUCUCCUCUACCCCUCUCUCUCGCUUUCUCUGUUUCUUUACUCCCCAAUCCUCUUUAGAGGGAGAUAGCGCGCGCGAUCCGUGUGUCUGUGUGUACCUUCGCUGGACCGAAAAUGGCGAAAUCCUUUCGCCAGUAGUUAAAAGCGGCACCUUAAUUCGCUCGGCUCCAAAUUAAAGAUGGCACCUCUACUGCCGCCGACGCUGCUGCUAGUCCUCCGGCUCCUAGUCCUCCUCUUGUUCUCCAACGCGGGCGGCGCCGGCGCCAUCCCUUUGGGAUCCGUGCUCACCCCGUCCAAUUCGUCGUCGUCGUCGUCGUCGUCCUGGUCGUCCCCGAACGGCACGUUCUCCGUCCGCUUCGUGCCCUCGCCGUCCCACCCCUCCCUCUUCCUGGCGUCCAUCGUCUUCUCGGGCGGCCUCCCCGUCUGGUCCGCCGGCGGCGCCUCCGCCGCCGUCGACUCGUCCGCGUCCCUCAGCCUCCUCCCCGACGGCGACCUCCGCCUCCUCAACGGCUCCGGCGCCCUCGUCUGGAGCUCCAACACCUCCUCCCUCAGCGUCUCCUCCGCCGCCCUCCUCGACUCCGGCAACCUCGUCCUGCAGAACGCCUCCGACUCGCCUCUCUGGCAGUCCUUCGAGAACCCCACCGACACCCUCGUCCAGUCCCAGAACUUCACCUCCGCCGCCUCCCUCGUCUCCGGCCCCUACUCCUUCUCCCUCCUCCGCAGCUCCGGCAACCUCACCCUCCGCUGGAACGGCACCGUCGUCUACUUCAACGAGGGCUACAACGCCUCCUUCACCGCCAACCGCACCCUCUCGUCCCCGACCCUCUUCCUGCAGUCCAACGGCAUCCUCUCCCUCGCCGACGCCGCCCUCGGCUCCUCCCCCGUCGUCGUCGCCUACAGCAGCAACUACGGCGAGAGCGGCAUCACGCUCCGCUUCGUCCGCCUCGACCCGGACGGCAACCUCCGCGUCUACAGCGUCUCCGGCGGCAGCUCCGCCCCCACCGAGCAGUGGUCCGCCGUCGCCGACCAGUGCGAGGUCUUCGCCUACUGCGGCAACAUGGGCGUCUGCUCCGCGGACCCCGCCGACCCCCGCCAGGGCUGCCGGCCCCGCACCCCGCUCGAUGACUGCCGGGCCAACUGGACGAUGCUGGAGCUGGAGAACACCCGCUUCCUGACCUACCCGCCCGACGUCGCCACCGAGCAGUUCUUCAUCGGGAUCACGGCGUGCCGCCAGAACUGCCUCUCCGGCCAGUCCUGCCUCGCGUCCACCGCCCUCGCCGACGGCUCCGGCUUCUGCUACAUCGUCGUCGACUUCGUCAGCGGCUACCACUCCGCCGCCCUCCCCAGCACCUCCUACGUCAAGGUCUGCGCCCCCGAGGAGCCCAACCCCCCGCCGGGCGCUCUCGCCGGCGCCCAGCCGGGAACCUCCAAGCUCCGCGCCUGGAUCGUGGUCGUCGCGGUCCUAUGUACUCUGCUGGCGUUGGUGUUCUGCGAGUCCGCCCUGUGGUGGUUCUUCUGCCGGAACAGCCCCAAGUACGGGCCGGCGUCGGCUCAGUACGCCCUCCUCGAAUACGCCUCCGGCGCCCCGGUCCAAUUCUCGUACCGGGAGCUCGACCGGUCCACCAAGGGCUUCAAGGAGAGGCUCGGCGCCGGAGGGUUUGGUUCGGUGUACCGCGGCACCCUCGCGAACCGGACCGUCGUCGCCGUGAAGCAGCUCGAGGGGAUCGAGCAGGGCGAGAAGCAGUUCCGGAUGGAGGUGGCCACCAUCAGCAGCACCCACCACCUGAAUCUCGUCCGCCUCAUCGGCUUCUGCUCGGAGGGGCGGCACCGCCUGCUCGUCUACGAGUUCAUGAAGAACGGCUCGCUCGACCGCUUCAUCUUCUCCGAGCAGCAGUCGUCCUCGUCGUCGUCCUCCUCCUCCUCGGAGAAUCUGCCCUGGAAGACCCGAUUCAGCAUCGCCGUUGGAACGGCCCGCGGGAUCACUUACUUGCACGAGGAGUGCCGCGACUGCAUCAUCCACUGUGAUAUCAAGCCCGAGAACAUCCUUCUCGAUGACAAUUUCAGUGCCAAGGUGUCCGAUUUCGGACUCGCGAAGCUCUUACACCCCAAGGAUCACCGGCACCGGACUCUCACCAGUGUUAGGGGGACCAGGGGCUACUUAGCCCCCGAGUGGCUGGCGAAUCUCCCAAUCACGUCUAAAUCUGAUGUGUAUAGCUACGGAAUGGUGUUGCUCGAGAUCGUAAGUGGGCGAAGGAACUUCGACAUGUCGGAAGAGACUGGAAGGAAGAAAUUCUCAGUGUUCGCGUACGAAGAAUUUGAGAAAGGGAAUUUGAGGAGUGUGCUUGAUAAGAAGAUCUAUAAUGAGGAGAUUGAUAUGGGGCAAGUGGAGAGGGCAGUGAUGACGAGCUUUUGGUGCAUCCAAGAGCAGCCGUCGCUGCGGCCGUCGAUGAGUAGAGUGGUGCAAAUGCUGGAAGGGGUGAUGGAGAUUGAAGUGCCGCCCGCGCCAAAGGUCACGGACAGUUUGAGCCCGAUUCCGUAUUCGUCGAGCUCGGUUCAAGCUGCCGAAGGAUCGUUGUCGAUUUCCAUGAAGAGGAGUGCUGAGAAACCUUCCUUGUCACUUAUCUCUUCAGAACAAUCCUCGGCAUAAAUACAUUCCAGAGGAUGUUAAAAUAUGUCCUCUGUAAGUGUUUACUAGAGCAAAAUUUCUUUGUAUACAUGUUAUAAUUUAUGUUAAUAAAUAUGAGAAUGAGCUUAUAUAUUGGAGCAUUUAGAAAUAGUACAUUCAUCUAAAUUGGAUGAUUUGAAUGUAUACUGGCAAUGGAUAAUUUGAAUGUGUUUUGCCAAGGCCUCAUCCUGUUAAAUCUAUUAGUACCUUAUUUUAUCUUUUUUGUUUCUGUUUUCCCCUAAAAAGGAGUCCUUUGUUUUUCUACUUGCUCUUUGGUUGUUAGGCAGGAUUGAUUACCGCAUGCUAAUUAAUUGUUGAAGUGUCAAAAUUAUGGAAACCCUAAUUUUUGCGUGUCUAAUGAAUGAUGCCAUGGAAGAUGCUUUGUUUCUUGAAAUAUGUUACAGUAAGCUUAUCUUUGUCUAUUUUAUCGAAGAAAAAGACGGGUCAUAUCUGAGUAUUUCUAUUUACAAGAAAUGUUAGCAUUAAGAUGGGUUUAGGUUAAAAUGGGUGUGGAUGUGUACAUUUCUCUUUGAGCCUUGUAGAGGAAUAGGAUGAUACAGAAAGGGGAAUGAUAUUGAUGAGAGUUGUGGCUAAUUAAAUGUGAUAUUAAUAUUGCCGCCUUGUUUGGCUUGAUUCAAUGCACCAAAUAAUGAGCUUUUCGAUGAUUGUUAUUGUUGGUUAUCUUGUAAAUUCAUCUUUUUCCAUUUAAAGUUAAUAGUUUGUUCUUCUAUUAUUAUUGAAAACACCUUAUAUGUUGUAAACCAUCUGCUAUCCAGUGGCGCAUUUUGUUGCAUAGAAUUCCACAUAAUGUUGCAAGUAAUCUGCCAUUCACUGAUGCAUUUAAUUGCAGAUUAUUUUCUUUUAAAUUAAAGAAAAAGGGUGAAGCAUAUGACCUAAGCUUUUGGAAUGUUGAUAGCAGCUUGUUCGUAAGUUCAAAAUCAAUCAGCUUUUUCUAUCUUUGUUGAGCUUUCCUCUUCGCUUCUUGUGUUAGCCGAAAUUUUCUUUUCAACAUUUUAUAUAUUCUUCUAUACUUUUCUGCAGCUAUUAGCUGGUAAACGCACACUUAUAUCUUCAGCAUUAAAACCGUUUAGCUUACUUGUACGGAUCCCACAUGUCACCAUCUGAGAUACUAUUUCAGAAUGUGAAUUUGUUAUUAGCAUUUGGUGUCUCAAUAACUGAAGAAUGUCGUCAGUUCCUGUCCAAUUUAGUUGAACAUCGCCUCAAUCUAUAGGGAAAAUGCAUGCACCUUAUCAAUAAUGGUGUUGAAGCUCUUUAUGGACGUAGCUUUCUGACCCGCUAGCAAUAAUAACUCGUUGGACCCAAACCAUCGGCUCAAAAUAUUUAAGCCCGAUUAUUAUUAUUAAUGUGCGAGGUCUCAUGUAUUCAAAUCAGAAUUAUUUUUUCAUCCGAUGUGAGAUUAUUGGAGCGUUACAAAUUCUCCAUGUUUAGACCUUGACGUUCUCGUCAGAUCCAACCCAAAUCACAGAUGCAGACUAGAAUUAUCAGGUGAUGUGAGAUUUUAGAGGUAGUUUCUAUGGUUCAAGAGGUGGCUCUAACCAAAUCCGCUAGUGUAACACUUUGCCUCGUAUAGCACUUAGUUCUCACACUUCCAGUUGUAACGACCCGACUCGCAAGCAGCAUCGCUGGGCCCAAAUCACUAGACCAAAAUGCUUAAACCCAGUUAUUGUUACUAGCUUAGAGGCCUUAUAUUCUAAUCAGAUCCAUCCGAUGUAAGACUAUUUGGGCGUUACAAAUUUCUCCUUUUUAGAUUACUAGCUUAGAGGCCUUAUAUAUUCUAAUCAGAUCCAUCCGAUGUGGGACUAUCGGGGCGUUACAAAUUCCCCACUUUUAGACCACUAGCUUAGAGGCCUCAUAUAUUCUAAUCAGAUCUAUGUGAUAUGGGACUAUUGGGGCGUUACAAACUCUCCCUUUUUAGAUCUUGACGUUCUCGUUAGGUCCAAACCUAGAUGUGUUAUUUGCUACUAAUAAAAACUUUUCGUUCUUAUAAUUAAUAUGAAGUAUGAGAAAUUUUGCAGAGCUUUAAGGGUUUGUGCAUUUCUGAGUGUUGGUAAAAUUUAUUAAUACCCAAAACGAUUCGCAAAAAUCGCAUAGAUUUUUACAUAUCUCUUUCGCAGUGGAAUGUAUUAUGAUUAUUAGAAUAUGAUCUUAUCUUGUUUUACGAACUCUUCGAUCCGCUAAGAAUCUGCCGCACACUUUAUUCUUUCUCGUUGCGAACCAGCUACCAGAGUCGAACGCAGCAUACCGCACAAAUCCCUAGGGUUUCUGAUGGUGCCCUAGAGCGAACCAGGAGAGAGAAUUUUGUGGAGAGAUGAUUCUAAUUUUUUGUCGUGUAUCGUAUCUGGUCAAUACCUCAUGUAUUUAUAGGCCAUAUGGGAGACGUUAAUCCUAGUCAUAUUCUAACUAAAUUUCACAUAGAUAGAGAUUUAAACAGAUUAGGAUUUAUCUGUUAGAUUUAUUCCUUAUCCCAUGUAGACUAGGAAUAUCUCAGAUAAUUACCAAUAUUUAUUUCUUAUCCCAUAUAGAGUAGAAAUAUUUUAGAUAAGUCCCAAUGUGGACGAAUCCUAACAUCUCCCACUCUUACACACUUGGUACUUAUUCAUACUUUGUCAUCCCAAAUAUUCUUAUGUUGUUUUGCUCUUCAUACCGAAAAUAGUUGGUGCGAUCAAUAACGAAAAGAAUAAAAAAUAAAGUUUUAUAUUAAGCCACCAUCCAACUAACAUAACACCACAACUCAAAUCUUGUCUGUACCCCAAAUCACUGAACACACUAGAUCAUAACAUCUCUGAUCCUAUAGAGCAAGCUAGAUCUCUCUCAUCAAUGCAUUUGUUCUUAUAAUUAUAUUGACAACAAAUAUCAACAUAAUCGUUCGAGUUAUGAGUCACAAAUUAUAGGUGUAUUAUCAAAUGAUUUUUCCUUAGAUGCCUCAUACUAAUCCAUUUCAACUUGACUGCUUUCCCAGACAUGUUUCGCUAGACCGAAUCAAUCAUGGCCCUUGGAUAUCAUGCUAAAGUAGCAUCACUAAGUAUCUACUUUAUGACAUGGUUCUAAGUCACAAAGAGCACGCAAAGUUCACACAACGACGAAACAGGAAUCAAUUUCGUCACUCUCUAAAACAUAGUGAUCGAUCUUGCACAUACGGUAUGAACGUAUGCUAUGGUGGGGCUACCUCUAAAGACAUGUCACGCUCAAAACACCAUACAAAUAUCGGUUCUAUUGUGAUUCAAGACAACAAACCUCAAGACAGUCACCCACAUGGUGUCUUCUUUACAUUCGACUUCAUACAGGCCAAGUAGAGUCGUGGACCAUCUCUAUUGUUGAUUUCAAACAGUCUCAUCUUAGCUCAUUUAAGGCGACAUUCAAGAUUUAAAUACUUGCCAGCUCUUAUAGUACAAAUUAGAUCACCUGCAUUACUAAUCGCAUUUGUGUGAUCUUAUUUGUCUCAUGUUGCUCGUUCUCUUAGCGACAAGGCGAUCACCCGUGUGAGAGGGCUGAUCAAAGGCCUUGUGACAUUCAUUCUUAUAAAGAUAUUGUGCACUAAUUCAAAAUUCAAAAAUGAUGUAUAUGAUUAAAAAGCAAUGUAAAAAAAAAAAUAUUUAUUAGCAAAAUAUUAAUAUAAGACAUAUAAGAGUCAAAUCCUACACAAACCCAAUCCUCUAACAUGUUUAUGAAAAACAUCUUUAACAAGGGGUUUGGUAAAAGAAUCUACUAUCAUAUCAUCAGUAGAUACAAAUUUAAUUACAAUCUGUCCCUGUGCAACUAUAUCUCUAAUGAAGUGAUAUCUGAUCUCAAUGUGUUUAGAUUUUCCAUGAUACUUUGGAUCCUUUGCAUAAGCUCUCGCUGCUUUGUUGUCACAAUAGAUAAUAACAACAUCAUCGGCAUGUGCUGUUACAUUCAAAUUUAUCAUAAAUCUUCUUAGCCAAACAGCCUCUUGUACUGCUGCUGUACAUGCAAUGUACUCCGUCUCCAUAGUCGACAAGGAGAUACAUGGUUGUUUCUUGCUACACCAUGAAAUAACAGCUCCUCCAAGUAUAAACGCAUAUCCCGAGAUAGAUUUGUGUUCAUCUCUAUCUGCUGAUCUAUCAGCGUCGAUGUAUCCCAUCAAUCUAAGCUCUCCUCCAUGAUAGUAUAGAGCAAGGUUCGCAGUUUCUCACAGAUAUCUAAAAAUCCUUUUAACUACCUGCCAAUGUGCUGCACCGGGAUUACUCUAAUAUAGACUAACCAUGCCAACAGCGAAACAUAUGUCUGGCCGAGUACACAUCAUUGCAUACAUCAAGCUGGCGACUGCAUUUGCAUAUGGGACUUUUUCUAUUUGCUUUCUCUCUUCUUCUGUUUAGGGCAUUGUUCGAGGCUAAAAUAAUGACCAUUUUUCAUUGGAGUGUUAAUAGGUUUUGAAUUAUGCAUUCGAAAUCUCUCCAAAAUUUUGAUGUAAGUCUCUUGAGACAAACUUAAGAAUUUUCGAGAUCGAUCCUUGUGGAUCUUGACUCCCAAUACAUAAUCCGCUUGUCCCAUAUCCUUCAUCUCAAAAGAAGAGGACAACCACAUCUGUGUGGUGAUAAUUAACUCCAUAUUAUUUCCGGUCAACAUGAUAUUGUCUACAUAUUGUGAAAGGAUAAGAAAAUCUUUUUCUUCCCUUUUAACAUACACGCAAUGGUCUUCUUCGAUCAUCACAAAGCCUAUUGAAAUAAUUGCUCUAUAAAAAUGUUGAUAUCAUUACCUAGACGAUUUUUUCAAGCCGUAAAUGGAAUGUUUUAAGCGGCACACUUUGCGCUCUUGUCCUUCAGCUAUAAAACCAAGAGGUUGAUUCAUAUAAAUCUCCUCGUCUAGUUCUCAAUUCAAAAAUUUAGUCUUUACAUUCAUUUGGAACAAUUCCAAAUCUAAAUGUGCGACUAUAGCCAGAAUCAGAUGAAUUGAGACAAACCUCACCACUGGAAAGAAUGUCUCUUCAUAGUUUACUCCCUCCUUUUGGGUGUAUCCUUUCACCACUAGUCGGACCUAUAUUUGUUAAUUGAUCCAUCCGCCUUCCGUUUUAUUUUAAAAUCCAUUUAUUUUCAAUAGCUUUACGUCCAGACGGAAGAUCAACUAACUCCUACACAUUGUUCUUAGCCAUAGAACUCAUCUCAUCCUCUAUAGCAGCUAGCCAUUCAUCACAAACUGGUGAACUCAUAGCGUUGGCAAAGAAGCUGGCUCAUCAACAUUCGUAGAAGCACACAUGAACGAUUCCCCUUCAAUCUCAAAUCGACGACGGGGAACACCUCCAUGUUUACUUCUUCGUAAUGAUGGACUUUGUGAGCCAUGGUUAAUCGGCACACUCCCACUGACCAUAUAUAGGAUCACUCCCACUGUUUUGGGCUAUAACUUCAUGUGGUCUCAGUGCCUCAUUCUCGCCUAACAAUGGGGCAUUUUUAUUAGGUUCUUGCAACUCGUAUAGUGCAAGAUCCUUUUUAAUCUCACCAAUGUCUGGAAAUUUAUGCUCAAGAAAAUUCACAUCGUGCGACUCUAUCUGAUCAGUCAUUCCUCUAUCAGUAUGCUUGCCAUACAUCACAUGGCCUUUCGAGCAAUCAGAAUAUCUAAUAAAACUUUAUUUAUUUGCUCUAGGGCUUAACUUUUCCAUAUUUAUGAGAAAUAUUAUGCAAAUAUCCUGCCGAUCCCCAUGGGCGUAAGCCUUCUAAAUUUGGCUUUAUAUCAUACCAUAACUCAUAGGGAGUUGAAGGAACUGACUUAGAGGGCACUCGCGCGGUUAAGUAUAUAGACAACAGUCAACAGUGCAUCACCCCAAAAACUAAUUGGGAGGUUGGCUUGCGCCAUCAUUGACCUAACCAUUUCCAAAAGUGUCCUAUUCCUCCUCUUUGCAACACCAUUUUGUUGUGGGGUGCCGGGAACAGUUAACUGUCUGCGUAUUCCCUUUUCCUCACAUAACUGGUCUGAUAAAUACUCUCGUCCUCUAUCAAUAUGUAGAACUUUUAGAGUUCUUUCUGUUUGGUUCUUAACCUCCACUAAAAAGCGUUUAAAAUAAUCUAAAGCUUCUGAACAGUGAGACAACAUCAAUGAAAGUGAGGAAAUAGUAUGCGCCAUGACGUGCUCUCACAUUCAUAGGUCCGCAUAUGUCUGAAUGAACUAGCUCUAAUGGAUGAGUUGCUCUUCGUGCCUUACCAAAAGAUUUUCUGCAGGCCUUUCCUGCUAAACAUGGUUCACAAGGAGAUAGGCUAGCUGAGCUUAGCGAGUGACCCCAACAGGCCUUCUCUAGCUAGUCUAGCCAUUCUUUCUUGUCCAAUGUGACCUAAUCACGCAUGCCAUUUGAUAUAUAGAACCAGACACAAUAUCAGAAGAAACUAAUAAAGCAGAAUUAUUAUUGUUAUUAAUAAAAUCCAAGUCCAAAUCUAAGACAAAGAAAUCAUUCUAUAAAUAACCAUUACCAUAAAAAUCCUUGCCCAAAUAAAUAGCUAACUGAGUAUCCGUAAAUUGAAAAGAAAAAUCUAAUCUAAGUAACGCUAAAACUAACAAUAGAUUGCAUUGGAUGUUCGGUGCAUACAACACAUCAUGUAAUAUCAAAUAACGACCAUUGCGCAAUCUAAGUUGGUAUGUGUCUAUACCAAGGACUUCUUCCUUAGUGCCAUUCCCAUCAUGACAUAAUGGCUGCCAGCAGACACCUGACGAUAAUCCAUAUAUCCUGCUUGAUCUCUCAUUAUAUGCUUUGUUGCUCCUGUGUCUACAAUCCAAUCAGAGAGAGCAUGAGCAACAAAAACAUGCGAACAUACAUAAAUAAGAGAGUCAGGAUUGGGAUUUACCUUCUUCGGCUCAGUGCAAUCAUGAGCGAAGUGUCCCAUGUUUCUACAGUUAUAGCAUUUCACUUUAUUUAAGUUUUUCUUUCCGCGCUUGCCUUUGCGGCGCUUCUCAAUUUCGCCCUCAUUUUGCGCACGAUUCUGUCAUGCCCCGGGUUCUAACACUACCCCGUCUCGCGAACAGAUCCGCUCCAUACACACGAAGCCUUGUGUACACGAAGUGAUAGAAAAACCUGUAACCUACACAAUAACAACUACGAGAGAGUAACAGAGCUACUAAAAAAGAAUAGAAGUAACUAGUCACCUGUACAUACUUGUAAUUCAAGGUGUAUAUAGUAUCUAGUACAAUAUCAACAUCUUUCAACUCCGAAUGGAUGAAACAAAAUACAACUAUAUGCACAUGACUAAACAAAAAUGAACUAUCUUCAUUAAGGGAUACUACUCUAGCAUGACGACCGGGAUAUAUAAGGAUCUAGCUCGCGACUCCCUUACCUCGAUCAAAAGCAGCAGCGGGAAUUGAUAGCUCUGCAAGAAAAGUGGCAACAAUGGGUGUGAGAACUACUAUCAAACAAAGCAGUCCUUAGUGGGUACCGUCACUGGCUCCAACGGCCUACCUACUAAGUUUACGAGACUCAAAAUAUAGCUAGUAGGUAAAAAAAAAAAUGAUCAGCUAGAAGAAACUCUAUAGCUACUUGACACUAUACUACCAUUAUCCAUGUCAUACUCUUCAUAUAUGUAUAUAUCACUAACUACAAAGUAGUCAUCACUGACCCAAUCCAAAGGGACUGCCAAUCGGCCCGUCCAGCCUAUGCCUAAGCUACACCGUACACCACCCCAGGGGUAGCUGGUGCAAGUAACAUGUCCAAAUGGGACUGUUGCGACAUCAACGCAAGAAGCCAGACUCUGGAGCGACACUCGUGGGCGCGACCCAACCGAGUAUGCAAGCAUGUCUCUGUCGAGCUCAAGCAGGCUCACAGGCUAUAAUCAAUGCAGAUGGUUAACGAGUCAAGAAAUCAAAGUUCAUGUGCCCUCGGCACAAUUUGAUGCAACAAGUAUAGAUCUGGGUCCCCCAUUAACCCCGACAACACCCGACAAUACGAAUAGUCUAAACUCUACUGUAAAAACAAGUUCGGCAUCUCAGCAUGAGCGUAAUCUUAGCCUACACUAGUCUAAAUAUCCACGACGCACUAAUAGCGGUGAUACAAAAAAGGAAUCAGCUCCUGAAGCUAAUUCUGAUAACUUUUCGAAAAGUGAGGUGUGUAGGUUUUGUGAGUUUUCUCCUAAGUUAAGUUUCAGUUCUGCAUAUAAAAUUUAUGUAAAAUUAUUAAAUUAUGCUUCAAAUUCAGAUUUCAUACUAUGGCAUGCAAAUCUACAAACUUGAGCUACUAACAUAAUAUUCCAUACAAAAUGAAACAUGUUGAAAUCUCUACAACUUAGGAGGGAUUUCGAAGAUCUCGGUAAACAUUAACCCACCUAGCACGCUAAUCCAACUACCGUUCAAACCGAAACUUCGCAGGCACCUUUCUUUAGCUAAGGAAGUGAAGAUGAAAGCCAAAAUCGCUGUCAGAGUUAACAAAUUUUAAAAGUGGAAUAAAGUUUCUAACGAAAGUCCAUUUUACAUGUAAAUUCAACUUCGGAAUCAAAUUUACCUAAUUCUAGGCCAAUGCACCUUACAAUCUAGCUUGGGAUAUCUUUGAAUCAGCUAGAAUUUAGGCAUGAAUCAGCUAGAAUCCCCUAAAAAUCACUCACAAGAAAGUUGGAGUCACAACUCGCAAAGAUGAAGCUUCAAUAUCGAAAAUCAGCAUUGCGACAAAAGUUACCUCAAUUGAAGCUCAAUUUCAUGACAAUUUAGCUAAAUAACUUGCUCCCCUAGCUCCUCACAAUGAGGUAGUCCAAGAGUAGGUUCCAAUUUAUUAGCUUGAAGCGUCGAAAUCCAUCAAUUUCACCCUCAAGUUCAGUGAUCAUUGCUGAAAUGUUAGUUUAUAAACUUGUUUAUUUGUUUAAUUUUAUUUGUUUGAUGAAAAGUUGUGUAUCUUAUGAAAGGGUGUGUCCUUUUGUAAGGGUUGUAUCUUUUGGCUUAAGGUCAUAUCCUUUAGUGAAAGGUUGUGUUGUUUCGUGAAGAGUUGCUUCGUUUCAUGCUCUAUAAUAGAGAGCAUGUAAUUUGUUGAGUAGUUGUCAAGUAUGGAUCAAAUUGUAUUAUUCAGUUGUUGUGUACUGAAGUUUAGUUAUAUUAAUAAAGUUUGUUAUUCUAGUGAUAAAAACUUUCUAGUUCAUUUAUAUAUUUAACCAACAUUUGGUAUCAGAGCUAGAACGAAACUCUGUUAAAAAAUGGCUACACAACUUCUCCAAACUCAAAUCCCAAAAUUAGUAAAAGAUAAUUAUGAGAAUUCGUGCAUUCAAAUGAAAGCACUUCUCGGUUCUCUAGAUCUUUGAGAAUUAGUUAAAACUGGAUACCAAGAAUACACAGAGCAAGAAGAAGCUGCAUUAAUUAUAGCCCGACGAAACGAUUUGAAGGAUUUAAGAAAGAAGGACAAAAAGGCACUCUUCUAUCUUUUACCCAGCAGUAGACGAGUCGACAUUUGAGAAAAUUGCCGAAGCAACUUCGAGCUAAGCAGCAUGGGAUAUUCUUGCCACCGUCUUUACAGGAGAUGACAGAGUAAAGCAGAUUCGUCUACAAAAACUUCGAGCGGAAUUCGAAGCAAUCCGAAUAAAGGAGUCCGAAAGUGUCGCAGACUAUGUUUCUCGCAUUUUGGUAAUUGCCAACCAAAUGAAGACAAAUGGAGAAGAACUAAAUGAUGAACGAGUUGUAGAAAAGGUUCUUUGCUCCCUCACAUCAAAGUUUGAACAUAUUGUUGUCGCCAUAGAAGAGUCAAAAGAUAUCAGUACUCUUUCUAUCGACAAAUUGACAGCAUCGCUCCAAGUGCAUGAGCAAAGACUACAAAAGGUGUCUGAAGACGAGUCGACUGAGCAGGCUCUCAAGUCAAAAUUGAAACUUGAUAAUAGAAAAGGCAAAAAUCGUGGAGAAAAUAAUUAUAAUAGAUAUAAGAAUCAAAUGAAAUAUAACAAUGACUGACAGAAUAGCAACAACAGUGGACGCAAUUCACGACAUGUAUAUGGACCAAAAAGAGGCGGACAAAAUAACAAUUGCCUAGGGUCUUAUGGUGGUGCAAGAUCAAAUAUACAAUGCUAUAAUUGUAAAAAAUAUGGUCACUUCAGCAAAGAUUGCUGGUAUAAGAAGAUUGAAGGAGUGAAUCACUACAUCGACAGUACAAUAGAAGAUGAAGUUGCAGAAACAUCACUGUUACUUGCAUGUCAAGAUGAAGUUAAAGAUCCAGAAUAUGUAUGGUUUCUGGUUCUGGUGCUUCAAAUCAUAUGUGUGGAAGUAGAGAACUAUUUGUUGAAAUGGAUGAAAAUGUUGAUGGCAAUGUGAAGUUUGGUGAUUCAUCCAAAGUACCUGUUAAAAGAAAUGGAAAAAUUAUGUUUAUAUCAAAAAAUGGAGAAGAAUUUAUGACUAAUGUGCAGCAUGAACAAGCAAAUUGGUUGAGUAAGAUUCAGCAAGAAAGAAAAGAAUUUAAAAGGGAUAUUGAAAUUCGGAGAAAGGAAAUAAAGAAUUCUAUUAAUCAAAGGGCGGCGGAAAUUGAGACUUCUUUAAGAGAUAAAGAGGAAGAAUUUGAGCAAAAGAAAGCUAAAGAACUUCAGUAUAUGACUUCUCAAAAGGAUAUGAUUAAAAUACAGCUAGAACAUAUAGCAUCGCAGUUGGAGAUGCUCGCUAGUGAGAGAAAGCAAAUUGCUCUUGAUCGCGAACAGAGGGAGAGUGAAUUAUCUGAAAUCAAAAGCUCCAUUGAAUUGCUUAAUACUCAAAGGGAAAAGCUGCAGGAGCAAAAUGCACACAAGUAAUACCAAUCAUAAUGAAGAAGAGAUUAUUGAAGAAAGAAAUAUGGCUAUUAAGGUCAAGGCUUCUGAAGCUUCACCAUCAGCAUCAACUCCUAUUUUCUGGGUCAGGAGAUGUGCUGAGGUGGUAUUCCGACGGUCUUUAGACGAAAAAGCUUAUUUUGUUGCUGAUAAAGAUGCCCAAAAUAGAAAUUUGGAAAAUAUUGGAAAAGUGAGGGAGGAAAAGAAGGAAAUUCAAUCAUCUUUAGCUGAAAAUGUUAGAAGUAUACAAACAGUGGUAACUUCGUUGGGAAGAAAAAGACUGAAAAAUACUAUCCUUUGUAAUGAUGCAGACUCUGAGUUGGAGCCAAGCAGGAAGCUCCAGAAAAUAGCGAGACAAAAAAAAAGAAUAGAUGGGAAAGAAAAAAAAAAACUGUGCUCCUGAGGGUCAGCAACCAUGCUCGAGUGAUGAAAACCCUGAAAUUACAAAUCGAACAGGGCCAGAGAAUGUACCGAAAAUGUCAGAUGACGUGCUGUUGUUGGAUUCGAUUUUCAAUGGAUCAAAAAAAAAAAACAGUUAAUAGACAACUAAGCCAAUUGCUAUGCCGGCAACUAAGCCAUUCGAUAGUGAAGGACCAUCAGAGGAGAUUACUAUGCCGGCAACUAAGCCAAUUGCUAGCAACAAUCACUUUAAAAAACAAGAUGGGUUGGACUUGUUGACCAUUGCAUGAAGUAGUUAACAUCGUUAACUAUUUUUUGUAAAGACAUGUCUCUUGGGUUAAAAAAAAAAAAAAGGAUACUUGAAAUAUGAAAAGACAUGUCUUUUUGUUUAAACAAGAUAUUUCAAAUUAUAAGAAUGUGUCUCUUGAAUUGGGACACUUUAAAGGGAUGUGUCAUUUGGUUGUUUUUUGAAAGUUUUUCAUGUCUAUAAAUAGUGAAUGAAUAGUUGAUUUUUCUUAAAGCAACUUAACAUUAAAAGAAAAGAGAAACAUGGAGAAUAAAGUGAUAGUAAGAGUGUCCUACAAAAAUCUACUUCAAGAAUAUUGUCAGAAAAUGAAGAUGUCGCUGCCACAAUAUCGCACUCAUCAAGAAGGACCUAUUCACAUUCCAGAAUUUUAUUCGUUUGUCGCAUUCAGAAAUUCCACUUAUAUGGGAGAUGUGAAAAAAAAUCAAUGAAGGAUGCGGAACAAGAUGUGGCUCACUUUGCUUUUAUGUGUACCACAGGUAUGGUUUCUCUUGAUCAAAGAAAUUUGGAUUUAGAGAAACUUGCAAAAAUUUUGGAAAAAGAAAAUAUGGUAUUAAAUUUAGAGAAUAAAUCCCUGGAGAAUGCAAUCAACGAGCAGGCCUCUAAAAUUAAGAGUUUGAUUUCAGACAAGGUAGUCUUAUAGGAAAGACUCCAAGAUUAUGAAGACCCAAUUGAAAAAGACGUCGAUAGUUUUGCACAAACAAGCUUAAAGGGGAAUGUUAGUUUAUAAACUUGUUUAUUUGUUUAAUUUUAUUUGUUUGAUGAAAUGUUGUGUAUCUUAUGAAAGGGUGUGUCCUUUUGUAAGGGUUGUGUCUUUUGGCUUAGGGUCAUAUCCUUUAGUGAAAGGUUGUGUUGUUUCGUGAAGAGUUGCGUCGUUUCAUGCUCUAUAAUUGAGAGCAUGUAAUUUGUUGAGUAGUUGUGAAGUGUGGAUCAAAUUGUAUUAUUCAGUUGUUGUGUACUAAAGUUUAGUUAUAUUAAUAAAGUUUGUUAUUUUAGUGAUAAAAACUUUGUAGUUCAUUUAUAUAUUUAACCACCAACAUGGAAUGCACUGCUAUUAGCUGCUCCGGGACUGCACAUUGGUGCUGCCAAUUCCUUACUCCACAAGAAAAUCUAGGGAAAAAUGAGGUUAGGGGGCAAUCCAUGAGUGAUCUUUGACUUCUAUACCACAAGAAAAAUCUGUAAUUCACUACAAAAAUUCAGCACAACUUGGAGAUAGAGGUCAAGAAUUCAGCUUUGACGCAAAAAUUGUUUUCGAUUUUCGGCCUCAAUGGAAACUGAAAGUCUCACUCAUCUUACCUCCAAAUUGGUCCAAACAAGAUUCUAACUCCUAGAGAAAGAAGUCAAGAUCACUCCCAACCCUUCCACAGUUCACCUCCUAGAAGAAAUUCAAAUAGAUUUUAUAAAAAUCCGAGGUUGGAGCGGUUCAGUCCAGAAAAUCAGCAUUGCGCCAUCUAUGAUCAACUUUAAGAUUAGAGCUACUAACCGGCAAAUCCAGCUCAAGGAAGGGUUGAACAGCACCCCAACAACCCCAAUUUAGGUUCCAAACCUUUAAUUUUGAAAUUAGAGCUCCAAACUCCACCCAGUUUGGCUCUUAACCUCAGUUGACAUGCUACCAGCCUGUAGAGAAGUUGCUGGCAGUUUUGUUGCUGCAGCUUGCAACCAAAUCUACUGGCAGUAAUCCCAGCUCCAGCUCAACCAUUCGCUAUUGCAGCAAUUGGGUGUAAAAGAGGGGACAAUAUGAUAAACCAGAAGAUGAAUUACAUCUAUUCCCCUGCUAUAGACUGCUGCCAUAUCCUAGCUGAAUGCUGCUGCUGCUGCUGAAUGCAUCCAUGUUGUUGGCAGCAGCAGUAGCAGCAGUAGCUCAAUCACAUGAGAAAGAUCGAAUACAUCUCUCCUCAAUGCCAAGACGUGGAAGGCAUCAUGAAUGCCAGCUAAUUGCGGGAGGAGUACAAUCUUGUAUGCCACAAGCCUGAGUCGCUCCAAAAUCUCAAAGGGGUCAAUGAAUUGCGGGCUAAGCUUUCCACGAAUUCCCAAUCUGCAUAUCCCCCUGGACAUGAGACUUUCAAGAGGACAUAAUCUCAAACCUGAAAUGUCUUCUAGUAUCAGAAUAGCUCCUUUGUUGACUCUGGGUGGUCUCAAGAGGAUGUCGCACAAUUCUGAACUUUUUCUCUAGUUCCAACAGAAUAUCCGGUCCUAAAGUCUUCUUUUCAUCCACUUCACUCCAAUGUAAGGGUGAUCAACACUUGUGUCCAUACAACCUUCAAAUGGAACCAUCUGGAUGCUCACUUGAUAGUUGUUGUUGUAUCCAAACUCAGCCAGUCUUAGAUGUCGAUGCCUUCCUUCUUCAAAAUCUAGGACACACGCUCUUAACAUGUUCUCAAGGAUCUAAAUAGUCCAUUCUGACUAUCCAUUAGUAAGUGGGUGAAAUGUUAUACUGCAGUGGAGCUGUGUAUCCCAAGCUGUUGUAAACUCCUCGGGGAGUGCAAGACAAAUUGCGAGUCUCAAUCUGAUACAAUCCAGGUAAGUACUCUAUAUAACCUCACUAUCUCAUCCAAAUAGAGCUGUGCGAGCUGAUCCUUGAACCAAGUAGCCUGCACUGGUAAGAAGUGAGCAGAUGUGGCAGCUUGUCCAUUAUCGCUCAAACUUCACUUCUUCCUAAUCCUGUCCAACAGAGUAGGCUGCAAGACCAUGGACAAGUCUUGCAGUAGCUCCAUUGGACACAAUCUCUAAUUCAAACCGCCUCAACUCCUUUGGCAAUUCUCUAUCCAGAUAAACUUAAUUCUUUUUCGAGUCAAUUAGUAGAGAGGUGUGGAAAGCUUUGUAAAGCCUUCCAUAAACCGAUAGUAGUAUCCAACCAAUCCGAGAAAAUCAUCUUUAAGAAUGAUCACAAUAUUUGUGCUAAAUGGCAUACUCGUUUUGGCCACAUUGGACAUCAUAGAAUGACUAGCUUAGUUAGAGACGAGCUGUUGAGCUCACUCACUAAAGUCGAUUUGCCAACUUGUGAAUAUGAUCUAGCGGGAAAAGCCACCCGAAAACCAUCUAAUAAAGCUUUUAGGAUAGGAUUUCCUUUAUAGUUAAUCCAUUCUGACAUUUGUGGCCCAAUGAUUGUAAUGGUGAGGCAUGGUAUUUCUUAUUUCAGCACAUUUGUAGAUGGCCAUAUGCGCUUUGAUCAUAUCUAUCUGAUCUAUCAUUAGUCUGAAAUAUUGAAUUAUUUUAGAAUUACAUUAAUGAUGUUGAGAACCAGUUAGGUUGAAUAUUAAAAUCUUAAGAAUUGACCAAGGCCGCAAGUAUCUAUCUAAAUAAUUCAAGAAACUGUGUGAUGAAAUGAGAAUAAUUAGAUAGCUGACAAUUUCUAGGACUCCGCAGCAAAAAAGCAUACUAGAGAGAAGAAAUCGUAUCUUACUUGACAUGGUUAGAUCAAUAAUGACACAAGCAAACUUGCCUAUCUCCUUUUGGGGAGACGAUUGUUAACUAUUAUCUACAUUCUUAAUCAUGUACCCUCUAAAUCAGUACUUUCCAUCCCGUAUGAGUUGUGAACAGGUAGGAAACUAAAUUUGGAGUAUCUGCGUCCUUGGGGUUUGGCAGCUUAUGUAUACAACAUUUCUCGCAAGUAUGAAAAGUUAUGCCCUAGAGGGAAGAAGUGUAACUUCGUAAGAUACUCUAAACACUCUAAGGAAUACGUAUUCAUCGGAAAGUAGCCAGAUAGAAGUUUAACUGAGAUUGAGUUGCGAGAUGUUGAAUUUCUUGAGAAGAAUUCUUUUAUAGAAAUGAGGUUCAAAAUAAAAUUGAAUUUCAUGAGAUAGAUGACUCCAGUAUUGGUGCUCCUAUUCGUUCAAUUGAGAUAGAGGAGGUAACUCCAAUACCUCCUGAGGAUAGUGGGAGCAACUUACCUUUAGAACUGGAGCCUUAACUUCAUAGGAGCACGCGUGUGGGUGUUCUCCGUUGUCAUUUUGAGAUUAAGGGGGAAGCUUUCACAGUUGCUGUAUAUGAUGAUAAUGAGCCUAGGUCUUUCUAAGAGGCUCUCUAGUCACUUACUUAUAAGGAAUGGUUGGAUGCAAUGGUGGAAGAAAUGGAAUCGAUAAAAUCAAAUCAUAUCUGGGACUUGGUUGACUUUUCGCCAAGGGACAAGACCAUUGGGAAUAAAUAGGUUCUGAAGAGUAAGCGCAAGGUAAAUAGUUCAAUCAAUAGGUAUAAGGCUUGCCUGGUAGCAAAAAGUGGUUUCACCUAACAAGAAGGCGUUGAUUACGUGGAAACCUUCUCUCCUGUUGUAAGGUUUGCUUCGAUCCACUUGAUCUUGGCUAUUGUCGCAUAUUUGAAUUUGAAACUUUAUCAAGUAGAAAUUAAAACUGCAUUUCUCAAUAGAGAGCUAGAAGGGGAGUUCUAUAUGGAUCAGCCUCCUGAUCUCGUUGUAGAGGGUGAGGAGCAUCAUGUUUGCAAGUUCUGAUGAUCAAUCUAUAGAUUAAAGUAGUCAUCGAGAUAGUGGUAUAUUUAAUUUUAUCAAGCCAUCACUAAAAAUGGGUUUACGAUAAUUAAGGAAGAUUAUUGUGUGUAUGUUAAAUGGUCCAAAAAAAUUCUCUAAUCCAUUUCUUAUAUGUUGAUGACAUUCUAAUAGCGGGGAAUUAUAAGAAGAUGAUUGUCGCUAUUCAAACAUAGUUAUCCUCCAAUUUUUAGAUAAAGGAUAUGGGUGAAACGAAUUAUGUGGUCAAAGUUAAGAUCCUGUGAAAUUGUUCAAAAAAACAUUUAGAUUUAUCUCAUGAGAUUUAAGAAAGAUUUAGAACAAUUUCAGAUGCACAAUUGCAAACUCAUUAACACUCCUGUUACUAAAGGUGAGAGCUUGAACCUUAAACAUUGCUCUAAAACUUUUAAAGAGAAAAAUAAGAAAAAUUGGAUUUUGUAAACUAGUGUAGUUUGGAGUCUAAUUGUAAGGAGGUGAAUUCUCGAAAUCCGAGGAUUAGACUUCGCUUAGAAUCGACUAAUUGUCGAGUGUGUAGGCUUCGAAAAGUCCGAAGGUGAUUAUAAUGCAUGAAGUGCAUUAAGGAAAGGUCCGCGAGAGCAGAAGUGCAAAAUAUGCACUGGAGCAGAAUUGCUCUCGGGGACCGGUCCCUGGUAGGGUGGGACCGGUCCCAUUAGGCUGGGAUUGCGGGGAUCCAUGAUGCGACCGGUCCCUGGCAGGGGAAGACCGGUUCCCGAACGUUAGCCCGGCGAGAAUAGCUGAAAUUUGGCUAAGUCCCGAAAAUCCAACUCUCAGGAACCGGUCUCUUGGACAAGGACCGGUCUCCCGGGGACCGGUCUCUCAGGCAGGGAUCGGUUCCCGAACGCAAAAUCCCUUCUGCCCGAGAUGGAAGGCUCUCGGGGACCGGUCUCCCCGAGCUGGGACCGGUCCCUUACUGCGAAAUCAGCCCAGUGAAGGCUGUUGAAUAGAUGGAAAGUUGAGGGGCCUAUUUGUAAAAUGGCCUAUAUGAGAGGUGGGGGACCCCUCUCUUUCUCUCAUUUGCUCUCUAACCCUCUUACACUCUUUCCCUCUCUCUCUCUCUCUCUAGAAAGAAAAGAAGAAGAAGAAGAAGGAGAGGAAUAAGAGGAAGGUAAGAAGAAGAAGUGGAAGGAGAAGACCAAAAAGGAGAAGAAGAUCAUCUUCUUCCCUCUCUCCUUCAAGCUAGAGCAAGCUUUGAGCUUGGUUUAGAGGUAAACCUCAAACCCAUCCAUGGUGGAUUUCUUGAGAUUGGGUUUUAUUGCUUAGAAAUGGUUUGAAUGAAACCUAUGGAAGCUAGGGGUAUGGUUUGAGCUCGCAUUUGAGGCUCGCACCACAGAUUUCUCCCUCGUUGCCAUUGUAGGGCACGGAUUUGGAAUUUUUGGAAAUCAAGGGUUUUGAUCUAUUUUAAUAGGUCGUAAACCAAAUUGCUAGGUCACGGAACGCGUCGGCGAAGACGGUUCGUCGAUACGACGAGCGGGUGCGAAGAUAUCUCCGAAUCAAGCGCUUAAGGGUUCGGAUCGACCCGUGACGUCGAAGCGUCGACCAAGGACUGUGAAAUUGAGUUUUCUACCAUUGCGGCAUCACCAAGAGGUGGGUGGUGACCAUCCCGAAGCAAUCGGGCUCCUUUUUAUGUUUUAGUAUUUUGAGACCUUGCAUCUAUGUUCACAUGCAUUAUAGGAUAAUUGUGCAUUGCCUUUCCUUAUGCUUUCCUAGCUGAUAUCAUAUUAUGCAUUAGUUGCUGGAUAUAGGAGAUUGGUGAGGAUUGGGUUGAGACUUGUAAUCCUAUAGUGUAGCGGUGAAAGAAUGAUGCAAUAGUCGAAAUAAAAGAACGAGUGGCAUCUCGUCGUUAAUUAAACAAAGAACGAGUGGCAUAUGUGAGUCGUAGCGUAUAUGAAACCCAUUGACUAUGGUGAUAGUAACCCUAGAGGACAGGGCACCCUUGAGGUGGGAGAAUUGGAUCAUACUCAUUGUCUGUUCCCGACUUGUCACGCCCCGGGACCGGCUGAGGCCCUCCCGGUAGCGUGCCCAGACCCGCCAUAUGUCUACACAUACAAGGCGUCUAGAAUAAAAGCGGAAGUAAAAGCAAGUAAUAGAACAAAUAGAAAAAGUGAAAUAACUAGCAACUAAUGAUACCAGAGCAAGUAAAGUUCUAUCAUCUACACCAAAGUAAAGAAAUAAAGCUAGUCAAACAAAGAAACCAUAAGUAGUACAAUAACCGUCUCUAGUACAAAAAUGGUGGCCUCUAUACAUAUACGGGUACAACUCUCAACCUCUCACAAAAAGAAAGUACGAGAGGUAGACCACCUAUCGAACGAUCCCUCGGUAAGCACGCUAGCCCGAGGCGAUACCCUUUCCGCGAUCCCUGGCCUCUCCCUGCGUGGAAGACUCUGAAAAACAUCGAGAAAAAGAGGGCGUGAGAACUAUAAUUUAUAGUUCCCAGUGGGCAAUUACUGACCUCAGCUCUAUGCACCACUAGGCCCCAAAAGAAAAGGGUAAGUACAAUNNNNNNNNNNNNNNNNNNNNNNNNNNNNNNNNNNNNNNNNNNNNNNNNNNNNNNNNNNNNNNNNNNNNNNNNNNNNNNNNNNNNNNNNNNNNNNNNNNNNNNNNNNNNNNNNNNNNNNNNNNNNNNNNNNNNNNNNNNNNNNNNNNNNNNNNNNNNNNNNNNNNNNNNNNNNNNNNNNNNNNNNNNNNNNNNNNNNNNNNNNNNNNNNNNNNNNNNNNNNNNNNNNNNNNNNNNNNNNNNNNNNNNNNNNNNNNNNNNNNNNNNNNNNNNNNNNNNNNNNNNNNNNNNNNNNNNNNNNNNNNNNNNNNNNNNNNNNNNNNNNNNNNNNNNNNNNNNNNNNNNNNNNNNNNNNNNNNNNNNNNNNNNNNNNNNNNNNNNNNNNNNNNNNNNNNNNNNNNNNNNNNNNNNNNNNNNNNNNNNNNNNNNNNNNNNNNNNNNNNNNNNNNNNNNNNNNNNNNNNNNNNNNNNNNNNNNNNNNNNNNNNNNNNNNNNNNNNNNNNNNNNNNNNNNNNNNNNNNNNNNNNNNNNNNNNNNNNNNNNNNNNNNNNNNNNNNNNNNNNNNNNNNNNNNNNNNNNNNNNNNNNNNNNNNNNNNNNNNNNNNNNNNNNNNNNNNNNNNNNNNNNNNNNNNNNNNNNNNNNNNNNNNNNNNNNNNNNNNNNNNNNNNNNNNNNNNNNNNNNNNNNNNNNNNNNNNNNNNNNNNNNNNNNNNNNNNNNNNNNNNNNNNNNNNNNNNNNNNNNNNNNNNNNNNNNNNNNNNNNNNNNNNNNNNNNNNNNNNNNNNNNNNNNNNNNNNNNNNNNNNNNNNNNNNNNNNNNNNNNNNNNNNNNNNNNNNNNNNNNNNNNNNNNNNNNNNNNNNNNNNNNNNNNNNNNNNNNNNNNNNNNNNNNNNNNNNNNNNNNNNNNNNNNNNNNNNNNNNNNNNNNNNNNNNNNNNNNNNNNNNNNNNNNNNNNNNNNNNNNNNNNNNNNNNNNNNNNNNNNNNNNNNNNNNNNNNNNNNNNNNNNNNNNNNNNNNNNNNNNNNNNNNNNNNNNNNNNNNNNNNNNNNNNNNNNNNNNNNNNNNNNNNNNNNNNNNNNNNNNNNNNNNNNNNNNNNNNNNNNNNNNNNNNNNNNNNNNNNNNNNNNNNNNNNNNNNNNNNNNNNNNNNNNNNNNNNNNNNNNNNNNNNNNNNNNNNNNNNNNNNNNNNNNNNNNNNNNNNNNNNNNNNNNNNNNNNNNNNNNNNNNNNNNNNNNNNNNNNNNNNNNNNNNNNNNNNNNNNNNNNNNNNNNNNNNNNNNNNNNNNNNNNNNNNNNNNNNNNNNNNNNNNNNNNNNNNNNNNNNNNNNNNNNNNNNNNNNNNNNNNNNNNNNNNNNNNNNNNNNNNNNNNNNNNNNNNNNNNNNNNNNNNNNNNNNNNNNNNNNNNNNNNNNNNNNNNNNNNNNNNNNNNNNNNNNNNNNNNNNNNNNNNNNNNNNNNNNNNNNNNNNNNNNNNNNNNNNNNNNNNNNNNNNNNNNNNNNNNNNNNNNNNNNNNNNNNNNNNNNNNNNNNNNNNNNNNNNNNNNNNNNNNNNNNNNNNNNNNNNNNNNNNNNNNNNNNNNNNNNNNNNNNNNNNNNNNNNNNNNNNNNNNNNNNNNNNNNNNNNNNNNNNNNNNNNNNNNNNNNNNNNNNNNNNNNNNNNNNNNNNNNNNNNNNNNNNNNNNNNNNNNNNNNNNNNNNNNNNNNNNNNNNNNNNNNNNNNNNNNNNNNNNNNNNNNNNNNNNNNNNNNNNNNNNNNNNNNNNNNNNNNNNNNNNNNNNNNNNNNNNNNNNNNNNNNNNNNNNNNNNNNNNNNNNNNNNNNNNNNNNNNNNNNNNNNNNNNNNNNNNNNNNNNNNNNNNNNNNNNNNNNNNNNNNNNNNNNNNNNNNNNNNNNNNNNNNNNNNNNNNNNNNNNNNNNNNNNNNNNNNNNNNNNNNNNNNNNNNNNNNNNNNNNNNNNNNNNNNNNNNNNNNNNNNNNNNNNNNNNNNNNNNNNNNNNNNNNNNNNNNNNNNNNNNNNNNNNNNNNNNNNNNNNNNNNNNNNNNNNNNNNNNNNNNNNNNNNNNNNNNNNNNNNNNNNNNNNNNNNNNNNNNNNNNNNNNNNNNNNNNNNNNNNNNNNNNNNNNNNNNNNNNNNNNNNNNNNNNNNNNNNNNNNNNNNNNNNNNNNNNNNNNNNNNNNNNNNNNNNNNNNNNNNNNNNNNNNNNNNNNNNNNNNNNNNNNNNNNNNNNNNNNNNNNNNNNNNNNNNNNNNNNNNNNNNNNNNNNNNNNNNNNNNNNNNNNNNNNNNNNNNNNNNNNNNNNNNNNNNNNNNNNNNNNNNNNNNNNNNNNNNNNNNNNNNNNNNNNNNNNNNNNNNNNNNNNNNNNNNNNNNNNNNNNNNNNNNNNNNNNNNNNNNNNNNNNNNNNNNNNNNNNNNNNNNNNNNNNNNNNNNNNNNNNNNNNNNNNNNNNNNNNNNNNNNNNNNNNNNNNNNNNNNNNNNNNNNNNNNNNNNNNNNNNNNNNNNNNNNNNNNNNNNNNNNNNNNNNNNNNNNNNNNNNNNNNNNNNNNNNNNNNNNNNNNNNNNNNNNNNNNNNNNNNNNNNNNNNNNNNNNNNNNNNNNNNNNNNNNNNNNNNNNNNNNNNNNNNNNNNNNNNNNNNNNNNNNNNNNNNNNNNNNNNNNNNNNNNNNNNNNNNNNNNNNNNNNNNNNNNNNNNNNNNNNNNNNNNNNNNNNNNNNNNNNNNNNNNNNNNNNNNNNNNNNNNNNNNNNNNNNNNNNNNNNNNNNNNNNNNNNNNNNNNNNNNNNNNNNNNNNNNNNNNNNNNNNNNNNNNNNNNNNNNNNNNNNNNNNNNNNNNNNNNNNNNNNNNNNNNNNNNNNNNNNNNNNNNNNNNNNNNNNNNNNNNNNNNNNNNNNNNNNNNNNNNNNNNNNNNNNNNNNNNNNNNNNNNNNNNNNNNNNNNNNNNNNNNNNNNNNNNNNNNNNNNNNNNNNNNNNNNNNNNNNNNNNNNNNNNNNNNNNNNNNNNNNNNNNNNNNNNNNNNNNNNNNNNNNNNNNNNNNNNNNNNNNNNNNNNNNNNNNNNNNNNNNNNNNNNNNNNNNNNNNNNNNNNNNNNNNNNNNNNNNNNNNNNNNNNNNNNNNNNNNNNNNNNNNNNNNNNNNNNNNNNNNNNNNNNNNNNNNNNNNNNNNNNNNNNNNNNNNNNNNNNNNNNNNNNNNNNNNNNNNNNNNNNNNNNNNNNNNNNNNNNNNNNNNNNNNNNNNNNNNNNNNNNNNNNNNNNNNNNNNNNNNNNNNNNNNNNNNNNNNNNNNNNNNNNNNNNNNNNNNNNNNNNNNNNNNNNNNNNNNNNNNNNNNNNNNNNNNNNNNNNNNNNNNNNNNNNNNNNNNNNNNNNNNNNNNNNNNNNNNNNNNNNNNNNNNNNNNNNNNNNNNNNNNNNNNNNNNNNNNNNNNNNNNNNNNNNNNNNNNNNNNNNNNNNNNNNNNNNNNNNNNNNNNNNNNNNNNNNNNNNNNNNNNNNNNNNNNNNNNNNNNNNNNNNNNNNNNNNNNNNGAUCCUUGAAUGAGCCACGAGACUAAUGAAUAAGUAAAUAGUCUUACUUCUUGGACAUAUGAAGAGCUAGUUGAUUAUCUAUUUCAUUAUGCAUGCAUUUUUUCAUAUACAUGAUUCGGGCACAAUAGCGUAGUUUUACUAUCUGUUUCCAUAGCUUUCCAUAUCUAUCUAUCUGUUUAUCUACUUGUGCCCACUUGGACCUAGUGGGGAGACCGGCGGAGUCGGUGGCCGAACCCACUGGGAACUAUGGAAGAUAGUUCUCACCCCACUCUUUUCAGGUCCGAGCUCGGGUGUCCCCGGCGAGCACGAGGAUCGUGGUAAGGGCUUAGCGCCCUAGUUGCAUUAGCUAUCCACCCAUUUUGCAUUAGCUCUACCCUGUAUUUAUGCUUGAGAGUAGAUGUUGUAUAGGGUGAGGUUGAAAGGACUUGUACACAUAUUUUGGAAAAAUGUAAAAGAUGGAAUUAAAUGUAUUGAGGUGAAUGAAUGUAAUAGAUAGAACUUUCUCUCUUUAUUUAUUUGUAUGUCCCAUACUUGUAUCUUGCUCUUAUUCGUUAGCAUUGGUAGUGCUCCUCGCGAUCGUGUAUCUAUGAAUUGACUCCUGGGUAAAUUCUUAUACAUGAUCAGUUGGGUAGCCUUGGUCGGACAGGGGAGGUUCUGUCCGUUCGGCGUCUGUUCGACGCGCCCGGACCGGACCAAAUUGGUAGCGGUCUCAGGGCGUGACAGAUAAGGUGGUAUCAGAGCGUAAGAGCAAGUAAAGAGAGAGUCUAGGAUGACCUAGGAGACCCUAGAUUGGUAAACUCUAAGAUUAUAGGGGCGUGAGUGAACGUGAACCCAUGGCGGUGGCGGAAGUUGAUCGAUUAGGUUGAAGUUGAUGUUAUGUCUCUAGCUGUGAAUAGAGACGGAUCCAAGUGAGGCUAGUUUCUUGGCUCGUAGUGGUUGUGUCGGCGGCUGACGACGCGACGCUAAGUGCCCAGAACUAGAACACUUGUGUGCUUCCGCCCGAUUUUAUUGUCGAGUUGUUUAAUUUCGUGAACGCUAAGAAGUUAUCGGGUUAAGAUAACUAACCGAGUUGUUGCUUUUCAGGAGCAAAUGUCCCCAAGACGAUACAUACGCAGGUCUGCUCCGGUACCGCCUUCUGCGGAGCCCGAGUAGCCAAGAUCGGAGGAAGUGCAGGAGCUGCGGGAGUAGGUCGCUGCGAUGUUGGGUGCGAUGCAGCGCCAGGAGGCUCGGUUCGAGCAGCUCCAGGGAUUCGUGGAGCGGCAAGCGGAGGCGGCGGCUGCGACCGCGACAGCGAUAGGAGACCGCGAUCCGCCCGCACCUUCGGCGCGCGCGCUGGUAGAGGCUGAGGGUAAGGGUAUAUCGGCGGUUCCGGUGGCUGCCUAUCCCCCACCGGCCAGUGCGCCUCCGACAGCUUCGGGUUCGGCGACAUCUGACACGACCGCCAAGGAAGUGGAGCGGGAGCGUGCGCUGACGGCCCUAAUGAAAUUUAUGAAGUUUAAGCCACCAACUUUUGAAGGGGGAAAGGUGGAGCCGUCGGUGGUGGAGUACGGGAUUGACUCUAUGGAGACCCUCUUCGAGGACCUAUAUACCUUGGAGAAGGUGUAAUACACUGGAUCUUAGCAAAUCGCAAGAUUCGAGUGUUUGAUCUGUGUGUGGAGCCUUUCCACAAUUUUUGGAGGGUCGUUGAUAGUGUUCCGACCCCUGGCACGCACCCCGAGGAUGUUGGUUUGAGACUUGGCACCAAAAUCCCAAAACUGAAAUUUUUGGUCAGCUCUCGGGUUGCCUCAGCAGGUUGCUGUACCGGUACAGGGUUGAUGGUUGUAUCGGUACAGGGCUGAUGGUUGUACCGGUACAAGGUCGGGCUUGUACCGGUACAAGGGCCAGUUCUCAGCCAACCCGAGGCUCGGGUUUGGCAUUUUCACAGAGCUUGUACCGGUACAAGGGCCCGUGUACCGGUACAAGGUGGCUGAAUGUGAGCAGUUUGGUCUGCAGGGGUGUUUUUGCUAUUGUAGCAUUUCUAUAAGUGCACCCCACGCCCCUUAGGGCCUCCCCUGUGCAGAGACCAGCAGGAGUUGAGGUAGGAGGAGCUCUCUCUCCCUUCUUUUGCAUUUUUACUCCUUUUGCUUGAUUUUUAUUAGGUUUUCUCUCCUCUAUUUGCAUCUUGGUGGCUUCUCCACCAUUGUUGAUGGCUUAGAGCUUGGAGAGGAGCUAGUGGCUGCGGAGAUCUUCAACAUCACUUGGAUUGGAGCUAAAUUUGGAGCUUCUUGAGAGGUUAGAGACUUGAUUUCUCCCUUUGAUCCUUGAUUUGAGGUUUUUGUGAGAUCAAACCCUAGAANNNNNNNNNNNNNNNNNNNNNNNNNAUCGCGGAUCAGCGAGUUCGAACCGUUUACUGUAGAAUCGGCUUCGGCUGCUGAUUGAGCCGAUUUACUGAAACUGUGUAGGGACUCAUGUGCGGCCAGAAGUGUGCCGAAUGGAAGAAGUACACAGCUAACGGGUCGGCUGAAGAGCCGAGAAUGAAGAAGUACACAAUGACUGUAAGCUGAAAGAGCCGAAUAGCAAUGAAGGACACAUGAUGAUUUGGCCGGCUGAAAGACGCCAAAUGCUUUAUCAUAAUAAUUAAAAAAGAGUGUGACGCGAAAGGGCAUACAGACUCAGAAAUUAGUUUUAACAGAGUUGAGUUGCCCCGUGCGGCGAGCAGACUGCUGCCUAAAAUGUAGCCUCUACACGCGAGUGCAAUGCGUGGCAGAUAGACAUCCAGAGACCUUCUAUUUUAGCGAACUACUCUUAGGCAAAGCCCAGUAACAUGCGGAAAAGAAAAGAUUAAUUACACUACUCCUAGAAAACCGAUUAAAAAUGUUAGAGCGAAAUAAGGGUGGUCUCUCGUUCAGGGUGUGGCUAGAAAGACCUUUAUAUACAGGCUUGAAAUUACUAUUUAGCUGCCAUUGCUCUGUCGUAAGCCCACAUUAUUGGUCGGUUGAAAGUAGUGGGCGGAGCUGCGUUAGCCUAACCAUUGCUCGUAGGAAGUCUCGCCCCUCGUCAUGCGAAGUACGCUCCAAUCGUACGAAGUUAUAGCCCACUUACUCAACCUUACCUGCCUAAACCUUCAGGCGCUUUAUUGUCUGUCCUGGUGUCCAGUAUCUUAUUGCGCUAUACGCGGCUUAGUGUCGGCGCAUGUUGAUUUCAAUUUUGGCAUCAACAACCCAUUAAACAUGCAUCUAGGUAUUUGAAACUUUACAGAAGUACCAAGUUCAUUUGUACUAUGUAAGUUUUCGGCCCAUUGGCAUUAAAAAUGCAUGUGGUUAGGCAUGAUAGUGGCCGCCUAGGUGAGUGGCAUUAGCGACUUGUUGAAUAGUAAUGAUCUAACAGGUAAUGAAUGCGUCAAAGGAGUAAAUCUAACGCCAAUAAAGCUUACAAGCUCAAUUAGUCCGACUUCCCAUUAUAUAUACUAUAGUAUAUUAGCUGUGAGAUAUGCCUUCUCGGAAGCCCCACGCGUAAAUGUCUAUCUGAGCGGAGGAGGCAUGAGCCUACCAACCUAUUAGCAAGCUUCAAACAAGGUUUCAAAAUCUCCGAAGAUCACUGGAGAUCUCCAUCUUCCCCAGCCUCAAGUAUCAAGCUCCAAUGGUGGAAAAAGCUACCAACAAGCCAAAAGAAGCAAAAAGGGCUUUUAAUUCACCAAAAUCCCCAGCCUAAAAAGCGGUUAAAGAAUCGAUAGAGAUGGUGAGGAGGGCGCGCUACCUACCUUCUCCUCCUCUCCCUGUGAUUGAGCUCAGGAGCGCCGCCGUAAGGGGCGUGGGUCCUAAAUGAUUAGCGCACAAACUGCGAAAAACCUCUGCCCCCCGAGUUUGGCAUCUACUCAAGGACAAUGACUGCCUCUGCCGUACUAGUUACCACAGGGCCGCGUACCCAUCCACGAUAAACGCCCACCCGAGCCCGGGUUCUGGCUGCAGACAAUGCCUACAGUGAAUGCGCUGUACCGGUACAAACCAUCACCCCGCACGGUCACCAGCUUGAAGGCGCUACCCGCAGACGCUAACCAAAAUCCAAUUUUUUUGGAUUUUUCGCCCUACCAGCUUAAAACCACAAUUCAUCGAGAUGCGACAGCCAGUCGCGUCGGAACACGUGCUCUACGACCUUCCCCAAGAAUAGUCUUAAAAAGCUGACACAUCGAUCAAAUCACUUGAACGCUCGCCCAAUUGCAAGGUCCAGUGCUGUUACAUUAUAUAUAUACUAUAUAAUGAGAGAGAGCAGAGAGACGAAAAUGUGAGGACAGAGAGAGAGAGAUGCACAUGGCUGCGAAUACUAUCAAUAGCCCCCACCAAGGUAAUUGGUCUUAUUAAUUUUAAUGCUUGGAUUGAGAAUGUACCGGUUUAGGAUGUGUGGCACCCCCUUAGCGUUGAGUGUGACGGUGUUGGUUGAAUAGUUAAGUUAAUGGGAAAAAAUAAUAAAAGGUUAAACUAUAUUGCGAACCGUCGAUAGCCAGCCAAACUUGCUAUCGAAUAUUUCCAGCGUCGACCUAGAUAAUAUAUAUAUAUAUAUAUAUAUAUAUAUAUAUAUAUAUAUAUAUAUAUAUAUAUAUAUAGAGCGGGACUGCUGUGCUCUCAGGAGCACGGAGGCCUCCGUGCUCCUGAGCCCUUUUCGAUGAUGAAAUUUUCGAAUCGACGAUCGGCUCCAUUAGACUUGAUCUAGCGUAUUUGAAGUUUCUAGAAAAUAAUUUUUGCGAUUUUUUGAUAUCAUUUACGUCGCAAUCGAAAGGAUUCAAAAUCAAUAAUUUUUAACGGUUGAAAAUAAAAAUCCUAUAAAAAGUGGUGAUAUAGCACUAAAAUUUUCGAUCAGAAAUAUUGAUCUUGUUGUAGAUAGUAUAAAGAAUUUUGUAUCAAAAUUUUUUCUGAUUUGAAUACUUCUACACCGUUAAACUUGAAAACGGGAGAUAUCAACCAUUAAAAAUUAUUGAUUUUGAAACCUUUCGAUCACUAGGUAAAUAAUAUCAAAAAAUCGCAAAAAUUAUUUUCUAGAAACUUCAAAUACCCUAGAUCAAGUCUAACGGAGCCGAUCGUCAAUUCGAAAAUUCCAUCAUCGA